rnacentral:lncRNA from 1 species
UCCGGUGGCAGCACAAGGGCAGAGAGGAGGGAUAGUGUCUAUGGUAUUCAACAGUGCAUCUGGGUCUUUGUUUGUGAUCACACGAAGAAAAUGAACAACGAAAUGUAACUCAACAGCGAAUUCAAUAGCAGAUAUCAUGAUACAAAAUAAUCAGUCGAUGAGAAAUUAUACACAAACAUCUAUAGGGAUGUCGAUAAUAACAUCUCCUUCACCAGCACCUUCAGCCUAGCGGAAGCAAAAGCCCCAAACUCAGGAACACCUCGUAACCCCUCCCCGAUCCGCCAUCGCGGCUGCUGCCUGUCCCAGCUGCCGUCGCCGUCUCUUCUCCCUCCCUCUUUCUCUUCAUUCUGUGAGGACGAUGCAGAGAUGGAUCUCCGAAUUGGGUCUGCCCGGUGACUUGGGAAGUCCGAGUCUGAUCCUCGUAGCAACUUGAUCAAGCCAUGGAGAGAGAUCUCUCUCACUUUCGCUGUGUUUGCCUAGAAGUUACACGCGACCUUCCUUCAUUAGUGAAAAAGCCGUUCAGAUUGACAAAAUAAUUGCUUCGAAGAGGAAACACGGGGAGAGAGAGAGAGAGAGAUGGUGGCUUGGCCGAGGUGGGACGCGAAACGAUCGGCGUAGGCGAUGGCCGGGGGCGGCUCGACGACGAGGGGUGACGGCACGGGAAGGGGAGUCGACGGCGACGGCGACGCGUGGCGGAGGCUUGCGGUGACCGAUUGGUGGUAGGGAGAGACUGAGGGAAGAGUAGGGGAUUUUUCAGAGUCCGGAUAUUCUUUUUAAGGAAAAUUCGUCAAAAAAGUGAGGGCAGUUGGGUCAUUUAGGAGGGUAACCGCACCAUGCGCACACGGCGAGUGAACAGAUUUACCGGAGAUUCUCCAUAGGUUUUUUUUUUUAACAUGAGAUUCUCUAUACUUAAGGAGUAAUUUAUCUUAUAUUUUAUUCCUGGAGAAGUUGACACCACAUUUAACAUAUUAAUAAUGUCAUCAUGUCCUGAAUAUGUUAUUUUGUCAUAUUCAAAGUGGGCAUGGAAUUUGAGAUCUAACAUUAUGGGAUUUUAUAAAUGCAAAGCAAACAUAUGUGAAAUAUUUUAUCAGUAUUGACAAUUAACUUCACAUAAAAAAUUGGCUUCUCAUACAUGCACCUCAAAUUGGGAAACAAGAAGGGAGAAGGAAGAGGCAAAUGAAUCCAUUUGUAAUCGUAUUUAUUUAUUUUUUUUACCACAGAUUUACAUUUAAUUAAAUUAUGAAAUGCAAUCAUUGCGUGAAUCACGGGAUCCUAAUAUUGACACUUAUCUUAAUGCCUCCCUAGAUAAAAUUCAGCACAUUAAUAAAUAUGAACACCCACAGAAUCCAAUAGCUAAGAUGAAGUAAGCCCCUAUACAUCAGAUGCAUAUAAGAUUUUGCUCCUUCCACACGCGCAAACUCCUAGGAGGCAACGUGCGCAGAGGCAGACUACUAGAUGUGAAAACGAAAGGCCACCAGUUUAUUAUUCUAUUUGGAUCAAUUAAAUUUGUUUGUAAGCCUAUUUUACUUCUAAAUGGAGAAAUAGUGACUCCUUAAGGCCAAUUGGAAUAAUAGGCCGGUUGUCGAGGCCAUUAGGGAACAUGCGUCGAGGAUCGCUAGAAGUCAACUACUGAGAAAUUAUAUGAUAAGAUGAUUUAAGCAGUCAAAUUCACAAAAGAGAUGAUUUUAUUUGGCGCAUUAGCUCCACAUAAAGCCCAAUCGGACUCAAUUGCCAUUUGGUCUCCCGCCGUUCGCGGAAAUAAUUGUAGGCUUUUAUCAUAAAUAAAGUAUACAUUGGAAAGGUGGCAAUUAUUUACACGGGAGAUGAAAAAGAUCCACAACCCUCACAUUAAUCUUGUGAUGCAAUUAUUUCAUCCAUUACAUAAGCGGUAAAAUGAGUCUACGCAAUUAUGCCAAGAUACACAUGUACGUUUUUCAACAAUUUAUUUCUAUACAUGAGUUCACAGUUUGUUAUAGGUUUGUUAUGUUUAAAAGGAAAAAGAAAGGUGAUUGACUCGUUUCAGUUAAAAAUGAUCUUGUUACAACUAGCUACAUUUUAGGCGGCUAAACAUUCAACAAGGCAAAAUGCCAAAUAAAGCACCUUUGACUUCAGCUAUUUGGCUCUUCAUUAUCAAAUUCAUCGCGCAAAUUUCUUUGCUCAGCUUCACAAAAAUGCCCCCUCAAUUGAUAUUGCAUCUUCAUUUAUUUAUGCUUCCAUUAUGGAACUCCAUCCGGUAAAAACUGAGAAAUUAUACAUGAGCAUACACCAAAGAAUUAAUUCUUCAACAAAAGCAAACGUCGUGUCAUUAUCAACAAAGCUUGGCUUAGAAUUAUCACAACUACCAAUUUCACAGCCCUUUUCAUCAUCAUAUGAUGUCUAAAGAAAAAUAACAGAUAUAUGGAGCAUCAGUUCAUGUAUCAAACACCGUUUGUUUUGCAAAAAAUGAAUAAUUAAAAAAUUAAUUUUCUAAAAAUAAUCAUUUACCAAAAUGAAUGAACGAAAUAUAUAUUUCCCUUGUCCAUGAAAAUAUUAAAACAUAAAUUGUUAUCGAUAACAAAAAUAUUUUCCAUUUACUAAUUAUUUCAUUAAGCUAUUCUUUGCUUCAAAUAUUUUGGAAUAUUUUAUUCAUUCUCCUCCAUAAAUUCAUCAUAUAACUCGUCAUACAAAUAUGCUGGUUUUUUUUUUUUUUUUGCCUCUCCUCCUUUUGCUCCCCCAAUCUAAGGUAAUACACCAAGGAGAUUGUAUAGUUGACAUCAAAUAGUUGAUGUGUUAUAGAACAAUUGAUAUAUUUUAGUUUAUUUGGGCCAAAAUUACUUUAUCUAGUUGACUCAUAACAGGGUAAGCUUUGUGUGAUUGGACCUCACUAAGUUUGUUAACAGGCUUAAGGUUUCAGCUUUAACUUGCAUACUUUCCACGGAUGAUAGAAAUAGUGAUUAAGUGACGAAGUCCUUCAAUUUAAUUUCUCCUGGUGCAUUGACUACCAAUGACAUCUAUAGUACUUAUGUUGACUAGUUAAGAGAAAUGGACUACUAUUCCAAAUUAUAAAAGACCAAUUCGAUCAAAUCAAUUAAAAAGUGGUCUCUCCAAUUCACGUUGCCUCGUUCUUGGGAAGUCUUGAGUUUGAUCCUCGUAACAACUUGAUGACGCAAUGGAGAGAGAUCUCUCACUUUCGCUGCGUUCGCCUGGAAGUUACCUGCGGCCUUCCUUCGCAAGUGAAAAAACCAUUCAGAUCGACAAAAUAAUUGCUUCGAAGAGGAAACACGAAAGGAGAGAGAGAGAGCUGUGCAUCAGUUUUCACCUUCAAGCGAUGAGUGGGGAGUGGAGGACCAUCGCUUCCAAUCUCGCCAAGCCCAGAUACGGGCCUCGUCGGCUUCGGGCGACCUCAGAUCUGGUGUUGCCCACGACCGCGAAUAGACGGAGCGAGGCUGCCUCGAGGAGAGAGAGUCGGGGACAGAGAUGGUGGCUUGGCCGAGACGGGACGCGAAACGAUCGGGGCAGGCGAUGUAAGAAUUAUCGUGGCCCACAUGAUAUGAUUUAUUAUAUGAUUUAACAAUAAUUGAAAUGCUAUAAAAUAAAUAAUGUAUUGGUUAUGAGAAGUUACGACUCUAAUAAAACAAAGAAGUAAGACUUUUAUGAAAAUUGAAAAUGCGCUUUAAUGGAAGGCACCCGUUAAAAGAACAUAUAAAUAGAGUCCGGUCCUCUCUCCGCCUACAACGAACAACAAUAACAAAAAAGCACUUAGUAUUCUCUCCUCCAUCAUUUGAAUAAAUUAAAGUUUAGUGGGUUAAGGGAGAGAAAUCAGAUUUAUUCAUUUGAUUCGAGUUGUUUGGUUUUUCACAACGAUUAUCAUCAAAGGGUAACGCUAUGGACAAAGGUAUGUUUUCAUCCAUUUAUGAAAAUCAUGAAUAUCAAAUAUCACUGUUUUAUUAUGAAUUUCCGCAUUAAAGAAUCAUUUAUAUUAUCUAACAGGCGAUGGCCGGGGGCGGCUCUACGAUGACGACAACGGUGAUGAAGAGGUGGCGGAGGCUUGCGGCGACCGAUUGGUGGAGGGAAGAGACUGAGGGAAGAGUAGGAGAUUUUUCAAAGUCCGGAUAUUUUUUUAAGGAAAUUUGUCAAAAAAGUGAGGGCAGUUGGGUCAUUUAGGAGGGUAACCGCACCAUGUACACGCGGCGGGUGAACAGAUUUACCAGAGUCACGUGUUUGGAGUGCUUUGCAAUAAGAAAGGAUUAAAACUAAAACUAGGUACUUUGCCCAAGCUUUACGCGAUAUCAUAAUAAAUGUACUUUAAAUAUGUUUAUUUUCAUUUUUAUUUUUGUUAAUGUCGAAAAGUUCGGAUUGUGUAUAACACUUGUUUCUUAUCCAUUAGGUAUAAAAUUACCAAGUAAAAUCAUUUGUCAGAUCAAGCAUGAAAAAUACACAUGAAAGUUUUAAGUCAAAUUUAACUUUUCAUAAAGGUAUAAUAAUAAAAUUUAAAAAAUUGAAUAUUGCUACUUUCUAUACCAAUUAUGUAACAACCUGAAUUCUCAGAUUUCAUUUUCAAUUAAAUAAAUUGAGCAUUUUGUCGACGCGCCUAUAGUGCUAUUAUCUGAGUUGAUUACUCACAACAUAAUUGGACUAUCUGGGGAAGCAAUUAAGGAAUCUAAAUGCAAUAAACUUGAGAAUUCGAUCAGGAAUUGAUAUCUCGAUCAUGUUGAUCUGCAAGGGUCAUUACGGCAUUGUCGAAAUCGAUCAGAGACCGGAGAUAGGUCGAUUUAACUAAAAUAUGUGAUUAGAGUGUGGGUGAUUCCACAUAAUUGCAAAAUACUUGUCGAUCGACACUAGACCGAUUUUUCUAUCAUUUUGGUACCCGGUGUUCAUAAUUGAAAUCUUGAGAUUUUCACGACAAUCAAGAUUCGUCAAUGUGUCGAAGAUGUACAUUAUGACUCGAGAUAAAUCGAUCACAGGUCAAUUGCACCAAAAAUUCCUAAAGGUUACCCAGUAGACUAGGUCACGCUAAAAUUGCAUCGGAUUGAAAUUAACCGUGAAUUUGAACCCGAUUUCAGAAAUUGAAAGUUCUGUCGUGUCAUGAUCUAUUUUAGAAUUGUCGACUCAUCAUCCAAAAAGUUUUCGGAGAUUCCGGGAUUUUUACGGAAAAAUCGAUUUGGACGUUGCGGAAAAUAGUGAAAAUUUUGAUGGGCUAAAUUUAAAAAAAAAAAAAUUGGACUUACAAGCAGAGCCUUUGAGCGUUAGGGACUUACAGAAAAUUGUUAGGGAUUUUUCUUCAACGAAAUCGGACAUCGAUCGGAGAAUUUCGGAAAGAAAUUGAACCUAAAGUGGUGAAAUUCGGACCUUAGGAUGGGGGUGUGCAACAUUGGUAGCAAUUUGGAUAAUUGUGGAUUUAUACUUCAAAAAAAUAAUUGGGGGACAAUAAAUGAUAAACAUGAAGACUUUAAAUGCCGAAUUACGAUGAUUUAGAUAUUUUUUAUUGGACUUUUUUGUGCCCCUUUCUCUCCCCUUCGCACGCCUCAUCCAUUCCUUCUUCAUCGUGCGAAACCUCUCUCUCUUUCAUUGCAACCCACCGAACCAGCUUAUCUCACUUUCCUUUCAUUUGCUUUUUUUUUUUUUUCCUCUCUUUCAUUUUACUUCAAGCACCCCACGUGAGUCAACCUUCCAACAACAAACUUUGGUUUGUUGACCGCCCCCAUCAUCUUCGUUUUUGCGCCACCGAAGCAGCUCCGUGUCCCACGCGUCCGAAGCUGCCUCUUCUUCCUUCGCACGCGACUUCCCCCUUCGCAGCUUCUCUUUCUUUUUUUUCUUUUUUUUGUUUCGGCUCUCUUUCACUUUUCCCUUGAAGCAGCCCCUUUCUUCGAACACUGCAGCUCCUUCCUCUGAAAUUUUGAGCCCACGUUCCUCUGCCCACCAGUGGCCGAAGCCCACCGAUCUUCUCUCUCUCGCAUUGCUGUCCCCACACCGGUCAACUCCAGCAAAUCUUCUCCACCUUAGUUGACCCAACAGCUCCCUUUGUGCGCCAGCUGCCAGCGCUACCAGCCUGCUUCCAUUUGCUAGUUCGUGAGUCCAGCGAAGCCGUAGCAGCCCAGCUUCCAUGCCCGUGAGAUCCACCGAAUUAGUAGGCCCAUUCUAUGCAGCCAUCUGAAGCCGAAGUCCAGCCCAUGCAGUUCUUUUCUUCAGCCCAUUUCCAGCAGAAUUUCAACCUGCGAGCUCAGGCCCAAGUUCAGCCUAAGUUUCCAGCUCACUUGAGGCCUGUGCAGUCAAGCCCGCGAUUUUGAGGUCCAUUUGAAGCCCGCGAAGCAGCCCAACUUGGGUCCAGCCCAAAUCAAGAACAAAUCUCAGCUUGGGCGAGAUUUGUUGGGCCGGCUCUAGGCCCGGUCCAAGCCCAUUAAUGCCGCCGCAAACCCAAGUUUCGGCCGUCGUUGCAUCAUCGUCGCGGUGAACCAGUUUCUGAGAUAAACCAGUGAGUUUACGCACUAAACUCUUCUUAGUAGGCUAAUAACGUUUAAUGGGUGUUUAGAUUUAUUUAAGUGCAAUUAGUUUAACUAAUAAGUUAGUUAAAUUAGGAUAGUUAGAUAAAGUGAUUAGGUGGUUAGAAAUUUAUAGUUAAUUAGAUUAGUGUAUUGUUAUAUAGCUAGGGUGCUUAGAAUAAUUUAUUUAGCUCAAUAGGUGGUUAGAUUAAAUUUAUUUAGCCUAAGUUAGAAUUUUAGUAUUUAAUGCAUUUAUUUAAUAAAUUUUAGAAAUUAUUUAAUUAUUAAAUAUUUUUCCAGAAAUUAAGCUGGGAUAGUCGGUGACCGGAAUUUCGUGUUGAUUGCAAUGGUGUGGUUAAUUUUUGCAAUCGAGUGUUAAAUUGUGAAAUUUGAGUGUUGAUUGAAAAUUUGAUCAAUUAUUCCAAAAUUGGUGAAUUUUGACAUUUAUCUAGAAAAUCCUGGGUGUCGGGUUUUAAACACCAAAAAUGGUUUUUAUAUACUAUAUAAACUAGUGGGAUUUUUUUUUUUUUUAAAAAAAGAGGAUUAUGAAUUUUCUGAGUCCAAUCUAACCGUAUACCCACACAUGACUAUUUUCAUCGGGUGUUUUUACUACGAAUGAAAUAAGCAAGGAUCACUAUUUUAAUUGAGGCAUUUGAGUGCAAUGCACGGUGUCCUGGGCCGAAAUUAAGUGGUUGUGUGUUGGUUAAGAGAACUCGUCCCUGAACUGUGUCGAAUGGAUGUUACCUUAUGUGGGAUACCCAUUUAUUGGAUUUUGGGUCGUAGUAGAGGCUAGAUCUAUACUUCUUCGGGAAAGUCGUCUUUGAGAGACGUAACCGUGCUCAAUGGGUUAAGACGAUGCCUGGCUACGCCAGCAGACCGCCAAACUUCUACUAGGUCGUACCCUAGAGUGGGCGAAAUUAUCAAUUGGAACGCAUGUUGAGUGGAGUAAAUGCGCUGGAUUAUGGGACAAAAUUAUGUGACAUAGUAUGGGACGUGUCAUAAUAAUUUAGCCUUAUAAUGUGGACCCCUGUGAUUUAUUGAGUUGAGUAAUGCGUUUCAAUUGUUGUGUGCAUUGAUUUUAUGCAUAAUGUGUAUAAACUAUGCUGGCCUGCAAGGUGAAACUGAGGCGAGGUAAGUCAUCUAUACUAAAUGCGUGAUUGAGUGGUUAGGACACCCUUGGGUGUAUUUCCCUCCUAAUCGGGGUAUAAAGCGUGAACUCGCUAAGAUUUAUAUCUCACCCCGUCGUGGGAUAAAUUUUCAGAGUUGUCGAGUGGAAGACUUGAAGCCGAGAGGAGGUGAUUAGAAGUGUAGGUUACUUAGGACUGUUUCUUUUUGGAAAGCCAGUCUGUGUAGUCUUUUGGUCAUAGACCUUGUACAUGACUCAAUGUGUAUAUAAAAGUGUGUUUUGUUUGUGAAAUUGUUGUCCUGCUUUUUUAUCAGGGGAUUUAUUUUUACUUCCGCAUAUAUAAUAAAAUGAAAAGGGUCGGCGACUCACCUAGGAAGUCGCAAAAUUUUAUUGACCAGAGAGGGAUGGGCAUACGUUCGGGGUUCGGGGCAUGACAAAUUGGAUUCUAUUUUCAAUUUAGAAUAUGUGGAUUUUUUUUUAUUCAGUACCAUAUCUCCAAAGGACAUUUUAAUUUGAUCUCAAUUGUUGAGUUAAACCUCAAGACCAUCUCAACUUGUUCCUUGUAUAAAAAUUCCUAUGUGACAUCUAAGAUUGAAAGGAAACCCCAUUAGAAUAAGUCAAUUUUGGAUAGUUGAUCGUCAAGACUAAAAAGCAUCUAGCAUCGAGUCUUUAUCCCAUGCUCACAAUCACAUUACAUCUAUUGCUUGCUAUUAAAUGGUUGUUUUGUAGAAAAGAAAAAAGAAAGGGUAAAAGUCAUCCAAAAUCCUAAAUUAUAUUUAUUGUGAUACAUUUACUCUAAUUUUUUUUUGUGACACUAGGAACCUAAACUUGUAUCUAUGUAACACAUUUAUCUCAAAUUUGUAUAGUGAGACACAUUUAUCCAAAACUUCUUUUUGUGAUACCAAAAAUCCUAAAUUUGUAUUCGUGUGACAUGUUCACCCUUAAAAUUUGGCAUCGAUUUUAAUGUUACAAAAAACAAUCUAGAAUAAAUAUGUCACACAGAUAUAAGUUUGGGAUUUUUAGUGUUGCGGAAAAAAUUUGUGGUAAAUGUAUCACACGGGUAAAGUUUGGGAUUUUUUUUUUUUUUGACUUUUUACCUUUUAUUUAUUUUUUUCUUCUCUAUAUGGGCUAAAGAACGUAGAUCUUUAUACAUUGACAAGCAGUGAUUCACCUUUUCUCUCACCACGAUGAAAAAGGUUUCUUUCUGUCAUGCCCUAAAUCUUAAGUGUGCGCACAUCCCUCGGUGGUCGAUAAAAUUGCAACGUCCCGGGACGUGUUGCUGACCCAUUCAUUUUAUUGUACAUGCGGAAGCGAAUAAACAAAUCCUCAUACAACACAAAUAUGGGAUUGAAGAGCAGGACCGCAAUUUCACCAAAACCCAAAUUUUCAUAAACAAACUAGUCUGUCUACAAAAAGAUCGACUUUAAAAAAGAAGCUGUCCUACGAACUACUAGUCGGACACGUUUGCCGAUCCUUCGGACUCCACCUCCACAGCUUCGGAGGCUUCGGGUCCUCCACAACCCCAUCAAGAGGGUCAAUUGCACCCUUGCCUAGAGCAGUGUUGACCGCAAUGAUGGGGAUAUCAAAACCCUGAACGGGACCUUUCUUAUAUCCAUUGAGCCCAUGGUGAAACCACACCCUGAAUCGAUGAGGUACCCUUUGAGGUAAGCCCUCAUCAACCCAGAUAGUGGUCACAACAAGCUCAUGGAUCCAGUGACUCUCGAGGAUAGGGACAUCUAUACUCCACUCAAUAACCCCCCAAGGCUAUCUAAAAGAACCAGAGGGACUGCCAUCUAAGGACCUGAAAAGGUUAAGCCCAUGACCAAGGUGAGACAACGUCUCAGCAAGUCUCCCUAAACCCCAAUUUAGAAAGAAAAUACGCCUAGAGGUAAUCUAACCACACAUCACAGAAGACUUACCUUGCCUGUGUUCCUUCAUGCACGUUAGUACAAUUCAUAUCACAUAUAAUUGCAUUAAAAGCACUCAUCAAUCGGGAUGUCUCAACUUAUAACCCGAACAAUUAGGGAUGUCUCAACUUAUAACCCAAACAAUUACAGGGGUCUCGAUUAUAAGGCCAAAUCAUUAUGACACGUCCCAUUCUGUGCUACACAAUUUUGUCUCAUAAUCAGUUGCGUCAAUUUCAAUCAAUCAUGUGUCCCAAUUGAUUACGACCCAACGGCCACAGUCAACUCAACAGUUAGUAGUCCUUCGGCAUAGUUGGGCGUCGUCCGGCACCAUCGAGCACGGUAACGUCUAUAUCUAGACAGCAUUCCAUAUAGGAGCAUUGGCCUAGCCUCCAUUGCGAUGGGCAUUAGUUGACUUGGGGCAUUCCCGAAGGAGCAUUGUCUAGCCCCAAAGGCUCGUGACGGGUUCUCAUAUCAUUCAUGCACCCAUCCAAUCCCAGCCAAGACAUAGUGCUUUGCACUCAAAUAUCCCAAUUAAAAUAAUGUAUUUGGCCCACUUUCUUCGUAUUAAAAACACACGGUAAAAUAAUCAUAUGUGAGUACAUGGUCAAUUUAAACAAGAAAAAUUAAUAUCCUUCUUUUUAAAAUCCCACUGUUUGAUAUAGUCUUUAAAAAUAUUUUAGGUGUCAAAACCCGACACUCGGUAUUUUCUAAUUACAUACCAAAAUUUCAUAAUUUUAAAAUAAAUACUCAAAAUCGCAAUCAUCACUCAAUUUGCACAAAUUAACAAUUAAUUGCAUAAACUAAGCACACAAUUGCAAUCAGCACGAAAUUCCGGUCACCAGCUAUCCCAGGACAAUUUUUGGAAAAUAUUAAAUAAUUAAAUAAAUAGCAAAAAUAAUUAAAUAAAUGCAAUUUAAUCCAAUUAAUGCAAACCUAGGUCGGAAACGCUAAUUUAACCACCUAAACGGGCCAAGAAAAUUAAUGCACUUAUCUACAUAAAUAGUACAAUCUAUUUAGCCCUUAAUCAAUCUAUUCUAACCACCUAACCAUCAUAAUUAAGCAAUUAAAUCAUUAAUCAAAACUAACUAACCACCUAAGCCAUACUUAGCCUAAUCUAAUUACAUACUAAACAUCAUUAACUCCCUAGAUUGGUGAGUCCAAGGUGACGAUGAUGCAGAGGUGGGCGACACACAAGCCUGCAGCGACACCAAGCGUGUCACGCCCCAAUCCUCGACACACGCACAUCCUUCACACUUGGUCGAUUUUAUAAUGCGAUAUCCCAGGACAAUGUAUCGCCGACCCUUUCAUUUAUUAAGCACAUGCGGAAGCAGUUAAAAUCCCCAGACAAUAAAACGAUGGGAUAGAAAAGCAAGGCCAUAUUUUUCAUAUUGAAAUUUAUAACUAAACUUUUAUACAAACACAAACCAGAGCACUUCAGAACUUUUUACUUUAAACUCUAUUCACAUCAAAAUGAAGAUCUCAAAAGAAGAUAGAACUUCAGUUCACCCGGGCCGUACUCAAGGCCCCUCUCGGGAUUAUCUUCUUCUCCCAAAAAUCCUUCUUAGACUCCUCCUCCUCAUCUCCUCAGCGGGGUCCUGAAAUGAUUUCCCCAAACCGGGAUGAGACUACGUCUCGGCGAGUUCUACCCAACUAAGGCCAGAUUAGUAAACUAUUAUACUACAGGCUGCCUAAACACGCACAGGGCAGAGGACUUACCUUGGCCUCAGAUCUCACCUGCAAGUCAGUACAAUUCACAAUAGGCACCCAUUUACUCAAAACAAAUCGAACCAGUCGAUUACAUGUCACACAAAUCACUCUCCACGGAGGAGUAUUUAAAAGCGAGGCCAGGUGCAUUCUCUAGGACGACAUUCCAAGUCUCCGAGUCCACGUGCCUCGAACCUUGGGCCCACGUGCAUUCUCUCAGGCGACCUCUUCGCCAAAGUGAUACAUCAAGUCACCGAGCCCACGUGCCUUUUUAGAUGCCUGGGCCCACGUGCAUUCUCUUAGGUGCUAUCUCACCAAAGUGAUGCAUCAAUUCAUCGAGCCCACGUGCCCUUUUUACGAUGCCCGGGUCCACGUGCAUUCUCUUAGGUGCUAUCUCAUCAAAGUGAUGCAUCAAUUCACCGAGCCCACGUGCCCUUUUUACGAUGCCCGGGUCCACGUGCAUUCUCUUAGGUGCUAUCUCAUCAAAGUGAUGCAUCAAUUCACCGAGCCCACGUGCCCUUUUUACGAUGCCAAACUCUGUCACCGAGCCACGUGCAUUCUCCAGGAUGACAUACCGAGUCUUCGAGCCACGUGCAUUCUCUCAGGCGACCUUUUCGCCAAAGUGACAUAUUCAACCACUGAAUUCACGUGUAUUCUCCAGGUGAUAUUCCAAUUCACCGAGCCCACGUGUUUUCUUUCAAGUGAUUACCAAUCUACUUUCAAUACCGACAACCAAUGCCCAACAAUUUCUCAAUCAAAUAAUUAAAUCAACUCAACAAAGCAUAUAAAUGCUGAAUAACAUACUUGGCCAUUUACCAGUCAACAAUUCAAUCUCAAUCAAUUCCAAUCAAUUUAGGGUAAAUCCCUAAAAUAUCACAAUUUAUUCAAUUCCAUACAACGUGGAGCUCAAAUAAAUAAACGGACUGCGCCACGACGAUCAGCAUGAGAUUUCGGUCUUCGGCCAUCAAAAUCUUAAUUUCCGAAAAAUAAUUAAUUAAUUAAUUAAUUUCGAAAAUUAAUUAAUAAAUAUUAAAAAUUCAAUUUAGCUCAAAAUAAAGCCCGAUUAAAUAAACGGACUUCACCACGGUCAUCAGCAUAAUUUUCCAGUCCCGGGCCAUCUCAGUUGAAUUUUCGGAAAAUAAAUAAUUAUUUAAUUUAAUUCCGAAAAUUAAUAUUUAAAUACUAAAAAUUCCACUUAGGCCCGAAAAGCCUAAUUAGAGCCCACUAAGGGUCGGGAAAAAUCCCGAGGUACUUCCAAUAAUUAGUAGACCACGUCUACUUGUUAAUUGCGCAAUCAAUUUAUCUAAAUCGCAUCACAAUUGACUAAUAAUUGCUAAUUUAUUCUAGAUCUAACAACCUAAACAUAAUUAAUUAAAUCUAANNNNNNNNNNNNNNNNNNNNNNNNNNNNNNNNNNNNNNNNNNNNNNNNNNNNNNNNNNNNNNNNNNNNNNNNNNNNNNNNNNNNNNNNNNNNNNNNNNNNUGGGGAUUCGCACGAGGGGGGGAAAGGGGAGAGGAGAGAGAGAGAAAAGAAAGAAAAGAAAAGAGAGGGGGAGAGAGAAAAAGUAAAAUAAAAAUAACACCAUUUUUCUUAUUUUCUUUUCUUUUCUCUUUCCCUAUUUAUUUCCUUUCGGUCUUCGAUUUUUCCUCCGCUAAUUUCUUUCUUGAAAUUUCGGACUCGGCAAUAAAUUGAUGGACGAUGAGACGGUCCUAAAAAUGAAUUGUGACACGCCCGAAUAUUCGAUUCUCAAAACCGAAUUAAAUUUCAUGAUUAAAAUCGAUCGGAUGCGAUUUUAGUCCAAUCCAACCAAUUAGGUAGCUUUUAGGGAUUUUACCGCGGUUAUAUCCCUUAACGGCUUCACCCAAUAGGUUAGCUAACUCGUGAGUGAUCAACUCAGAGAAAAAGGACCAUAGACGCGCUGACGAUAUGCACAUUUCACUUUAUCGAAACGGGGUCGAAUUUUAGGAUGUCACAAAGCGAGGUCCGGAAGAGACCUAAAACGGGCCACGAAGCCUAACAGCCACUGCUGGCCUUCGGUUCUGUCCAAGGAUCGAAGGGGCUGGGUCGAGUGCUGGAUCGGCUAGAACAACCAAGGCGGGACGGCGGCGACUGUUGUAAUAUCUUGAAAUUUUCAUUUCUACUUUCAAUUAAAUUAAGCGUGCCUUUCGUCAACACGCCUAUAGUGCUAUUCUCAGAGCUGAUCACUUCUGAAAUAAUUUGACUAUCUAGGGAAGUCAUUAAGGGAUUUUAAUGCAUUAGACUUGAGAAUUCGACUAGAAAUCAGCUACUCGAUCGUAUUCAUCGGCAGAGAUCAUUACGGCAUAGUUAAAAGUCAAUUAGAGAUCAAAGAUAGGUUGGUUCGACAGAGAUUUGUGGCUAAACAUGGGUGAUUCCACUAAAUUACAAAAUUCUCGUCGACCGACACUAAACUGAUUUUUCUGUCGUUUUGGUAUCCUGUGUCUGUAUUUGAAAUCUCGAGAUUUUCACAACCACCGAGAGUCACCAAUAUGUCGAAGAGGUUCAUUGUGACUUGAAGAAAAUCGGCCACGGGUCAUUUGCACUAAAAAUUUCUGAAAGCUACCCAAUAACCUAGGUCAUCCUAAAAUCACACCAGAUUGAAAUUAACUGCAAAUUUGAAUCCAAUUUCAUAAAUUGAAAGUUUUGUCAUGUCACGAGUCAUUUUAGGAACGUUGACUCAGUCUCCAAAUAUUUUUCUGCAAACCGAGAUUUUGGCAGAAAAAAUCGAUAUGGGGCCGUUUUCGACCGAAAAAUGUGGAGGACUAUUUUUUUAUCGCGAAAGUGGGAUGCAAGUAGGAUCUAUUGGUGAGGAAAAAUGCCAAGUUGAUUGAGGACUCAACGGUUGAAUUUUUAGAAGCCAAAUGGAGUUGAUUCAAAGAGGAAUUGAAGUCCAAUUUGGGGAAAUUCCAAUCAAAAUUCAUAGCUCCCCCUUGGACCCAACAUUUGGACCACUCCAAGGCUUCUAGAGGAAGAAUUGGUUGCUAGAAAUUGUAGAGGAAUCCAGCUGGGCAUUGGUGGGACACACCAAGGGGACAAAGAGAUGAGAGAGAGGCCAAGGUGGCCCCCCUUAUAGCAGUCGGUUCCCCUCCUUCUCCUUCCUUCGGUCGAGCCUCCAUUUCCAGUAGCUAGAAGACUUCAAAAUUUCUAGCAAAACCAGAGAAACCGCAGCCCCUUCCCCCUUGACCAUUCGAGCAGUCCGCUGGAGCCCAGAGCCACCGUCGCACCGUUUGGCCGUCCGCCGAGCCACCGCAUGCCAGCCUCACGCCUGCACGUCUCUUGCUGUCAUCCCUACCCGUUCCCACUUCCAGUAGCUUGCCGGGCCAGGUCAGGCCACCGUCAGAGCUUCCACCACCGCUGUACGCCAUCGCCUUCGCCCAUCCAAGCCAUAGCAGCCUCAUCGUGCCCGUUUCUAGCUCAACCGACCACCAGAGCAGUCUUCUUUGCCCUUGACCAAAACCGGAGCUAGUGGGUUUUCAACCCGCUGUUUGGCCCAUUUUCGAGCCUUUCCCGGCCCCGCUUGGUGGUCCCGCUUUGGAGUUUGUUGUUCCUCUCCGCGUCCCUGUCGUUGUGGUCUAAGCAGAUCGUUAAUCAAGUGAGUUUAACUCACUAAUCCCUACUUAGUAAGUUAAUGAUGUUUAAGGGUUGAUUAAUUUAGACUAAGUAUGGAUUAUGUGAAUAGUUAGAAUAGAUUAGUGAAUUAAUUUAUUGUUAUUGUAUGUUAGGUGGUUAAAGUAUUGUAAUUAGAGCCUAGACAAGCUCUAGUAUUUAUCUAGAGUGGUUUAGAAAUUUUCCGGGCCCGUCUUGGCUUUUAUUUAGGCUUUUCUAGCUUAAGUGGUAUUUAUCGGUAUUUAAUAAUUAAUUUUCAUAAUUAUUUAAUUAAUUAUUAUUUUUCGAAAAGUAGACCGGGAUAGCCGGUGACCGGAAUUUUGUGAUGAUUGCAAUGGUGUGAUUUUUUUUUUAUUAAUUGACUGCUAAUUUGUGCAAUUGAGUGUGAUUUGUGAUUUUUGGUAUUUAUCCCAAAAUUUUAUUUAAUUUCAGCAAUUAAUUAGAAAAUCACCGGGCGUCGGUUUACAACGCGAAAAAUGAAUUUGAGGACUAUUGAAAUUAGUGGGAUUUUCAAGGAGGAAAAUAUUGUAUUUUGGCUAACGCCGGUACUCACACACGAUUAUUUUUAUCGGAAAUGAUAAAAAUGGUGAAAUGGUUAGAUGAUCAGGAUGGUAUACUAUAUCAACUUGCAGGCUCGAUAUGUCAGCUUAGAGUGAGCAGUAUAUCGAUAUAUUAUAUCAACUUGCGGGCCUUGAUAUGUCAGCUUAGAGCGAGCAAUGUACCUUAACAGCUUCUGGUGAGCAUUAUUAGUAUACUAUAUUAGCCUACGGGCCUUGAUAUAUCAACUUAGAGCGAGCAGUAUAUUAUUUAUCAGCUUAGAGUGAGCUAUACUAUCUAUUUAUUAGCUUAGAGUGAGCAGUCCUGGUUAUGAUUGAACUUUAUAGAUAGUAUGAUUGAGAUGACCGGGGAAUGGUCUUGAUGAUAUGAAAUCGGCUGAGUCGAUUAAUCGAUUGUUCAAUAUGAGUGGAUGAAUUAUUGGUUGAAAUGAUUGAAUGGUUAUAUGAAUUGUAUUGACUUGUAGGAAGAAAUGGAGGCAAAGGUAAGUCAUUUGACCCGUGCUUGUGCUUAGACAGCCCUAAGGGCGUAUUUUCUUCCUAGUUGGGUCUUAGGGGGUGAACUCACUGAGACGUUGUCUCACCCCAUUGUGGGAUAACUUUUCAGGUCCCUAGAUGGCAGCUUCUCCCAAGCAUUAACUUCCGGUAAACUCUGCUAAUCAUAGGGACCAUCGGGUAUCAGAGCUUUGGUCCAAUGGCUCCUCCUAUAGGUGGUAGGGUAGGGUGGGUGGUACUGCUCAAAUUGCGGCCAAUCUUCCUAACCGCGUGACUUUACGUUUAACUGGUAUUGACUAUAACUGCUAUUGAUCUCCCACUACACUGUCAGUAAUAGAAGGAGCAAAGAGUCUACUAUACCUUGGCCCCUCCUUCUCUAAUCUUUAGAUAAUUCUCAUGGAAUGUCUCCAAAAUGAUCGCCCGUGUUGACGCCAUUAACAGAGUCUACAUUCUAACCAGAAAAUCUUGGAAUAGGUGGUUCUCUCUCCAACUUGCUAGGGUGACGAAUUAUCCUCGUUGGCUGAGGAAUGACUCUUCUGAUUUCUUGUUUUUUCCAUUAACAGUUCCUAUGAAUGGAACACAAUGGUCCCAUUGGGUGUGCCAAAAAGAUGUUUGUCGAGGGAAGUUCCCUCGACAAAAUCUUUCAUCAAAGGGGUAAAGUUUCAACUUUAUUAUUUAAAAUGGAUUAUGUGUCACUCCGGAAAGGAAGCAACUGAUCUAAAUUACAGGCAAACAUAGAUGCAGGAAAAAAAGGAGACAAAAUAAAACUACGAUUCAAAUUAAAAGUGUGAUCAAAGAAAUAGAGCGAUUGAAAAGUAGAUGAUCAAUUAUUGAUUUGGGAAAUUGACCUUUCUAUUGAUGCCUCUUCGGCUAUUUAUAGUGGCGAUUUAUGGGUAACUGCUCUUUAGUGGUUAUCAUUUCGAUAUUCAAAAUGUUUCAGAAGCUUUGGCUCCUUAUCGAUAACCACUUUGCCAUAUCGAUAUUUUCAUUGGUAUCGAUUCCCGUAACUACUUCCUUUCUUGUCUCGCUUGCCUUGGCAAGUUCUAAUGUCACACUAUUCGAAAUCUUCGUUGUUGACUAUUGGUGUUUUGGCCCACUACCCAUGAAUUCUUGUGUGCUAGGCCUGCUUUACUCUCUUCUAUUUCCAAAGCCCAACAAGCAAAUUUUGGAUGCCAACAGAAGCACAUGCAAGAAUAUGAGAGGAAGUCGUGGAUCUUUCAAAUGUCCCCUGAAUGUGACUAAUUGACCAAGAUCUAUAAAAAAAUAUAAGGUAGUUUGAUUAAGCUAAUUAUGAGUGAAAAUAGUACUUCAGCAAACAAAAGGUAAGGUUAGUACAUUAAGCCGUUGAAUGCCUAAGCAUAACACAACUCUUAGCCAGAAAUAGUUCGACUGGUAAUAAUUAUUGCUCAUAUAGAUUCCCAACCAUUACACUUGAAGACAUUCAGCAUGAAUAGUUGAUUGCAUUCUGGAACUCUGCAUAAACAGAUGAACAAAGGUAAUGAUUAUUGCCGGAGAAGUAGAAUUUCAACUUUAAUAAUGGGAAUGCUUGAAAUUGCAAUUAUAACCAUUGACAUCAAAAGUGGAGUAAAGAUGGUGGUGAUCUUUGAUUGUGCAUCAUCAGAUAGUCCCUGCUCAAUCUUCAAAACUACAAGAAACAAAGGUGAUACAAAAAGGAGAAAUCUAAGUUAUUGCAUUUGCCAUAAUUAAUUCACUAAAAAGUUGAGUCAUCAAAUUCCCAAACUGAGCUUAAAACAACAAAGGAAAAAGAAAAGGACUUGUCAUCCGCAUAACAAAUAAGAAUUUUAAAAUAUAAAUGUCUUAUCGGGCAAAUUGAAAUAUCUUCCCUAAUUGUAAUUUAAGAUGAGCAGGAACGAACCAAUAGCAAACAAAUAGAGAAGAAAAUUGUAGUUUCACUCUCUUUUGGAGGUGAACAUUAAAGAGAAUUGAUAUAGAGAAAAUUUGAGUUAAUUGAUUGUUCAAAAUACCUCUUGUCAAACCUAAUUUUGUAUGUUGACCAAAAAAAUAAUAAUUUUGUCUAGUAUACCUAACAUUACUUAAAUAUUUUUAUGGAUCAAAGGGACUAAUUAUAUUCAUUCCUUUUCUCACCAUGAUAACCCAUGAGAAGUUUCCAUAUUGACAAUUUCAUGAACUGAGCAAAGUAGGUGAGUCACCUAAAUCUUUUAAUUAAGCAAAGUCUUAGUAAACAAUGAUACAUACCUCAUCCAUCUUUGUUGAACCUCAGGCAGUAACUUACAGUGAGUUCGCAAGAUUUUGGCACUCCCAACAUGCUCUUCAGUGAUUCACACCGAUUGAAAUCCAAUCUUUUUAGAUUUUGUAAAUUAGACAGAUCAUAUUUGUUUAAGCUUUUGAUGGAAUUACAGUUCCAAAUCCAUAGCGUCCGCAAUGAUUUCAAUUCUCCCAAACCCUGAAUCUCAAUUAGGUGAGGGAAUUGACGCAGGUACAAAUGCUGGAUCUUCUUCAGACAAGGCAAAAUGGGCAGAGUCUUAAGUAAUGGACAGUCGAAUAUCAUCAAUUCAUUGAAAUUUUGUAGUUUUCCAAACCCAUCAAAACGAAUCUCGCCUAGCCAAUAUCUUUCAAUAAUCAAUCUUGACAAAUUCUCCAAGUUGGAAAAGAGCGACCAAUCUAUGGGUGAUUGGACAUCGACUAAAGUCAACCGUUGAAGGCUAGAUGGAAGCCUGAUAAGAGAUCGAGGGUUGGCAUAACUUACAGAGAGUUCUUGUAACUGAGAGAGGGAACUCAAAUCAGUUGGAGGCAAGGUCAUUUUUCCAACCCACAGGGUCAACUUUCUUAGAGCACUUGCUCUCAAAAGCCCCUCUAUGUUGGGUUCCUGUACUGUUGUUCCGAUUAUAUCAAGAUGAACUAAAUUGGUUAGAUUGGAGUAGUCAGGGAUUGUAGUCAAUGAGUCCAAUGAAAAGCUUAACGACUUUAGACUCUUAGGAAGCUCUGGCAACUGUUGAAUUGACCUACAGUCCCAUAAAUUAAGUUUUUGGAGAUUUGUAAGCCGAUUGAUGGUUGUUGGCAAUCCACUAAAACAGCCACCUGAUAAAUCUAGAAUUUUCAAUGAGGAUAGUGCCCCAAUUUCACUUGGAGUUUCCCCCUCCAAGUGUUCACAUGAGGCACUCAACUCUUCCAAAUUUUCCAACGUUCCUAUAGUUUUCGGAAGUUCACUUAUGCGGCUAUGAUCUAGAUUUAGUGCCUUCAACUUUUUGAGAUUUCCAAUACAAUCAGGUAAGCUCCUGAUGUGUGAAAGACUCAAAUCCAACUUGACCAAUGAUUGGAGCCUCCCAAAUGAGUUUGGUAGCUUUUUUAAAUAGCCAUUUGGGAUCAUAAAAAUUUCCAACCUUCCUAAGUUCCUAAUGGAAUAAGGUAAUUCUCUCACACUUGUAUGUCUGACAUUCAACUCAAGUAGUGAUUCCAAUUGUCCAAUAGAAUCGGGGAGUUUUUGCAAUUCCCAACAUGACAAGAUUAGAUGCUUCACAUUCACUAGAUUGCCAAUCGAGUGAGGCAACACUAAAAGUUCUUGAGAAAAUAUUUCUAAGUAAUCAAGAUGUUGUAAAACACCGAUGGACUUGUCGAUCUUUCCAAGUUGAUUGCAUCUAAGGAUUAAUCUCUCUAACUUGGAGAUUGCAGAGAACUUUGGUGUCUUUCUAAGUAAUGGACAAUCCAGGAGUUUUAGGACUUUCAACUGUUUUGCUACCUAUAAAACAAUUAAGCUGAAAUUAGAAAAGAAAAAGAGUAAAUGUAAUGCAAAAAUAUGUCAUGAGAUCAUACCAUGAUUUGACGCCAUCCUCCCAGUCUUUAGUAAUAUUAAUCCCAGAAAGCUCAAGAACUGCUAGGUUCUCCAACCUAAAGUUGGCAGCAAGGAAUUUCGAUGGGCAAUUGCGCCAAGAGAGCCAUCUUAACUCGGAGAAAUGAUCCUUAAAGUCUCCUUGGAAGUUUCCAUGGUCCAAUUGAAGGAAUCUAAGAUUGACCAUCCUUGCAAAUUCCUUGUGUUUAAAUCUAUACGUUGCAUCUGGUUCAGGUGUACCGAGAUUAAGUGCCACUAUGUUCUUAGUUCCCUAGAAGAUAAAAGUAGCAACCAAUGAGUACAUGUGUCAAUUUAAGUUGACGUUAGAUUUAAAAGGUAAUGAUAUUGAUGGAUGGAGUGGACAACAUUUAGAGGUAAAACUUACCUUUUUUCUUUGCACCAAAUGGAAGGCAUCCUUGGGUAACCAUAGUCUACUACCCCUUAAACGUAUGUUGCAACUUUCCCGGUGGAUAAUAUCUCGCCCGAGGUCUCUAAGUUGGUCAUGCAUCCACAAUUCAUCGUAGUCUAUGAUCUUUAUCAGAGACAUACGUGUGAGGAUAUUGACUUCGAUUUCGGUGGGAUACCCAAAAACCGCAUCCCAAUAUUUAAUUGCAGUUGUUUUCUCUUGAUUAAUGAAGAAACAUGCAAUAUCAAGAUAUAUUUGUUGCUGAUUAGGGUCCAAUGCUUCAUAGCUUAUCAUCAACUUCUUCUUGACAUCCUCGUUCAUCACCUUCUUUAACUUAGAUAGAACAUUUUUCCAUGUAAUUUGGCAUUUUCCACGGAGUGUGGAACCUACGACGUCGAGAGCCAAUGGAAGUCUUCCAAGUGCAUUGAUUACCUUUUCUGAAAUAUCGAUGUAAUCAGCCGGAGGCUUGGCACAUCCCAAGGCACGCUCACAAAAAAGUUGAAGAGCAUCAUCCCAAUUCAUCUCAGGCAUAGUAUAGAAUGAAAAAUGUGUAGUAUCUGAGAUUGGGGCAUUGUGGUCUUCACCUUCCUUUACUAGGAAUUCAAUAUUCCUUGUUGUUAUGAUGAUUCUAGUACCCUCACUAUACCAGUUUGGCUUACCAACAAGUCUCAUGAUCUGGUCUUGGUUGUCGAUGUCAUCAAGAACAAUGAGGACUUUCUUCCCAUGGAACCUCGUCUUGAUCAAGUGAGCCCCUUCAUCGAUGAAGGAGAGGUUUAUACAAUUGAGUUUGAGGACAUCAGACAACAAUUUUUUUUGUAAAUUUAUUAUAUCUUGAGUCCGGACAUCUUUAAGAAAACAGCAAUGACCUGAAAACUGAGGGGAGAUUUGCCUAAAGACAACCUUGGCCAAUGUUGUCUUUCCAAUGCCACCCAUACCAUGAAUCGCGAUGAAUCUCACAUCAAAUGCUACUAGAUCUAACUGCUCCAUAAUUUCAUCCAUCUGAUCCUUAAUUCCCACCGAAUGAUCAGACAUGUCUGUUUGUCUUGUCCAUAACAAAUUAGAAACCUCCUUGAUUGUGAGAUUCUUAAGUUCAUCUAGGCUGUCACAUAAUAUGCAACCAUCUCAGAUUCAAAAACCACAUAUAUGGAAACUUUGCACGCAUUUCAUGGCACNNNNNNNNNNNNNNNNNNNNNNNNNNNNNNNNNNNNNNNNNNNNNNNNNNNNNNNNNNNNNNNNNNNNNNNNNNNNNNNNNNNNNNNNNNNNNNNNNNNNNNNNNNNNNNNNNNNNNNNNNNNNNNNNNNNNNNNNNNNNNNNNNNNNNNNNNNNNNNNNNNNNNNNNNNNNNNNNNNNNNNNNNNNNNNNNNNNNNNNNNNNNNNNNNNNNNNNNNNNNNNNNNNNNNNNNNNNNNNNNNNNNNNNNNNNNNNNNNNNNNNNNNNNNNNNNNNNNNNNNNNNNNNNNNNNNNNNNNNNNNNNNNNNNNNNNNNNNNNNNNNNNNNNNNNNNNNNNNNNNNNNNNNNNNNNNNNNNNNNNNNNNNNNNNNNNNNNNNNNNNNNNNNNNNNNNNNNNNNNNNNNNNNNNNNNNNNNNNNNNNNNNNNNNNNNNNNNNNNNNNNNNNNNNNNNNNNNNNNNNNNNNNNNNNNNNNNNNNNNNNNNNNNNNNNNNNNNUAUUGACAAAAUUGUAUAUGUCAGCAAAGAUAUUACAUUGUACAAUUUUGGAUAGAUUGAUAAUAUCCUCCAUUCAUUUUAUACUUUUUACACCAGUUAGUUUCUUCUUGUCGCACAGAGCUGAUAUCAAGACCUCCAGAAGUUUGGCUAAAUAUCAAGUCCUUGGUAAACCAGUCUUGAUCAACUCUUCAAGCAUUUGGGAUGAGUUUGAAGGUUAACGUAAAUAUUUAAAAAAAAAAACAAAAAACAAAAAACUCACAAAGCAGUUACCUUUUAGUAUUAAAGUUAGUAAUUUGGUACAAGACUUGGUAAUUUUGAAAUGUGGAGUAAACAAUGUGGUAAGUUGCAAAAAUAUUGUAAAUCGACAAACGAUCUAAUAAACUUAAUAAAUAAUUCACAUUAAAGCCGGUAUGCAAGAACUGGUCAGUAAAUUAAUGUUAAAAAAAAAAGUUGGUAAGAUACGAGUUAAAGUUUCGUAAUUUCAUAUGAAAACUGACAACUAUAAAACUAGGGAUGGGCAUGGGGUAUGGGAAAUCUGCACCCCGCGGUGGCCUUUUUGGACGAGGCAAAAUUCUGUCUUGAAAAUUGCCUCACAGGGAAUUUUACUCUCGGCACGGUUGGGCAUGGGCACUAAUAGGCCAGCCCUUCCUGUUCUCGAGGAUUGAAACUAUUACCGUGUUUAAUGAAGGACGGAAACAAGGGUUUAAUGAAGAAAGAUGAAAGUAAGCAUAGAAUAACGACUAGGGUUCUUUACCAAAAAAAAAAAAAAAAGCGACUAGGGUUUAUAGAAAAACUAUCACAAACUAGGGUAGAGAGUAGUUACAUAUCUCAAGGUAAUUAAAAUGAUUAAAUUUCUUAUCCAUUUUCUAGAGGUUCCUAGAUUUCUCUAUCCGUAACUACAACUACCUAGAAGUCCCUUAAUUGAAUUUUUGGUUUAUUAAGAUCUGGGGCCAUGAAUAGGUCCAUGGUUAAAGCAAGGGCAAUAACCAAUUUUUUUUUCACUUUUUACUGGACAGAAAUGGGUCCAAUAUUGGCAAACUUUAGAUCACUCGUAGAAGAAUGUUCAGUUUAAGGCUGUAGAUUUUGUCUAUGAACAAUUGGCCACUAGAGACGCCAAUGACCCCUACCCCGCUAUGAUGAAAGUAAAAGCCCAAGAUUGAUAAUACACCUAAAUCUAAGUCAGUUCUUCACAAACUAAUUAAGAUGCGAUAAGAUGUGUACUAGAAGAUUGAACAUCUAAUACAUGCAGAAAUCUUUUUUUUUUCUUUUUGCUCUUUUGGAUAAUGGCAUGCAAAGAUCUUUUUAGUGUUCGGUCUUGUAUAUUCAGACCAAAUAGGAAAACCAUGACCUAUAGCUUCCUCUUAUGGGUAUGUAAAACUAUCAUUAUGAAGAAGCUCUAUUAUUUUUGUGUAACUCAGGGGUGUGACCAUAAUUAGCCGGUUACCUCAAGUAAAACAGUAGCAAGGCAUAUGAAUUCCCUAAGGCCGAAAAGGAAUCCACAAGGAUCACUUUCUUCCUCUUGGCCGUGGAUUUUUGGAUAUUGCAAAGACUUAGUCUAUGCUAUAAUUUCCUUUUAUUCCUGCACAUUUUUACGUCUCCCUAAAGCACAUCAAACACUAACAACUAUUAACUAACACCGACCAUUAAUGGCUCGGAACACAUAAAGAAGCUCGUUAUGAGCCCUCUUAUUUUGGGCCGAUUCUUCUUCAGCUUUCAUUAGCAUAACAAAAGGAAGAAAUUUACAGGAAAACAUUGCAGGCAUAGGGUUGGGAAAAUUGCACCCAAAGUCCUUAACUUUAGCAAAUAAGUCUACUAGAAGUCCUAAAACUUGUUGUGAAAAGGGAAUCGAGUCAUAAAACUUGCAAAAACCGUAAUCAAGCCUUAAAACUUAUCAAAUUAGUUGAAUCGAGUCAUUCCGUUAACUCCGUUCAAUUAAGCUAACUGAAAAUGCUGGCGUGUCUUAUUUUAUUAUUUUCUUAAGACAUGUGGCGAUGAUGUAGCGCCCACCAAGUGCCACAUCAGAAAUAAAAUUUAAAGAAUACAAACAAAAUUAAAUUAAAAAAUAAAAAAGCUAAAAAUUUUAAAAAAGAAAAAAAAUCAAGUCGUGGCUAAGCCUCGCCCUAGCCUUCUCGAAGCCUGGGGACCCUCGUCUGGGCAUGCCAAGGCUCGCCAGGGCCGGCAAAGGCCUAGGCGACCUCACUAACCCCUCUCGGUGGCUGUGGCAACGGCCACCAGCAAGGGCUUGGCCAAGCCGUGGGGUGAGUUUUUCUUUUAAAAAAAUUUAUAGCUUUUUAUAUUUUAAUCUAAUUUUGCUUGUAAUUUUUAAAUUUUUUCUAAUGUGGCACUUGGUGAGCACCACGUCAUCGGCACUUGUCUAAUAAAAAAUAAAAUAAGACAUGUUCACAUUUUCCGUUAGCUAAUUGGACGGAAUUAACCAAAGGAUUCAAUUGAACCAAUUCGACAGGUUUUAAAACUUGAUGGCAUUUUUUGCAAAUUUUAAGAUUCGAUUGUACUUUCAUGAUAAGUUUUAGGAUUUUCAAUGCACAUAUCCUUAACUUUAUGUACGGAAUGCAAUUGAAGUUAAGAAACUUAAUUUAUUUUUUUCACACUUAUAUGGUCUUACUAUUUUAUCGAAUCUUAGAUCUUCAUGGAUAUCUUGGUUUUUUGGCAUUAUAGAUUAAUUAAUUAAGUUGAUAUACCUUAACACUAAUUGUUAUCAAAACUUAGUAUUAAAAUUGAAAAUUCAAUUUGUGCAAGAAACCUCUCCAUCUGAGCAAAAUUUCUAGCUCCCCAUUGCGUCAAAUCCAACCAUGCAUUACAUAAGGUUGGACAGCAGCAACCUGAAUCUAAUUAUUCUUUAGAGGAAAAAAAAUCGAAGAUGUCAAUAAGAAAAUAAAGUUAUGGAGAAGCAAAUGAUACCCAUGAUCUUUUAGAUUCCUUCCUUUAAUUCUGGCAACUGCUUUCAAAGCCUUCUUCCACUUCUUUACUAAAUCCUUCUCUGAGUCACUCUUGUGCUUUUGGAGGGCUUUCCAAUAUAAAUUAGUCUUAAGCUUGACAUCAUUCACAUCCACAUCAUAGAAGAUAGGGAGAAUCACUUUCUCAUCGUUAUCUUUCGAUAACUCCACUAUGCGUGCCAGCUCAUGGAGACACCAGCGUAGUUUUUGGAGAAAAUUGGGAUGUAAAUUCUGGAUUCAUUGAUCGCUUGCAAGAGGCUGCCUUCAAUCUCUUCACCAAAUCGAAGCUCUUCAUUGUCUUUGAAAGUGCAGAUCCCCGCGCGGAUCAUGUCAUUGUAGAGAGAAUCAAUGAUGGUUAAGCGGGUGUCAGGCCCUCUGAAGUUGAGGAACACCUCAUAGCCCCUCCUUGAUCUGUCAUCACGGCUGCUGCUCAUUGGAGCUGCCAUUUCUGUUUCUUUUCCCACCCUCUUUCUCUUCAUUCCGUGAGGACAAUGGCUAUUGAUCUCUGAAUUGAGUCCGAUCCUUGUAGCAACCUGACAAAAAGCAACAGAGUGAGAUCGCUCGCUUACUUCCACUACGUUCGCCUGUAAAAAAGACCAUUUAGACUCGCACAAAAUAGGAGGUUGAGGCAACAAUUGAUCAAAGACUUCGAAGAGGAAGAGGUCGUCCCGGGGAUGUUUAUUUUAGCUGAAGUGCAACAUGAUUGAGAGUAUAUGGAAGCAUGUAAUUGAUCAUAUGGAAACAGAUAGCUCAUAUGUAAUUAUCACACAUAAACACAAGUUGUCCUGUGUAAGUCACAAUUCUAUAUAGUCAAGCUAUCACUGACCAUGUCUUCAUCUUCUAACAACUUGAUAAACAAACAGAGUGAGAUCACUCACUUCCACUGCGUUUGCCUGGAAAUUGUUGGGAAAAUAUGGCUUCGAAUUGGGUAGAACAAUGAAGUCGGAUCUUUAGAGUACUCAAGUCGGACUUUGAGGCGUGAUAUUACUUUCUUUAAGGAUUUAUUUGCCCCACUACGUUGCUAAUGGUUACCGGCAAAUUUCCUCCAGGAUACAACAAAGUCUCAAGUGAGAAUACUAGAUAGCAAUUCUAGUAUUUCUCCAGGGUCUCUCAUGGGAAACAAUUAGAAACAAUGGCUGUAAUUUCUUUUGAAAGAAGACGAAAAUUGAAAGAUGAUUAUUAUUUGAUCUCAAAACAAACGUACUUAUAUAUGUCUUUCGAAUAGAGGCAACUCUUCAAAAGAUUACAAAUGAACAAAGGCAACCUUUCGGGAAAGAUUACAAAAUGAAUAAGUAUGUCUCAAAAGUUACGUUGAAAAGACAUAAGAAAUUCGAAAUUAAAUAAAUAAAAAAUAAAUGUAACUUUUCGUGAACAGUCGCACUGUUUCAACAAAACUUUAUAAUUAUUUUUUUUAUAAAAUUAAAUCCGAAUUUUCAAUAAAUAAAAUUAACGAUUGUUGGUUAGUGCCAAAUCUCGUCCACGUGCGCACUCACAUCUUUUCGAUGUGGGACAAGGCACUUCUUCAUUUGUUUUAUAAACAAAUUACCAACAAUCCCCCACUUUUGUUUAUAAAACAAAAAACAAAAAAAUAAAACGUUAAAGAUAUACAGCCAAAAUUUCCGUGAGAUUAAUAUACAUACAUAAAGGUCUCUUUCGAGUUAAACCUUUACUUAGUGCAAGCAUCUCAAAGCUCCAUCAAAGUGACAAGUAGCUCGGCUUUAAACUUGUACUUUUAUAUAAUAAAACCGGACAUACCGCACAUACACUAACCUCUUGUUUCAGCGAGAAGUUCUAUAUUACUCCGCACUAUUAUGGCCUUGUGCUUGAUCCUGUUUCAUGAGCUCUCUAGAAAGCAACCCUAACUUUCGUAAGAAGCGGCACCACUUCUAAGCUCAUAUAGGUGAAGUAUCUACCAUGUGUUUUUGUUACUAUCAACACAUUACAUGUUUGUAUUAUACUUCAUUAAGAAUUUAAUUCAACCUACAAAACGUAACGGACGAUACUGACUUCUCAUAUCAGGGCCAUGUCAGUAUCAAACAAUCACAUUCAAUAACUUGUUCUUACCCAUUAAACCUUGUAACUAGUGAUAUUCUAGAAAAAGGUCGGGUUACCAUUAUUGGUGAUUUCAAUUAAAGGAUUUUAGCCCCGUUUCUUAUGAGGUCAUUAUUACCAUGUCUCUUGGUAAAGCCUUUAUCAAAUGAUCGGCAAGAUUAUUACUUAACCUCACAUAGACAAUUGUUAUGGUACCAUCUUUAGUCAAUUGUCUCACAUAUUCAUGUCUUAGACUAAUAUGUCUAGACUUUCCAUUGUAGGUUCUACUAUAUGCUCUUACCAAAGUAGCUUAACUAUCACAGUGGAUAGAAAUAGGAGGGAUUGGGCCAUAAUUUGAUAUCCAACAACAGAUUUCUAAUACAUUCGGCCUCUUUCCCAGUUGCUACCAAGUAAUGAUUCAAAUGUCAUAGUUGAGUGAAUUAUGCACAUUUGUUUCUUGCUCGCCCAAGAAACAACACAUUCACGUAAUGUGAAAAUCCAUUCAGAAGUUUCAUCUCCCACACUUGUAAUCCAAGUAGCAUCGGUGUAUCUUUCUAAUACAUCCGAAUAAUUAUUAUAGAACAAUCACAAUUUUUUAAAAAAAAAUAAAUAACCAAAACUCUAAUAAUAGCCUUUCAAUGUUCUAUAUUUGGAUUACUAAUGUACUCACUCAACUUGCACAAAAUUAGAUCUAGUUUAAUGCAUCGCAUACAUUAAAGAUCUUAUAGCACUAACAUAUUUAAAUUGUGCUAUUGCUCUACUAGUAUUUUAAUAACCAAAACUCUAAUAAUAACCCCCACUAUUUUUUUUAAUUUAAUAUUUAAGAUAGUAUUGUUUCACCCAAAUCUUUCAUUUUGAAAAUGAAAGUCAGAUACUUCUUAAUCUCAAUGAUUCCAAUCAUAUUAGUUCCAAAGUCCCCUUUAGACAUAACCCCACUUCAAGAAUAUUCCAAGAGGUACUUAAUCGAAAAUAUGCAUCAUCAAAUUUUCAUCAUCGAUGAAAUACAUACAUCAAAAUAGUAAAUCAAUGUAAUUAUACUCUCUUGGCUCAUUUAUGCUAUUCCAUAGAAUCAAAUCUACGAGGGGCGAGGAAAACAAAUAAAACACAUUAGAACCAAGCAAGGGGCACCUGAAAUCCCAUUCAGUAUAUCUAUUUCACCUCCAUAAAUAGAGCGCUACAUAUUAGCCCAUGCAUGUAAUGACAUUCUCUAACAAUCCAAUAAAUGCGAGCAAAUCGAGUAUGGAGGUAUCAAAAGCACAUAAACUAGGAUUGAAAGGGGAAAAACAAUUCUUGGAACGGAAUCAACAACAUCAUAUAAGCCGAAACCUUCCGAAAUAUACAAUAAGAUCCAUACCUUGGCACUGAUCAGCAUCAAGACCAACGUCAUCAAACACAAAUCCAAUAGACCUGCAUGUGUCACGGACAAUUUUCUCAUAGUCUUCAUUGGCCUUGGUGGUAAUUUCUCUGAACACCAUGACCAUGUUGGUCUUGGUGCAUGUUUCACAAGCAACCUUGCUGUCGGGGUUCGGUUUUGUAGAGUUUAAUGUCUCCAUCCCCGGCAAGGCUCUUAUCAAUAAGAUUAGUCUUAUUCCCAAGUAAAAGCCACCGUGGAUAUCAAACAAAGGAAGCGCAUGCCCACUUUCUUCCUGCCAGUGAAUUUGACAAUCCAGUGAACGAGCCUCCCCAAAUAAUUUGGCAUCUUGCUCGGCUUUUGGAGCGGCAACGGAGGAAGCGGGGUCGUUUGGAUUUGCAACCCAUCAUUUUGGAGGAGCAGCUUUUGUUGUUUUAGAGAUCCAUAGCUACCAAAGCGUAUUCCCAAUGACCCUCUAGUCAUUGUUCCUCCAAACCCAUAUUUGGCGUUAUCAUCUCUCUCCUCGUUUUGCCAAACAAAUCAAAAAAUAGAUUCCAUCGAUUCAAUGAAAUCUGAACAAAAAGAAUGAACGUCACCUUUGCUUAAUCAAGCCAAAGACUCAGAGGGUGCCUCCGGUCCAUCUGCUAAACAAUAUCUUUCCCCCGGUAAGUGUUCACGUCACAUGGCAAUUUUUGCUAGACACGCGCCACUGACAAAUUUUCGUGUCUAAUUCAUCGGCCUAUUCCGAUGCGGGUAAUAAUCAUCAUUUAGGCCUUGGAUCCAGCAACAUCAUCUCACCCAUAACCACCAUUAGUAACCACGGGGCAUAAAACAUAAGACAAAGAAAAUGAUGAAUUAGAAAACGCAUUUGAUCAUUGAAAUGACUGAGAAAAUAACUAACAUGACUUAAUUCAAGUCAAAAACAAAACCAACUAGCAUUAGAGAUAUCGUGACAAAAAGUAUUAGCAAAUGGAAAACAUCAUCAGCACAUGAUCAAACACAAAACUUGGCGAUAGUGUUCGACCACACUUGAACUACUUACACAGAAUAAUCAUCAAGAAAAGUUUCUUUUCUAUUGGAAGAAUGAUCGAACGCACCGUGAGUAUGAAUGAUUUCUAUAAUCACCAGAGAACAAUUGCAAUUGUAUGGAAGUAGAGGCGCUGACCAAUUUGCGAGCAGCCUUUGCAAGAAAUAGUUCCAAUCCUCUGGUCAUUGAUAGAAGCAAUCUUCUGCGCCGUCAUUGCUCACCCAGGAGGAACCCGCAUGGGAUGAACCGGCACCUUUGUUCCCGUUACCAUGUUUGUCCCUUAAACAUGUGCCAAACGGCGGGAUCAUCAAAUGGGUUCGGGUUCCGAAUCCCGUUGUCAGACCAAGGAGUGUUGUCAUUGGACUUCUAAAUGAAUUCCGGAUCGAGGAGCAACAGAUCAUCCUCGAGACUAUGGUUGAGGUUUAGGAGGAGAUACUCAAGAUAGUCAUCGCCCUUCAUGAUCCUUGUCUUCUCGUUCAAACAACGGAACUUCGGAUCUUUCCAUCUCCGCGUCUGCAUACGCUUGAUAUAAAAACGAUGGCUUUUACGUGCUCCGCCAGAGAAAGGCGAUUCGCAGAUUUUUCCUUGCCGGUCUGCGAUCACAGCAUUGACAUCGAGCAGUGCCUCAUAUUACUCUGGACCAAAGGAUCGCUGAAUCUCCUCCCGAACAACCAAUUUGCAUCAGAGACGGAGUUGGUGGAAUUCAUGGCGACCUGGUUCUUGGUGGCGUCGUCGAUCAAUUUAUCUCAUUUUUCUGCCAUCGAUUCCUUUGUAUGCACAUCCACACCCUUCGGACAUCUUUCUCGGACGAUCAGCAUGGACGGAUGUGGGAAUACUCCAAGAUACAGAGAGACAAAGAAUGACAAAAAAAAAAAAUGCUCAGAUUUUCAAUCUUAAUGACAAAGAAACGUAGGCAAAAUUAAAGUCUACGCAAUAAUGAGAUUAUUAAACCACAUCCCCUUCUCAGAUUUACACAAAAAUCGCAAAUUACUUUAGCAGGGAUGUCUAAAAGAGCAUUUUGACAAACCAUUCUGUGCGGUUCAUCCACUUGACUCCAUUGUUGCGAAAUAAAUCCUUAAAAUUAUUGGGGAAAAUAUGGCUUCGAAUUGGGUAGAACAAUGAAGUCAGAUCUUUAGAGUACUCAAGUCGGACUUUGAGGCGUGAUAUUACUUUCUUUAAGGAUUUAUUUGCCCCACUACGUUGCUAAUGGUUACCGGCAAAUUUUCUCCAUGAUACAACAAAGUCUCAAGUGAGAAUACUAGAUAGCAAUUCUAGUAUUUCUCCAGGGUCUCUCAUGGGAAACAAUUAGAAACAAUGGCUGUAAUUUCUUUUGAAAGAAGACGAAAAUUGAAAGAUGAUUAUUAUUUGAUCUCAAAACAAACGUACUUAUAUAUGUCUUUCGAAUAGAGGCAACUCUUCAAAAGAUUACAAAUGAACAAAGGCAACCUUUCGGGAAAGAUUACAAAAUGAACAAGUAUGUCUCAAAAGUUACGUUGAAAAGACAUAAGAAAUUCGAAAUUAAAUAAAUAAAAAAUAAAUGUAACUUUUCGUGAACAGUCACACUGUUUCAACAAAACUUUAUAAUUAUUUUUUUUUAUAAAAUUAAAUCCGAAUUUUCAAUAAAUAAAAUUAACGAUUGUCGGUUAGUGCCAAAUCUCGUCCACGUGCGCACUCACAUCUUUUCGAUGUGGGACAAGGCACUUCUUCAUUUGUUUUAUAAACAAAUUACCAACAGAAAUUACUUGCGGCCUUCCUUCACAAGUUAAUAAAAUAAAAUAAAAUAAGCAUUCAGGCUCGCGCCAAAUAGAAGGCCAAGUUGAGGAAAUAAUUGAUGAAAGUCUUCAAAGAGCAGGAGGUUGUCCUGGAAAUAUAUUUUUUAACUGCAUGUUGGUUAAAGUGUUGGAUGUAUUGGACAACUUGCCAUUACUUUGUCAUUAUUCUUCCUUUUGUAUGGAAGUCACCUGCGGCCUUGCUUCAUAAGUUGAAAAAACCAAUUCAGAUUCGCACCAAAUAGGCAGCUAAGGGAAAUGGUCUGACCAACUGGAUGAGUGGAGUCCUCGAACGUGGUCGGUGCAUGACCCGAGACUCCAUGUAUGUGAUAAUUUUUUAAUAUGUAUUGUAAUGUUAAAAAAAAAAAAAUGGCUUUCCGGUGACACCAACUCCACUUUUUGAAAAAUUUGCAUCCAUUCAUUGAAUGCCAUGGAUUCAUUUUCUGAAUGUUGACUUGCGACAUGAAAUUUGAUGAUUGCAUGUCGUUGCAUUAUGAAGGAAAUAUUGUAUUUUAAUCAAGUACAUCAUGAUUAUGCAUGUUGUCGCGGCCCAGCUGAGGUGAAACUUGAGAGAAUUCAAUUAAUUGCUAGGCGGAGACAUAUAACUCUCUUGCAACUCGGCGCUUACGCUUCGUAUGGCUCACCCAAAUCCUAUGGACCACAACUUGAUUUCUCUUUUAAUGUAUGAUUGAAUUUUGAUCAGAGCUGUCACUAAUCUAUUCAAGGCCGGUUGUGAGCUAAGUGAGGAAGAAGAGCUCGUCCUACUUCAGCAAAUCAAAGAUUUUGGACCGAGGAUUUGGUUAAGUUAGUUUUGCCUAAUGCCACCACCAGUAGCUUUUUUUCUUUUAAUAAAAAAUUAUUUCAUUCAAUAUAUUUUCAGUUUCUAUUUCUUACCAUGUAUAAGUACUCUUACAAUAAAUUUAAACAAUCAAUGAUGAAGUCAAAGAAAAAUAAAGAACAUAAUAAAGCAACUCAAGCAGUAUCGGACAAAACAAUACAACGCGCUUUGAACUAUUCAUAGGAAUAGACUUGCACUAUUCUAAUAAAUGAAAAUUUCCUAAUUUAUGCCAUGAGAAAUGAAUUCUGAAUACAAUAUGACAAAACUAGCAAUAAUAAAAAUUAGUCUCAUCCUAUAAUGUACCGCGAAGAAGGCCUAAACUAAUCAAAAUGCUUCUUUUCGUACUCUUUUUAUAAUAUAUAUAUAUAUGAAAAAAUUAAACUAAACUUAAUUAAAGGAAUAUAAUAAACGCGUAAUCAGAAAGAGACGACAUCUAAACUCUAAGCCGGAAGGGAGUAUGGGGGAAAUUGAUACCUAUUUGAACAUCUCUGUUUUCACGUCUGCAGAAAAGACACGUGAAUGCAAACUCAUGUAUAUGAAAAUGCAAUAUGCUGGAAUUUCAUGAAAAGUGACUCGAAAUGUGUAACUAUAUUUUAUGUGAUGCUAAAACGGACUAAUAAACAAAGGGGGAUCCCCGAGUACCGCUUCGGCGAAGAGCAAACCAACCGGGAUUGGGCUGGAUGAACAAUGUUCAGACAGAAGACGGUCUGGACAAUGGACAUUCGACCUAUCCCCGAGUUUAAAAACAGACCCGAAGCGGGCCUUGACAAUCCUAGAGCAAUUACAAACCAAAGGGACCAUCGAGGACCAACCUUGAGAGUCUCAAACAGACCAAAAGUGUUAUUAAGUAUUAUCAAACUCAAGUGAAGUCAGAGUCUGAAUAUUGACAGUAAUAUGAUAAUAUUCACUAGCGUGCAAAAAUAAUAAACGAAAGUUAAGAAAUAGAAGAAAUUGCACAUAAGAUUUACAAUGCUUCGGCUUAGAGUAAACCUAUAUCCACUCUCCCACACUGACAACCUACUAGCUGAAUUUCACAAGAUGUUAUAGAAGGGAGUGAUGAUACUCAGGUUUGUGAUAUACAAUCACUCUUUCAAUGCCUCUCAAGGAUUACAAUUUGUAGCUCACGAAAGGCAAGUACAUAAGAUUGAAGUUCUCUUGGACUUUGAAAUUUUUAAUUCUGACCUCUCUCUUCUCUUUGGUACCUUGGUCUUCUUCUAUACUCCUUCACUUCUAAUCUAAUGUUGGACAAUUUUUAGAGAAAUAUUAUCCAAUCAACCCAUUGGACAAAAAAGAUUGAGUAGCCGUUGAGGGAUAAGAUUUUAAUCUCCAUCUAUUUUGUUGCCCAUACAAGCAAAUAUUGGCUUCCAUAAGUAGAGUUCUUCAAUGAAGGAAAGCAGCUUACCUUUGGAGUGACUAUCAAUCAAUCAAGAUCAUUUGCAUAGAGAUUUUGUUGGCAAACAGUCUUUAAAAUUGAAGAUCAGUCAAUGCAUUCUAUUUUGGAAAUCUAAGCCAGGUCACUAGCUAUGACGAUAUAAGAAGUGGGGUUUGUGUCUAAACAUAUCGUCAUAAAUAGAUUUCGUAAUAUGAUAUUCAAAUUUAGCUAAGAAUCUAAAAACAUCAAGUAAUAUGAUGAUAUCUGUGUAUAAGCUAUUACGUUGAUGAUAUUUCUACAUAAGCUCUGUUGAUAUCCUUACUCUUGCUCUGAUGACAUUUGCAUAUAAGUUUUGCUAAUAUCCUCACUAUUGCUUUGGUGAUAUUCAUGCAAUAAUAUUGAUGAUAUCCAUGAAGUAAUUGUCUUAAACUUCAAAGGCGAUACACAAACAGCAAUAGAUAGAUUCUGAAUGUGAUCAAAAUAUAUAUAGAUUUAUCCUUCAUGAGUAGUUCCUAAAAUAAAACACUUAUGCAUUUACCAAUAUCAAUAUAACCUUUGCUGAUAUCCUUAAUAUUUCCCAUUUCCGACGUGAGGUUGGUACGCUUGUGGGCCCAUAUAGUUAGGCAAUACUUAUUGGCCUUUUGUGCGGGCAUCUUUGAAACGGGGUCAUGUACGGAGGACUCCCCGCCUUGGUGCACUUUCGCUUCCAUCUCUUCGUUUCUUUUUUAUUUUUAAUUUGGUUUUAUUUUGAUAACUAUUUCUCUUUUCUUUUUACUUUGGCUAUAUGAGCUCGCAAGGAAAUGAGAAAUGAGAGAGAACCUUUGUUCCUAGCUCGAUCAUGAUGGCUGGGAGUCUCUUUGAACCCGAGAAUGGCGCUAGUUGAGUAUGUAAUGUAGACACCGAAGAUUUGAGCAAAGUUGACCGAGAGUCAAACUUCAUUAAAAGUUGAGUCGAAGGGCAUAAUUGGGUUGUACUUGUCUAGAGCUUUCCAAAUAUACCCAAUUUUCCCAAAUUGAACGGCUAAUCUUAAGAUAUCAAGAUCAGAAUCACAAAGAUCAGAAUUUUAUGGCAAAAAUAUUAUAAACUUUUUGCUAACUUCAUCCAUUUGACCUGGCUGCCCAAAAUCCACAAUCCGAGGUGGACAACAUUUUAGCUUUCCGCGUGGGGAAGGAGAAGGGGGGGUGUUUUGGGUUCAAUUGUACAUUAUACGGAAAAGUUAUGCUCGCCCAAGUUCAAUCAAAUUUUGGUAAAAAAUGCGUAAACAUUAAUUUUUGAGAUUUAAAAAAAAAAAAACAAUGUUGAUGCUCCGUCGAAGAGGACAAUUACUGGAAUAUGUACUACUUAUUUAUAAAACACAUUUUUAUCCUAUUCGUUGUUUAAUUCAAUUACUUCGGCUAAGUUUAAAUUAAUUGUUCUGCCUAAGCCUACAUCCAGAUAUAAUCAUUUUUAGCUUUAAAUGUUGACACAAUAUAUACAUAGCACAGGGAAAUAACACGUAAGUAGGGGAUGACAUGUAANNNNNNNNNNNNNNNNNNNNNNNNNNNNNNNNNNNNNNNNNNNNNNNNNNNNNNNNNNNNNNNNNNNNNNNNNNNNNNNNNNNNNNNNNNNNNNNNNNNNNNNNNNNNNNNNNNNNNNNNNNNNNNNNNNNNNNNNNNNNNNNNNNNNGAUUUUAGUUGGCUGACCUUCUUCGAAGUUUAUGUACUUUAAUUUAACUUAAUGGUUCAAAAAAUCGAAAGAUAUUGGUUAAAGUUUUCUAUAUUUUUUAAUUUCAAGUCCACGGUAAUGUUAAUCUUUUACCCAAUCUGAGUUUUGCUUUGCAAACAAAAUGUACAAAAAGGAUCCCUUUUGUUGAGCUGAGAGGGUCCUGAGAGAGAAACUUUAGUUCAUUCUUUUUGUGGAAAUUGUGAAGAAAAUGCAGUUCCUCCUACAUAAGGAGAUCAAUAAAGUUGAGAUUUUCAAAAAAAAUUAAUAUUGAAUGAGGGUAUUUAUGCUUUUUGAUGAUAUCAACCUGAUUUUCUUGGUAUUUUCCAGGUCUUGAAAUUGCAAAACACGUCGUGCGUGUGAACACACGAACAGAGGAAUCUAUUUGAUGUGGAAUUUGGCUGUGUGCAAACGAAUUGACUAGACAAACAUACUUAGGUGCUUUUGUUUUUGCUUUUGCUUUCACAAGAGGGUCGGACAAAGACUUGAGGAUGGACUUGCGUAUAUUUUAAGCAAAGAAAACUUAUUUCAUCUUUAUUUCUUAAGGAAGUUCACUCUCUCUCCUAACUCAUAUAGACUUCAUUGGAUUAGUCUUGCUAGUACUCAGAUCCACAUAAAUCAGGUCCAUCACAAAAUUGCUAAUCAAAUAAAUUGUACAUGGAUCACCAAAAAAUAUAUGGAUGUGAUCACAAUGGGUCUACAGACCAUGAUCUAUGCAACUAUUUUCAUGUAAUGGUUAAUUGAUUAACCAAUAUUAGUCAUAAUGCAAACUGUUGCAAUUUGUAAAAACUUGAAAAGCUUUAUUUCACAAUUGACAUCCAUUACUUUGUGAUGUAACAAUUGGGGACCCUCCUAGAAUUCGUUUUGGAAAGAUCGUAGAAACAUCCACGUAAGGACCAAAUAUUUUUUUCUUUUUUCUUUUUUCUUCUUUUUUUAGCAUAAUUUUCUUUCUUAUUGGAGCCAAACCCAGACUUUUGACUUAAUCAUGGUUAAAAUUGACUGCUUUUCGCCAAUGUCAGGAAUUUAAUCUAGGCGAUGACGUCUCUAAUGGAUCAAUGGAUUUGAACCUUUCUCUGGCUCCAUUGAAUGAAGUCUAGAUUUAUUAUUCACACACGCACAUACACAUAAAAUGUUACCAUGUCCUGAACAUGUCAUUAUGUCUUUUUUAAGAUGGGCACCAAGUUUGAAAUCUAAUAUUAUGCAAUUGUAUUGAAUCACUAUCCAUGUGUGCAGACAUCUAAAAUAUUUUAUCAAUGUUGAUUAUUAACUUAAUAGAAAUAUUAGGCUUCUCAUACAAGCAACUCAAUUUAGGAAACAAGAAGUGAGAGGAAAGAGGCUCGCGAAUCAAUUAGAAUUGCAUCCACGAUGGACUAGUGGUGGUCCUACUUACGUUAUGCUAACUUAGCUAGAAAAACCUAUAUUUAUCACCUAAUUUUCUGCAUUUGUUGCAAAUGUUUUGUAUGUGUGAUGUACUUUAGAUCGGUAGUAAAGAGUAGCAUAAAUUCAUCACAUGGAACAACUUUUCAAUGCAAGGAUUCAGCCUCUACCUCUUGUUCUCCCAUUUUUCUUAUCUUUCUCUUGUUCUCUCUGAAUAGAGCAAGAGUUCCCAUUGGCAAGAUAGUAUCUCCUGCAAGGGUUAAUUUCUACACACGACUCGACUGCAAUUGGGAGUAUAAUUUUAAAUGUCAUUUUUUAGUAUCAACUUUUAAAAUAUCAAAGUUGUGACUAUUUGAGCUUUCUACACAGUAGUGGCGUGGGUACUGCAUUGAUUGACUUAAAAUAAACAUCUCAACAACUAGGCUUCUUGCAAAUAUCCAGCUCAAAGCGUGAGAAAUACUUGUCCAGACCUUGACCCUUGGAUCACGUGCAAUCAUAAUCAUUAAAAACUCAAGGGAGUUCUGUAAACCCAGGUCACUCACAGCUAUGGUUGACUCCAGGUCACACUGAUUGUGCUUGAACAAUGUCAAGACAAAAAAUUUAACCCCGAAAUACACGCAUAUGUAUAUGUAUCAGCAUCACAGUGGCUCCUCCUGCACAUAUGACCAGACAAAAAAGUCUCCUCCAAAAUCAAUGUAAAAGGAUCGUUGUCCAAUGACUAAUGAUUCUUGGAAACUACUGGAGACAAGAAAAAGUAGGGCAACUUAGGCUUUGUUCAUUCGUUUCAUGGAAAAUGAACAAGUCAAGAAAAUCAUUCUUUGCUGUUAAAAAAAAACACUUUCAAAAGUGAAGAAAAUAUUUUUUACAUUUCAAAAAGUGCAAAACAUUUUCCAUAAUUUCUUUCACCUCACUUUCUUUCACCAAACACAUUUUCUUUUUCUUUUUAUGUUUUCUUUUUAUUUUUUAUUUUUAAAAAAAGUGAGUUUUUAAUUAUUUUUUCUUUUUCUUUUUCUUUCCUUUUCUUUUUCUUCUUCCUUGGUUGGUCGUUGGCCACAGGCUAGCUCGAGCCUUGCCACAAGUCAGUGAGGCUCAAGCUCACUAGAUACCGGCUAGGCUUGAGCUCGCCAGCUUAUGGCAAGGCGAGUGAGGCUCUAUCUUACCUAAUCCAAUGAGCUCAAGCUCACCCUCACCAAAUUUGGCAAGGCCCAAGCUCGCCUAGCUUGCCGGAUCUGAUAAGGCUCGAGCUCGCCCGACCCACCUUAGGUGAGCUCGAGCUCGCCAACCUUGGCGGAGCUUAGGCUUGCUUGGAUCGACUGAGCCUUGAGCUCGCCGAUCCAUGUCUUGGUUAGUCACCAAGUAGCUAGCCAUCAUCAAGGCACGUGGCGGCAGAGGAAGGAGGAGGAAGAAGGAACAAGGAAGAAGAAUGAAGGAAAAGAAAAAGAAAAACAGAAAAAAUAAUAAAAAUAAUAAAGAAAUCAUUAAAAAUUCAAAAUUAAAAUAUAUAUAUAAAUUAAAAUUAUUUUUCUGGUCAAUUUAGAAAAAUUCAAAUUCAAAUUUUUUGGCAAUAUUUCCAACAAAAUCAAAUCAAAUACCGAACAGUGAAAAUUUCCACUUCAUUUUUAAGUUUCAGUCGAAUACCAAAAAAUAUUGUCAUAUUUUUGGAAAAUACUUUUAGUUUUUGCAAAACAAAUGGAGCCUAGUGAAUGGACAAUGCAAUCAAGGUCAGUGACCGAUGGUUGAUGGUUUUGCAUGGUACUCAUUGUUGUGACUUGUCUGCAGGGAAAAGAAAGUCGUCCUUCGAAAGUGACUUGUCUGCAGAAAAAUCAUUGUUGUGACUUGUCUCCUUUCUCUUGAUUAUUAUUCUAUUCAACUAGAAACCGAUCAAUUAGGUUUUUCUAGCUUCGCUAGCAUACCGUAUUUUAAUUCAAGCUAUGCAAUUCGAACAUGGGAUCUCAGUCUAAACGCUUUUCCUAGUGCCUUUCAUUUAGACAUAUAUAGGAUUAUAAUAACAUAAGAUGAUGUAAAGUGGUUUGGCUCCAAAAACAUACUAUUUUGCGCGACCUCUAAGAUAGCAUUGUGGAUCCCCUCUAUAUUUUUUGUCUGUUUUGGUUUUGGAGAGAAAUCUCUUCAUCGAUUUCUAGGCAAAAAAAUAGCAGACUGUAAUUGCUUUUGUUCUGCUUAUUAACUUGAAAAGGUUUAGCUUUUCUCGGCCGGAGCCACACUUCCAUUCUGCUUUUGCUAAGCCAAACAAAGUAGUUCUUAUAUUUAAUCCAGAUUCGCGCUAAUUGGCAUGAUCGAUUUGCCUUUAUUCCACUUACUACUUCUUUUUUUCCUUUUGUCAAGGCAAAAUUGUGAAAUGUAAAUAUGGCGCCAAGUCGGCUUCUGCCCUUGAGAGUCGUAGAUUGACCGUAAUGCAUGAUGUACAGACAAUUGUUUGUGCAAUCCCGCAAAAUUUUUCCAAAUCUACUGAUGGCCUCUGCACUUUAUGGCCUUGUUAUAUUCAUGAUGUGGGAAAAAUUACCGUAGAUAAGAACUAACAUUCUUUUUUUCAUGGAAAAGAAAAUGUAUCUCGUUGUAACUUUAAUUUACAAUUCCCUAUUAAAUUUUUACCAUAUACUUUUGUCCAUUAUCUGUUCGCGCAAUAACUAGCAUGAGGGAGAGAGAGAGAGAGAGAGAGAGAGAGAGAGAGAGAGAGAGAGAGAGAGAGAGAGAACAAAAAUGGAAAAGAAUAGAAAACAAAGACAAACAACCGUGAAUCCAAGUGCCUACAAGGCCGGAGGCUGUAGAGAGUGAUGGAAGCAGAGCUCGACGACUGGAGACGAUGGCCGAAGGUGAUAGGCAGAGUGGAGUUCGAGGGCGGUAGAUUGUUGUCGAUGAAGAAAGUUAAGCUUUGGAGGUGUGAGUGCAUUCAGGAACAAGAGUACUGCCGGUCCAAUUUUGAGGAUAACGUUUGUGUGCUUGGUGUUUUUUUAAGAUAUAAAGUGGUGUUUUGGAAAAUAGAGGAUGAAAAGUAGUAGUAAUAUGAAUAGUGCGGGCAUAUUCUAGUACUUUCCUAACAGAAGAAUAAGAGAACUUAAUGGAAAUUAGUGCGCACUAGGUUGGUCGUGUAUAUUUUUUACCUUCUUAAAAGAAAUAAAUCUCUUUUACACGCUCUAUGUGUAUAUUCUUUGAUCAAAGAGAUAGAUUAUUAUCUUGUAAAAUAUUUUGAUUGGAAAAAUUCUCUCAAAUGAUGAAAAUUGUCAAUGACAUCAAGCAUUCAAGAUCAAAUGGUUAAGUUAAGAAUAGCAGUUCUAAAAACUCCCUAUGAAAUUAGUUUUAGUCCGAAACAAGUUUUUCCAUCUUUGCGAGAGGACCCAUUUUCCAACUUGAGUGUUCAAUGUCACUUUCACUGAGAUUGACUUAUUUAAUUGAUCAAUUACACUGAAUUUCGUUUACCUUGCAAUUCACUAUAACUAAUCUUCCUGGUAACUUUACACACGGUGAGCUAUGUGGCAUUUUUGGCCAUGUAUGCACAAAAAAUUAAAAAUUAAAAAUAAUAGAAAAUAGAAAAUAAUUAACGCAGAGAGAGAGAGAGAGAGAGAGAGAGAGAGAGAGAGAGAGAGAUGGCAUUUUUUGCCAUGUAGGCAAAAAACUUGAAAAAGGAUAGAAAAUGAGAGCGAGAGAGAGGGGCUUAACAUCACUUUCCACAAGGUGAUUCCACUUAAAAAAUCUCAUUACUAUUUUUUUGAAAUGUCUAAACUUUAAAUUGGCUUCAUCAUUUGAAAAGUCAAAAAGUGUUGGUUAAAGUGUUGUAUAUACUUUAAUUUCAGGUCCAUGUAAUAGAUCCUUUUUAUUGAGUGAAGGAGUCGUGAUAGAGACUUUAGCUAAUUCUUUAUGGAAACCACGUGGACAUUGUGGUUCCUCCUUCACAAUGAUUCCAACAAAGUUGAGAUUUUUGAAACAUUUUAUUCUUGAAUGUGUAUCUUUGUGCUUUUUUUUUUAUGAUAUCAACCUGAGUUUCCUAGUAUUUUCGAGGAACUGAAAUUGCAAAACACAUUGUGCUUGUGUGAAAUUGACUAGACAAAGCAUACUUCAAUGCUUUCUCUUUUGCCUUCACAAGAGGGUCAGACAAAGACUUGACGAUGGACUUGUGUAUGUUCUAAGCAAAGACAAAAGGUCAAAAAUUUGUUCUUAAUUCGAACUAUGCAAUUCAAUUAUGGCGUGAAUCCUACAAUCCCAAUCAAGAUAUUUUUCAUAGUGCAUUUCUAUUUGGACAUACACAGAAUAAUAAUAACAUAAGAUGAUUUAAGGGGAUGAUUCAAAAAAUAGAUUAUUUCAAUUGGCACAUUAGGUCCACUCAAAUUUACAAAGCAAGCAUAAUGGAUCUCUUCCUUCAUUUCUAGGCUAGAAAAAACAUUGAUUUUGUUCUGGUAAUUAAAUUAAAAAGAAAAAGAAAAAGAAUUAACUGUUCUCAGCUGGAGCCAAAUUCCAUUCUACUUUUGCUAAGCCAAACAAAGCAGAUCUUCUAACUUUCAAUCUAGAUUCGCGCUAAUCAGCGUGAUCAAUUGAUUCUUACCUUUAUUUCACUUACUACGCUUGAUGUACAACUAAAAUGCCAAUUGUUUAUGUUUGGUGUUCACACAAUCUUAAAUUUUUCAAUUAGAAUUUUGUUCAUGACCACCCUCCCCCCCCCCCCCCCCCAAAAAAAAAAGAUCUAGCUCAUUAAUAUUCUAUUUGAACGGCCCACAAUACUAAUCAAGUUUUUAUUAUUUUGUUCAGUAAAAUAUUUGAUAGUAACAAAAAAAUAAAGGGUGAGUUAUUUAAGAUUUGUAAUUUACAUAUAUAAUUACAUAAAUGCAAAGGAUAAUAUUUGAACUUAUUGAGCUAAAGCUUGAACUCAUUUUAUAACGGUGAUUGUAUCGAGUCAGACUUGAGCUUGAGCUUGAGCUUGAUAUCUUGAUUUUCUAUUGGUCAAGCUCCAACUAGAAAUUGAUUUCUCUAUAACUUGAGUGGAGUUUUGAGUGAUCUAAUAUUUGAUAGGAGUUGAGCUCGAGCUUCACACUAACGGAGUAUUAUACAUCUGAACAUUGGUAGGUUAGAGUGCGAAGCAAUGGUACUGAAAAGAAUAUCAAUAGUCGUUAAAACCAUAAAUAAAAAUUCAUGUCAUUCUAGAACUAUGUAGGGGUUGAAAGACAAGCCCAUGGAAAGAAAUAUGAACAUGCUGGCGACUCUCGAAUAUUUGUGCUUAAUUGUUUCUACGAGUAAAAAAAAAACAUCUCACUAACAAAAAAUAAAAAAUAAAAACUUUAACUCAGAAUAUACAAGAAGGAUAAUUAUUGCAUGAAAACUCAUUAAGAGGAAGUCCGCUGACAUAAUGCAACUCUGGCUUCACAACGCUAUCUUCUUCUGAACUGAAGCACUUAAACUGUCUUAGAACAUCAACUUUUAACGUAACCCCACUUUGUCCUUCAAAUCUCCACGAGCUCUUCAUAGUAAAAAGGCAUGCUGCCUGAUACCCUCAAUAACAAAUUGAAAGUAAAAUGAUUGCUUACCGGACAGACCAGACCAGUCAUGUAUAAUUGUUUAGGGCUGGGCAAUGGGCCAUGUCAGCCGUGUGGUCCAGACCCGUUGUGCUCCUAGGCCAAAUCAAGCUCAUGGUCCCUAAUUAGCCGAUCCUGGCCCGACAGAUUUUUGAUGGACCAGUUGAGGCCACAUGGGCCAAACCUUAAGGAACUUUGGGGCUCCAAAAAUACAGUCGUUGGACAGUCACUUAUCUAGUGACCCAAUCCGGCCCAACGAUGGGCUACUCACUUGGUCAGGGAAUGGCCGGAAGGCCCCCAAUAGUUGAUUCGGAUUUUCAUUAAUUUUCCUCAAUUACUUUGUUUAUUAUUCACAUUUUUUUUGGUUUAAAAAAAUCAUUAAAUUAAAAACAACCCAAGCUCGAGCCAAUAGUGCCUUGGCCCGACCUAGUGUCUACUCCUACUGGCAAUUGGAGUUCGGGUCAGCAAUUUAAAGGCAAAUCGAGGGAAGACGUGGUGGAUAGUCCUAAAACCCUAUCGGCAACUGUAUUUACUUUUGCGAUAGGUAAGUAAGAAUGUAAAGGAGGAGGUGGUCACAAAUCCUCAAAAUUCUCUCCCAAAAUCCCUCGGGCUUCUCCAUCCAAAUCCUCAGUUUAAAGAAGCAGAAGUUGCAGCAGCAGAAGAAGAAAAUCCAUCGGAAUGUCGGAAUGUCAGCAUCAACAAUGAACAAUAUGGUUUAGCAAUCGUGGGCAUCAAAUUCAGUGCUCCUCGAAUUGGCAGUCAUGGCAACGAGAAACCUCUACGGUCUUUUCUUCUUGAAGUACAAAUCACAGGAUCUCUUUACAACCUCUAGCCAUGGUUCCGAAAGUUUAACAAAGAAAGUCUUUGAUACAAACUUCUCCAUAUUUCCAUAUGGAGAAAGAAUGAAACUUAAGCUUUUUGAAGGAAAUAUAGCUCUUAUGAUAUUUCUUAAGUACUUGAAGUUGUGAAGGACAUAAAAAAGUAAUAAAAUAAAUUUUUUGACUAGGAACUAGCCAGAUUUGUCUCAUCUGCAAAAGUUGGUGCCUUUACUUGUCUCUCUUAAAAGCAGAGGUUAUGAUUGUCCUAAAAUGUAUAGUUAAUACCUCUUAGAAGGAAAAGCAUGUUAUACAUAAGACGUUGUGUAAGUAUAUGUUGUUUAUAGGAUGGAGGGGCCUAUCACCAUCUUCUGUUACCAUCUAAGAAAAUGUUGUCCAUGGUCACCUGCAACUUUAUAAAACUAAAAGAACUAUUUGCUGUUGUAAUUAUGGUUAUAAUUAUGGUUAAUAGAUCAACGAAAGCCAAUAAAUUAAGAUACAUCUUUUUUGUUCAUGUAUCUCUUUUGGAUUCAUGAAUUUCCUAAUCUUUUAUGUUCACGUAUUUAUUGAGUUCAUGAAUUUUCUAGAUUCAUGUAUCUUUUAGUUCAUGUAUUUAUUGAGUUCAUGAAUAUCUUGAAUUCACGUAUCUUUGGAUUCAUGAAUCUCUUGGAUUCAUGUAUCUCUUUAUUAAUGAAUCUCGUGGAUACACUCGUCUAUUUAAUUCAUAUAUCUCUGUAGUACAUAAACUAAAAAGCUCUAUAAAUAGAUAUGAGCAUAGAGCUUCAUUAGAGUUUUUAGUUUUUGGUUUUGGUUUUUUUGAAUCGAUUCCAAAAAGGCUUUGAUAUACUUUUCUACUCUUCUGUUUUAUCUGGAUGUGCUGGUUCAAUUGAACGGUUCGACUGGUUCAAUUGAACGAUUCAACAGAGUCCUGUUUGCAUAGUGCUAAUCCAAAUAGGUUCGAUGCGUUGUAUCUUGGGAGGCAUAGUUCAUGAAUCUACGGGGCACCACUACGGGGCACCUUUGGCAGGAACUAAUCGCCUUAAGGAGAUUCGGUUAUUCGUACAUCACCUCCAAUUUUAUGUUAUUUUUCCAGUGAUAUCUUAUUUUAUUAUUUUCCAAGAUUUGUAAGUUUACAUAAAAAGAAUGAUAUUAUAUAACUGUUAUCAUCUUCUUUAUAUUGAUGUUCUGAUUACAACAAAUAGUGUGUAUUCUCUGGAUAUAAUUUUCAACAUUUGCUCCUUCCUUCCGAGACUCCCAUAGCCCCUAACUUAAUUUUCCAUCACUGUCUUUAGGAAAGCAACUGUUUGCCUAUGCAUGUGACAAUCACAAUCGCCGAUCCUCAUCUCUCUCCUCCUCUUAGUUCUCAUUGUCAUGACUCAUGGAGAGAAAAUGGAUUUAGAAUUAACCAACAGUCCUCAAUCAACAUAAGUUCUCCUAGGCUCUUACUUUGCAAGAUAUUGGGAAGUCACUUCAUUUUAUUAACCUAUCAAAACUGAGUCACUAGUAGCUACUAAGACUAGUUAGAGCCAAGUGAGAUGUAGGAAUAUACCUCACAUCCAACACAAUCAAAGAUCUAAGUACGAAGACUUAAUUACACUAAUUAUCCAAUUAAUAUUAUUUCCGUAUCUAAACUUGAUUAUUUGUCAACCAACUGUCACAUGCAAGUUUUUUUUAUUUAUUUAUAUAUCCAAUUAUGAUUCUAAUGUUCUUAUUUACUAAAUGUACAUGCAACGUUUUUGCAUUUAUUAUGAUCCUAAAAUACAAUCUAACCAUUCAACUAAAAUGAGGAAAUCACCACAUUGAAGCAAUAUAAAAGAAUCAUUUCAUCAAAGAUGGUAAUAAAAGAAAGAGUAAAAGAACAAAAAAAAAAAAAGGCAAUAAAAUAAUCCGAUGCAAGCUGAGUAAAGAAUAUAAUAUGACAUUAUUAUUGAGUAUCCAAAGAACAACCCCAUGAGUUAAAUUCAAAACAAAUCCAAUUUCUUGAGAAAGGGCUAAUCUAUCUAAACCCAAGAUAUCCAUUAAAAUCCCUAAACUAUAUGUAUACCAACUAUGGUCCAGCCUAAGGACCUUAAACAAAAGCCGUGGUUAUCGGAGCCCCCGUUCCACGUAAAUAAAAUGGAAGGGUUAACCGUGGGGGGAUUUGUAACCAAAUUUUGGAAACACCCCUCGGCUUGAUCCUAGCUCUGCUGCAUUGGGCUCUCGACGACUGCCAGUCCAGUAUCUUGGAAAUGAUGGCAGUAGGAUAUGAAACUAAAUAUAAUAUUAAAAUCUACAACCAAAUGAAAGCCUGUUUUUCUAAUCAUUUUCGAAUUCUUUGUAUUAGAAUUUUUUUUAUUGGGCCGGCUUGUACGGAAGCUUGAUCUCUAGGUGGAGUGGGUUAGAAUUUAAGAAAACAUGUAGGCCCUUGUAAACGAAAUGGGCUUACUUGCUAAAGCCCAACCUGCGUAUAGCCUAAACAAAGUCCAGAUCUAUCAGACCAAAUUAGGCUCAUAUUCACCAAACCAAGCAAAGCCCAAUUUCAUUAAGCUAAUAAAACCCAAAGCUCAUUAAGCCUAAUUAAGCCUAUUUUUUUAUUCUCUAUUUUUCUCUUUUCUUCUCCCUUUUUUCAAGUUUAUUUUAUGCACUAUGUCUCCUCACUUUGAAUUCGGUGCUCUAAGCCAAAGAAGCUGUGGAAAUAGCAGUUGCCAAAAUGCCGUGACUGCUCAAAAUUCGUGGUUGGAAAUCGCAAACCCACCUGAUGAAUUGUUCUAUAAAUGCCGCAUCCCCAUAUAUGAGAAUGAGACUAUUGCAAGGAUUAACUACAAUAGCUGGAUGAUAGGCCACUCUCAGAAUCUGCAGUUAAAAUUCUGACUGGAGGUGCACAACCCUAGUCUUGGGGAGAGAUGAUAGAAUUCAACGAAUGAAGAGAAUUUCUAUGGGGUCUAUUCUCGGCAUCAAAGACUGAUGGCCUUGCCUUGGAAGCAACGAACUUUAGAAGCGAGUCAGUUAUAGUUGGCUUUUUCCCAUGCUGACCUCUGCUAUCGAGAAGAUCGUCAACAGCUUGAAGCUGUGCAUCUGAAAGCAAAGCUUGAAGAUCCACUUUGCUGAAUCCUUCUAUCAUAUGAGCUAUAGCAUCAAAGUCCACAUCACUGGCCAAAGGAAGCUGCACAAGGGCAUUAAAGCAUACACUUAGCAAAACUUCAACAUUGCCUGAUGGUUGCCAAUUUCGCUGACUGAUCAUACAGAAACGGAGAAAUAUAAUUAAUUGAAUCCACCCAAUAUCUUCCUAAUUAGUGAAAAGAAAAGAAAAGAAAAGGAGAGGAUGGUGAUGUCUCAGAAAGGUUAUACUAAAUGAUACCCAAAGGUAAGUCUUAGUCCCGUCUCAUGGAUUUUCAGCUAUAAAAGCCUUUCUCAUUUUAUUUUUUUUCUGAGCAUCAUCGGUAGAUGUUAAAGCUACCAGUCUCAAGGUCCGAGGUUGAAAGUGAUUUACUACUGAUCAUCUAAACUUUACCUGAGCCUCACCUGAGCAUGUUGCAGAUUCAACCCACAACGCCUUUUACAAUGUUCUCUUGUAAUUGACAAUGUUUAGGGUGAUUUGGGGUGCAAGGACUUUUAGAGAACUCCACAGAGAAGGGGUUUUAACUUUUAACUCAAUGUGUUUCGCCAAAUGUACUCUGUCAGAUGCCAUAAGUUCUAAACAGGAUCUUAGCUGCUUAAAUCGACUCUGUUUCUAACUCUUUUUGUUUGUUUUAAGCAAUUCCCUGUUCAUAUGAAAUCUCUCCUAUGCAUCUUUCUAGAAAAAAGUAGGAUUGUGGUAAUAUAGUUCUUUAACAAGCAAUCCCAUAAAUUUCAAUAUGUGCAACUUGUUUCAGACCAUGUAAAAAAUGAAAUGCUAAAAGCAAAAAAACUGGCAUAUGGAUGGAAGCUAAGGCCCUGUUUGGUAAAUUUUGUUUCUAUUCCUCGGAAUAACUAUUUCUAUUCUUUUGUUCUAGGGAACAAGAAAAGAACAUAAAACUGUUUAGUAAAAUUUUUGUUCCCAUGAAACAAAAAAUCCAUUUUUUUUUGUUCUCGAGAAUAGAUUUGAAAUAGAAGUAAAAGUAGAAAAAACAAACUUCUUGUUCUCGGGAACAAUUUCUUAAAUUUAUUUUUUUUUCUCUCUUAUCUCUUCUUCUCUUUCUUCUUCUUCUUCUUCUUCUUCUUCAUUUUGGCCGGUUGCUGGCCAUGGCCGGCGACCUCUCUGGAGCGUCGCCGACCCUUGGAGACGUUGAGCCACGGCGAGGCUCGUCGGCCUGAGUUUUGCCAUGGCUGGGCGAGGCUGGCCUUGCUAGGCCACCUCUAGGAUGGUGUCGCUUGGCAGUGGCCCGACAAGGUCGAGCCUCGCUGAUAGCUAGGUGAGCUCGGCCUCGCUAGGUUUGGGUGACGUCUACCUCUGUCAUGCCCCAAUUCUUGGGGACGCGCCCAUCUUUCGACUUGGUCAAUUUUCUCAAUGCGAUAUCCCAGGACUAUGUAUCGCCGACCCUUUCAUUUUUAAUACACAUGCCGAACUAGUUAUAAAUCCCUAGACAAUAAAAUGAUGGGAUAGACAAGCAAGGCCAUAUUUUUCAUAUUGAAAUCCACAACCAUACUUUUAUACAUAGCAUAAUUCGAAGAGCUUCAGAAAACUAAUCACAACUUUUUAGUCUCAGUCUAUCCACAUAUAUACAGGGUUCACAAAAGAGGAUGGGAUUUCAGUCCUCAUCCAGAUAGACAAGAUCAAACUGAUCCUUAUUCAAUUCUUCUCCACUAAGCUCGUUUCUUUUAAACUCUUCAUCAUCUUCUUUAAGCUCAUUCUCGGCUCUAGAUGCUGGCUCAUCCUCACGUGAUCUGGGGGCCUGAAAUAUUAUCCCACAACCGGGAUGAGACUACGUCUCAGCAAGUUCUACCCCACUAAGACUCGAUUAGGAAACCAAUACGCUAUCUAGGCUGCCUAUGCACACACGGGUCAGAGGACUUACCUUGGCCUCAGAUUCCACCUACAUAUUAGUACAGUUCAAUAAGCACCCAAGCAAUCACAUCAUAGAUCGACAUCUCGAUCAAUCGACCUAGUCAAUUACUUCUUAAUUGAACCAUCCCAAGGUCAUUUCCAUUCAAUCAAUCAAUUCACGAAAUUAGAUUAAAGCAAUGAUCAAUCCACUUAGUCGGUUACAUAUCAAACAGACCAUUCUUGGUCAUUUCAAUCAAUACUAUUCAUUCUCUAAAAUAACCCGUCGGGUUAUCAAGCCAAUAAUUUAUACGAUUCAAUCUCCGAGAUGACACACUAAGAUGACACACUAAGUCACCGAGUUAUUAUAACAUACUAUUCAUUCUCCAAGAUAAUGUAUUGAGUUACCGAGCUAGUAUAUUAUAAUAUUCAUUCUCCGAGAUGACAUAUAGAGUCACCAAGUAUAUUCAUCAUAACGUACAUUCUCCAAGAUGACAUGUUGAGCCACCGAGCUGUUAUGGCAUGUCGUCCAUUCUCCAAGAUGAUCUAUAGAAUCACCAAGCCGACAUUUAAUAUAGUCCAUUCUCCAAGAUGACCUAUAGGGUCAUCGAGCCGAUAUACAAGCAAUUCUUUCUCAAAAUGACAUGAGAGUCAUCGAGCUGUAAUAGUAUAACGUCCAUUCUCUAGAUGAAAUACGAAUCAUCGAGCCGUUAUAGUAUUUUUUUGUUCCGAAGACACAAUCAAUUUCACCAUUUUCAUCAUAUUUGAUAAAAGUACACGUGUGUGGGCACACGGUCGGCUUUAGCCAAAAUACAAUAAUUUCAUUUUUAUUCACUCACUCCCUUCAGCAGUACAAAAAUAGAUUUUUGACGCUGUAGACUGACGCCCGGUAAUUUUCCACUCAAUUACCAAGGUUAUUCAAUUUCUGAAAUAAACACCCACAACUACUAUUUGCACUCAAUUUGCACAACCAGGUACUCAAUUAAAUAAACAUAGAGCACCACUGAAAUCAGCACGAAAUUCCGGUCGUCGGCUAUCCCAGCCUAAUUUCCGGUAAUUAAUUAAUUAAUUAAUUAAUUAAUUUCGAAAAUUAAUAAUUAAAUACUAAAAAUCCAAUUUAUGCCCGUAUUGCCUAAUUGAAGCCCAAUAAGGGUCGGGACAAAUCCCGAGAUGCAUUCAAUAAAUAGUAUAGGCAGCUCUCUAGCUAAGUACACUAACCACCUAACUAAUAUGCAACCCUUAAGCAUCUUUAGUCUACUAAGCAAGGAUUAGUGAGAUUACUCACUUGAUUUGCGAAGAACGGAACACCGCGACAGCGGCCGAACUUGGGCCUACGACAAACUUGGGCCGAGCCAAUAAACUUUACAAGCCCACAUAAAUUUCUGGACUUGGUUGUGCUAGAAAUCUUGGGCUGAACUUGAUCUGGGCUUCAAGACUAGGCUGAAAUGGGUUUGAAACAAAGUUGAACUGGGCCUGUCUUCGCUGAAGCUGGGCCGGGCUUCAAGUGGCUGAAUUGCUGGACUUCACUGAAUUGGGCCGAGCUUCAAGACUGAAGACUUGGGCUGCUGUGGAAAUUUUUUUGUGGGUUGAACAUUUUAGGAUGCUGGGCCGAAUCCUUGCAGCCUCGUGACGCUGAGGCAGCUGGGCCGAUAGGCUGAGGAAAUGAAAACGGCUGAAGACACGUGAUGGAGGAAGGUUGGCAGGGGGAAGGACGUUCGCCGGUGGGGACGAACGUUGUAGCAAGCAGCUGGGCUUCGGUCUUCGUAGCUGGGAGUCAACACACGGCCAGGGGAUGAAGCAGAUGAGUGGUAGACGGGCUCGCUGGUGGAGCAGUUUCUGCUGUGGACUGCUUCAAUGGGGCUGAGGGCAGACGGAAGACACACAGAUGGAAGCUCGUUCGGUGGGCGUGUGGGGAAGGCACUGACUGGAGGCUCACGGCCAAAUGGCAGCAAAACAAAGCCGCUCAAUCAACCACUGAGUUUCGGUGGGCUUGCUGUUGUUGACCGAAGGAGUUCGGGCCAUGGAUGCGUGGAGUUGUGCGUGGAUGGAGAGAUCGUGAGCUUCAACGGCAGAGAACGUGGCUUCUUUGGGCUUGCUGCUGGCAAUUCGGCAAAGGGGAAGAACAAUCGUGGGCGUGGGGAAUUGAGCUGGCCAGUUCGCUCGGUGAGGAAGCAGAACCAAGACGAAGUAGCAGUUAAUCUUUGUUGCUGUGGGUGCGCGAAUUCCCGGGAAGAAAGAAUUGGCUGCACGAUCUGAUGGGGGGGAGAGGGGUGAGAGAGAGGAUAGAUAUGAAGGAUGAGGGGCCAUUUGCUUUUAAUUCUCACACAAAUAUCUCCCAAAAACCAUUCUUAGCCAUAUAUAGUUUCCUUGGCUCACAAUGGACCACUCAUGCACUCUUCUAGAAGCCAAAAUGGUCCAAAUGUUGUGGCUUGGUGGGGGUACACGAAUUUAGAGGAGGAUGGACUCAAUUGUACAUCAAUUCUCUCUUGAUUUACUUUCAAUUGAUUCCCAUAAUUUCAGUUGGUACUUCAAUGCCUCAAUUGAUAAUUUUCCUCAUCCAAGAACCCAUCUUGCAUCUCAAUUUUGCCUCCAAAACUAAUCCUCGACUUGUUCUGCACAAAAACGGCCAUGCGAUGACUUUUCCCCAAAAAGUUUCGGUUGUCAGAAAAAUCUUCUCAGACUGAGUCGAUACUUCUAGAAUUUAUUGUGACAUGAUGGAAACUUCGAUUUCCAAAAUCGGACUUGAAUUCGUGGUUAAUUUCCACUUGGCGCUUUUUAGCGUGACCUAAACUAUCAAGUAGUUUUCAGAACUUUUUAGAGCAAAUGACCCAUGGUCGAUUUUCUUUGAGCCAUUAUGAACCCACUCAACUAAAUGGCGACUCUCGAUUGUUGUGAAAAUCUCGAGGAUUCAAUUACGGACACAAGGUACCAAAACGAUAGUAAAAUCAAAUUAGUGUCGGUCGAUGAGAAUUUCCCAAUUUAGUGGAGUCACCCACGAUCGGCCAAACAUCUCAGUCAAACAGAUCUAUCUCUUAUCUCAAAUCGAUUUUUUUAACCGUGCCAUAAUGGCCUCUGAAGACAAUCACGGUCAAGAAGCCGAUUUUUAGUCGAAUUCUCUAGUCUAUUUGCCUUAAAGUCCUUAAUAGCUUCCCCGAAUAGUCUAGUUAUCUCAAGAGUGAUCAGCUCUGAGAACAACUCUAUAGGCGGGUCAAUGAAAUGCCUGAUUAAUUCAAUAGAAAACAGAUCUGAAAAUUCGAGAUGUCACAACUCUUCCCCUCUUAUAAAAAUUUCGUCCUCAAAAUUUAAACCUUACAUACUUUGAUAAAAAAAAAGGUGGGGGUACAAUUCUCUCAUAGACUCUUCAGUUUCCCAGGUCGCGCCUUCUGUACCGUGGUGUUGUCAGACUACUUUGAAAAACGGAAUGGUUUUUGUACACAGAACUUGCUCUUUACGAUCAAUAAUCUGGACUAGGCUUUCAACGUAUGACACACGGUCAUCCACGUCCAAUUCCUUGAAAUUGAGCACGUGGGUCGGGUCAGGGUCGUACUUCCUUAACAUCGACACGUGAAAGACGUCAUGCACUUGCGCCAGUCUUGGCGGCAAUGCAAGACGAUACGUUAGGUUCCCAAUUCUUUCAAGAAUCUCAAACGGACCUACGUACCUCGGACUCAGUUUGCCUUUCUUACCAAAAUGCGAAGUUCCUCCCAUUGGUGACACUCUCAGAAAAAUGUGAUCACCAACUUGGAAUUCCAAAGACCUUCGACGCUUAUCUGCAUAACUUUUCUGCCUGCUUUGCGUUGUCUUUAAUCUGCAUCUGAUCACCGUCACAACAUCUACUGACUGCUGAACCAACUCUAGGCCUGUGAUUUUUCUUUCCUUAACUUCAUCCCAACACACCGGAGUCCUACAUGCUCUGCCAUACAAUCCUUCAAAUGGAGCCAUCUGGAUGCUCUGCUGAUAACUGUUAUUGUAAGCGAAUUCCACUAGAUGAAGUUGAUCUUCUCAACUUCCUUUGAAAUCUAUUACACAAGCUCUCAACAUGUCCUCGAGAGUUGGAAUUGUCCUCUCAGACUGGCCAUCCGUCUGAGGAUGAUACGCCGUACUAUACUGAAGUUUUGUACUUAGUGCACUCUGCAAGCUCUUCCAAAAAGCAGCAGUAAAUUUCGGGUCUCUAUCUGACGUUAUCGUAACCGGCACUCCAUGCAUACGAACCACCUGACGCACAUACAGGUUUGCAUGUCUAUCCAUACUCAGGUCCUUUUGAAUUGCAAUGAAGUGAGCCGACUUCGUCAAUCUAUCGACCACUACCCAAAUUGAAUCAUUCCAUCUUUGACUCCUUGGUAGUCCAGUCACGAAGUCCAUCGUAAUAUGCUCCCACUUCCAUUUUGGGAUCGCGAGAGGUUGCAGAAGUCCUCCUGACUUGUAAUGCUAGGCCUUUACUUGCUGACACGUCAAACCUUUGGCGACAUGCUUGGCAAUGUCCGCCUUCAUACCUGACCACCAAUAGUGUUGACGCAGAUUCUGAUACAUUUUAGUACUUCCAGGAUGAAUGCUGUAACUACUACGAUGUGCUUCAGAUAAAAUUUCUUCUCUAAGCUCCACGAGCCAAACCUUUUUAUACAUAUGGUAUUAAAGUUAUACCUAAGCAAACCCGUCAAGUACAACUAUAGUCAGAGAUUCAUCUUUCUACCACUUUAUUACAACAACAAAAAAUUUUACAACCUUCACUCAAAAUUCUGCUACACUACUCUGAUAAAAACACCUCAAAAGCAUUCUUCCAUUGCUCGGUGCCUAAUUGGUCCAUUCUUGUUUCUUGCGUCAUUCUAGUGGUGUUCUAUCUGCGGUGCUUUCUCUUUGUCCGGUCCUUCGGUGAUGGCGUACACUCUUCCCUGCUUUGGGGAUCUGUUCCGCAUAGCCGUACCUGUAAUCGCGUCAGGCGCAGCUUUUGCCUGACCUUGUGUGAUGGCAUACACCGUGUCUUAAACUGGUGGUCUCAACUGACCUCCCUGUGGCACGUUUUGAGGGGCGUACCCUCUAAUCUGUCCCACUGGUGGCGGUGGCAGCGGCGGUAACUGCAGUUGUCCUCUUAGCUUCCUUGGACAAUCUCUAGCCAGGUGGCCUGGUUAACCACACUCGUAACAAGCACCCAUCAUUCGAAGGCACUGGUUCGGUCCAUGUCACCUUCCACAAGCACGACAUAAAUCAUUCCUGGUUGGCACUGGCUUGCCAACUCCUCCUCUCCUAUCAGGCGAAAUCGGGAAUUUAUUCUCAGGCAUGGGCCUCUUCCCAUGGUGAAUACUCUCUCUGUGCGAGCUAAACCUCGAUCCAGAUGAGGCAGCUUGCUCAUUCAAUCCUCGCUCUAUCAUCUAAGCUCGGCGAUAAACUUCUCUAUAAUCCUUCAAGUCCCAAGGUAACAAAGGUUGUUUCAAUUCAGUACGAAGACCACUUUUGAAUUUCCGAGCUUUCUCUUCAGGGUCUUCUAUAAGUUUAGGAGCAUACUGUGACAGUUCUGCGAACUUGACCCCAUAUUGGUCAACUGUCAUGCUCCCUUGGCGGAGACGGUGGAACUCCUCUAUCUUUUGUUCCUGAGUAGUACUCGAAAAAGUACUGAUCAUUAAAGGCUCUGAGGAAGGUGUCCCACACCUGGACCACACCUUCCGGGAACACUAUAUCCUUGGCAGCUCUCCACCAUAUAUUAGCGCUACCUUGAAGUUGGUACACAGCUAGUAACACCUUUUCCUCAUCAUUGCACAUCAGAAGUGCAAAUGCCUUCUCCAAAUCCUCUACCCAUAGAGACGCGGCCUUAGGGUCUCCGGUACUAAUGAAUCUCGGUGGAUUCAUUUUUAAGAACUGAUCCACUAACUGGUGAAUCGGCCUCCCCGCGGCCACAACUCCUAGUAGUAUUUCAGCAAGGGCGACGACAGGUGCAACUGCAGGUGCAGUGACAGAGGCAGCUUGAGCAGUAGCGGCAGUUGCGGCAGUGGCAGCGGCCUGAGCGGCGGCUUCAACUGUAGCGGCUUGUUGAUCCAUUCUCGCACUAAUCGCUUCCAGAACACACAAGAUCCCAUCCAACCUGGGAUCAUUAGGGGCUGCUACCCUAGCAUCUACGACAAGUGGAAUCACUCCACUCGUGCUAGCCUGUGCUGGCGCUCGACCACGUUCACCUCGGGUCCCGACACGAGUCGGAGCUCUACCCAGAACAACGACCCUACUGGUCCUCUUAAUAGGAGUCCUCGGCUCCUGAUUGCUCGUAGUGUUGUUUUAAAUCUACCAACACAUGCUUUCAAUUCAACAUCGAAUUAGAAACAAAGCAAUCUAAACAACAAGCAAUUUUAGCAUCCAGCUAACACAGACAUGCACAAGCAUCAAUUUAAAGGCCUUUCUUAUUACUAUCCCAAGACUCAUCGCUCCUUAUCACUCCAAUCUUAAACUUCGCUCUGAUACCACAAAAAUGGGAUGUCACGCCCUAAUUCUCGGGGACGCGCCCAUCCUUCUACUUGGUCGAUUUUCUUAGUGCGAUAUCCCAGGAUUAUGUAUUGCCAACCCUUUCAUUUUUAAUACGCAUGCGGAAGCAGUUAUAAAUCCCCAGACAAUAAAACAAUGGGAUAGACAAGCAAGGCCAUAUUUUUCAUAUUGAAUUCCACAACCAUACUUUUAUACAAAGCAUAAUUCGAAGAGCUUCACAAAACUAAUCACAACUUUUUAGUCUCAGUCUAUCCACAUAUAUACAGGGUUCAAAAAAGAGGAUGGGAUCUCAGUCCUCAUCCAGAUAGUCAAGAUCAAACUAAUCCUCCUUAAAUUCUUCUCCACUCAGCUCGUUUUUUUAAACUUUUCAUCAUCUUCUUUAAGCUCAUCCUCGGCUCUAGAUGCCGGCUCAUCCUCACUUGAUCUAGGGGCCUUAAAUAUUAUCCCACAACCGGGAUGAGAUUACGUCUCAGCAAGUUUUACCCCACUAAGACUCGAUUAGGAAACCAAUACGCUAUCCAGGCUGUCUAUGCACACACGGGUCAGAGGACUUACCUUGGCCUCAGAUUCAACCUGCAUAUUAGUAUAGUUCAAUAGGCACCCAAGCAAUCACAUCACAGAUCGACAUCUCGAUCAAUCGACCUAGUCGAUUACUUGUUAAUUAGACCAUCCCAAGGUCAUUUCCAUUCAAUCAUUCAAUUCACGAAAUCAGAUAAAAGCAAUGAUCAAUCCACUUAGUCGGUUACAUAUCAAACGGACCAUUCUUGGUCAUUUCAGUCAAUACUGUCCAUUCUCUAAAAUAACCCAUCGGGUUAUCAAGCCAGUAAUUUAUACGAUUCAAUCUCCGAGAUGACACACUAAGUCAUCGAGUCAUUAUAACAUACUAUUCAUUCUCCAAGAUAACCUAUUGAGUUACCAAGCUAGUAUAUUAUAAUAUUCAUUCUCCGAGAUGACAUUUAGAGUCACCGAGUAUAUUCAUCAUAAUGUACAUUCUCCAAGAUGACAUGUUGAGUCACCGAGCCAUUAUGGCAUGUCGUCCAUUCUCCAAGAUGAUCUAUAGAAUCACCGAGCCGACAUUUAAUACAGUCCAUUCUUCAAGAUGACCUAUAGGGUCAUCAAGCCGGUAUACAAGCAAUUCUUUCUCAAAAUGACAUGAGAGUCAUCGAGCUGUAAUAGUAUAACGUCCAUUCUCCAGAUGAAAUACGAAUCAUCGAGCCGUUAUAGUAUUUUUUUUUUUUGUUCCGAAGACAAUCAAUUUCACCAUUUUCAUCAUAUUUGAUAAAAGUACACGUAUGUUGGCACACGGUCGGCCUUAGCCAAAAUACAAUAAUUUCCUUUUUAUUCACCCACUCCUUUUAGCAGUACAAAAAUAGAUUUUUGACGAUGUAGACCGACGCGCGGUAAUUUUCCACUCAAUUACCAAGGUUAUUCAAUUUCUGAAAUAAACACCCACAACUACUAUUUGCACUCAAUUUGCACAACUAGGUACUCAAUUAAAUAAACAUAGAGCAUCACUGAAAUCAACACGAAAUUCCAGUCGUCGGCUGUCCCAGCCUAAUUUCCGGUAAUUAAAUAAUUAAUUAAUUAAUUUCGAAAAUUAAUAAUUAAAUACUACAAAUCCAAUUUAUGCCCGUAUUGCCUAAUUGAAGCCCAAUAAGGGUCGGGACAAAUCCCGAGAUGCAUUCAAUAAAUAGUAUAGGCAGCUCUCUAGCUAAGUACACUAACCACCUAACUAAUAUGCAAUGCAAUUAACUAAUAAUCACUAAUCCAUUCUAGUCUAACCACCUAAUUGCACUUAAUUAAAUCUAAUCAACCCUUAAGCAUCAUUAGUCUACUAAGCAAGGAUUAGUGAGAUUACUCACUUGAUUUGCGAAGAAUGGAACAUCGCGACAACGGCCGAACUUGGGCCUGUGACAAACUUAGGCUGGGCCAAUAAACUUUACAAGCCCACAUAAAUUUCUGGGCUUGGGCCUGCUAGAAAUCUUGGGCUGAACUUGAUCUGAGCUUUAAGACUGGGCUGAAAUGGGUUUGAAACAAAGCGGAACCGGGCCUGUCUUUGCUGAAGCUGGGCCAGGCUUCAAGUGGCUGAAUUGCUGGACUUCAUUGAAUUGGGCCGGGCUUCAAGACUGAAGACGUGGGCUGCUAUGGGAAUUUUUUUGUGUGUUGAACGUGUGAGGAUGCUGGGCCGAAUCCUUGCGGCCUCGUGGACGCUGAGGAAGCUGGGCCGAUAGGCUGAGGAAAUGAAGACGGCUGAAGACACGUGAUGGAGGAAGGCUGGCAGGGGGAAGGAUGUUCGCUGGUGGGGACGAACGUGGCAGCAAGCGACUGGGCUCCAGUGUUCAUAGCUAGGAGUCAACACACAGCCAGGGGAUGAUGCGGAUGAGUGGCAGACGGGCUCGCUGGUGGAGCAGUUUCUGCUAUGGACUGCUUCAAUCAGGCUGAGGGCAAAUGGAAGACACGCAGAUGGAAGCUCGUUCAGUGGGCAUGUGGGGAAGGCACCGACUUGAGGCUCACGGCCAAAUGGCAACAAAACAAAACUGCUCGAUCAACCACUAAGUUUCGGUGGGCUUGCUGCUAUUGACCAAAGGAGUUUAGGCCAUGGACGCGUGGAGUUGCAUGUGGAUGGAGAGAUCGCGAGCUUCAACGGCAGAGAAUUGGAGGAGCACGUGGCUUCUUUAGGCUUGCUGCUGGCAAUUCGGCAAAGGGGAAGAUCGAUCGUGGGCGUGGGGAAUUGAGCUGGCCAGUUCGCUCGGUGAGGAAGCAGAACUAAGACAAAGCAGCAGUUAAUCUUUGUUGCUAUGGGUGCGCGAAUUCCCGGGAAGAAAGAAUUGGUUGCACGAUCUGAUGGGGGGGAGAGGGGUGAUAGAGAGGAUAAGGAUGAGGGGCCAUUUGCUUUUAAUUCUCACACAAAUAUCUCCCAAAAACCAUUCUUAGCCAUGUAUAGUUUCCUCGGCUCACAAUGGACCACUCAUGCACUCUUCUAGAAGCCAAAAUGGUCCAAAUGUUGUGGCUUGGUGGGGGUACAAUUUAGAGGAUGGACUCAAUUGUACAUCAAUUCUCUCUUGAUUUACUUUCAGUUGAUUCCCAUAAUUUCAAUUGGUACUUCAAUGCCUCAAUUGAUAAUUUUCCUCGUCCAAGAACCCAUCUUGCAUCUCAAUUUUGCCUCCAAAACUAAUCCUUGGCUUGUUCUGCACAAAAACGGCCAUGCGAUGACUUUUCCCCAAAAAGUCUCGGUUGUCAGAAAAAUCUUCUCAGACUGAGUCGAUACUUCUAGAAUUUAUUGUGACAUGAUGGAAACUUCAAUUUCCAAAAUCAGACUUGAAUUCACGGUUAAUUUCCACUUGGCGCUUUUUAGCGUGACCUAAACUAUCGGAUAGUUUUCAGAACUUUUUAGAGCAAAUGACCCAUGGUCGAUUUUCUUCAAGCCACUAAGAACCCACUCGACUCAAUGGCGACUCUUGAUUGUCGUGAAAAUCUCGAGGAUUCAAUUACAGACAUAGGGAAUGAAAACGAUAGUAAAAUCAAAUUUGUGUCGGUCGAUGAGAAUUUCCCAUUUUAGUGGAGUCACCCACGAUCGGCCAAACAUCUCAGUCGAACAGAUCUAUCUUUGAUCUCAAAUCAAUUUUUUUAACUGUGUCGUAAUGGCCUCUGAAGACAAUCACGGUCAAGAAGCCGAUUCUUGGUCGAAUUCUCCAGUCUAUUUGCCUUAAAAGUCCUUAAUAGCUUCUCUGAAUAGUCUAGUUAUCUCGAGAGUGAUCAGCUCUGAGAACAACCCUAUAGGCGUGUCAAUGAAAUGCUCGAUUAAUUCAAUAGAAAACAGAUCUGAAAAUUCAAUAUGUCACAACCUCACCCAGCUAAGGCGAAGCCGAGCCUCGCACAACCACAAUAAGGCUCGGCCUCCCUAGCUGGCGCGAGGCUCGCCUGGCCAUCGGCAAGGCUCGGCCUCACCCAAAUCUGGUUCGGCCGAGGCUCGCCGUGGACAGGCUGGCCUUCAGCGAGCUUGCCGGACCUCACCCAGGCAGUGGUCGGCAACUGGCCAAAGAGAAAAAGAAAAAGGAAAAGACAAGAAAAUAUAAUAAAAGAAUUAAAAAAAAUCUAACAAUCAUGCCAAACGUAUUGUUGUACUGAGACUAGAAAUUUUGGAAAGUUACCAAAUGAGUUCUUUUGCUCAGAAAUUGUUCUUGAGAUGAGAAUAAAAAAAAACAUUUAUGAUAAAAAUUAUUCUCCAGAACAGAAUUGUUACCAAACAUGGCUCUAAGUUUCUACCUUAUGGGAUAAAAGUUGUGAAAAUAUCCAGCCUCUCCUUUAUUGAAGGAAAAUCACAGAACAUAAGUUGAGCCAGCUAGGUCUCAAAAGUGUGAUCUACUGCUUCUCAUCAAAUGCAACACAUAACUAGACAAUGAUAAAAUAAAGAAAAAGCAUCCUUGGAAAGAAAAUUGAAUUAGAAUUAUUAGUAGAUAGAUGAACCCAUGAACCCUGUGCAAAACAAGAGAGCACUUCAUGCAGCAAAUGUCAUGAUGACUGAGAAAUUGCAUGUGCUCAAUGUAACAAGACUCAAAUGAUCAGAAUCAGUUGAUGCCAUUAUAAAGGCUCAAUACCAGCAUAAUACAUGUCUUGCAAGCUACUUCAACAACUGAAAAGUAAUUUAUGGAAUCCCAUCAUUUGUUACCUACUUUUUGAUACAUAUGUAGUCAAUAUUGUGCAUCCAAUGUUAAACAGUUCUAAAUCAAGGAAAAGUCCUGUCUAGCAUUUUAUUGUCUAACUUGAAGGUUAUUACAUAGUAUCCAUACUAAAUGCUUCAUAAAAAAUGUUUGUCGAAGUGUUCAUAAUGGCCAUGCAAUUUGCAGUAGCAAUUGAUAGUUAGUGUGCCAUUAGAAGAGAAUACUUUUUGUUCAUAUUAUACAAAAUUAUUACCUUUUUUCCGCCAACACAAACACACCGGUGCAACACCAUCUAAUUCGGUAAAAAAAUGCACCAACAAAUAACAUACCAGUAGUGACUCAUAAAAUUAGAUAGAUUUUACAUGACCACCUUAUAAUUACUUUUGAAUGCAAGAAACUAAAUUCAUUGAUGACAUGAUCAGUGACCCAAUAUUAUCAUGCCCCCUUUUUGAAGCAAUGAAUCAAAUUCAUCGAAAAAGAGAUGGCAAGGUGUUGCAUCUACUGCCUUCAAGAAUAUAUCAGAACCUGUAGUUUUCUAAUUGUCGUUACUAUCAAAUAUUCAAAAAUCUCUCCAUUUUGCUGACAAAAUCAAGGAUCAUAAUAACAUAAAAUCCUCACGGAUACCCCAGUUACAGGAACGAAUCAACAUUGAAGAUAUCUAGACAAAACAUCAAACAGGUCACGAAGGACUCUCGGCGAGACCCAUUUUUUAACUUCAACCAAUCGAGAUCAAUAAAAUCCCAAGGAUUUUCCCUUCGACUGAAACGAAACUCGCGAACCUACUUCAGACAGCUUCACUCUCCUAUAUCUCGGUUCAAAGGUGGAUGGACACAGAUCCCGAACGAUGGAGCAGAGCGAUGAGGAGACUCUGAACACGUAAUCGACUCUAAAGGUCGAUCGGAAUAGAAACGACCUGGCAGGGGUAGUGCCGAUUCCUAUCCUCCUUGGUUCCCUUCAGCCGAGCUCUUCGAUGGCCAAAUCCUUUUUCAAGCGAGCGUCCAGCAUCCUCUCCUUCUCGCUCUCGGCUGACUCUCUUUCUCCCCCGUGAAUGUCUCUUCAGCCUAUCUCUCUCCAACUUGCCUCUUCAACGGCCGCCCUCUCCGAAGACCGGCGGCAUCUCUCCUCCUCCUGUUAUGCGAACAGGAUCCUCUUGAGGCAAGCAUCCUUUCCGGCGAGCAGCUCCUAUCUCAUCUUUUCCUCCCGGAUCAGCACAAUCCCCUCGCCUCACCGAUCGAAUCUUUCUGUUAUUUCUCUCGCACGACAGCUAGCACGGCUCUAGAAGGUGCUGGCUCAGCUCUCGUCACGGCUUGUCGCGCCUCCUUCGCUCACAGACGCACGCACGCUUGGCCUGUCUUUCUUCCUUGCGUCACGGACGCUGUGCUCGCUGGGGAAGUUGAGGGGGAAGCGCGUGAGGGAAGAGAGAGGAUGGGGCUGGGCUUUCUUUUUGUUUGGUUCUACGACGGGCCAAGAAAAUACAAAAGGAGGUGGGCCGAACGAAUUAAAAGAAAUGGGUUGGACUAAUGGAGGGAGGGGGCUUAGAAGGCUCAAAACUUUGCCAAGGGGCCGGCCCACAUGACUUCAUUUCGAUUUUUUUUAUAUCUUUUUUAUUUUUUUCUUAUUAUCUUUUUCAUAAAUUUUCAGAUUUUUGUAAAAUAAAUGGAUUCCUAAAAUGUCAACAAAAUUUGGGUGUCAACAAUCUUGACCAGAGUCGAUAAUGACGAUGUUGCCUAUAGUGGUAUCAAAAGUCAAGGUGGCGAUGUUGGGUUUCAGAUAUUUAACUGUUCCCAUAUUGCCUAAAUAUGGGCUGUUUUUGUAGAUAAAUCUCACACAACUUUAAGAGUGGGGAUGUUGGUUUUUAUUUACGUCUCCGAUCCCAUAUUACCUAACUAGACUUAUAGCACUUAAAGUAAGCACGGGUGAGUUGUGACCAAAGCAGGCAGUAUUGCGCUCAAGUUUGGACGGGGAUGUCUACGACAAUAAGGUGAAACUUCAAAGAGUAAGACAAUGGUCAAGUCGAGCUUGAUGCAAUGAGACCACUCGUUGAAGAAUAGUCGUUAGAGAGCUUACACAUCUCGUAUGCUAGUUUCAAGAAGGGGUUUUAACCCUUGCAACCGCUGAACUAGGUAAACUACUUAAUCAUCUCAUCUAUUGUCGACAACUUGUCCAAAUUCCAUAGAUACAAAAAGAUGAUUUGAAAUGUAGACACUCACCCAUUGAGAUGCAAUAGUUAUUUCCAAGUAAUUAAUCAUCUUAUUUCUUCCCUUGAUUUUUUCCUCUUAAGCUUACAGAGCCAAACACAUUAAUUCCAAAAGUGGUUAAUUUCUUAGAACCGAUCCAUCGAUAAGAACAUCUCAAAAUUCAGUAAGAAAAAAAAGAUAUCCAAGGAAUUAGCCCUCUUAUUUCUCCUCUCUCUCUCUCUCUCUCUCUCUAAAACUCUAUAUAAACAGUACAAGUUGCCUUCCUAUGGCAGCAAUUUAGCUUCAACAAUUCCAUAGCUAUCAUUAUUUCCUGAUCUCCUCCCAGUUGACUUUACCGCAAGUAGCAUCAUCAAAUUUCAGAAGGUUCAACAAUCCUCUCCCAAGUCUUCUCUUUCGUGAUCGAUCUUCAAGAUUCAAGCGCCGAGAAACUCAUGGGGUACGUGGUCAUCAUGUCGCUCCCAAUGGCGAUCUUCCUCCUCGUCAUGAGCUUCGACUGCUGCUACAUGGGGAAGCAAAAGGGCGGAGAGGAGGCACAAGCCCUCGUCACGCAGGAGCUCGUGGCAGUCAACGGCAUCCCACCCCUGCCUCUGCCAACCAGGUUGGCCAUGCCGCCUUCGCCACCAGGAGUCGCUAUGGCACCGCCUCAGUUCUUCCCUUCUCCAUCUCCUUAUAAUCCAAAUCCUGCCUGUGUCAAGCAAGAAAGUGCUCGUUGAUUUUUUUUUUUAAGCAUCGUGAGUGCCACUUGUUUCAUGCUAUCAAUGAGUUCCAUGAAGUUCUUCCAAGACAUGUAUAAUUUCUUCUUUGCCCGAACAUGUAAAAAGUAAUAGUAUGUAACAAAUAACACAAUUUUCAUUUGCUAUAUAUUUUGCAUUUACCAAUAAUAUUUGAAACUUGAAGAGUGAAAUUGAGAAACAUAAGAAGAAUAAAUCCUCGCAACUGUACUUCAAGAUAUGACCCACCAAUCCACACACGACAUAUCUCCCGGCUUCACCUUCAAGUCCCAAACCGGAUCUCUUGUUACUACAGUUCGAUUGCCGGACUUCAAGAGAAGCUGAAGUUGUGUUGCCUCGGAUGUUUCUAGCUCAACAUUUUCCUCAAUGCACUUCUUUUAAGUGAUUUCUGAGAUAGCUAGUAUAAGCAACUAGAGGGGGGUGAAUAGGUGUAAAAAUAAUUUAUCGUGAUAAGUGAGCAAUACUAAACAGACAAUAGAAAGGAAGUUCUCAUUUUGUUAACAAAACGAAUUAUGAUCAAAGUAAAGGAGAGUAGGGAAGAGAAAAUGAACACAAAAAUUAUAGUGGUUCGGCUUAUUCCAAGCCUACAUCCACUCUUCCACACUGACAUUCCACCGGCUGGAUUUCACUAUGAACAAAAGAGUUGUUAUAGGAAAGCUCUCCUUUGAUUCCACAGUAUAGAUACUCUACCACACUUCCUCAAGGUUUCUCAAAGAUAUAGACUCUCUUUUGCGUACAAGAUUUCGCUCAGUAAAUGAAUUGACUAAGAACAAAGAGCUUCAGACUUUGGAAUUCUUCUAUCGCGCACACACUCGAACAACUGGAACGUCUUCCUUAUAUACUCCUUUAUGCCAUCAUACCCGUUGGCACUUACCAAAGGAAUUCUUCCAAUCUUCCCAUUGGACAUAAUCAAUGAGGAAGAUCAUUCGAGCUAUUUAAGGAACAUGACGAUAGCCCAUCAAUCAUGCUCGCCCAUACAAUCAGGAUCUCGGUUUCCAUAAGUAGAACCUUCUAAGUAUACUUCGCCAAUCAUCGGAUCCUCAAUCUCUGAAUCAAUCUUGAUUCGAAUAAAGGAUUCCAUUAUGUCAUAUCUAGCCAAGAGAUCUUCUCCAGUCGAUAAGGUCAAAUCCUUAACGAAACAUCCAGUCCUGGAUAGGCCUUCUUCAACAAACUAGAAACUGUCAAUGAUAAUAGACUUUGAGUCUUGAGUUUGGCAGUCCGGAGGUCUUCAGGCUUUAAAUAGUAGAGUCUGCAAAUCUUCAGACUAGACUGAUGGAAACGUUUUGUCAGCUUCAAAACACUCCAGGAAGAUUUCUCCAACAAUCUCUCCCUUUUUGAUGGUGACAAAACUUUUCUACAGAUUUGGAUAACUUUGACCUGCAAAACAAUACUCAAGCAAAUAUGGAUAUCUCAUAAAGAUAAAUGGCUUAGUGAUAACACUAGAAUCUGCAACCACAGAAAAUAGGUUAGUCUUUUAGAUGAGUAAAGCCAUAAGAUAUCAAUAGUACUUAAGAUAAACAAAUGUUCAAACAGUCAAACCCAAAAUCCAAUCCACAGCCAGACACAAAAGUCAAGUGAAAACAAACAUCAAAACAAAUCAAGAGUUCAAAAAGUUCAAAGUUCAAAUCUGCAUCACAUCUCUCCUCCUUUUUUGUCAUCAUUAAAAAGGUAGAGAUGGAAAGAGAAUGGAAUUAAGAUUGCUUGGGAACACGAACAAGCUGGAAAUCUCCCAUUGACUGGACAAUGCCUUCCAGCUUUUUCAAUUCCUCCUUCAGUUGAGCCACAUCUUCACCCUUAGCAUUUGCUUAAACCUGAAUAGUAAGGGCUUGCAUUUGAUCAUUCAAAGAAAUUGAAGAAGCUUGACCUGCAGUCUACAAAUUCUGUACUUCGCAUCCCAGAGCAUAUAUUUGACCCCGCAUCUCUAAAAGAACAUCAAGAAUUCUGCGAAAAUCUGCUGAAUUAUCAGUCUGCGUACUGGCUUCUACACGAUCAGAUGGAGUAAAGGCGGACGAUGGCAAAUCAGCAUAGUCACGCAGAUUGGGCGAUGAAACAUCAUGUCCCUCCUCAGGAAAUUGAGAGGCAUAGAUGUCCUCUAGAUCUGCUGGAGAGCGGCUUACUCCUUCACUGGUGGCAGGGUAUGAGGACAUUCCUCUUUUCUCAUGAUCUCCCCCUGUUUCCAUGCCUUCAGGUGGAGAAGAGUGUUCCUCAUGCUCUGCUUCCACUUGAUCUCCUCUCUCCUCCUCUUCUUCUUCUUCUUCAAAAUUUUCUCUUUCUCCAGUCCUCUGUUCUGUUUCAUCUGUGUCUUUCUCUUGUCGUUUCGUUGAUUCUAGAACAGAACGACUCAGGUUCUUCAAUGCCAUUGCAGAAAUGGUGAUGUUAUCCUCAUCUUCUUUAUCCUCAACGAUGAGAGCUCUUCUUUUCUUGGAUGGAACAACCAUGGGCUCCUUCCCUUUUCUUUUUGCUGCCGAAGAGAUUUGAUGAGUCUUAACAGGGGUUUUCUCCUUGAAUUUCUCCAACGCCUUGUUGAGUUCCUUCAAACGCAUUUUAGACACCAUUUUCAGUCCCACUACCAUUUGAUCACAAGUUCUAACACAGAGAAUUCAGGGAGGCUGAACAUUCAAAUGUCUGAAUAACUUGGUCACAAGAGCUGGAUAAGGAAGUUGACCCUUGUCCUUCACCACUGCUCUGUACAUGUGGAACAUAAUAGUGUGAGGAAGAGAGAACUUUUUCCCAGCAUUGAUGGCAUACAUCAGCUUUGCCUAUGAGUUUGAAACAUCAGUCUUUGAAGUAGAUUUUGGUCUGAGGCAAAUAAUCACAAUCUUGUGAAGUAGAAUGUUGAACACACUCAUCCUCAAGUAGGAAAUCUUUCCCUCUGUCCUUUUAUCCUUAACAAGUUCCAACGUAGCACAAGCAAUAGACACAUUGAUAGGUUAAUAUCUCCCUCUUUCAACCCCAAUCAGCCACAAAGUCCUGAUCUUGGACACUAAAAGAGAAUCUAUUCGCAUCCAAGAAACUUAGAUUCGAAUAGAAAUAAGCAGUGAGUUCAGCAUAGGCUUUUGUAGAUUCAGAACAAAACUGUUCAAGUUGAAAAAGACUGAAUUUUUCCCGCAAAUUAACGUUCACAGAGUCAAGAAAAUCAAAAUCCACACUUCUAGAGUUUAUCACCCCACGCUUCAACAACUUAGAGUAUAGAUGCUUAUGUUCCUCUGAUCGAAACAAGUCUGUCCUUUUGCUCCGAAUUUGACCCAUUCUCGGUUUAAACUGACUGUACAACUUGUCAUCAUCAUUCCCAUCUAGCUGAUUCAGCCCUCCAACACGUGGAUCGCUUGGGAUAUUUGCCAUUGCCUCUUCCGCCAACCCAGCAUGGGCAAUUCCCAACCGUUCCAUUGUGCGUAAAAAGAAUAUUUCAUUUUUAUACCCUUUGUCUUUUAGAAAUUCAUCAAUAUAGUUCAAAGGAGUUCCACCCAUUUUCAAAGCACGAUAAAGCUUGUAGGUAAAAGAGGGCUUAAAAGUUCUUACGGGUUAUGCAUCUUUGAUUAUUUCUUCCUCUUCUGGAUGAGCAACAUCCUGUGGUCUAGAUGGAGGAGAUGGACGCUGCUGAGAAUGUUGUGGGCUCUGCUGCUGACUAGGAGACUCUUCUUCCUCGGUGAGAUCAAAGUGCAUAGGCCCCUCACGCAUUUGCUACGGUCCCCUGUUCACGAUCCUCGAAGACUUCCUUUGAGACGACAUCUUUCACAGUCUUUGAAAGAUUCCAAACUUGUUUUUCCCAAGAAAGAUGACAACUUUUCGAAGAUUAAACAAGAGAAGAAGACAGAAGUGGAAGAUCGAUGCUUUUUAGGAUUUUUGGAGUAAAUUGAAGAGGAACCAACAGUAUAUAGGAUAGUCGAAGAGAGGCAUACAAAACAUCGUAAAGGAAAGUACAAAGAUGCCUUUAAAAAAAUAACUGCCUUUUUCAAAAAUUAGAUAACUGUCAUUUAAAAAUAACUCAAUUUUCGAAAAAGAAAGAUUGCAAUAAUCAUGGAAAUUGAAAAUAGCAAAAAUCAAUUAUGGAUAGAUGAUCGUACCUUUUCGAGAUUUAAUCUGAGAGAGAAAAAAAUAACUUACAGUCAAAAAUCUUGAUUGUCUGAGUCUGAGAAUCUCUAGACUUUUACUUCUUCAAACCUCAAGAUGUUGAGUCUGGAACGAAUAACUUCAAAUUGAUUUUUCUCCAAAGGCUUUGUAAAUAUAUCCGCCAGUUGAUUCUUUGAGUCAACAAACUGAAUCGAAACUUCUCCAUUUUGAACAUGAUCUCUAAUGAAGUGAUGUUGAAUCUCUAUAUUUUUUGCUCUUGAGUGAAGAAUUGGAUUCUUGGUGAGAUUGAUUGCACUGGUGUUGUCACACUUAAUCUCCGUGCAUGAAUCUUCAAUUCCAAAGUCUCUUAGUUGUUGUUUUAUCCAUAGAAUUUGUGAACAACAACUUCCAAGAGUUACAUACUCUGCUUCUGCUGUAGAAAGAGCUAUUGUAUUUUGUUUCCUUGAAAACCAAGACACUGUCCUGCUUCCAAGUAGUUGACAGGUACCCGAGGUGCUCUUUCUAUCAACUCUGCAUCCGGCUAGGUCUGCGUCUGAGUAUCCAAGAAGAGUAAAGUCUCCCUUUUUAGGAUACCAAAGUCCAAAGUUUGAAGUUGAUGCUAUGUAUUUGAUAAUAUGCUUUGCAGCACUUAGAUGAGAUUCUUUAGGGUCUGCUUGAAAUCUGGCACAAAUGCAAACACUAAACAAAAUGUCAGGUCUAGAAGCAGUAAGAUAAAGAAGUGAACCAAUGAUACUCCUGUAUAGCUUCUGGUUAACUUUCUUUCCUCCUUCAUCUUUGUCUAUCUUCAAGGAACUUGACAUUGGUAUAUCAGUCUUUUUGCAAUUUUCCAGUCCAAACUUUUUGACAAGAUCAUUAGCAUAUUUUUCUUGAUGAAUAAAAGUUCAUUCCUUCAAUUGUUUCACUUGAAGCCCGAGAAAGAAGGUUAGUUCACCCAUCAUGCUCAUUUCAAAUUCAUCAUGCAUAGACUUAGAGAAUUUCUUGCACGGACUUUCAUUAGAGGAUCCAAAAAUAAUAUCAUCAACAUAUAUUUGAACAAGGAGAAAAAUUUUGCUUUAACUUUUGAUAAACAGUGUAGUGUCUACUUUACCUUUAACAAAGCUGUUUUGAAUUAAAAAUUUACUCAACCUGUCGUACCAAGCUCGAGGUGCUUGCUUUAAACCAUAUAAAGCCUUUUUCAGUCUGAAUACUAAGUCUGGUUUCCUUGGGUCUUCAAACCCAGGUGGUUGUUCCACAUAGACUUCCUCAUGGAUAAAUCCAUUCAGGAAAGCACUUUUGACGUCCAUUUGGAAUAACCUGAAAUUCUUAUAACAAGCAAAAGCAAGUAAUAAUCUAAUUACUUCUAACCUCUCUACUGGUGCGUAAGUCUCAUCAUAGUCUAUCCCUUCUUCUUGCGUAUAUCCCUUGGCCACGAGUCUUGCUUUGUUUCUUACGACCUUUCCUUUCUCAUUCAUCUUGUUCCUGCUUUCCCAAUACACAUGGUGUACAUAGAUUAGUCUUUUGGUAUGACAGAUUGGGUAGAUCACAAAUAAGCUUCUUUGCUAAAAUUUUGGCUAUUUGCUUCAUAUUGAUGUGCCCAAGUUUUCUGUGCCAUAAGUUUGUUUCAUCUUGAAUUGAGAUUAGACAUUGGGUUUCAUCAGGUUUAACAUCCAAGAGGUAGAUGUUUCCAUGUCUUCGACCCAUGAAUGACUGAGUGGAAUCUUUACUGGUUCCUGAACAUAUUCUCUCUUGAAAGUUGAUUUUGAAACCGGUAUCGCACAGCUGACUGAUACUAAGCAAAUUGUAGUUGAGUCCUUCCACUAAGGAAACAUUACUGAUUGUGAGGUUUCCAAUCUUUACAGUUCCGAAUCCCACAAUUCUUCCUUUGCUGUUUCCUCUAAAUGAAACUUUUCCACCAUUUACUUGAACAAGCUUUAUGAAGCAAUUUGAAUCUCCUGUCAUAUGUCUUGAGCAUCCACUAUCAAAAUACCAUUUUACCUUCUUCUUGAUAGUGACCUGCAUUUAAAAAAGAGACUCAAACUUUCUUUGGUACCCAUAUUUUCUUGGGUCCAUUGGUGUUAGUAUGAUAUGCGGUUUUUGCCCAUACUUUCUUAACAGGUUUCCAAACCAUAUGACAUUCUUUCUCAAAAUGAUCUGAACUAUUGCACUUAGAACAUCUGAGAGCAUUUCGACCUACUGGUUUUACAAAAACUUUUUGGAAAUGAUUUUUAUAAGCAUCUCUUGUGGGUCUUUGCUUAAUUCUUUCAUUCACUUUAGGAAAAUCAAUUAAAGAAAUGGUUUCCACAGUCAUUCUCAAACCAGAUUUAUUGAAAUAAGGUCUUUGUGCUGAAAGAAUUUUCUCAAGUUUCUCAGAUCCUAUAGAAAAUCUUUUGGAAAUAUUUGCUAUGUCAUUUUUUAAAAAUGCAUUUUCUUUCGAAAAGUUGUCUUCAUUUACUUUUAGAGUAGAAACAUUCAUGUCUAAACAUUUAACCUUUUCUUUCAAAAUAUUUUCUUGUUGUUUUAGUGCAGAAUUUUCUUUUUUAAGUUUGGAAAUCCUUUUAAGAGAAGUCUUGAGACUAAAACACAACUCAUCAAUGUAUUUAGAAACUUUAGUAGGGAUUUUAAAGUUACUCACAUCAAGUUCACUGUCUGAAUCUGAGUCUGUCUCGGAGUUUGAAUCUGAAUCCGAUUGUGCCAUUAGACAUAUAUUGGCAUAAUCAUCAUCACUUUCUUCACAUUCUGUAUCACUCCAGGUUUCUGCUUUGAGAGCCUUUCGAUAUUUUUCAGCUUUUCCUUUCUUCUUCCUUAGAAGGGGACAGUUGGGUCUGAUGUGUCUCUUUUUCUUACAUUCAAAGCAGACUACAUCUCUAUUAGAUUCAUCAUCCUCAACGGACUUAGUCUGUUGCUUUUGAAAACUCUGUUUCUUUGGAUUGAAUCUUCUUCCUUUUCUAUUCAGCUUUCUGAAUCUUCUUAUCAUGAGAGCAAGUUCCUCAUCAUCCAUAUCGUCUUCAGAAUCUGUAACAUCAGAAUCAUCAUUGGAUUUUAAUGCAAUGGAUUUCUUACCUUUAGGAUCUUCGUCUUCAUUGAUUCGCUCCACUUCAUAAGACUGAAGAGUCCUAACCAACUCAUCGACAGAUAGUGGCAUAAUUCUUUGUGUCUCCCUUAUUGAGGUCUUUAUGUGAUUCCAAUCCUUGGAGAGUCCACGCAAUAGCUUGUUUACUUUCAUGAGAUCAGAAAUUGGUUGACCUUGAUUUUCAAGACCAUUCACGAUUUUUGUAAAACAACUAAACAUGUCAGUUAUAGAUUCUCCUGAUUUCAUUUUGAAGGCUUCGUAUUGACCUAGGAAAAUGUUGAUUCUGGUUUCUUUCACUCGAUCAGUUCCUUCAUAGGUGAUAUGUAAUCUAUCCCAAACUUCUUUGGCUGUAACACAAGAAGAUAUUCUGUUAUAUUCAGUAGGUGAUAAAGCGCAAUAUAAAGAAUAAAUUGCUUUUGCAUCAAGAACUUGUCUCUUGGUUAUCUCUUCCUGAGUCAUUUCACUAGACUCAACAACUUCUUUUCCUCUCUCUGAUGGUCACUCUGUCAAUGACGGGAGUGACGGUCAGCUAAGGACCGCACAUCUAAGAUGGAAACCGGUUGACUUUUUUGACAGGUUUCCAUCUUUUACCCAAUUUCUUCUUUUUCUAAUUUUUAUGUUUUCUAAAUCACUCUGUCAAAGAUGGAGUCACAAUCAGCUAAGCCACACUCAAACUAAAACUUUGCCCAAGCUUUACGCGGACAUAUAUUGAUAAAUGUACUUUAAUUAUGUUUGUUUUCAUUUUUAUUUGUAUUAAUGUCAUUAAUUUGGGAUUGUUUAUGUUUGUUAUCCAUUAGGUAUAAAAUUACCAAGUAAAGCCAUAUGUCAUAUCAAACAUGAAAAAUUGAAAGUUUAUAGUCCAAUUUAACUUUUAACGAAGGCAUGAUGAAAAUUUAAAAAAUAAAUUUGAAAAUCGCUACUUCCUAUACAAAUUGGAUCCUACUUUUCAUUUUAUGAUAUGAGGAUUUCUUUUUUCAGUAUCAUAUCUUCAAAGGAUGUUUUAAUUCAACCUCAAUGGUUGAAUUAAACCUUUAGACCAUCUCAGCUUCUUCCUAGUGUAAAAAUUCCUAUGUGACGUCCAAGAUGAAGGAAAACCCUUUAGAAUAAGUCAAUUUUGGACGGUUGAUCCUUAUGACCAAAAAGCAUCCAGCAUCGAGUCUCUAUCCCGUGCUUGCAAUCACUUGCAUAUGUUGCCCACUAUUAAGUGCUUGUUUUAUCCCAAAAAAAAAAAAAAAAGUCACCAAAAAUCCUAAAUUAUGUUCACUGUGACACAUUGACACCAAUUUUUCUUUUCUUUUUACACUAAGAAUCCCAAAUUUGUAUUUAUGUGACAUAUUUACUCCCAAAUUUAUAUAGUGGGACAUAUCUAUCCUAAACUUCUUCUUAUGAUAUAAAAAAUCAUAAAUUUGUAUCCGUAUGACACAUUCAUCCUUAAAAUUUAGUGUCACAGAAAAAAGUUUGAGAAUUUUGAUAUUACAAAAAAAAAAGUUUGAGGUAAAUAUGUCAUAGAAAUAUAAGUUUAAGAUUUUUGAAGUCACAAAAAAAGUUUGGGUAAAUACAUCACAUGGGUGAAGUUUGGGGUUUUUGUGGAUUUUUCUCCUUUAUUUAUUCUUUCUUCUCUAUAUGGGCUAAAGAACGUAGAUGUUCAUGCUUUGACAAGUAGUGAUUCACCCUUGCUCUCACCAUGACGAAGAGGUAUCCUUUCAUUUGCUUAGCCACGACUAAUAUGGAGCACAAGCUCCUGGUUCAAACUUGUCUUACACACUCUAAUCAAUGUUUCUUAAACAUAUUAUGAUUUUCACCAGCGUUUUUCCUAAGCUGUAGAAAAUCACCAGGAUGGAGACCAAGGAUUUAGAGUGACGAUUCUCGUUCUUUGAUUUUGGAUGCCUCCAUCAUUCCAAGGACAUUAAAUGUGAGAAGUGAUGAGCUAAUGUCGCAAUUUUAUAGCAUCAACAACCCUUUUCCCCACUAAAACACUACUGAUUGAGACAUUUGAUGAUCGAGGGGCGUGAUUACGCUAUUUCCACCCUUUGUCUCCAGAAAAUGACUGAAUAGCUAUAGAAAUUUGCGAUCCUUGCCAUGAUAUUUCUCUCUAAGCAAGGCAGGUAUAGGGAUUUUUCUUUUGAUCAUCAGGUACAUAGACUCUAAUGAGAUUGUGGUUUAAAUUCGUUUUCUUUCACGUGGGGUCUGGUUGUUCCAGUAAAUUCGAAAUGCUGAUAAGAUGAAUUUUGCUGAUAUCGAGAAAGAAAUCAACAGUCUUGUAAAGAAGGCAAAUGCAAUGGAAUGGGAAGCAGCUGAUCUUUCUGUUGAUCGGAUCAUAUUUAUAUUUUGUUCCAAUGUCCCAUCAUCUAUCAUCAAUUCACCGCAUUACACGGAUCGAAAUCAGGUGGAAUUGUUAUUAAAUUCCUUAAGAAUGCAAUUUGCUAGCCAAAUUAAGAUCCGAAUAUUCCAUCCAAAUGUCCGGUGGGUACUGCUGUAGAAAGUCAAUAUCUUGCCUGUACACAACCCGAAAUCUAGCCUAAAUUACUUACUUUAUAUGCACCAUCCAAAAACUUUAAUUCGUAAAUAAAAUACGAGGAACCUUUUCUAUGUCCACCAUAAGUAAAUUUUCCUGAUAGGGAUGGACGUCGGGAAAAAGCUGAUAUUUUUCUGGAUUGGAUCAUAUUCAUAUGUUUGUUCAAAUGUCCCAUCAUUUAUGGUCAAUUCCCCGCAUUACUCGGAUCAAAAUUAGGUGGAAUCCUUAUUAAAUUACUUAAGAUUGCAAUUAAUUAGCCAAAUCAAGAUCCAAACAUCCUUAGAACACGGGGUUAAUUAGACAAUUUCGAGUGACAUUAUUGUUACAUUGAAUUUUAACUUUCCAGGAAUGUGGUGUGAUGUUGUUGUCAUGAGCGUGCUCCAACUACAUUAAAUUAGAAGACGAGGAGAUAUCUUUGGCCACCAUCACGGAAAGUCAAAUAAAAGCGUGGUCUAACAUAUAUAUAUACCAUUCAAAUGUGCGAUGGGUGCUGAUGUAGAAAGUCAACGUCUUGCCUGUACACAGCCCAAAUCUAGCCUAAAUUACUAACAUUAUUGAAUGAUUGUCUAAUUCAAAGGGAAUGAAUAAUGAACGUAAAGUUUGAAAUUCUAGAACUGUGACCCUUAGAUAUUGACUUUUAAUAAUUAAGUAAAGCAAUUUCCGAAUAUGAAAAGUAAAGAAACAACUUAAACUUAGACUUUUUUAUUAGUACGAUAUGCAUACAUGUCACACUACUUUACUUUGAUGGAGAAAAUGUACAUUGUAGCAUUUUAUGUCGGUUAUCGCUAGAUUAAACACUCAAGUUAUAAUUACUUUAGGGCCUUGUUGGCCGUAUUGCCCAAAUCCAUUGUGAGCGUAGGUCGAAUCAAGCCCAUGGGCCCUAAUUGGCCGACUGUGGCCCGACAAACAUUUGAUGGACUGGUUGGCCCCAGCCUUGAGGACUUUUGGUGCUUCAGAAAUAUAGUCAUUGGACAGUCGAUCCGUGUUUUAUUAUUUUUCUGCAAUUACUUUGUUUAUUAUUAAUAAUAUUUUUGUACUUUUUUCUUUAAAAAUUUGAGUUGCAUAGCUCGAGCAGAACUCCGAGCAUCGAAUAUCUAAUAGGAGUUGAGCUUGAGCUUGGCCUUAUUGUAUUGGCUUGACUCGAAAGGUAGUUAUAAAAAUAAUAGUUAUUUAUUUAGUAAUUAUACUAUUGUUUAAUAAUUAGUUCAUUUAUUUUUUUAGUAAUUAUAUUAUGGUUUAAUUAUAUCAAUUAAUAAAAUAAUGGUUACUUACAUUAGAAAUUCAAAUAUUGCAAUUAUUUAGAAAUUAUAGUAGGCUUUCAUUUAUGUCCUAUGAAAAUAUGAUAAUAAAAGAAAUUAGAGUUUGAUAUAUAUCAUCAAAGGGUAUUUUGGGUAUUCUUCACUAUUCCAAACAUAUUCUCCCUACUAUCAUGGCAAAACAAACCAAAUAAUUUUUUGAAUCCAUUAUACAAACCAAACUACAAUUUAGCUAUUCCAUUCCUAGUCCUACUCUCUUCCAAUUUUAUGGAAUAACUUUUCCAUUCCUAUCUUAUUAUAUCCCACAAUCAAAACAUCACAUGACACAUUUGAAAUAGCUUUUUUUAGUGAAGUCACAUUAUCAUGAGGUUAGAUCUCUCACCAUCAUUCAUAAAGAAACGUAGAAAUGUAAUCUCAACCGUCUAACUUUUUCACUUGAUAUAUAGGUUACUAAUUCUUGCAAUAAAAAUAUCUUAUCCUUGGAAUAAAUAUCUUCUACAUGGUAAAUGUCAUUUCUUUGAGGUAAAAAGAUUCAUUUGCGAUAAGGGAGCCCGUGAGUGGUCUCUCCAUGCCACAUUUCCUCAUUUUGUAGUCGAUCACCUAUGAUCUUCUGCCUUGAUAUAUUCAUGAUUUAUUUGAAUUACCCCAAUUAGACAACAGUUCCAAAGAGAUUCUUUCAAGCCAAGAGCAAAAGAAAAAAGCAUAUUCACCAAAAAAGUCACUAUGACUAUACUGAUGAAUUGUGCCAUGAAAUGUCAUAGCACAGUUCAUCGAACCCUUUUAAACAAGACAACAAAUAAGGUGAACAGCAUAGAAUCUUGGGCCCACGAUUUGUAUCCUCACUCAGAAUGCGGUGCUCUAAGCCAAAGAAGCUGUGGAAAUAGCGGCAGCUGCUAAAAUGUCGUGACUGCUCCAAAUUUGUGACUGGAAAUUGCAAACGUACCUGAUGAAUUAUUCUAUAAAUGCUGCGCCCCCAUACGAGAAUGAGAUUGUUGCAAGGAUUAACUACAACAGAUGCAUAAUAAGCCACCAUCAAAAUCUGCAGUUGAAAUUCUGAUAGGGGAUGCAGUUCUAGUUUUGGGGAGAGACGAUAGAAUUUGAUGAACGAAAAGAAUUUGUAUGGAGCCUUUCUCUUUUCAGCAUCUGAGACUGACGGCCUUGCCUUUGAAGCAACAGACUUCAAAAGAGUCGGUUAUAAUUGGCUUUUUCCCAUGCUGAUUGUUCUCGCCCCUGUCAAGAAGAUCAUGAACAGCUUGAAGCUGUGCAUCCGAAAACAGAGCUUCAAGAUCCGCUCCACUAAAUCCUUCUGUCAUAUGAGCUGUAGCAUCCAAGUCCACAUCACUGGCCAAAGGAACUGCACAGGGGCAUUAGAGCAUACACACAGCAAAACUUCAGCAUUGCCCAAUGGUUGCCAAUUUUACUGACUGAUUUGACAGAAUCGGAUUAAUAUAAUUAAAUCUACCAAAGGUAAAGUCUUAGUCCCAUCUCAUGGAGUCAGAUGUCAAGGCCUUUCUCAUUUUUCUUUUCUGAGCAACAUCAGUAUAUGUUAAAUCCACUAGUCUCAAGGUCCGAGGUUGAAAGUGAUUUACUAUUGGACAUUUAGACUUACCUGAGCCCCACCUUAGCAGGUUGCAGAUCCAACCCACGAAUGCCUUUUACAAUCUUCUCUUGUAAUUCACAAUGUUUAGGGUGAUUUGUAGCAGGACUUUUGGAGAACUCCAUGGGAGAAGGGGUUUUAACUUUUAACUUAACAUGUUUCACCAAAUGUACUCUAUCAGAUGCCACAAGUUCUAAACAGGAUCUUUAGCCGCUCAAUUGACUCUGUUUCUAACUCUUUUUGUUAAUUUUUAAGGAAUUUUCUAUUCAUAUGUAAUCUUUCUGAUGAUUUUUCUUGAAAAAGUAGGAUUGCAGUUAUAAAGUUCUUUUAACAAAUAGAACCUGUUUCAGACCAUGUCAAAGAUGAAAUGCUAAAAGAAAAGGCAUUGGUAGAUGGAUGUGAGCUAAGUUUCUACCUUCCUGGAUAAAAGUUUAACAAUAUCUAGCCUCUCCUGUAUAGAAGGAAAAUCACAGAAUUUAUGUUGAGCCAGCCAGGACUCAGAAGUGCAGCAUCAAGUGAGUGCGUUCUACAGCUUCACAUCAAAUGCAACUCAGUUAGCACAAAAAGCCCAUAACCUGACAAUUAUUAAAUAAAGAAAGAGCAUUCUUAGAAAGAAAAGUGAAUUAGAAUUACUAGGAAAUAGAUGAACCCGUGAAUUAGAAUUACUAGGAAAUAGAUGAACCCAUGAACCUUGAGCAAAACAAAAGAGCACCUCACGCAGCAAAGAUGUUAUGAUGACUAAGAAAUUGCAUAUGCUCGCUGUCACUAGACCCAAAUGAUCAACAUCAGUUGAUGCCGUUGUGGAGGCUCAAUACCAGCAUAUACACUUCUUUUAAGCUACUUCAGCAACGAAAAAGUAAUCCAUGCAAUCCCAUCUUUUAUCACCUUCUUUUUUAUACAUAUGUAGUCUAUCCAAUACUGUGCAUCGUAGUUCAUAAUCCUAGUUUAUGGUGAUCUUUGGUUGUGCAGUGUGACAUCCUGAAUUUUUUCAACUUGUUUUCUACUAAAUUUAUCGGGCAUUUCAUUGACGUGUUUCUAGGGCUAUUCUCAAAGCCGAUCACUCUUGAAAAAACUAGACUGUCAGGGUAAGCCAUUAAGAAUUUUAAGGCAAUAGACUCGAAAAUUCAAUCAGGAAUCGGCUUCUCAACCGUGCUUAUCAUUAGAGGCCGUUACGGCACAGUUAAAAAUCGAUUUGAAAUCAAAGAUAGGUCUGUUUGACUGAGAUGUGUGGCCGAUUGUGGGUGACUCCAGUAAAUUGGAAAAUUCUCGUCGAUUGAUACUAAUAUGAUUUUACAGUCAUUUUGGUAUCCUGUGUCCGUAAUUGAAUCCUCGAGAUUUUCAAGACAAUUGAGAGUCGCCGUUGAGUCGAGUGGGUUCAUUGUGGUUCAAAGAAAAUCGACCACGAGUCAUUUGCCUUAAAAAAUUCUGAAAACUACCCGGUAGUCUAGGUCACGCUAAAAACACGCCAAACAGAAAUUAACUGCGAAAUUCGAGGCCGAUUUCAGAAAUUGAAGUUUCUGUCAUGUCACAAUAAAUUUUAGGAGUGUCGACUUAGUCUUUGAAGAUUUUUUAGAGAUUCCGAGAUUUUUAUGGAAAAUUGGUUCGGACGCCGUGGAAAAUCAGCGGAAAUUCGGAUAGGCCAAAUUAAAGGAAAUUUCGACUUCCGAGCCGAGUAUUGAGUGUCAUGGACUUACAGAAAAUUGUUUGGGAUUUUUCUCCAUUGGAAUUGGACCUCAAUUUGGGAAAUUAAGUAAGAAGAUUUAAUUUAGUUGGGCAAAUUCGAAAUUGGAAAAAGGGCAGAAAUUUGAGGCUUCAAAUUGGAUAAUUUGGUGAAGAUUAAUCAGGAAAGAAAUUGGGAACCAUAGAAGAUAAGAUUGAAGAUUGGUGGGGCCAAACAUUCAAUCUAAUGGCUAAGGAUUAUUGACUUUCACCCCCCUCUUUGGCUUCUCCCUCACGCUCGGCACCCCCCAUCCGCUCAUUGUUCCUGCUUUUGUUUUCAUUUUCUCUACCGUGCGAAGCAGUCCCCACCCGGCCUCUCUACAGCUUCGUUGCUUCUCUUCCCCAACCAAAGUUCACAAGCCCCCGCUCACGCCAACCUCGAGAUCUUCAAUCAAGCUGCUCCUCUCCACUAGUUGCUGUCCCCCGCCAGUCAACUCUCCUCACUGAAGCCUGAUCGAAGCCCCGUCUACGGUUUGCUUCUCUCUCGCGCUGCCACCGAAGACCCAAAGUCCAGCAUCUUCGUUCGUGCCUUGCCAACAGCCACGAAGACUUGCAGCCACGCCAAGUAGCUGCUUCCUCGUCCGCGUGAAUUUCCCCGACGCCACGAAGACAGGAGCUGCUACCGCGCCAGCUCUCAAACGAAGCAGCACUGCUCGAAGCCGAGCGAAGCCACCCCCCAUCUUCGGUUUGGCUCCACGAAGCUGCCCCUUCGUCCUCAGUCUCCAACAGCAGCAACCCACGUGUUUCUUCCCUCGUUCCAGCCCGAUUUCCUGCCACCGUUUGAAGCCAGCGAGAUCUGCAAGCUUCGGUCAGCCCAGCAAGCCCAACUUCAAUUUCAGUCUUCAAGCCCAGUCAAAUUGCUUCAGCUGCAGCCCAGUCCAGUCCACGUGAGUUAAUUGGCCAAGCCCAAUUUCCAGCAAAGCAAUUAAAGUCCAGCCCAUAUCUUGAAGCCCAUCUUCAGCAGGUCCAACCCAACUUGGGUCCAGCCCAAAAGCAAAAACAAAUCUCAAUUGGGCUGAGAUUUGUUGGGCCCAAGUUUAAGGCCCGGUCCAAGCCCGCCGGUAUCGUCGAAAGCCUGAUUUCGGCUGCCGUCGCGUCGCCGUCGUGGUAUCCUGAUACCCGCUUUUAAUCAAGUGAGUAAUCUCACUAAUCCUUGCUUAGUAUACUAAUUAUGCUUAAGGAUUGAUUAGAUUUAAUUAAGUGUAAUUAGGUGGUUAAAUUAGAAUGGAUUAGUGAUUAUUAGUUAAUUGCAUUGCAUAUUAGUUAGGUGAUUAGUGUACUUAGCUAGAGAAUUGCCUAUACUAUUUAUUGAAUGCAUCUCGGGAUUUUUCCCGACCCUUAUCGGGCUUCAAUUAGGCAUUACGGGCCUAAAUUGGAUUUUUAAUAUUUAUUGAUUUAAUUUCGAAAUUAAUUAUUUAAUUAUUUAUUUUUCCGGAAAUUCAACCGGGAUGGCUGGUGACCGGAAUUUCAUGUUGAUUGUCGUGGUGCAGUCCAUUUAUUUAUUUGAGCUCUACAUUGUUCUAAAUUGAAUUAAUUGCGUGAAUUAAGGAAUUAUUCCUAAAUUGAUUGAAAUUAAGUGAAAUUGAAUGAUUGGUUGGUAGAUGGCCGAGUAUAGUUAUUGAGCAUUGUUAAUGCCUUAAUGAGUAAUGAGGUGGAGAGAAUCGUGAGAUUUAAUUGGGAAUACUUUUGGCUGAGACCAAUCAGAUACAAGGUAUAGACAGGCGUGGUUCCGUGAUUAAGGAUAUCACUGUGUGAAAAUGGCACAUUAAAGAAUGCACGUAGACUGUCUGUGACUUGUGGCAAGCAUGGUUCGAUGAUUAAUGAUAUCACUGUGCAAAAACGGCGCCUUAAAGAACGCACGUAGACUGUCUGUGAUCUGUGACCUAUGACAGGCGUGGUUCGGUGAUGAAGGACAUCACUGUGCGAAAACAGCGCCUUAAAGAACACAUGUAGACUGUUUGUUACUUACGUCACCUUGGCGAAAACGAUGGCCGAGAGUAUUAAUGGAGCUCUUUGACUAUGUGUACUAUUGGAGGUUAUAUAGUGGGUUGUGAAUGACCUAGAAGAGGUUUGACUGAUGUGUAAUCGACUAAGUCGAUUAAGAAAUGAUUUGAUCUGAUGUCGUAAUUUGAUUGACUGUUCGAUGUGAUAUAUGAAGCAUCUGUAUAUAACCUUAAAUUGCAGGUUGGAACUGAUGCCAAGGUAAGUCUUCUGACUCGUGCUGUGCUUAGGCAACCAUGUGGUGUAUUGGUUUCCUAAUCGAGUCUUAGUGGGGUAGAAUUUGCUGAGACGUAGUCUCAUCCCAGUUGUGGGACAACAUUUCAGGACCCUGAUGAGGAGCCUAAGGAGAAAGAAACUGAAGAGGAGUAUCUGGAGGAGAAUCUAGAGGAUGAUCCUGAGUACGACCAGGAUGAGGAUUGAGAGCCUAUCCGCUUUUUGUAAACCCUGUUUAUGUGUAGAUAGAGUGAGGCUUUAAAUUUGUGAACAGUUGUGAAGUACUCUGUAUUGUGUUAUGUAUAAGAGUUUGGUUAUGAGUUUCAAUAUGAAAAAUAUGGCAUUACUUUUCUAUCCCAUCGUUUUAUUGUCUGGGGAUUUAUAACUGCUUCCGCAUAUGCUAGAAAAAAAAAGAAAAUGUUGGUGAUACAUAGUCCUAGGAUAUUGCAUUAUAAAAUCAAUAAAGUAGAAGGAUGUGUGUGUGCCCGAGGAUUUGGGCGUGACAUCCCUUUUUGUGGUAUCAAAGCAAAGUUCAAGAUUGGAGUGAUAAGGAGCGAUGAGUCUUGGGAUAGUAAUAAGAAUGGCCUUUAAAUUCAUGCCGGUGCAUGUCUGUGUUAGCUAAAUGCUAGAAUUGCUUGUUGUUUGGAUCACUCUGUUUCUAAUUUGGUGUUGAAUUGGAAGUAGGUAUCAGUAGAUUAAAGUGACACCAUGAGCGAUUAGGAGCCUAGAACUCCUGCAAAGAGGACCAGUAAGGUCGUUGUUUGAGGGUAAAGCUCUGACUCGUGUCGGGACUCGAGGCGGAUGUGGUCGAGCGCGAGUGGAGUGAUUCCAUCUGUUGUAGGUGCCGGGGUAGCAGCCCCUAAUGAUCCUAGGUUGGAUGGGAUCUUGCGUGUUCUGGAAGCGAUGGGUACGAGAAUGGAUCAGCAAGCCGCUACAGUUGAAGCCGCCGCUUAGGUCGCCGCCACUGCCGCAGCUGCUGCUACUGCUCAAGCCGCCCUUGUCGCAGCACCUGCAGUUCCACCUGCCGUCGCCCCUACUGAAAUACUACCAGGAGUUGUUGUCACUGGGAGGCCGAUUCACCAGUUAGUGGAAUAGUUCUUAAAGAUGAAUUCGCCGAAAUUCAUUGGUACCGGAGACCUUGAGGCUGCGUCUCUAUGGGUACAGGAUUUGGAGAAGGCAUUUGCACUUCUGAUGUGCAAUGAGGAGGAAAAGGUGUUACUAGCUAUGUACCAACUUCAAGGUAACACCAAUAUAUGGUGGAGAGCCGCCAAGGAUACAGUGUUCCUGGAAGGUGUGGUCCAGGUAUGGGACACCUUCCUCAGAGCCUUUAAUGAUUAGUACUUUUCGAGUACUGCUCGGGAACAAAAGAUAGAGGAGUUCCACCAUCUCCUCCAAGGGAGCAUGACAGUUGACCAAUAUGGGGUCAAGUUUGCAGAACUAUCCCAGUAUGCUCCUAAACUGAUAGAAGACCCUAAAGGGAAAGCUCGGAAGUUCAAAAUCGGUUUUCGUGCUGAAUUGAAACAACCUCUACUACCAUGGGACUUGAAAGAUUAUAGAGAGGUUUAUCGUCGACCCCAGAUGAUAGAGCGAGGAUUGAAUGAACAAGCUGCCUCAUUUGGAUCGAGGUUUACCUCCCAUCGAUAGAAUAUCCGUCACGGGAAGAGACCCAUGUCUGGAGGUAGGCCUAAUGCUCCACCCUUCAAGAGAAGCGGGUUCAAUAGACCGAUGCCCAAUAGGGUUGAUUCUUUUCGCUCAUGUGGAAGACGACACGGGACAGCUCCCUGCCCAGCCAGGAUAGGAGCAUGUUACGAAUGUGGCCAACAGGGCCACAUCGUAAGGUAUUGUCCAAAGAAGCAGAGAGGACAACCUCAAUUGCCACCGCCACCACUAAUUAGACAGAUUAGAUGGUAUGCCCCUCAGAAUGCACCUUAGGGCGGACAGCAGAGACCUCCAGUUCAAGGCACCAUGUAUGCAAUUACGCAAGGCCAGGCAGAAGCUACGCCUGACGUGAUCACAGGUACAGUCUCGCUCAACAACCAACCUGCUUAUGCUUUGUUUAAUUCAGGAGCAACCCAUUCCUUCAUUACCGAGCAAUAUGUUAGGAUGCUAGGGUUGAGUCAUGUAUUAUUGGAGUCGGCAAUUUGCAUAUCUACACCCUUGAAAGAUAAAGUUAUUGUUGCUUUGGGAUGUUCGGGGUGCAAGUUAGAGAUUGGUGAGUGAGUGGGGAAAAUUGACUUGUUAGUCCUAGCCAUGUAUGAUUUUGAUUUAAUAAUUGGCAUGGACUGGCUCACCAAGCACCGAGCUAAAAUGGACUGCUAUCAUAAAGUGAUUCAGUUUGACCCGUUAGGGGGUAAGAGUUUCGAGUUUGUCGGGAAUCGAGGAGGACCCUCGAUUGUCCUGAUCUCGUCGCAAGAGACAACUCGUCUAUUAGACGAGGGUUGUUGAGGGUACCUGGCAACUGUCGUGGAUACGACAGUUGAGGAGCUGAAAAUGGAAGAUAUUUCAGUGGUACAAGAGUUUCCAGAUGUCUUUUCAAAGGAAUUGCCAGGGUUACCGCUAGAAAGAGAGAUUGAAUUUGUAAUUGAAUUAGCACAAGGGACAGAACCGAUUUCAAAGGCACCUUACCGAAUGGCGUUAUUUGAGUUGAAGGAACUGAAGGUGUAGAUGCAAGAGUUACUGGAUAAGGGAUUUAUUCGCCCUAGUGCAUCACCUUGGGGAGCACUAGUUCUGUUUGUAAAGAAGAAAGAUGGUUCGCUACGUCUGUGCAUCGACUAUCGGUAACUCAAUCAGGUAACGAUCAAGAACAAGUAUCCACUGCCAAGAAUUGAUGACUUAUUUGAUCAGUUGCAAGGGGCGUCGAUUUCCUCAAAGAUUGACUUGAGGACAGGGCAUCAUCAACUGAGAAUUAGGAAGGAGGAUAUUCCUAAGUCAGCAUUUCGUACUUAGUAUGGUCACUACGAGUUUACAAUGAUGCCAUUUGGGCUGACGAAUGCUCCAACUGCCUUCAUGGAUAUGAUGAACAGAGUGUUCAAGGAAUACCUGGAUCAGUUUGUAAUCAUAUUCAUUGAUGAUAUCUUGGUGUAUUCGAGAAGUGAUGGAGAGCACGAGAAUCAUUUAAGAUUAGUGCUUCAGACCUUAAGGACUCACCGGCUGUGUGCUAAGUUUAGCAAAUGCGAGUUUUGGUUGACUCGUGUUGCGUUCUUAGGUCAUGUGAUUUCCGGAGAAGGAAUUUCCGUAGAUCCGAGCAAGAUAGAAGCCGUAAUCAAGUGGCGAAGACCGACAACAGUGAUAGAGAUCAGAAGUUUUCUGGGUUUGGCAGGGUAUUACAGACGGUUUGUGGAAGGUUUCUCAUCGUUAGCCUCGUCUCUGACAAAGCUCACGAAGAAAAACGAGAAGUUCAUAUGGAUAGACAAGUGUGAGCGUAGUUUUCAAGAGCUGAAGGAAAAGUUGACUACCACACCGGUACUGACGAUUCCAUCUGGUCCUGGAGGAUUCGAGAUCUAUAGUGAUGCGUUUUUUAGAGGAUUGGGUUGUGUGUUGAUGCAACAUGGUAGAGUGGUUGCAUACGCGUCCUGUCAGUUGAGGCCCCAUGAGCAGAAUUAUCCAACGCAUGACUUAGAGCUCGCAGCGAUUAUCUUUGCCCUGACGAUUUGGAGACAUUAUCUAUGCGGGGAAAAGUUCCAAAUCUUCACGGACCAUCAGAGUCUCAAGUAUCUAUUCUCUCAGAAGGAGUUGAACAUGAGACAGCGCCGAUGGAUGGAGUUAUUGAAGGAUUACGAUCGUGAUAUUCUAUAUCAUCCGAGGAAGGCGAAAAAAGUCGCCGAUGCUUUGAGUCGAAAGUCUUUAGUAGCUCACCUACUAAUCAAGGAGUGGAACUUAAUCGAGAGAGCACGAGAUUUGGUGUUCAAAUUUGAGAUAGGCAACCUUUCGAGUUUUAUGGCCACCCUUAUAAUUAAACCGGAUGUUUAGGUUAGAAUCAAGCUACUUCAACCGACAGAUUCAGAUGUACAGAAGAUAAUUCAAGAGGACCCCAAUAAAAGAAAGGCUAAUUUUCAGGUUUAUGAUGAUGGAGUACUGAGGUUCCAUGGGCGGUUGGUUAUACUUGACGAUGUAGAGCUUAGAGAGGAUAUUUUAUUUGAAGCACAUCGUUCAUCCUGGAAGUACCAAGAUGUAUCAGAACCUGCGUCAACACUAUUGGUGGUUAGGUAUGAAGGCGAACAUCACCAAGCAUGUCGCCAAGUGAAAAUCACAAGCCCCCGCUCACGCCAACCUCGAGAUCUUCAAUCAAGCUACUCCUCUCCACUAAUUGUUGUCCCCCGCCAGUGAACUCUCCUCAUUGAAGACUGACCAAAGCCCCAUCUACUGUUUGCUUCUCUCUCACGCUGCCACUGAAGACCCAAAGUCCAGCAUCUUCGUUCCUGCCUUGCCAACAGCCACGAAGACCUAGAGCCACGCCAAGCAGCUGCUUCCUCAUCCGCGUGAAUUUCCCCGACGCCACGAAGACAGGAGCUGCUGCCGCGCCAACUCUUAAACGAAGCAGCACCGUUUGAAGCCGAGCGAAGCCACCCCGCAUCUUCGGUUUGGCUCCAAGAAGCUGCCCCUUCGUCCUCAGUCUCCAGGAGUAGCAACCCACAUGUUUCUUCCCUCAUUCCAGCCCGAUUUCCUGCCACUGUUUGAAGCCAGCGAGAUCUGCAAGCUUCAGUCAGCCCAGCAAGCCCAACUUCAAUUUCAGUCUUCAAGCCCAGUCGAAUUACUUUAGCUGCAGCCCAGUCCGGUCCACGUGAGUUAAUUGGCCAAGCCCAAUUUCCAGCAAAGCAAUUGAAGUCUAGCCCAUAUCUUGAAGCCCAUCUUUAGUAGGCCCAACCCAACUUGGGUCCAGCCCAAAAGCAAAAACAAAUCUCAAUUGGGCUGAGAUUUGUUGGGCCCAUGUUUAAGGCCCUGUCCAAGCCCGCCGGUGUCGUCGAAAGCCCGAUUUCAGCCGCCGUCGCGUCGCCGUCGUGGUGUCCCGAUACCCGCUUUUAAUCAAGUGAGUAAUCUCACUAAUCCUUGCUUAGUAGACUAAUUAUGCUUAAGGAUUGAUUAGAUUUAAUUAAGUGUAAUUAGGUGGUUAGAUUAGAAUGGAUUAGUGAUUAUUAGUUAAUUGCAUUGCAUAUUAGUUAGGUGGUUAGUGUACUUAGCUAGAGAAUUGCCUAUACUAUUUAUUAAAUGCAUCUCGGGAUUUUUCCCGACCCUUAUCGGGCUUCAAUUAGGCAUUACGAGCCUAAAUUGGAUUUUUAAUAUUUAUUGAUUUAAUUUCGAAAUUAAUUAUUUAAUUAUUUAUUUUUCUGGAAAUUCAACCGGGAUGGCCGGUGACCGAAAUUUUAUGCUGAUUGUCAUAGUGCAGUCCGUUUAUUUAUUUGGGCUCUACAUUGUUCUGAAUUGAAUUAAUUGCGUGAAUUAAGGAAUUAUUCCUAAAUUGAUUGAAAUUGAGUGAAAUUGAAUGAUUGAUUGGUAGACGGCCGAGUAUAGUUAUUGAGCAUUGUUAAUGCCUUAAUGAGUAAUGAGGUGGAGAGAAUCGUGAGAUUUAACUGAGAAUACUUUUGGCUAAGACCGAUCAGAUACAAGGUAUAAACAGGCGUGGUUCGGUGAUUAAGGAUAUCACUGUGCGAAAACGGUGCCUUAAAGAACGCACAUAGACUGUUUAUGACUUGUGGCAGGCGUGGUUCAGUGAUUAAGGAUAUCACUGUGUGAAAAUGACGCCUUAAAGAAUGCACGUAGACUGUCUGUGAUUUGUGAUGUAUGACAGGUGUGGUUCGGUGACGAAGGAUAUCACUGUGCGAAAUCGGCGCCUUAAAGAACACGCGUAGACUGUCUGUUACUUACGUCACCUUGGCGAAAACGACGCCCGAGAGUAUUAAUGGAGCUCUGUGACUAUGUGUACUAUUGGAGGUUAUACAGUGGGAUAUGAAUGACCUAGAAGAGGUUUGACUGACGUGUAAUUGACUAAGUCGAUUGAGAAAUGAUUUGAUCUAAUGUCGUAAUUUGAUUGACUGUUCGAUGUGAUAUAUGAAACAUCUGCAUAUAACCUUAAAUUGCAAGUUGGAACUAAUGCCAAGGUAAGUCUUCUGACUCGUGCUGUGGUUAGACAACCAUGUGGUGUAUUGGUUUCUUAAUCGAGUCUUAGUGGGGUAGAACUUGCUGAGAUGUAGUCUCAUCCCGGUUGUGGAACAACAUUUCAGGACCCUGAUGAGGAGCCUGAGGAGAAAGAAACCGAAGAGGAGUAUCUGGAGGAGAGCCCAGAGGAUGAUCCUGAGUACGACCAAAAUGAGGAUUGAGAGCCUAUCUGCUUUUUGUAAACCCUAUCUAUGUGUAGAUAGAGUGAGGCUUUAAAUUUUUGAACAGUUGCGAAGUACUCUGGAUUGUGUUAUGUAUAAGAGUUUGGUUAUAAGUUUCAAUAUGAAAAAUAUGAUCUUGCUUUUCUAUCCCAUCGCUUUAUUGUCCAGGGAUUUAUAACUGCUUCCGCAUGUGCUAGAAAAAAGAGUAAGGGUCGGCGAUAGAUAGUCCUGGGAUAUCGCAUUAUAAAAUCGACCAAGUAGAAGGAUGUGUGCGUGCCCGAGGAUCGGGGCGUGACAUGCAGCAUCAGAUAAUCCUAGUUCAAUCUCUGGAACCACAGGAAACAAAGAUUAUACAAAAGGGGGCAACCCAGGUUGUUGCAUUUGCCUAAUUGAAUUCAACUAUGAAUGACAAUCAUCAAAUUCCUAGACCUAGCUAACAGCAAAGGAAAAAGAAAAAUACAUAUAAUCUGCACAACAAAUAAGAAUUCAAGGAUGUAAAUGCCUUAUUGGGCGAAAAUACAUCUCUCCAUGUUUUUCCCCAAAUUCAAUUUUAGAUUGGUCCUUUCUAACACGCAUGACCAAGGUGAAAUGAGACAAAACAGAUGGACUAUAUAUCAACUCAAAACUAGCGCACAACAUAAAAAGUGAAAAGUCAAGCCCAAGAGGUUCUCAAUCAAAAUCGUUUUAUAUGGCAAGCUUGCUGUAAUGCAGUAAAUCUUAUGAAACCUAACCGAAAUCACUUGUCAAAAUGGGGAGAACAAAGUCUCUUGAAGUACACAUUGUGCUACCAUGAUUCGAGUUGCAAAACUAAAGAAUACGGUCCUACAACAACUUUUGAAUUUUUCAAGUUCACGUAAGUGCGACAUUACUCCACUCUUGGUUGUCACAAAUUAACAUGUCUUCCCAAUAUAUAGGCUCACGCCAGUUACAAAAAUCACGGCAACAGUAGUUCAACAACAAUAGACCUACCCCCAAACUGAAAUAGUAAACUGCUUGAAACAAACAGGGACCUUCAAGUUCCCAAAAAAUUCUGACGUACCUGUGUGAUCAUCACUUGGUCCCUCAAGAAUUGUAGAUCAGCAACAUGAACUUCUAAACUUGCUUUAGCAAUUUCUAGGUUCUUUUGUAGAAGAGUUGCCGCCUGUAACAUGAAUUAAUGCAAUAAAUAAGAUACUUGACAUCAUUAUUGGAGAUAAAGGGACAUUGCUUCAACUCAAGUACCUCUUCGCAUGAAUACUCCAACAUAACAUUUGCUCUCUGCCAAAAACAUACCGAAUCGGUAUGUUAGAUGUGAGCACAUGAAUAAAAUGCCUUUAGAGACUUCAAAAUCAGCAAGUGCCUGCAUCCACAAUAAAGAGCCAUAAAGGCCGGUCAGUUUGGCACCUAUUAUUAUAUUUUGCGUCUUAGAAGUUUUGAUGGUCUUAGGUUUUAAAGCCCAAUACAGUAAUCCCACCCCAUUUUGCUUUCUAAUAGGACCUUCAGACAUCAAAGCAUAACAUUAUUGGCGAUAUAUUUAGGUGUCCAAAUCUAAAACCACCGCACAAUUAUUGAGAUUAACAUGGGUUCUUUAAAGAACUAACCCAUAUUCUUAGGAACAUUGCUUCUGGAAGUGCAUUUGCGAAGGAAAAAAGAUAGUUGAAUAUUCCAUAUUUAGUCAAGUGCACCAAAAGUAGUUCCUAGUAUGGCAAGAAUAAGGCCACUAUAUCAUCUACCUGCUUUGUUAAGAUAAAAAGGACCGAUAUGAUCAACUAAGAGAACAUCGAGGAGCAAGAAGAUAUUUUAACAUGCAAAUUUUCUAGCAUGAUAAGAUUAUGCAAAAAUUUUAGUUCACAUCACACAUGAAAGAUGAUUGAUAGACUGUCAAGCAUUCCAGAUGAAAAGGAGAAACUGUGAACUAAAAAAUUGGUGUUUCAAUGACAGUACGAAGAACUUCAGGGGAUAAAAUGAGAAAGAACUCUGCAUUGGAAAAAUACUUAGUUAAAAUACAUGCACUGAGAAGCAUUCAGCUUGAAUUUCAAUCUUAAAAUCCAGAUCUGAGGCUAUGGUUCAAUAUUUCAGUAGUAUAGACACAUGCUUGUUGCACACACACAAUGACAUGCAUGCUCGAUCACAAGUCACUUUGCUAUAGCACAUCUAACCAUUCCUCUAGGGCUCAAAGAAAAUUUGGGAUCCAACCAGCGAGCUAUCUAAGUACAGACUUGUAGGUUGGAAAAGUGAAUGUCGAAAAAUGGGAGGGUCACUUUGGUAUAAGGCACCCUUUUCAAUUGGCCAGUUUGCUUCAGUCAUUAUGCAGGUUCCUAGUUGAGUGUCAAUUAAACUAGAGCCUAAAUAAGAGGAUAUCUUUGUGGCCAAAUGGAGUGGUGAGGUGAAGUAAUGGCCCAAUUUGAAAUGAUUGAUCAAUUCAAAUCCUGAAUUUUUCGUAUUGAGAAAGAUAGCACACCUUAUUUAUAUGAUAUCAGAGAGUUGAAGGUUGAAAACUAUUUGAGGUAGAAAACCUUAGUGCAGAGACAGAUGGCGGCAGGGCAUAGUACAACUUCUGCGCUCUGUCUGUGUUUGGCAGAGAGGCAGAGAUGCCCGGCUACCUCAUAGUUGAUUUUUUUAAGGACUAAUGGUGCAAAACAAAUCUAGCAGAUUCUUGUGCACUACAGAGAUAUCCAAAAUAAUAGCACGCGAGCAGGAUACUUCGUUGACGGCAGAAAGUACUGGAAUGUACAAUUUACCACUUGCAAAGAGACUGGUGACCAGAUGAGAACAAGAUUGUCAAACUCUGGUUCUCGCACACAAGUUAGCUGGUGUGAAAGAGAUGGGGAAGGACUUUAUUCAAAGAAGGCAAGGGCUGUUAACUACUUACAAGAUGAAAACCACAUGGACUUUAUUCGAAUGGUUAUCUGGCACCACAGGUUUUCCACAUGAGUCAUUGCCUUGGGAGUGUUUAAAAGUAGCCGAUAUACAAAAAGAAAAAAAGAAGGAUGCAUACAGAUCGUACUAGCUAUAGCAAAGUCGAUGAGAAUCCUCAGGUCACCCAUCUAUUAUGUUGCCGUUGGAUUGAAUCUCCUCAGGACAUGGAUCUGUCAAAGAGCCGAAGAUAAGAUGGUGACCAUGGAAUUGAGUCAUAUCCAAUGCAAACCUUGAGAUUAUGGUUUACUCUUUGUACAAUUAAUUUCUUACUUCCACUUUGUUAGAUUCACUUUGGUUUAAAUAACUCUAUUAAAAGGUUUGCUCCCCUUGGUGUGUUAGCAAGUAAACUAUUGCUUUAUGAAGAAUAUUACAAUAACACAGAAGCAUUGUCCUAUCCGAAUGAAGGGACACAUGAAAGAUAGUACUAGUAGCUCUGAGCUCCCUCAAGUGUUCAGUGAAAAAUUGAAAACAACCAACUAUGAAACAGUUUUAAGAAAGAGAAAACAAAAAAACUCCUGAAUUAGAUACAUCUCCACCUUUCUUUUGUCACUUUUUUGAAACAGUCUUAAAAAAGAGACAACAAAAGAACUCCUGAAUUAGAUUCAUCUCCACCUUUCUUUUGUCACUUUUUUGAAACAGUUUUAAAACACACAAAAAAAUAGAACUCCUGGAUUAGAUACAUCUCCACCUUUCUUUUAUUACUUUUUUGCAAUACUAUUAACUAGGCUCCGAAAUAGAAUAACAAGCAAAAUAAUACCUCGUCCUAUACUCUUGCAUUUUCUCAAAGGACAAGAGAAAGAUCCACAGCAGUGAUUAAUUUUUAAAUAGAACCUAAAUGCAGAUAAGUCCUAACCAUUUUAAGAUAACCGAUUGAAAGCAUCUAAUGCGUGACCGUCAAACACGGGAGGUAAUAUCAACAUUUUUCCAUGACAAAACCGAUGAAUAAGGUAUACCGUGCAAGAUGCAACACCUAAUCAGCAUGUUCCUCAUGCCAUUAAAUGAGAAAAUUUCCUGACGUGGGGAGCAUAAACAAGGCUUACUAUUUAGUGAUAUGCACCAAUAGUUUUUCAAUUCCAUAAUUUGGCUAAGCAAGCAUAUUAGAAGGAAAUUCACUUUCUUAUUCUAUUUCUAUGUGAAUGUUGACGUAAUUUGCUCUGUGGCAACUGCAAUGAUUUUCAAGAUUCAAGAACCUCGCACUUUCAGCACAAGGUUGUCCAUCAAGGUACCCCCAACCAUAUUAUUGGAGUCCAUAGAAAGGGCAGCUUGUCAUAUGAAAAGCAAACAACCACCACUUUCCCAUCAACUUGGGGAAAGAAAAGGAGAUUCCCCCAUAAUCUAGUUUACACAGUCAGAAGUAAGAGUCGCAUGACACAAUAAACCUCACCAAAACCCUUCUUGGCCUGCUGUGUAGCGACUAUGUCUAAACAACGAACCUCACUGAGGGCCAUAGUGGGAAAAAAGAACCAAGUGGACUCAGAUCUACCAAGUGCUGUAGCUGCUGCCUUCGAGAAUAUCCAGAACUUGUAAUUUUCUAAUUGCCGUUACUCUCAAAUAUUCAAAUUUCUCUAGUUAGCUGACAAAAUCAACCCCAUCAAUGUGUAGAAUAGAAAAUUCAGUCGACAUUUGUUCACUAAUUUCAAAUUUCUAGAAGAGAAAUCUUUCUCUUCAUCAAAUGGUCAUAGAAGAUCCUCUCAUUCACACGCAAGGAAACUCAUCGGUCUUUUCGUCUUGGCCACUUCAGUAGUUAUGGUAGGAUCGUCGUAGCUAUUGUAAAAAAUUAAGCCAUUGAAUGCAUAAGUGGAAUAGGACUAUUAGCCAUAUAUAGUUUGGCCGGCAAACAACUUUAAGUUGCUCAUAUAGAUCCCCACCGUUACACCGAAAGACAUUUCAGCGGGAAUAGUUGACUGCAUUCCAGGACUUCGCAUAAAUAGAUGAAAAAAAUUAAUAAUUAUGGCUAGAGAAGUAGAACUUCUACUUUAAGAAUGGGAAUGCUUGAAAAUUGCAACUAUAACCAUUGGCAUCAAAUGUGGAGCAAAGCUAACAGUGAUCUUUGAUUGUGCAGCAUUAGACAAUCCCAAUUCAAUCUAUGGAACUGUAGGAAACAAAAAUUAUACAAAAGGGAGCAACCAAGAUUAUUGCAUAUCACGUCCUGAUCCUCUGAGCAUGUGUCCAUCCCUCCAUGGUCGAUUAAAUAGUGACGUCCCAGGACGCGUGCUGACCCAUCANNNNNNNNNNNNNNNNNNNNNNNNNNNNNNNNNNNNNNNNNNNNNNNNNNNNNNNNNNNNNNNNNNNNNNNNNNNNNNNNNNNNNNNNNNNNNNNNNNNNUGUUAUCCCCACACGAGGUGAGACAAUGUCUCAGCAAAUUCACCUCCUAAGCCCCGACUUGGAAGAAAAUACGCCCCAAGGGCUGCCUAAGUACAAAAACGAGUCAGAGGACUUACCUUUGCCUCAGUUCCUUCCUACAAGUCAAUACAAUUCAUAAUCUCAUUGUGGCACCCCGAACCCUUCGUAGGUCGCCACAAGCGCCAAUGCUACACCUUAAUACCUUUCUUCUUGGAAGAGGCGUUGUAGUUCAUAGACAUAUAUUAUUUUUUUUUUAAAAACGGUCCCAGCGCGACUCAUUAGCGGGAGCAAAAUAAAACAUCACCAUCUCUUCCCCUACCAAACCAUGAUACAAAUACACACCACUAAUCACCAUAAUUAAUAGACAAGCCACGACAUUUUAUUUACAUAUAUUUUCAAGAUGGGACUUCUUUGGGUCGAUACAUCAAAAAGGAAAAGCCAGGACUCAGCCAUGUCCAGCCUAAAACCCCAAAAAGAACCCUCGACCCGCUACAACUCGCGUGCAUAAUCCCCAUCAUCAGUGUCGGCUAAACUAUCCCCAAAAAAAAUCCAGCUCCUACUCGUCACGCACGAGCCUCACACCCAAUCCGGUGCAUCAGGCGGUGGCGGUGGCAACAUCCCUCUCAUCACCCCAUCGCGACGAACGUGGACAGAGACGAACUCCUGGACAACCGGGCCCCCAGCCAGGCCUAUGUCGUACAUGACAAAAUAACGCACUCGUAUAUACGUUAAUCUAGGCACAGAAGGACAGCCAAACUCCUCGCACUCAACCUCUACAUCGGAUGGUAGACCGUAAAAUGCACCCCGCAUGACGGCAGGGAACGGCAUGCUGCUAAUCUAAAAUGUUGGUCCCCAAAAGGGGUGAGUACAACAACUUAGCAGGUAAAGGAAUCCAAUAACCACUCAAUGCAUCAUACAAGUCAUACAUGCAUUGCAGGCGUUACUUACCUAGAAGCCAUGCAUAUACUAUCAUGCAUCAUCACCAAAAUCAUAACACAUACAUGUGUAUCAUCAUGUCAUACUCAUAUCAUCGUCAUCAUGACAUUAUUAUAUCACACAUAUGUCAUCCUCAUCAUAUACGUGACACCAUCAUACCAUACACAUGUCAUCAUCAUCAUGGCAUCAUCAUAUCACACAUGUCAUCAUCAUCAUGACAUCGUCAUAUCACACAUGUCAUCAUCAUCAUGGCAUCAUCAUAUCACACAUGUCAUCAUCAUCACGACAUCAUCAUAUCACACAUGUCAUCAUCAUCAUGACAUCGUCAUAUCACACAUGUCAUCAUCAUCAUGGCAUCAUCAUCUCACAUAUCAUCAUAUCACAACAUAUAUGCAUGUCAUCAUGCCAUAUCAUAUAUCAUCAUCAUAUCAUGCAUAUCAUCAUGCCAUAUCAUAUAUCAUCAUCAUAUCAUGCAUAUCCUCAUAUCAUGCAUGUCUCAAUUUCCAUUUUUUUUAACAUUCAAUUUGAUCACCACAUCACCCUUCCUCGGAUCAUCAAUUUCAUCUCAUGUUUUACACUCGCAUCCCAUGCGAGAAAAACCUCCGGCAUUCAGCCCUUCAAGGCCACCGGGCAUCUGGCCCCCCACAUUCCGGGCAUCUAGCAUCCCAACUGGCAUCACGAGGCAUUCCCCUCGGGCAAAGACCUCCAACAGGGCUUCCGGCAUUUACACUCCCUGGCCGGGCAUCCCGCACCCCAAUCCUGGCAUCGCGAGGCAUUCCCCUCGGGCAAAGACCUUCGACAGGGCUUCCGGCCCCCCACAUUCCGGGCAUCCUGAAACUCCCAGGGCCAUCCGGCAAUGUAUCUCUAUACAUUCCGGGCAUUAUCCUCCGCCACAACAAUCUCCUCAUUUAACAUUAUCCAUGUUCACCAAUUUCGGUCUUAAUUUAGCAUGGCAUAUGAUGUAUUGGCAAUCAACACUCAUGUUCAGCAUUGAAUUCACACAUGCAUCUCAAUGCAUACAUCAAGACCUCACCACACAUACUACAUGGUGCAAUUAUUUAUAAAAUAAAAUUCAUGGAAUUUAUGCCAAUUAAAAUAAUCCAUUUAACAUGACCUUUUUACAUUUAUUUAAAUUCCAGCUUAUGCCAUUUUCAAAAAUAUUAAAUUUAAUUAUUUAUAUAAUCUCAAAAAUCAUAAAAUUAAGCAAGUAAUAAAUAAGACAAUCGGAUAAUGAUUUCAUGCAAAAUACACGGCCAAUAAAAAUUCCACACAAUUUCAUAAUUCACACAAAACAGCACAUAAUUUUCGGAUGAAACCAGAAUGCACAGUCUCCGAAGAAAUUCGAUUAAAAUAUCCAUACGACCUCCAAAAAUUACGAAAUUUUACCAUGUUAUAGCCAAGACAGUUUCGUACAUCUUUCAUGAAGAAUUACAAGCCAGAUUCUUUCUAGAUUAGUUUCUACAGUCUCACGAAGCUUCUGGAUCCAUCACCGAAUCGUCCAGUGCAUGCUUCUCCGAAAUACUGAGUUUUCACCUACCUAUUAUUUUUCGUUUCCUCUGAAAUUUAGAUAUGUUUUACAUCAAGAUGUUCUCUACAAGUUUCAUGAAGAUAUAUAAGUCAAAUAACCAGAGUAUAGUCGUCAUUUAGGUCCAUGAUGUCUCGGGUGUCCUGUAAUACAUCUCCAGAAUUUACCGUCUUCAAGAUCUAGUCGAUUUACUAGGUUAUACUUGUUCAUUUUGCUUCAAAUUUGAGUAUGUCGUAGUUUAAGAUGUCCCCUACAACUUUCAUGAAGAAAUCGAAAAGAUAUUAUUAGCACAAAUCAACAUGCAACCACAAAUCCAACAAGAAGUCAGCAAAAUCGUUCCAGAUCUGAGGUCUCCGUAGGAUGAGAGUUUAACCCCUUAAAUCUCCAUCAUUUUCCACCAAAUUUUAGUAUGUUGUAGUUUAAGAUGUUAGCUACAUUUUCAUGAAGAAAUAGAAGCCAAAAUCGGACUCUAAACAUGCAUGCAAGCUCUCACAACAUUCUGACUCGGGCGGGUUCAAACAAAACAACAACCUUACUCAAGAACAAGCCAUUCCAAGCUUCGGUUUUCCUCACCUAGUCACCUAAAAUUCGACAUACAUGUAACACACACACAUGCAAGAGCAGCUAGAGGACUCCAACUUGCCUCUAGACCGGACGGACGACGGCACACAGCGGUGAGCACGGCGGACGGACCGCGACGACUCCUCCUCGGCUCCUCCUCCCUCUCGGCCACUCUCCCUCUCUCUCUCGCGAAAUCUCUCUCUCUCUCUCUCCCUUUCUCUCUUGGCCGAAUCAACCGGCCAUUCUCUCUCCUCUCUUCCCUUUUUAUCUCCCCCAAACCUCAUCAUUUGCAAUCAUGAGAUUGCCUUUCAAUUGGCCAAUGCAUGGCAUUUCCCUUUGUGCCACUUGUCACUACACAUGCAUGGGCUUUGGGCUUGGGCUUGGGCUUGGGCCGGCCACUCUUGGUCGACAGCAGCCCACUUGUGGGCUUCAAUGGGCCGGCCAACUUGGCCCAUUAAAGAUCCACUCUUGGGCUUAAGGCCCAACCAAUUUUUUUUUAUAAUUUAUUCUAUAAAUUUUUAAAUUUUAAUUUUCCACAUGGCCAAAGUCUUGCGACAUUUUAUUUAUAGAAAUUUAGUCUAUAAAGUGCAUGGCCAAGCAUAGAUUAUCAUCAUUAAUCUAUCUAAUUUAAAAUCUCAUAAACACAAGCACAAAUCACCUAAUCUUAAAAAGACUAAUGGCUAAAGCAUUUAAACCAUAGGUAAUUUCAUUACCUAGUUAGAGGCUUUAACACACCUUAUAACUUGACUUUGAAUUUUGGGAUGCCACACUCAUAGAAUCACCUCAUCACAUCAAAUUAUCACAAUAGAUGAAUCAUCGAUCAAUCGACUUAGUUGAUUCCAUGUCAUCAUGACCAUUUCUUAGUCAAACAACUCAAUAUUAUCUAUCAAGUUCGACUUAGUCUAGAACUGCUCACCCUAAGCUAAAGAUAUAUAAUAUAGCCCACCCAAAGCUGAUAAUAUAGUAUACCGCUCACCCAAAGCUGAUAUAUCAGAGCCUUUAGGCCGAUAUAGUAUACUAAUAAUGCUCACCAGAAACUGACAAGGUAUACUGCUCACCCAAAGUUGACAUAUCAAGGCCCGUAGGCAGAUAUAACAUGUAUACCGCUUACCCAAAGCUGAUAUAUCAAGGCCUGUAGGCUGAUAUAGUAUAUCUAUGAUGCUCACCCUAAGCUGAUGAAGUAUACUGCUCACCCAAAGCUGAUAGAUGUAGUAUACCUAUUCUCACCAAUUGAGUAUGUCACCAUUUUUAUCAUUCAUAAUAAAAAUACUCGUGUGUGGGUACACAGUCGGCCUUAGCUAAAAUAUAAUAAUUUCUUUUCUACAAAUCCCACCAUUUAAUAAUGUCCACCAAAAUAUUUUUGGCUUUAUAAACCGACGCUCGGUUAUUUUCCAAUCAAUUACAGAAAAUAAUAAAUUUUGGGAUAAAUACUCCACAAUCACAAUCAACUCUCAAAUUGCACAAAAUAGUAGUCAAUUAAAUAAACCAAUCACACCACUACAAUCAGUACAAAAUUCCGGUCACCGGUUAUUCCGGUCUAAUUUUCGAUAAAUAAAUAAAUAAAUAAAUACGGAAAAUAAUUAUUAAAUGCUAAAAUGCAUACUUAGGCCCGUAAUGCCUAAUUAAAUGCCGAGACGGGUUCAGAAAAUUCUCGAACCUAUCUAAAUAAAUACUAGAGCAUAAUUACUCACUAUUUACACUAAUCUAACCACCUAACAUGCAUCAAGGAUUAACUAAUUCACUAAUCUAUUCUAACUAACCACCUAAUCCUAGCUUAACUUAAACUAAUCAACCCUUAAAUGUCAUUAAUUUACUAAGCAGGGAUUAAUGAGUUAAACUCGCUUGAUUCGUGAACCACUCGGACCAAAACGACGGGGAUGCGACGAGGAUUGACAAACUCCAAAGCAGCUGUGCCGUCGGGGGCCCGAAACGGGCCGAAAAUGGGCCACAGAAGGCCCACGGUUGUUGGACUGACUUCGAGAGGCUAUUGGUCAAAGCUCGACGGGCUGGUUCCUGCUUGUUUCGAAGUGGGAUCACGAUUGAUUGGGGCUAGAACGGACGACUACUAGGCUUCGGUGGUUCCGCUGGUGAUCGAUGGGCCUGCAACUUAAAGAUGGAGCUGGAUUGCAGGCUAAAAAUGGAGCUAUUAUGUGGGCCUCUACCUGAUCGAAAGGCCAAGAAGAAGCUACUGGUGUUGACGUCUGUUUGCUAGAGGAAAAAGGCUGACUUGGUGGGCUUGAUGAAGAAGCAGUGGGCGGGCUGCACGUGAGAUGGUGUGUCGGUGGUGUUUAGGUGAAGAAGAGACGGACGAAGGUAGGGGCGUCGGUGGGGCAGAGAACAUGCGAGGGAAGUUGAUAGCGAAGGAGAAGUAGAAGCAGACAGGGCAUCGACGAAGCGGGCAAGGCCAACGAGAAAGGGAUUGAAGGAGAGAGAGAGAAAGGAUAAGGUAGCAGGGGCUUGUCGGCUUAGAGGGAGAAGGGAGAAAGAAACGUGCGACUAAGGGAGAGAGAAAGAGAGGGAUUGAAGAGAAAGCCAGCUGGUUCAAAAGUCAAAGGAAUAUAAAAAGCAAAUAAAGACUGAAAUAGAGGGGGACGAUCGAACGAAGGAGGGGGUAAAAUAAAAAUAAAACGUCUUAUUUUUAUCCAAUCUUGGUUCCACAAAUUUCCAUGUAAAAUGCUUGUCCUCACUUGUUUUCCUGCACCAAAUUUCCUCCAAAUAACAAGUCUUGGGUAGCAACAAAGGCCAUUUCUCUCAAUUCCGAAUCCUAUUUCAUUUUUCUCGAAAUCCGAUUUCUUAACGAACUUCUUCGAUUCAAGCCCAAUUUUGUUGAAGAAAAAACCCCCAUGAUUUCCUUUCAUCAAGUAACUCACACCGGAGGCCAAAAAUCCCUUCAAAUUGGCCAAUCCAAAUUUCCGUUUGUUUUUCGAAUCGUCCGAAUUGAUUUUCUGCAAAAAAUCCCGAACUCGCCAAAAAUUCCUCAAAAGAUGAGUCGACAUUCCUAAAAUGACUCGUGACACGACAAAACUUUCAAUUUCUGAAAUUGGGUUCAAAUUCGCGGUUAAUUUCAAUUUGACGCGAUUUUAGCGUAAGCUAACCUACUGGGUAGCUUUUAGAAAUUUUUGGUGCAAUUGACCCAUGGUCGAUUUUCUUCGAGCCACACGUACCUAUUCGACACAUUGGCGACUCUCGGUGGUCAUGAAAAUCUCGAGGUUUCAAAUACGGAUACAGGGUACCCAAAAUGACAGAAAAUUGGUGUAGUGCCAAUCGACAAGAAUUUUGCAAUCAGGUGGAAUCACCCACACUUGAAUCACACAUCUCAGUCGAACCGACCUAUCUCUGGUCUCUGAUCAAUUUUUAAUUGUGCCGUAAUAACCCUUGUAGACUAACACGGUCGAGCAGUCGAUUCUAGGUUGAAUUGUCAAGUCUAUUAUAUUAAAAUCUCUUAAUGGCUUCACCGGAUAAGCUAGUUAUCUCGUGAGUGGCCAUUUCAAAGAAAAACACUAUAGUCACGUCGAUGAAAGGCCUAACUUAUCCAAUCGAAAUCAGAACUUGAAAAUCAGGAUGUCACAUUGCAUUUGCCUUAUUUAAUUUGUCAAUGAGUCAGAGUUAUCAAAUUCCCAGACCCAGCUCAAAACAGCAAAGGAUUCAGAAGUCAUUGGCACAACAAAUAAGAAUUCAAGAACAUAAAUGCCUUAUUGGGCGAAUUGCAACAUCUUCCUCAAUUGUGUUUGGUAAUUUAAGAUGGGAGGGAAUGAAUGAAUAGCAAACAAACAAACAAAUAAACAAAAUAUAAGUUUAGAAGUAACUAGAAAAGCACCUUCAAUUCUUCAUGAAGGAAGUAACUAAAUCACUCCUACUGCAUAAAGUGUAUCAACAAUUCACUCUUUCGCUAACUAGGCAUUAAUUCUUUUAUUUCAUUCCUCACAAAUCAUGAUUGUACUGUAUUGAAAUUGAAAAAACAUUCCACAAGGUAUGACCGAUUCUCAACUACCUAUGCCUUUCAACAAAACCUAGCAUUUGUUAGCAUCUUUAGUGUGCUUACUAUCUAAGCAAGUUACAUGCUGCCAAGCAUGUCAACCCUAACAUUAUGCUGAUGCGCAACAUAAACCAGCUAAGCAUCACCACAGUGGAGGCAAGUGAAAGUACCGCAUAUUCAUGACAUACAAUAAAGGAAUUUUGCUCAGAGAUAAGAGGACGAACAAAUACAAGCGGUGGUUCUAGAACUAAGAUGAAAGCUUAGUUGAAAGAAAACUCACAAGACAGGACGCAGCAAAAAACAAACUCUAGUUCUAUGGACUUACCAUCAUCGACUAUCUUUGCCAAUCAAAUGAUACAUACCUUAUCCAUCUCUAUUGAGCUUCGAGCAGUCAAUGAUGAUGAGUUCACAAGAUUUUGGCACACCCAAAACUGAAAGGAUCGACAUCUGCUGAUGCUGUUGAAGAGGCUAAAGACUAGUUAAAUACACUUCUAGUAAGCUACUUUAGCAACUAAAAAGUAAUUCAAGCGAUCUUGCCGUUUGUUACCUUCUUUGAUACAUAUGUAGUUUAUCCAAUACUAUGAACAAUUCUAAAUCAAAGGAAAGUCAUGUCUAGCAUUUAAUAGCCUGCCUUGAAGGUUAUUAUGUAGUCUCCAUAUUAAAUGCUUCAUAUUAAUUUUUUUGGCAAAGCAUUCAUAAUGGCCAUGCAAUUUCCAACAGCAGUUUACAGUUAGUGUGCUAUGGAAAGAGAGUACUUUUUGUUACCAUGUAAGACGGAAUUAUUACCUUGUCCCUGCUGACACAAACACACCACUUAAAACUUCAACACCAUCUGAAUCAAUAAAAACUGCACCAAUGAAUAACAUACCAUUAGUGAGUCAUACCAUCAACUAUAUUUCACAUGACCACUUUAUAAGUGCCACUGAAUGCAAGAAACUAAUUGAUUGAUGACAUGGUCAGUGAUCCCUGUAUUAUCAUACCCCCUCUUCAACACAAUGGAAUUAAAUUCAUGAAAAAAGAGAAGGCAAGGUGCUACAGCUGCUGCCUUUGAGAAUAUAUCCAAACCUGUAAUUUUAAAAUUGCCAUUACUCUCUAAUAUUCAAAAUUUCUCUAGUUUGUUCACAAAAUUAAUGCCGUCAAUGUGCAGAACAGAUGAUCCAGUAGACAUUUGAUCACAAAUUUCAAAUUUCUAGUAGAGAAAAACUUCAAAUAUCUUACAUCUUAAUCUUUCUCUUAAUCUUCAUAGAGGAUUCUCUCAUUCAUGCGUGAGAAAACUCAAGAACUGUUUUAACUUGGCCUCUUCAUUGAUUAUGGGAGAAUCCUAAUUGCUGUUGUUUAAAAUAAUAUAAUUAGAACAUCUUGGUUGCAAUGGUAGGAUCCUCAUUGCUGUUGCUAGUUAUCCUAUUUCGACUGCUGGCAUAGAUGAAGGGACCUCUAUUAAAUGCAUACAGAAGCAAAAGAAGAAAGCACAAAAUUGUGAAAUGUAUGGAAAUAACAAAGUUCAAUAGAAGAUUGCAUAGUAGAACUCAAUAAACAUCCGUGUAGUUGAAAAGAAGCCUCUUACAGCUUACUAAAAAGUACCAAUGUACCGAUCCACAACUCGCCCUUUUACUAAUAUGGAUUGAAGAGAACAAGUCGUUGCUAUAGCACCAACAAUAUGUCUUGCCAAAGCCUAGACAUCCAUGUAAAAGAACAUUUCACCAUGGUCUUGGAGGAGCUUGUGCAAAAGCAUUUUAUCAGCAAAUGUAAAAAUGAUAGACACAAAGAUCAACGGGUUUAUUUAACAAGUUAACAGUAACCACAUUAUUAGCAAAGACAGAGAGAGAUGAGGAAAGGUGCAAUAAAUCGGCUAAAAGAAAAAACAAAAUCUAGUCUUCAACAACACAAAGGUGCUCUUUCCUAACACUAGAAAUAGCAGAAUGCACAAUUUGAUGCAGCUAAACCUACUCUUCAACGAAAUAAUGGCUUGACCAUAUCGACAAGUUUACUCCAAUAUCAAUUGUCUCCCAGCACGAAUUUCACGCAUAAAUGGCUAAAUACUAGAAUGAAGAAAGAUAGUUCACAAAUCACACCAUGACUCAAGACUUUAAGCUUUUGCACUUCGGUUCAAAAGUAACUAGAAAAACACCUCCAAUUUUUCGUGAAGGAAAUAACUAAAUCACUCAUAUUGCAUAAUAGGUAUCAACGAUUCACUCUUCCGCUACCCAAGCAUUAAUUCUUUUAUUUCAGUCCUCACAAAUUAUGAUUGCUCUCUACUGAUAUUAAAAGCACUGCAUAAGGUGAGACUAGUACUCUCAAGUCUCAACCAACUUAGCCUUACAACAAAAACCUAGCAUUUGUUAGCAUCUUUAGUGUGCUUACUAUCUAAAAGUUGUUGGAGAAAACUCCUUUACUAUUUUGAAGUUGACAAAAAUUUUCCAAAAGUCUAGUCUGAAGACUUCCAGACUCUAGCGUCAAAGUUUGAAGACCGCCAGACUUUAGAUUCAAAGUUUGCCCACACUGACAAUUUCUAGACUGAAGAAUGAAGACUUAUCCAGAUGGAAGAUUAUCUUUAUUUCUUCAAGGAUUCGAUUCAUAUGGUUUAUGGAUAACCUUAUGGAUGGAUAUAACACGUACAUGAUUGAUUAUCUUUAUUGGAAUCAAUUCUGAUAUUCAAAUCUUUUGGAAGGCAAGCAAACUUGGAAGGUUCUACUUAUGGAAACCAAGAUCUUGAUUGUAUGGGCGAAUAGAAUUGACGGGCUUUCAUCACAAAUCGUCUAACGACUCGAGAUCUCUUUGAUUGAUUCUAUCCAACGAGUAGAUUGGAAGAAUUCCUUUGGAAAGUGCCAACGGUCGUGAAGGCAUGAAGGAGUAUUUAAGAUGGACUCUCCAGUUGUUCGAUAGUGAGCGUGAAAGAAAAAAUUCAAAAUUUGAAGCUUCUUAGUUCCUUGUUAUUCAUUGAGCUCAAAGUUGUAUACAAAAGAGAGAAACUCCUAGUGAGACUUUGUGAGAGACCAGUAGAGACUCUUCACUGAGAAGUCGAGAUCACAAGUUGUAAAAUCUCUUCUCAUUCUUAGUGAAAUCCAACCAAUGGAUAGUUAGCACGGGAGAGUUGACGUAGGCUUGAUCUAAGCCGAACCACUAGAAACCUUAUGUUCUUAUUCUCAUCCCUUAACUCCUUUAUUUUAUUUCGUAGCUUUAUUUAACUAUUCAAAACUGAAUUCUUUCAUAGUCUAUUAUCUUCUAUAAACAAAUUACUUCUACCGAAUCUUGCGAAAAUUUUUAUUCACACCUAUUCACACCUCUCUAGGUGUUGUUACUUGUCAUGUCCCAAUCCUUCGAGCCCGUGCCCAUCCUGCUUGGUCGAUAUAAUAGCGAUGUCCUAGGACGCAUUGCCGAUCCAUUUGUUUUAAUAUACGCAUGCGAAAGUAGAUAUAAAUCCCCAGACAAUAAAACAACGGGAUAGGAAAGUAGGGCCAACUUUUUGAAACCAUCACAACCACACUUAUAUAUACAUACAUAGCAAACCAUGUCAUAUAUCAUACAAGCUGGUCUAGGUAUGUAAACAUAUACAUAAAAGUGAGUCCUUAAACAGGGGGGUCUAGCCACCACGGCUACUCGUCCUCGUCAAACUCCUCUUGCUCCACAUCCUCAUCCUCAUUGGAGUCUUUUGCUAAGUACACCGAGGACUCUAACUCUUCCAGCUCCGGGUCCUUCGCGUCCUCCGCCGAACCAUCCUUAGGGUAUGCUGUACCCUUUCCAAAAGCAACCUCUAAAACGUAUAAAGGUACCUCAUUUUCCGGUACAAGGCCCACCCUUUGGCCAUGUGGCAUCUAGGAAUUUCAACCCGAAAUAUUGGUUUUGAGGGAAACGAUAUUUGACUUUGAAUGGCCAUAGGGACAAUUACAUCAUUGGCCACGGUAUUUUAUCUCUUGGACCGAACCCCUUAUGAAAACGUUAAUUGAUUAUGAGAAUGUUAAUUGAUUUCUAUAAAUAAAAAUCAAAAUCAAAUGCCCUAAAGUGGUGUAGGAAUUAUGGGCUAUUUAAAUUGGACAUAGGACGAUUUGAUAAAGAAGACUUUGUUCUUGACUAUACACUUUGUAGAUUUGAUGGAUUAAUGUCACAAAGUCUUUUGGCCAUUUUAUUAUGCAAUUAGAUAUUUAUUUAAAUGAGAAUUAAGAUGUAUUAUAAAAAAAUAAACUUGGGCCAUUUAAGUUUGGGCUUUAGGCCCAAGUGAGAUGGGCCUAAAGUGGGCCAUAAGCCCGGCCCAUGUCGUCGCAUGGAGGGGGAGGAGGAGGAGCCGCAUGGCCUCCAAGUGUCUUCAACAAAGGAGACACUUGUCUCCUUCUUAGGGACAAGUGUCCCCCAUGCAAAAUAAGAGUGCAUGCAAAUAUAUAUACAACCAAAAGAAAGAGAGAGAGGGAGUGGUCGGUCUAGGUGCCGAGAGAAAGGAGAGAAAGAGAGAAAGAGAGGAAGAGAGGAAGAGAGAAAGGAAGGAGGAGGUUCGUCGCCGCCAUGCCCCGCCGUCGAGCCCGCCUAGUCCCGCCGUCGUUCUUGCUGUGUUUUCCUUUGAAUUAAGGCAAGUUGCGAAUGAUUUCCACUUUUGCAUGUGUGCCUUGCAUGUGUGAUUUGUUGGUGGUAGGUUUCGGAUCAUAGGGUAGGCAAAACCGAAGCUAGAAUGUGACUUGUUCUUUUGUUUGCAUGCUGAUUUCGUGUGAACCGCCUGGACCAGAAUCUUGUGAGAGCUUGCAUGCAUGUUUUGAGUUGGAUUUUGACCUUUAUUUCUUCAUGAAAGUUGUAGCCAACAUCUUAAAAUAAAAAAUACUAAAAUUUGAGAUAAAAUGGUGGAGAUUUAAGGUGUCAAACCCUCAUCCUACGAAGACACUAGAUCUGGAACGAUUUCGCUGACCUUCUGGUAGAUUUGUGGUUGGAUGUCGAUUUUUAUCAAGAAUCUCUCUUCAACUUCUUCAUGAAAAUUGUAUAGAACAUCUUAAAUACUAACAUACUCAAAUUUGAAGUAAAAUGAGCAAGUGUAGCCUAGUGAAUCGACUUACUCUUGAAGACGGUAAAUCUGAAGACGCGGUACAGGACACCCGAGAUUUCAUGGACCCAUAUGGUGACUAUUCUUUGGAAAUUUGACUUAGAUCCCUUAAUGAAAGUUGUAGGGGACCUCUUGAAGUAAACCAUAUCCAAAUUUAAUAGGAAAUGAAAAAGAAUAAAUGGGUGAAAACUCGAUAUUUCGGAGACACCUACACUGGACGUUUCGGUGCGAGAACCAGAAGCUUCGUACGACUAUAGAAAAUGAUCUAAAACGAAUAUGGCCUAGAAGUCUUCACAAAAAUCUACUUUAGUGUCUUAGCUACAUCCUGGUAAAAUUUCAUAAUUUUCGGAGACCGUUCGGAUAUUUUAAUCGAAUUAUUUCGAAAACUGCACAUUCUGUUUCUAUCCGAAAUUGCAUGCUGUAUUUGUGUGGAUUAUAUCUUUUGUGUGGAACUCUAUUGGGCAUGUAUUUUUCAUGAAAUUAUUGUCUUAUUGCCUUGUCUAUCCCAUGUCCUGAUUUCAUGAUUUUUGAGAAUCAUAUGGAUAUUUAAUUUAAAUGUUUUCUAAAAUGGUACAAGCUGGAAUUUAGUAAACUUCAAAAAGGCAUGAUAAAUGGACUAUUCUAAAUUGUAUGGACUCCAUGAAUUGUAUUGUUAUGAAUGAUUGUGUCUUGCUGCAUAUAUGAUGAUGAUUGGAGAUGCAUGUAUGAAUCAAAUGAUGAAAAUGAUCUUGAUUGCCAUCACAUCACAUGCCAUGUUGAAAUUGAGCCAUAAUUGUGAAUGUGAAAUUGAAAAUGAGAUGUAUGAGAAUAUGCAUCGUGGUGAUGAGAAGACGGUUGGAGGUGUGAGCCGACGAUGCUUCGGGAGUGUCGAGAUGUCCGGUGGUAUACGGUACGUAAUUUCAGGGGAGGCCUGGUGGUAUGUCGGUACGUAAUUCCGGAGGGCAGGGGAAACCAUUUUCAUGGCGAGCCCCGGAGAUUCCCCGGGAGUGUCGGGAUGCCUGGUGGUAUACGGUACGUAAUUCCAGGGGAGGUUUGGUGGUAUCUCGGUACAUAAUUCCGGAAGCUCAGCAGGUAUUGUGCCGAGGGAUACCUCGCGAUGCUAAAUGGGAUGCGAGAUGCCUGGCUAGAAGGGUACGGCCGAUUGCCCAGUAGGUAUUGUGCUGGAGGGUCCUCGUGAUGCUAGUUGGGAUACGAGAUGCCCAGAGCGUGGAGGUGCCGGAUGCCCUGUAGCACCCCGAACCCUUCGGCGGUCGCCACAAGCAUCGAUGUUACGCCUUAUUACCUUUUUCUAUCUUGUACUUAGAACAAGCGUCGUUAAUCACAGGCUUUUUUUUUUUUUAAAGCGGUCCCAGCGCGACUCAUAGCGGAAGCAAAUUAAACAUCACCAUCUAUCCCCCUACCAAUCCAUGAUACCAAUACACACCAGCUAAACAUCAGGAUUUUAUAACCAAGCUUCGACACUUUACUUACAUACAUAUAUGACAAGAUGGGAUUCCCUUCGGGUCGGUAUAACAAAAGGAAAAGCUAGGACUUAGCCACGUCUAGCCUAAAACCUGAAAAAGAAACCCUCGACCCUCAACAUCAUACGAGUACAGACCCCCAUCGAAAGUGUCGACUAUCUACAUCAAAAAGAUCCAGCUCCUACUCAUCGCGCGCAGGUCUCACACCCAACCCGGUGCAUCAGGCGGUGGCGGCGGCAACAUCCCUCGCAUCGCUCCAUCCCGACGAACGUGCACAGAAAUGAACUCCUGAAUGACAGGGCCCCCAGCCAGGCCUAUGUCGUACAUCACUAGACAGCGUACUCGAAUAAAAGUCAGUCCGGGAACAGAGGGAUAGUCUAUCUCGGCACACUCGACCUCUACAUCGGAUGGUAGACCAUAAAACACCCCCCGCGUGACGGCAGGAAGCGGCAUACUGCUAAUCUGAAAUGUUAUUCCCCAAAAGGGGUGAGUACAACCACUCAGCAAAUAGAGAAAUCCAAUAACAACUCAAUGCACCAUGCACAUCAUCAUACGUUGCAGGCAUUACUUACCUUGAAGUCAUGCGCAUACUAUCAUGUAUCAUCAUAUCAAUUCAUAACACAUUCACAUGUAUUAUCAUUGUAACAUGCAUGUCAUGAUCAUCAUGACAUCAUUACANNNNNNNNNNNNNNNNNNNNNNNNNNNNNNNNNNNNNNNNNNNNNNNNNNNNNNNNNNNNNNNNNNNNNNNNNNNNNNNNNNNNNNNNNNNNNNNNNNNNNNNNNNNNNNNNNNNNNNNNNNNNNNNNNNNNNNNNNNNNNNNNNNNNNNNNNNNNNNNNNNNNNNNNNNNNNNUAUAAUAUCAUGGGUGAUCAUCAUUAUUUCACAUCACAUACCAUCAUCAUCAUCAUCAUCAUCAUGCAUAUCAUCAUGCAUAUAAUAUCAUGCGUAUCAGGUCAUGAUUUAAAUUUUUCAUCUUUAUCUUUAAAUUUGAUCACCACAUCACCCAUUUCUCAAUUCAUCAAUUUCAUCAUCCCUUCGAGCAAAGACCUCCGACAGGGUUCCCAGCAUUCAGCCUCCCAGGCCACCUGGCUUCCGGUCCCCCACAUUCCGGGCAUCUCGCAUCUCAACUAGCAUCACGAGGCAUUCCCUUCGGGCAGAAACCUCCGACAGGGCUUCCGGCCUUUACCCUUCUAGCCAGGCAUCUCACACUCCAAUCCUGGCAUCGCGAGGCAUUCCCUUCAGGCAGAAACCUCCGACAGGGCUUCCGGCCCCCCACAUUCCGGGCAUCCUGAAUCUCCCAGGGAAUUUCGGCAAUGCAUCUCUAUACAUUCCGGCCUCAUCCUCCACCACAACCACUUACUCACUUAUCAUUAUCCACAUUCAUCAUUUUGAUUUCAUUAUUACAUGACAUACGAUUCACACAUGCAUCACAACUCAUGGUCAUACAUACACCAAUGUCGUAUCAUACAUGUAACAAUGCAUAAUUAUUUAUUAAUAAAUUCAAUGGAAUUUAUGGCCAAUAAAAUAAUCCCCCUUUUAUUUUAUUAUUAUUAAUUUAAUUUAAUUUAAUUAUCAUAUUUAUUUAUUUUCAUAAAUAAAUAUUAAAUUCAAUAUCUAUAAUUUCCCAAAAUCAUGAAAUUCAAUUUAAUCAUUAAAAAAACCAAUAGGAUGACAUUUUCAUGCAAAAUUCAUGGCCAAAUUGAAUUUCACACAAUUUCACAAUUUCCACAAAAUAGCACAUAAUAUUCGGAUAAUAACCAGAAUGCACAGUUUCUAAAUAAAUUCGAUUAAAAUAUUCAUACGGCCUCCAAAAAUUACGAAAUUUUACAGGAUGAUAGCCAAGACAUUUUCGUACCACUUUCAUGAAGAACGCCAAGUCAGAUUCCUUAUAGAUUAUUUUAUUCAACCUCACGAAGCUUCUGGAACCCUUACCGCAUUGUCCAGAAUACACAUCUCCGAAAUAUUAAGAUUUCACCCAUCUAUUCUCUUUCGUUUCCUCUGAAAUUUGGAUAUGUUAUGUAUCGAGGUGUCCUUUACAAGUUUCAUGAAGAGAUUUAGGUCAAAUAACCAAAGUAUGGUCACCAUUUGGGUCCAUGAAGUCUCGGGUGUCUCGGAACACAUCACCAGAAUCAUCGUCUCCAAGAUCUAGCCGAUUUACUAGGCUAUACUGGUUCAUUUCUCUUAAAAUUUGAGUAUGUUGUAUUUUAAGGUGUUACAUACAACUUUCAUAAAGACAUCGAAGUCAAAUCUUCAACAAAAAUCAACAUGCAAUCAAGAAUCCAACAAGAGGUCAGUGAAAACUUCACAGAUCUGGGGUCUCCGUAGAAUAGGACUUUGACCCCUCAUAUCUCCAUCAUUUUCCACGAAAGUUCAGUAUGUUGUAGUACAAGAUGUUAAAUACAACUUCCAUGAAGACAUCGAAGCCAAAAUUGGACUCCAAACACACAUGCAAGCUCAAACAAGUUACUGACUCCCACAACCCGAGCAAGAACAGUCACCCGACUUAAGAACAAGCCAACCUUACCUCGGUUUUUCUCACUAAAAACACCCAAAAUCUAACAUGCAAACAAUAUACAAGCAUGCAAGAGAAGUUAGAGGACUCCACUUGCCUCUAGGAUGGACAAACGACGGCGUACGGUGGUCGGACACGGCGGUGACGGCGACUCUCUCCUUCCUUUCUCUCUCGGCCGCUCCUCCUCUCUCGCACACCUCUCUCUCUCGCACGGUGUCUCUCUCUCUCUCUCUCUCUCUCUCUCUCUCGGCCAAAUGGAGUAAACCGGCCACUCUCCUCUCUCUCUCUCUUUUUAUUUCCCCAUCUUCUCAUGAUUAGCAAUCAUGAGAUUGCCUACAAACCCACCAAUGCAUGGCCUUCCCCUUUGCCACUUGUCUUGAUCCAUGCAUGGGCCGGCCACCUCUUCCUUUGGGCCUUAAUGGGCCGGUCGAAUUCCCUCUUGGGCCGACUAGCUUGGCCCACCAAGCUUAGGCCAAUGGGUCCAAGGCCCAUUCGAAAAUUAACCUCCUUUUUCCUUUUUUUUUUUUGAAUUCCUUUCUAUAAUUAUUUUUAAAUUUCAAUCUUCAUCUUGGCCAAAGUCUUAGGGCAUCUUGGUUAUUGAAAUUUAAUUUAUAAAGUACAUGGCCAAGCAUAAAUUAUUAAUCCAUCAAAUAUAAAUUCUCACAACCAUAAGCACAAAUCAUCUAAUUAAAAGACUAAUGGCUAAAGCAUAAGCCAUGGAAAUUCUAUCACCUAAUUAAAGACUUUAACACACCUUAUGGCUUGGCUUUGAAUUCUUGGGAUGCCACAUGCCCGGUGGAAAUUGUGCCGGAGGGUUCUCGCAAUGCCAGGAUUGGGCACGAGUGAUGAAUGUGGGAUGCAAACAUUGGUCCCGGGAAAGAGAAAUGUGGCGGUCCAAUAUGAAAAGAUAAAAUUGAGAAAUUGAAAUUGAAAUAUGCAUGAUGAUAUAUGCAUGACAUGAUGAUAUGUGCAUGGAUGCAUGGUAAUGAUGAUGGCACGUGUGAUAUGAUGAUGAUAUGUGCAUGGAUGCAUGGUAAUGAUGAUGGCACGUGUGAUAUGAUGAUGAUAUGUGCAUGGAUGCAUGGUAAUGAUGAUGGCACGUGUGACAUGAUGAUGAUAUGUGCAUGGAUGCAUGGUAAUGAUGAUGGCACGUGUGACAUGAUGAUGAUAUGUGCAUGGAUGCAUGGUAAUGAUGAUGGCACAUGAUGAUGAUGAGUGCAUGGAUGCAUGGUAAUGAUGAUGGUACAUGUGACAUGAUGAUGGUAAGUAUAUGGCAUGAUGGUGAUGACUAUAUGAUGAUGUAUGUACAUGAGGUGUGAUGACAUGUGCAUGAUAUCAAGGUAAAUUGUGCAUGGAUGCUUUAAUGACAUGUAAUGCUAUGAUUGUGAUGAUUGUGGGGCAUGAUGCAUUGAGUGGUUUAUUGAUCCUUUACCUGCGGAGUGGCUGUACUCACCCCUUUUGGGGACCAACAUUUCAGAUUAGUAGAUGGAUUAAGCGGUUGGAUAUGACCGCCAGGAGAAGGAUAGCAAAUGAGGGAACUUUUGGACGCCGACACUGGUUGAUGGACCUUAAGCAUACGAUUGUGGGAGGAGAUGUCGGUCAUCUUGAAGUAUAGCCUAGUAUAGAAAACUAUGGCAUUUUGAUGUACCGAUGAAUGAUGUCCAUAUGGUUUAAAUGAAUAAAAGUGUACGGCUUUUACCUAUAAAUGUUUAGUUGGUGUGCAUCGUUUUCUGAACAUAGGGAGUUGAUGGAUGUGCUUCCGCUAUAUGAAUUGCGCAAGGGACCGAUGAAAAAAAAAAUGUGUAAACCCCCAGGUUGUAUGGACCCACUGCAAUAGAAAUGGUAUCAAAGUGACAUAUGAUUAGGGAAAGUGAAAGGUAAGCAAACUGUGGCGACCCUAUCGGAUCGGGAGCCGUCGAGGGGUGCCACAGGCCAUUAUGGUAAUGGCGAUACCAUGAUCGAUAUCGAUGGGGCACCUUAUGGGGUAAUCCCGCAUCGACCCAAACGGUGGAUUUCACCAACACAUAUUCAAGACCCUUAGGGUGUCUGUGUAUAGGAAUGUGGUAACUCAUUUCAGUGAACUUUUUAGGUUGUCCAAAAUGAUUCGGCGGAGCUACCAUCUACGGGCUUGAAAUGUUGUCCCACAACGGGGUGAGAUGACGUCUCAGCGAGUUCUACCCGCUAAGACCCGAUUAGGAAGAAAAUAUGCCUUAAGGGCUGCCUAAGCACAACCACAAGUCAGAGGACUUACCUUAGCCUUAGUUCCUCCCUUCAAGUUAGUUCAAUUCAUAAAUACUGACAAACAAAACACCCAAUCAAUUCAGAUCGAAUCAUCGAUCAAUCGAUUCAGUCGAUUGCAUGUCAACAAGACCACUCCCCGGUCAUCACAAGUAUUCCAUCUCAAUUCUCAAUCACAGCUCAACGAGUAGGGUCUAUCAAAUUCUCAACUAUAAAUCACAGUCCAAGGGAUACAACUUAUCUUAGGUGGUAAUCACGGCCCAAUGGGCACAACCUUUAAUAGGUGGUAGAUCAUGGCCCGAUUGGGCACAACCUCUAACAUAUGACAAAUCACGGCUUGAUUGGGCACAACCUCUAAUAGGUGUUAAAUCACAGCCCGAUUGGGCAUAACCUCUAAAAUGUGGCAAAUCACGGCUUGAUUGGGCACAACCGAUCCUAAUUCGGUGGCGAAUCUCGGCCCAAUUGGCACAGCCAUACUUCGACAGUUUUCUAGGUUCAACUCACAAUCUCUCAUGGUUCUUUUCCAUCCAAGUACCGACAAUCUACAAUUUUGGGAUAAAUUCCCAUAAUCCUCAAUUUCACUCAAUUUUCACAAACUUGUACUCAAUUAAAUAAACGGAAAGCACCAUUGCAAUCAGCACAAAAUUUCGGUCAUCGGCCUCCCGGUUGAAUUUCGGGAAAAUAAAUAAAUAAAUAAUUAAUUACAAAAAAUUAAUAAAUAAAUACAAUAAAUAGCAUAAAUGCUAACUUACACUCGAUAAAGCCUAAUUGGAAGUCGAGACGAGCCCGGAAAAUUUCCUAACCACUAUAGUUAAAUACUAGAGCUUGUCUAGGCUCUAAUUGCACUAACUAUCCACCUAACAUGCCAUCACAAUUAAUUAAAUUCAUUAAUCUAAUCUAAUCACACCACCUAAUCCAUCUUAGCCUAAAUUAAUCAAAAUCCCUAAGCAUAAUUAACUUACUAAGCGAUGAUUAGUGAGUUAAACUCACUUGUUUCGCGAUCCGUUCGGCUCAAUUGACGGGGAUGCCGCGGGGGACAACUUUCUCCAAAGCGGGCCUAACUUUUGGAGUCGAGAACAACCUCAAAACGGACCAAGAUUCUUGCUGGAAACCCAUUGAUUUGCUCUCUAUUUGGGGCUGAACUUAGCUUAAAAAGGGGCUCGGUUGGCCGGUUGAGGCGGAGACCGGUGAAGGCGAGGCAGACAGUUCGGCGAGGGCAAGUAGAGGCCGAACGGGAGCCCACAACGGCUCAGGCAGCGGGGCAACUUGUAAUCGGGUCAAGGCUCCUCCUAGGUACAUGGCGGAGCUAGAAUAGCGGUCCGAGAUGGUGGGGAUGCAUGCAUGGGUAGGCGAGGCGAGACAGGCUCUCGCGAGUAGUUCGGCGGGCUUCAACGGUGGCGUACGACGGUCUAAGCGGCUGCUGGCUUCUCCUCUGGAGUUCUGGAUUUCAAGCAGCAGAAAUGGAGAUGGGAAAGGGGGUUGCUCGACUGCUUGAAGGGGGGAGUGGACUGGUUCAGCAAGUGGGAUUGGUUUUGGUCCCCUUGACCGGUUUGUCCCCAUCCUUUUGGUCUCCCACCACCAGUUGGUGUCCACCCAUGAUUUUCAGAGCCAAUUGCCCUCUUCUAGAAGCUUGGGAUGGUCCAAAAUGUUGGCUCCAUGGGGUGUUACGAAUUUCAUGGGUUUUAGCUACAAUUGGACACUAAUUGCUUCUCAAUUCUAUCCAAUUUGGCUCUCAAAAAUUCAAUUAGCACCUCAUUGAUCAAGUUGGUAUUUUUCCUCACCAAUUGAUCCCACUUGCUUCCCAAUCGUGCAUUCAAAAACAGUUCUAACUUUUUCUGGACAUAAACGGCCCUAGGACGACUUUUUCCCAAAAAGUCUCGGUUUGCAGAAAAAUCUUCGCAGGCUAAGUCGACGUUCCUAAAAUGACCUAUGACAUGAUAGAAUUUUCAAUUUUUGAAAUUGGAUUCAAAUUUGCGGUUAAUUUUACUCUGGUGCGAUUUUAGCGUGACCUAACCCACCGGAUAGCUUUCAAAACUUUUUAGUGCAAAUGAUCCGUGGUCGAUUUUCUUCGAGCCAUAAUGAACCUCUUCGACACAUUGGCGACUCUCGAUGGUCGUGAAAAUCUCAAGAUUUUGAAUACGAACACAGGGUAUCAAAACGAUAGAAAAAUCAAACUUGUGCCAAUCGAUGAGAAUUUUUGCAAUUUAGUGGGAUCACCUACGUUUAACCACUCAUCUCAGUCGAACCGACCUAUCUCUGAUCUCUAAUCGAUUUACAUCUAUGCUGUAAUGUUCUCGACAGAUGAGCACGGUUGAGCAGCCGAUUCCUAGUCGAAUUCUCAAGUUUAUUUGCCUUAAAAUCCUUUAAUAACUUCCCCAGAUAGUCUAGUUAUCUCACGAAUGAUCAGCUUUGAGAAUAGCACUAUAGACACGUCGAUGAAAUGCCUAAUUUAUUCAUUUGAAAACAAGAUCGAAAAUCUAGGAUGUCACAACUUUUCCCCUCUUAUAAAAAUUUCGUCCUAGAAAUUUAAACCUUACAAUACUUAAGCAAAAAGGUGGGGGUACAAACGUCUCAUCGACUCUUCAAUCUCCCAGGUUGCUCCUUUAGUACCGUGGUGUUGCAAGACCACUUUGACCAUCGGGAUGGUCUUUGUACGCAGAACUUGCUCUUUUAUGUCCACGAUCCGAACUAGGCUUUCGACCUAUGACACUCGGUCAUCCACGUCCAAUUCUUCAAAAUUAAGCACAUAGAUUGGGUCAAGCUCGUACUUCCUCAAAAUCGACACAUGAAAGACGUCGUGCACUUGCACCAAUGUUGGCGGCAACACAAGACGAUACACCAAAGUCUCGAUUCUCUCAAGAAUCUCAAAUGGACCUACGUACCUCGGACUCAGUUUUCUUUCUUGCCAAAGUGCGAAGUUCCCCUCAUUAGUGACACCUUCAGAAAAACGUGAUCACCAACUUGGAAUUCCAAAAGCUUUCAACGCUUAUCUGCGUAGUUUUUCUGACGACUCUGAGCAGUCUUUAAUCUGCCUCUAAUAACUGCCACGGCAUCCACUGAUUACUGAACUAACUUUGGGCUUGUAAUCUUUCUUUCCCCAGCUCCAUCCCAACACACCGGUGUUCUACAUGCUCGGCCAUACAAUGCUUCAAAUGGAGCCAUCUGGAUGCUCUGCUGAUAACUAUUGUUUUAGGCGAAUUCCACAAGAUGAAGUUGUUCCUUCCAACUUCGUUUAAAGUCCAAUACACAAGCUCGCAGCAUAUCUUCUAGGGUCUGAAUUAUCCUCUCAGAUUGGCCAUCCGUCUAUGGAUGAUAUGCUGUACUAUACUGAAGCUUUGUACCUAGAGCACUCUACAAGCUCUUUCAAAAAACGGUAGUAAAUCUUAGGUCUCGAUCCGAUGUUAUCGUAAUUGGUACUCCAUGCAAUCGAACUAUCUGACGCACAUAUAAUUCAGCGUGCCUAUCCAAGUCAAGAUCCUUUCGCAUUGCAAUAAAGUGAGCCGACUUUGUCAACCUGUCGACUAUUACCCAAAUCGAAUCAUUACCCCUUUGACUCAUUGGUAACCUGGUCAUGAAAUCCAUCGUGAUAUGCUCCCACUUCCACUCUAGGAUCUCAAGAGGUUGCAAGAGUCCUCCUAGCUUGCAAUGUUGAGUUUUGAUCUGCUGAUACGUCAAACACUUGGUGACAUACCUGGCGAUGUCUGCCUUCAUACCUGACCACCAAUAGUGCUGGCGCAGAUUUUGAUACAUCUUGGUACUUUUGGGAUGAAUGCUAUAACUACUCCGAUGAGCUUCUGAUAAAAUAUCAUCUCUAAGCUUCGCAUCGUUAGGUAUAACCAAUCGUCCCUGGAACUUCAGUGUUCCAUCAUCAUAAACCCGGAAAUCAACUUUCCUCUCCUCGAUAUCCUUUUGUAAAAUUUUCUGAACAUUUGGGUCUGUCGGCUGGAGUAGCUUAAUCCUGAUCUGCACAUCCGGCUCAAUUAUGAGGGUAGCCAUAAGAUUAGAAAGGUGGCCUACCUCAAAUUUGAACAUCGAAUCUCGAGGUUGCUUGAUUAGAUCCCACUCCUUAACCAACAAAUGAGCAAUUGACGACUUUUGGCUUAAAGCAUUGGCAACCUUAUUCGCCUUUCCUUGGUGAUAUAAAAUAUCACAAUCGUAGUCCUUCAGUAAUUUCAUCCAUCGAUGUUGUCUCAUAUUCAGUUCAUUAUGAGAGAAUAAGUACUUGAGAGUCUGAUGGUCCAUGAAGAUCUGAAAUUUUUCUCCACAGAAGUAAUGUCUCCAAAUAUUCAACGCAAAUAUGAUAGCUGCGAGUUCCAAGUCAUGCGUAGGGUAAUUCAAUUCAUGAGGCCUCAAUUGGCGGGAGGCGUAUGCAACAACCUUACCAUAUUGCAUCAACACGCAACCUAGUCCUCUAAACGACGCAUCACUAUAGAUCUCGUACCUUCCAGGACCUGAUGGAAUCGUCAGCAUAGGUGCGGUAGUUAGCUUUUGCUUCAGUUCUUGAAAACUAUCCUCACACUUGUCUGUCCAUACAAACUUCUCGUCUUUCUUCAGGAGUCUUGUCAAAGGAGACGCCAAAGCUGAAAAUCCUUCCACAAACCUUCUCUAAUAACCUGCCAAACCCAGAAAACUUCAGAUUUCUAUCACGGUAGUCGGUCUCGGCCAGUUGAUCAUUGCUUCAAUCUUGCUUGGGUCCAUAGAGAUUCCUUCGCUUGAAAUCACGUGCCCUAAAAUCGCAAUACGAGUCAACCAAAACUCGCAUUUGCUAAACUUAACAUACAGUUGGUGGAUCCUUAAGGUUUGGAGCACUAAUCUCAAAUGGUCCUCAUGCUCCUCAGCACUUCUCAAAUACACCAGAAUAUCAUCGAUGAACACGAUCAUAAACUGAUCCAUAUAUUAUUUGAAUACUCGAUUCAUCAAAUCCAUGAAAGCAGCUGGAGCAUUCGUCAACCCGAAUGGCAUCAUAGUGAACUCGCAAUGACCAUACCGAGUACGAAAUGCUGACUUUGGAAUGUCUUCUUUUCUGAUCCUUAGCUAAUGAUAUCCUGUCCUCAAGUCGAUUUUCGAAAAUAUCGAUGCUCAUUGUAACUGAUCAAACAAGUCAUCGAUCCUCGGCAAUUGAUACUUGUUCUUGAUCGUCACCUGAUUGAAUUGCUGAUAGUCGAUGCAUAAGCGGAACGAACCAUCUUUCUUAUUUACAAAGAGAACUGGUGCUCCCUAAGGUGAUGCACUGGGACGUAUGAAUCCCUUAUCCAACAAUUCCUGCAUCUGCACCUUCAGUUCCUUCAACUCUGAUAGUGCCAUCCGGUAAGGAGCCUGAAAGAUUGGCUUAGUCCCAGGUGCUAACUCAAUCACGAACUCAAUUUCUCUCUCUGGCGGUAAUCCUAGCAAUUCCUUCAGGAAUACAUUUGGAAAUUCUUGUACAACGGAAAUAUCUUCAAUCUAACCACCUGUGGCGGCAGCGUAGUAGUUGAGCGUAGGUUCCUUUCGGGAGAGGUCCUGAUUUCGAAUCACUAUGUCGUCUGCCUUGCGAGAAAGGAACCCAUGACUUACCCGGGGCAGCAAGGGUGGUGGUGACUCUACUGCUCCUCCAUGGUUUACUCCGCCGCGAAGCGGCGCACGGAGGUUCCUUGGGUACCAAAAAAAAAAAAUAUAUCUUCAAUCUUCAGCUCCUUAACUGUUGUAUCCACAACAGUCGCCAGGUAACCUUGACAACCUUCGUCUAACAAACGGGUUGCCUCUUGCGACGAGAUUAGGAAAAUUGAGGGUCCUCCUCAAUUCCCUACAAACUUGAAGCUCUCACCCUUUAAUGGGUUAAAUUAAAUUGACUUGCGAUAGCAGUCUAUUUUUGCCCGUUGCUUGGUGAGUCAGUCCAUGCUAAUUAUCAAAUCAAAGUCAUACAUGGCUAGGACUAAUAGAUCUAUUUUCCCCUCUUACUCACCAAUCUCUAACUUGCAACCAGAACAACCCAAAGCAGCUAACACCUUAUCCUUUAAUGGUGUAGAUAUGCUAACAACAGAUUCUAGCAAUUCAGGAUUUAAUCCUAUCAACUUAACAAAUUGCUUAGCAAUAAAGGAAUGGGUUGCUCCUGGAUUGAAUAAAGCAUAAGCAGGAUGGUUAUUCUGCGAAACCAUACCUGUGAUCACGUUAGGCGCAGCCUCUGCCUGACCUUGAGUGAUGGCAUACACCGUGCCUUGAACUGGGGGUCGAAGCUGUCCUUCUUGCAGUGCAUUUUGAGGCACAUACCCUCUGAUCUGACCUAACGGUGGUGGCAACGGCAACUGUUGAGGUCUCCCCUGUCUCCAGGGACAAUUCUGGGCUAUGUGACCCUGCUGGUGACAUUCAAAAUAGGCGCCCGUCCUUCGGGGGCACUGGUUCGCUCCAUGUCACCUUCCACAAGCGUGACAUAACUCAAAUCGGUUUGACCCCGACUUAUCAAUUCCACCCUUCCUAUUGGGCAGAAUCUAAAUCUACCCCCAGUCAUGGGCUUCUUUCCCUAACAAAUUCCUUCUCUAAGAGAACUAAACCUCGACCUAGACGAGGCAACUUGCUCAUUCAAUCCUCUCUUUAUCAUUUGAGCUCAACGGUAGACUUCUUGAAAAUCAGUCAAAUCCAACGGCAGCAACGGUUGCUUUAGUUCAGAACGAAGGCCGUUCGUGAACCUUCUAGCUUUUUCCUUAGGGUCUUCAAUCAACCUCGGAGCAUACUGAGAAAGCUCUACGAACUUGGCCCCAUAUUGGUCAAUAGUCAUACUCCCUUGGUGGAGACGUUGGAACUCCUCCAUCUUUUGUUCUCAAGCACUACCCGAGAAGUACUGAUCGUUGAAGCUUUGAGGAAGGUGUCCCACACCGAGACCACACCUUCCGGGAAUACCGUAUCCUUGGCAACUCUCCACCAAAUGUUUGCACUGCCUUGAAGUUGGUACACAGCCAGUACCACCUUCUCCUUUUCAUUACACAUCAGAAGUGCAAAUGCUUUCUCGAGAUCCUGAAUCUAGAGUGACACGACUUCAGGGUCUCCCUUGCCAAUGAACCUCGGAGGGUUCAGCUUAAAGAAUUAUUCCACUAACUUAUGAAUCGGCCUUCCAGCGGCCACAUUCCCAAGUGGAACUUCAGUAGGGGUGACGAUAGGUGCAGCAAUAGGUGUGGCAGUGGGGGCGGCCUCAGUAGUGGCAGCAACAGCAGCAGUAGAGGCAGCUUGAGCGGCAGCUGCAAUAGCGGCGAUAAAGGUGGCAGCUUGAUCCCGGGCCUACUACCCCAUCAACUCUCUCAUGGCAUCCAAGGUCUGAUUGAUCCCGAUAAUUCCUUGCUCACCUGGGGUUGCUACCCCAGCACCCAUGGGAGGUGGUGCUACUCCACUGGCACUGGCCUGUGUCGGUGUCCUACCUCUGCCUCCUUGGGUACCGACCCUAGUCAGUGUCCUAACUCGAGUCGCAGGCCCGACAGAUCUUUUACUCGGAGUUCUCUGCUCCUGCUCGCUCAUGGUUCAGUUUUUCUACUGAAACCUGUUUCCUAAUUCGGUCACGAAUCUUGGCCUAAUUGGCACAGCCAUACUUCGGCAAUUUUCUAGGUUCAACUCACAAUUUCUCAUGGUUCUUUUCCAUCAAAGUAAUGACAAUCUACAAUUUUAGGAUAAAUUCCCAUAAUCCCCAAUUUCACUCAAUUUUCACAAGCAUGUACUCAAUUAAAUAAACGGAAAGCACCACUACAAUCCACACGAAAUUCCGAUCACCGGCCAUCUCGGUUGAAUUUUGGGAAAAUAAUUAUAUAAUUAAAUAAUUAAUAAAAUUAAUUAAUAAAUACAAUAAAUAGCAUAAAUGCUAACUUAGGCCCGAUAAAGCCUAAUUGGAAGUCAAGACGAGUCCAGAAAAUUUCCGAACCAGAACUAGAGUUUGUCUAGGCUCUAAUUGUACUAACUAUCUACCUAACAUGCCAUCACAAUUAAUUAAAUUCACUAGUUUAAUUUAAUGUAACCACCUAAUUCAUCUUAGCCAAAAUUAGUCAACUCCUAAGCAUAAUUAACCUACUAAGCAAGGAUUAGUGAGUUAAACUCACUUGUUUCGCGAUCUGGUUGGCUCAAAUCGACGAGAACGCUGCGAGGGACAACUUUCUCUAAAGCGAGCCUAACUUUUGGGGAGAACAACCUCAAAACGGACCAAGACUCUUGCUGGAAACCCACUGAUUUGCUCUCUGUUUGGUGGCUGAACUUGGCUGAAAAAGGGGCUCGGUUGGUUGGCUGAGGUGGAGAUCGGCGAAGGCUAGGCAGAUGGUUUUGCGAGGGCAAGUGGCGACUGAAUGGGAGCCCACGGCGGCUCAAGCAACAGGGUAACUUGCAAUCGGGUCGAGGCUCCUCCUGGGUACAUGGCGGCCGGAACAGUGGUGCGAGACGGUUGGGACGCAUGCGUGGGUAGGCGAGGAGCGACGGGCUCUCGUGGGCGGUCCGGCGGGCUUCAACGGCGGCGUACGACGGUCUAGGCAGUUGCUAGCUUCUCCUCUAGAGUUCUGGACUUCAAGCAGCAGAAAUGGAGAUGGGAAAGGGGGUUGCUCGACUACUUGAAGGGGGGAGGGGACCAGUUCAACAAGUGGGACUGGUUUUGGUCCACUUGACUGGUUUGUCCCCAUCCUUUUGGUCUCCCACCACCAGCUGGUGUCCACCCAUGAUUUUCAGUCCCAAUUGCCCACUUCUAGAAGCUUGGGAUGGUCUAAAAUGUUGGCUUCAUGGGGUGUUACGAAUUUCAUGGGUUUUGACUACAAUUUGACACAAAUUGCUUCUCAAUUCAAUCCAAUUUGGCUCUCAAAAAUUCAAUUAGCACCUCACUGAUCAAAUUGAUAUUUUUCCUCAUCAAUUGAUCCCACUUGCUUCCUAAUUGUGCAAUCAAAAUCGGUCCUUGAUUUUUUCGGGACAAAAACGGCCCUAGGAUGACUUUUUCCCAAAAAGUCUCGGUUUGCAGAAAAAUCUUCGAAGGCUGAGUUGAUGUUCUUAAAAUGACCUAUGACAUGACAGAACUUUCAAUUUUUGAAAUCAGAUUCAAAUUCGUGGUUAAUUUUACUCUGGCGCGAUUUUAGCGUGACCUAGGCCACCGAGUAGCUUUCAAAAUUUUUUAAUGCAAAUAACCCGUGAUCGAUUUUCUUCGAGCCAUAAUGAACCUCUUCAACACAUUGGUGACCUUCGGUGGUUGUGAAAAUCUCGAGGUUUCAAGUACGAACACAGGGUACGAAAAUGAUAGAAAAAUCAAACUUGUGCCGAUCGAUGAGAAUUGUUGCAAUUUAGUAGGAUCACCCACAUUUAACCACUCAUCUCCCUCGAACCAACCUAUCUCUGAUCUCUAAUCAAUUUAUAUAUGUGCCGUAAUGAUCUCAGCAGAUGAGUACGAUCAAGCAGCCGAUUCCUGGUCGAAUUCUUAAGUCUAUUUGCCUUAAAAUCCUUUAAUAGCUUCCCUAGAUAAUCUAGUUAUCUCACGAGUGAUCAGCUCUAAGAACAGCAAAAUAGGCGCGUCGAUGAAAUGCCCGAUUUAUUCAAUUGAAAAUAGAAUCGAAAAUCUAGGAUGUCACAUUACUAGCCAUUUCAAUUGGUAUCAGAGCCUACGUGCUUAUUUAUUGAAGUGUUUUUACUUCUUAAGCUAAAGAUCUAUGGCUAGUAUUUUGGCUCCAGGUUUGGUUGAAGGCCAAAGCAACACCAGACCUCCUUACUUUGAUGGGAAGGAGUACAAUGUGUGGAAGAACAAGGUGAAGGCAUUCAUGAGGUCGAAGGAUCCCCUAGAAUGGGAUAUGGUAGAAAAAGGGAUCAAUCCUAAAGCUACAUCAACCUCAGAAAGAAGAAAGGAAGUUGUAGAUGCUGGCGAAUUGACACAAGCAGAAUUAACCAAGAGACAAGCUCUUAAUGCUAAAGCAAUCUACUCCUUAUAUUAUGCUUUAUCUCCUACAAAGUAUAACCAAAUUUCUUCUUGUGAAAUAGCAAAAGAAGUUUGAGACAAGUUGCAUGUUACCUAUUAAGGAACUGAUCAAGUUAAAGAAACGAAGAUCAAUAUCCUACUCGGACAGUAUGAUGCCUUCAAGAUGAAGCCUAGAGAAUCCAUCACCGAUAUGUUCAAUCGCUUCACAGAGAUUGUAAACGGCAUAGCAUAUCAAGGAUAGCAAAUCUCAUGAUCAAUGAAGGUUAAUAAACUGCUCCGUGGACUCUCCAAAGAUUUGAAUCAUGUGAAGACAUCAAUUAGAGAAACCUAGAGGAUCAUGCCUCUUUCAGUUGACGAACUAGUUGGCACAGAUGAUGAAGAGCUAGCGCUCAUGAUUAGGAAGUUCAGAAAGCUGAACAGGAAAGGAAGAAAAUUAAACUGGAAAAAGCAGAGCACUCAAAAAUUCCAGAAGAAACCAACUACGGACAAUGAAACUAACAAAGAUGUGAUAUGCUUCGAAUGCAAGAAAAAAAGGGCACAUCAGACCCAACUGUCCUCUGUUGAAGAAAAAGAAAGGAAGAACAAAGAAAUACAAAAAGGCUCUCAAAAUAGAGACAUGGAGUGAUACCGAAUGCGAGGAAAGUGAUAAAGAAUAUACCAACAUAUGUCUAAUGGCCAAUUCAGAAUUAGACUUAGACUUUGAAACAGAUUCUGAUUCAGACUCAGACAAAAAAGUUGAGGUUAGCAAUUUCAAAAUUCCUAUUAAAGUCUCGAAAUAUAGAGAUGAACUCAGUCUCAGUCUCAAAACAUCUCUUAAAAGGAUUUUCGAGCUAAAGAGGGAAAAUUCUAAAUUGAGGUAACAAGAAACUUCUUGGAAAGAAAAGUUUGAAAAUUUGGAUAAAGUUUUGUUGAUUUGAAAGAAAAUUUAGAUUCUCUUUCGAAGGAAAAUGCCUUUUUGAAAUAAGAUAUUUCAAAUAUCACAAAAAGAUUUUCAAAAGGAUCUGAGAAGUUGGAGAAAAUUCUUUCUAUACAUAGACCUUAUUUUAACAAAUCUGGUUUGGGUAUGACUCAAGAAACUAUUCCUUUAAUUGAUUUUCCCAAAGUUAAAGAGAGAAUCAAAUAAAGACCUACAAAAACAUUUUACAAAAAUCAUUUUCAAAAGGUUUUUGUAAAACCUGUUGGCAGAAGUGCUCUCAAAUGUUCAAAGUGUAACAGUUCAUAACAUUUUGAGAAGAAAUGUCCCAAGGUUUAGAGACUUGUUAAGAGGGAUUGGGCAAAGAUUGUUUUCAAUACUAACUCCUCUGGAUCCAAGAAAGUAUGGGUUCCAAAGAAAGCUUGAGUUCUUUUCAUGAUUACAGGUCACUAUCAAGAAGAAAAUCAAAUGGUAUUUGGAUAGUGGCUGUUCGAGACACAUGAUAGGAGAUUUGAGUUGCUUUAUAAAGCUUGUUCAAAUAAAUGGUGGAAAAGUUUCUUUUGGUGGGAACUGCAAAGGAAGAAUUGGUGGAUGUAGAACCGUGAAUAUUGAAAGCCUCACUAUCAACAAUGUCUCCUUGGUGGAAUGUUUGAAUUACAAUCUACUCAACAUAAGUCAGCUGUGCAAUACCGGAUUCAGAAUUAAAUUCCAAGAAGGCAUCUAUUUGGGAACAAGUAAAUACCUCUCUCAAUCUUUUACUGGACAAAGACAUGGAAACAUUUACCUUCUGGAUAUAAAACCAGAAAGUUCUUAGUAUCUUAUAUCCAUUCAAGAUGAAGCAAAUCUUUUGCAUCGACAGCUUAGUCAUGUUAACAUGAAGUAGAUUGCCAAGAUUUCAUCCAAGAAGCUUGUUCGUGGUCUUCCCAACAUGAAUUAUCAAAAAAUUGAAUUAUGCACGCCAUGUGUUUUGGGAAAAUAGGUUAGAAGUUCUUUUAAACCUAUACAUUAAGUUUCUACUAAUCGAGUUUUGUAGCUUCUUCAUAUGGACCUCUUUGGACCAACAAGAACUCAAAGUAUUGGUGGAAAAAGAUAUUGCGUAGUAAUCGUGGAUGAUUACUCUCGUUUUACUUGGGUUUAUUUUCUAGCAAAUAAGUUUGAGGCUUUCUCUUACUUCUCUAAGUUUGCUAAGAAGGUUCAGAAUGAGAAAGGAUAUGCUAUUUCGAGCAUACAAACAGACCAUGGAGGUGAGUUUGAAUAUCAAGAUUUUGCAAAGUUCUGUGAUGAAUCUGGUUUCCAACAUAUUUUCUCUUCUCCAUACACUCCAGAACAAAAUGAGGUUGUGGAAAGAAAGAAUAUAUCCUUGUAGGCGAUGACAAGAACCCUCUUAAUUGAGAGCAAAAUUUCCUCUCGAUUUUGGGCUGAAGUAGUUUCUACAGCUUGCUACAUCAUCAACAGAGUGUUCUUGAGGCCUAUUCUAGAGAAAACUCCUUAUGAAAUGUAUAAAAGGAAGAAGCCAAAUGUUUCUUACUUUCAUGUGUUUGGUUGUAAGUGUUAUGUUUUGAAAAAUGAUCGAACUGGGAAGUUUGAAGAAAAAUCAGACGAAGGAAUUUUCCUUGGCUACUCAAUCUCAAGCAAAGCAUACAAAGUAUUCAAUAGGAAGACUUAGUAUGUGGAAGAAUCUAUAAACGUCAAGUUUCAAGACUCUAUGCAUAAUUAACUAGACCAGACUCAACUUGAAGAAUCUGAACUUGCUCCAGACUUUAUAAAGUCUACUUCCCCCGAAGUGGUUCAAACUUCUAAAGAUCAACAAUAAGCAGAACUAGAGAAUUCAACUGAAGCAUAAGAUCAGCAGACUCUUAGACCAACCAACAACUGGAAGCAUAAGUCAAGUCAUCCUAAAUAACUCAUCAUUAGCAAUAUUGAGGAAGGAGUUCGUACCAUAUCUAAAAGGCGAGAAGAGUCUAGUGCUUUGGCACUUGUUUAUGAGAUUGAACCUAAAAAUGUAGAAGAAGCCUUGACUGAUGAAAGCUGGAUUGAAGCUAUGCAAAAAUAGCUUAGACAGUUCAGCAUCAACGAUGUUUGGGAGCUAAUUCCUAAACCUAAAGGUAAGUCUAUUAUUAGAACUAAAUGGAUUUUCAAGAACAAGGUGGACGAGAAAGAAAAAGUGGUUAGGAACAAAGCAAGACUCGUGGCCAAAUGAUCUACGCAAGAAAAAAUGAAAGACUAUGACGAGACCUAUGCACCAGUAGCGAGGUUAGAAGCAAUUAGAUUAUUACUUGCUUUUGCUUGUUAUAAAAAUUUCAGGUUAUUCUAGAUGGAUGUACAAAGUGCAUUCCUAAAUGGAUUUAUCGAAGAAGAAGUCUGUGGAACAACCACCUAGUUUUGAAGAUCCAAGAAAGCUAGACUCAGUUUACAGACUGAAAAAGGCCUUGUAUGGAUUGAAGCAAGCACCUCAAGCCUGGUAUGAAAGGUUAAGUAAAUUCCUAACCCAAAAUGGUUUUGUUAAAGGAAAAGUAGAUACUACUUUGUUCAUAAAAAGAGAGGUAAUGAUUUUCUACUGGUUCAAAUUUAUGUUGAUGAUAUUAUUUUUGGAUCUCCUAAUAAAAAUCUAUGCAAGAAGGUCUCUAGAUGUAUGCAGGAUGAAUUCGAGAUGAGUAUGAUGGGUGAGUUAACUUUCUUUAUGGGAUUGCAAGUUAAACAAUCAAAGAAAGGUAUUUUUAUUCACCAAGAGAAAUAUGCGAAAGACCUCAUCAAGAAAUUUGAAUUGGAGAAUUGCAAAAAGACAGAGACACCAAUGUCAAGUUCUUCAAAGUUGGAUAAAGAUGAAGGAGGGAAGAAUGUUGACCAGAAGCUUUACAGGAGCAUUAUUGGUUCGCUUCUUUACCUUACUACAUCUAGACCUGACAUUUUGUUUAGUGUUUGUAUCUGUGCUAGAUUCCAAUCAGAUCCCAAAGAAUCUCACUUAAGUGUUGUAAAAUGCAUCAUCAAAUAUGUUGCAACUACUCCAAAGCUAGGUCUAUGAUAUCCUAAAGAAUGAGACUUUACUCUCUUUAGAUAUUCAGAUGCAGAUUUAGCAGGUUGUAAAGUUGAUAGAAAAAGUACUUCUGGUGCUCGUCAACUGCUGGCAACAAGCUGGUGUCUUGGUUCUCAGUGAAGCAGAGAACUGUAGCUCUUUCAACAGUUGAAGCUGAGUAUGUGGCUCUUGGGAGUUGUUGUUCUCAAAUUUUGUGGAUAAGGCAACAACUAAGAGACUUUGGAAUUGAAGAAUUGUGUAUCGAGAUCAAAUGCGACAACACCAGUGCUAUCAAUCUCACGAAGAACCCAAUUCUUCAUUUAAGGCAAAACAUAUAGAGAUUCGACACAAUUUCAUAAGAGAUCAUGUUCAGAAUGGAUAAGUUAUGAUUCAGUUUAUUGACUCGAAAAAUCAAUUGGCAUACAUAUUUACAAAGCCAUUGGAGAAAAGUCUAUUUGAGUCUAUUCGUACCAGACUUAAUAUCAUAUCUUCUACUCAUUAAAGUUUGAAGCUGAUCAGACUUAGAAUAUCAAUAAACUACUUCAGUAAGUUAAUUUCUCUUCAUUGCAGGUAAUUUAAUUUUAGCAUGAAAUUUUUUGAAAAGGUACGUUGAUUUUUGAAUCGUUACUUGCCUAUUUUAUUUUUAGAAAUUAUCUUUUUUGAAUUUUUGAAUUUUAGUAGUUUUUAUUUUUGAAAAAGGCAGUUUAUUUUUUCCUUUGUGACGGUUCGUAUACCCCGUUUCACUUGCUUUAUAUACUGUCGAAGUUCUUUUUCUCCAUUUACAUUUUCACAAACCCUAGAAUACAGAAUUCCAACUCUCGAACUUUUACUCUCAAGUUUACUCUCUAAGUUUUCACCUUUUUUCAACCGAACGAGUUCAAGAAAUCCUCCUCGACCGUGGAGAUGUCUUUCUAGAGGUAAUUGUCUCAGAUCACAAAUAGGGGACCACAGAAUAUGCUAGAGGGUACUACUCACUUUGACUUAACCGAGGAAAAAGAUUAUCCUCAACAACAAUAUUCUCAACAGUGUCAGCGUGCGACUCAAGAUCCUUCACGCCAUCAAGCAGAAGAAGAGACCAUAACCCGUAAGAAUGUUAAUACCCCAAUUUCUCUUUAAACUCUACAUUCAGUUAAAGGAGGGUGGUACUGCAAUGACAUUUAUUGAUGAGUUUCUACAAGAGAGAGGUUAUAAGAAUGAAACUUUGUUUCUACGAUCAAGGGAAAGGUUAGGCNNNNNNNNNNNNNNNNNNNNNNNNNNNNNNNNNNNNNNNNNNNNNNNNNNNNNNNNNNNNNNNNNNNNNNNNNNNNNNNNNNNNNNNNNNNNNNNNNNNNNNNNNNNNNNNNNNNNNNNNNNNNNNNNNNNNNNNNNNNNNNNNNNNNNNNNNNNNNNNNNNNNNNNNNNNNNNNNNNNNNNNNNNNNNNNNNNNNNNNNNNNNNNNNNNNNNNNNNNNNNNNNNNNNNNNNNNNNNNNNNNNNNNNNNNNNNNNNNNNNNNNNNNNNNNNNNNNNNNNNNNNNNNNNNNNNNNNNNNNNNNNNNNNNNNNNNNNNNNNNNNNNNNNNNNNNNNNNNNNNNNNNNNNNNNNNNNNNNNNNNNNNNNNNNNNNNNNNNNNAUUUUACUUAUGGAAACCCAAGAUCCUGAUUGUAUGGGCGAACAUGAUUGACGGGCUUUCAUCACAAAUCAUCUAACGACUUGAGAUCUCCUUGAUUGAUUCUGUUUAACGAGUAGAUUGGAAGAAUUCCUUUGGAAAGUGCCAACGAUCGUGAAGGCAUGAAGGAGUAUUUAAGGUGGACUUUCCGGUUGUCUGAUAGUGUGCAUGAAAGAAUAAUUUCAAAGUUUGAAGCUUCUAAAGAGACUCCUAAAGAGACUUUUUGAGAGACCAGUAGAGAUUCUUCACUGAGAAGUCGAGAUUACAAGUUGUAAAAUCUCUUUUGAUUCUUAGUGAAAUCCAGCAAAUGGGCUGUCAACGCGGGAGAGUGGAUGUAGGCUUGAUUUAAGCUGAAUCACUAUAAACCUUGUGUUCUUAUUCUCUUCCCUUAACUCCUUUAUUUUGUUUCGUAGCUUUAUUUAACUAUUUAAAACAAAAUUCAUUCGUAGUGUAUUAUCUUCUAUAAGCAAAUUACUUCUACCGAAUCUUACGAAAAUUUUUGUUCACACCUAUUCAACCCCCUCUAAGUGUUGUUACUAGCCCUUUCAAAAGUUCCCUUCCAUUUUAUCCAUUUUUUUCUAAGCAAAAUAGGUGCCAUGAAGCACGUCAAUCCCGACAUUAUGCUGGUGCGCAACAUAAACUAGCUAGGUAUCACCAUCGUCAAGUAGGCAAGUCAAAGUAUCACACGUUUAUGAUACAUGAAAUAGGAUUUUCCCUCAGAGACAACAGGAUGAACGAAUGCAAGAGGUGGUUCCAGAACCAAGAUGAAAGGUGUGACGUCUUGAAUUUCAAGUUCUACUUUCGAUUGAAUAAGUUGGGCUUUUCAUCGACACACCUAUAGUUCUUUUCUUUGAGUAGGCCACUCACGAGAUAAUUAACCUAUCAGGUGAAGCCGUUAAGGAAUCUAAACGCAAUAGACUUGAGAAUUCGACCAGGAAUUGACUGCUCGACCGUGCUAGUCUGCAAGAAUCAUUACGGCACAGUUAAAAAUUAAUUAGAGACUGGAGAUAGGUUGAUUCGACAGAACCAUGAGAUUAAGUGUGGGUGAUUCCACCUAAUUGCAAAAUUCUUGUCGAUUGGCACUAGACCGAUUUUUUUGUCAUUUUGGUACCUUAUAUCUGUAUUUAAAACCUCGAGAUUUCCAUGAUAACCGAGAGUCGCCAAUAUAUCGAAGAUGUACUUAUGGCUUGAAAAUAAUCAACCACAGGUGAAUUGUACUAAAAAUUCCUAAAAGCUACCUGGUAGAUUAUGACACGCUAAAAUCGCGCUAGAUUGAAAUUAACUGCGAAAUUGAACCCGAUUUCAAAAAUUGGAAGCUCCGUCAUGUCACAAGCCAAUUUAGGAAUGUUGACUCAUCCUCCGAAGAUUUAUCUGCAAACCAAAAUUUUCGGCAAGAAAUCCAAAGUAAGGGUAUUUUGGAUCGGGAAAUUCGUAGGCCUGCUUUUGGGUGCAUUUUUUGGAUUAAGUUGGUUCAAUUGAUGAGGAAAAAUCAUGGAUUAAGUAUGAACACCAUGGCUGAUUUGUUUGGACUUCAAUUCAACCAUGUCGGGAAGCUUCCUAAGGAAGAUUGAGGAUAGAGAAGUGGCUGAGGAUAAGGGCUGACAUGGUAGGGGCAUGUGAUGAGUGAAUGUGGAUGAGAUUGAAGGCUUUUGUGGCCAAAUGGUGGGUCCUCUUUAGCCAGCUGCUUCUUCUCCUUCCUUGGCUUCACUUUCUCCAUUGUUGAAGUGUUGAGAGCUCUAGAAAAUCAAAGGAACCAGCCAAGACUAGCAGAAAGCCAACCAAGCCUCACCUGAAGUCGUCCAAGCUCCCCCACGCCAGCCGCUGCCGUCGCGCGUCCCAGCCGUCCAGUUGCUGUUCCGUGUGCAUCUAGUUGUCCUCCUAUGUAAUCCAGCUCCCUCAGGCCGCCUGGAAGUCAACUAGCCUAGCCCCACAUGCCGCCUAGCCACGUAGCCAUUCGUCUCCGCCGUUUCCAGCCGUUCCAGUCGUUGGAGUUGCUCGAUUCUACUCCCUCAACCAACAAGUAGAAGCUGAAGUCCAAGCAAGAUCUGGAACUUCGUGGCAUGUUUCCAAGCCCUUCCCGACCUCGCGUGGUGUCACCACAAGCUUGUUUGUCACUCACCUUGGCAUUGGCGUCACGAUGUACUCAUCAGAUCGCAAAAUCGGUGAGUUUACUCACUAAACCUUGCUUAGGAGGUUAAUUAUGCUUAAGGGUUGUUUAGAUUAGCUUAAGAAUAGAUUAGUGACAUUCUAGAAUGGUUAUAUUAGCCUUAGAAUUGAUUAAUGUUAAUCUAAUUAGUGAGAUUAGUACCAUUGUGGAUGGAUUAAUCCCAUUUAGUGGACUUUCUGCAGUUCGGAUGUCUGGACCCUCACCAUUUGCUAUUGUUAUAGAUCAACAUGGGUUGUGAAUUUGAGGUUGAUUCCUUCUUGAGAAAAGUUUAAGAUUUCUUCAAAUAUAACAUAUAUCUGUCCCAAGAUUUUUGGGGAUUUAAAAGAAGGAGAUAUCAGCUCCAUCAUUUGCAAACAGAAACUCGAACAGUGCUGGAAUUUAUGACCUUUUAGGAUUCUAGGAGUUUUUAUCAACUCUUAGAGUUCGAAUUUCAAAAAGGUUUAUCACAAAAGUUAUUUACCACCUCUUCUAGUUUAAUAUAGUCAAAUUUCAGAUCAAAUGAACAAGUUUUGGAUCUCAAACCAAACCAAUUUUGGAAAAUAGACUUUCUAGAAAUGGACCCAGUUUUUGGUACUAGAUUGAGCGAUUUACUGGGCCGAAUCUAGAAAUAUCUGGGUUAAGGUGUCUUCAUAAAAAAAAAUUGUUCUUUUAUGUGUCCUUUACAACAUAUUCAAAUUUGGGAAUUUUUUGAACUCGUUUGGUUAGGUUUCUGGAUUUAAACUUGGAGACGUAAUAGUGGCCCAGUUUUUGCCAAUUAGGGCCGGUUAUGGUUUUGUGGUUGUUCUUGAUGUUGUGCUUGCUAAAAAGGUAUAUUUAGUGAUGUCGUGGACUUGUGGCAUGCUGAGAACUUAAGUGUGAGGUCAUGAGAGGGAUUGCUAUAUAUUAGUUGUUUACUGUUAUUGUAAAAAGGUGACCUCUUGGACUAUUAAAUAAAAAAUAAAUGAGGUGUCGGGUUUGGACGCCAAGUUUUAUAUGCUCAAUAAAAUGAGGAGGUUUUGUAUGAGGUGCGUGCAAAUUUUAGCGGGUUAAUUUCAAAUACGGGACCCUGUACGAAUUUACUUCGUUGAGUUUGAAAAAAAAAAGGGUGCCAAGUUUAUUUUAUAAAUGGAGUUUUGGUGUUUUGGCUAUAUGAAGGAGGCUAAGGUCAACCUGAUUGAUCAAGUGCCUACACAGUUAGGUUAAUUAAGUAGUUUAGUUUAAUUAAUCGUAAUUUAUUUAUUUAUUUACAUUUAUUUAAUUAUUAAUUAUUUUCCGGAAAUUAGACCGGGAUAGUUGGUGACCAGAAUUGAGUACUGAUUGCAAUGGUGUGGUUAAUUUCUGCAAUUGAGUGAUAAUUUGUGCAAAUUGAGUGCUGAUUGGAUUUUUGAUCAUUUAUUCCAAAAAUUGUGAAUUUCAAUAUUUAUUCAGAAAAUCCCGAGUAUCGGGUUUUAACACCGAAAAUAGUUUUAUAUACUAUACAAAACGGUGGGAUUUUAAAUUAAAGAAUAUCAACUUUUCGAGCUCGAUUCGACCACACGAUAUUUUCAUCGAAUGUUUUUAAUAAGAAGAAAACAGGCCAAGGUUGUUAUCUUAGUUGAGGCAUGUGAGUGCAAAGCACAAUGUCCUUGGCCGAAAUUGAAUGAUCGUGUGCCGGUUAAGAGAAUCCUUCCCCGGCGUGUGUCGGUGAAAAUUAUCUAUCCCCGGUGUGUGUCGGUUGAUAUUACCUAUCCCUAACGUAUGUCAAUGGAUAUUGAAAGGACUAGUAUGAACAUCUAGAUGGGAUGAAUAGGUGUGAAGAAAAAUUUUCGCAAGACUUAAUAAAAGUAAAUUGCCUUUAGAAGAUAAUAGACUAAGGACAUAAUUGGCUUUAAACAAUUAUAUAAAGCUAUGAAUAAAAGUAAGGAGUUCAAGGAAAGAGAAUUAGGACACAAGGUUUAUAGUGGUUCAGCUUAGAUCAAGCUUACGUCCACUCUCUCGCGUUGACAGCCCACUGGCUGGAUUCCACUAUGAAUCAAAAGAGAUUUUGCAACUUGUGAUCUUGGACUUUCUCAGUGGAGAGUCUCUACUGGUCUCUCACAAAGUCUCACUAUGUGUUUCUCUCUUUUGCAUACAACACUGAGCUUGAUGAAUGAAAGAGCAAGGAACUAGAAAACUUCAGACUUUGAAAUUCUUCUUUCACGCACUCUUUCGAACAACUGGAAAGUCAUCCUCAAAUACUCCUUUAUGCCUUCAUGACCGUUAGCGCUUUCCAAAGAAAUUCUUCCAAUCUACUCGUUGGACAGAAUGAAUUAAGGUGAUCUCGAGUCGUUAGAUGAUUUGUGAUUAAGGCUCGUCAAUCAUGUUCGCCCAUACAAUCGGGAUCUUUGGUUUCCAUAAAUAGAACCUUCCAAGUUUGCUGGUCUUUCAAAAGAUCUUCAUAUCGGAGUAGAUUGCAAUAAGAAUAAUCAAUCAUGUUGAUGCUAUAUCUAGCCAUAAGAUCUUCCAAAACCAUACUAGUUGAAUCCUUGAAGAUAUCCGGCAUCUGGAUAAGUCUUCAUUCUUCGGUCUGGAAACUGUCAGUGAGGGCAAACUUUGAAUCUUAAGUCCAGUGGUCUUCAGACUUUGACGGUAGAGUAUGGAGUUUUUCAAACUAGACUUUUGGAAACGUUUUGUCAACUUUAAAAUAGUAAAUGAGUUUUCUCCAACAAUCUCCCCCUUUUUGAUGUGACAAAACUUUUCUAUAGAUUUGAAAACUUUUGACCUGCAAAACAACACUUAAGCAAUACUCGAUAUCUUAUAAAAGUAAGCUGAUUAGGACCUGGAUAUCAUCAAUUAUGUAAUCACAGAAAACAAGUUAAUCCUGUAAGAUAAGAUAACUAUCCAUCCACAAUCAGUAUCAUAAGCUUAGUUUCUGCAGGCGUCAAAAUGAUUCAAAGUCAAACAUCAGUAAAAAGUCCAAAAUAUACCAAUCAAAAACCAAACGAAAACGUUAUCCAAAUCAAAUCAAGCAAAAAGUACCCAAAAGAUAAAGUUAGGUCAAAUCUGCCACAAAACUCUCCCUCUUUUUGUUAGGCAGAAGAUCGCUUCAAGUGCCAUAACUUACGAAAGUGAUACUUAAGUGUCACAUUUGAAGAAAAGUGGGACACUUGAGUGCCACCUCUGGCGAAGCCAGCCGAAAAUCAUAUGUGGCAAUUAAAUAUUAAUAUUUCUCGCUGAGGUGGCUCGCCGGAGAGCUGACUCAGCUCUAAUUCACCCACAAUGACGUUGUUUCAGCCAAAACAACGUCGUCUCCCCAAUUGCCCUAAAUCUAAAACCCUAUGUGACAUCCUGAAAUUCGACCACAUUUCAAUAAAGUGAAAUGGACAUUUCGUCGACGUGCCUAUAGUCCGUUUUCUCUGAGCUGAUCACUCAUAACCUAUUGGAUGAAGCCGUUAAGGGAUGUAUCCGCGGCAAAAUCCCUAAAAGCUACUUAAUUGGUUGGAUUGGACUUAAAUCACGUCUGAUCGAUUCUAACCACGAAAUUGAAUUCAAUUUCGAAAAUCGAAUAUUCGAGCAUGUCACGAUUCAUUUUUAGGACCUUGUCUCAUCAUCCGUCGAAUUAUCGAUGAUUCCGAAAUUUCUGAAAAGAAAUUAUUGGAGGAAAAAUCGGAGAUUGGAAGAAAAUUAAUAAGGGAAAGAGAAAAGAUAAAUAAUAAGAAUAAUAAGGAUAUUAUUAUUUUAUCAUUUUCUCUCUCUCCCUUUUUCUUUCUCUCUCUCUUUCUUUCUUCCCUCUCAAUUCUCACGCCACCUCUGCCACCUUUGCUUUUUCCCCUUAAUUUAUUCUUUCUUUUUCUUCUCUCUCUCUCUCUCUCCUCCGUUCGAAACCCCCUCCCCACGCCGACACUCCCUCUUUUUUCCCUUGCCGUUUUCUACUUUGCUUUCUCUUCCCCAUUUGACUUUUCAAACCAUAUCCUUCUCUCUCGACACUCUCUCUCUCUCUCGUUACUCUCUCUUGCUCCUCUGGUUCGAGCAAGCCAGCGAAACAGAAGAAGAAAAAGAAGCGAAGACAGCAGCCACCGAGAGAAGAAGACCGGAGCAGCUCGCCGUCGCUGCUCGCGCUCCGCCACCCGCGCAUCGCCUGCGCGCCCCUUCGCUCACCCCUCACGUCCUCGCCGCCCAGCCGUGCCAUCCAGCUCCUGUUAGGUCUCGGCUCAGCCUUGUGAGCGACUGAGGAAGCUGCCGAACCGUCGCCCAGCUCCGUCGGACCAUCGUUCGGCCCCACUGGAGCUUCCCUCACCCUCCACCGGCCUCGCUCCGCCUUUUCAGCCCCCGGAGCAACUUCGUUUGGCCAAGAACAGCAGCUGGAAAAUGGGUUUCCAGCAGCGGUUCUAGGCCCGUUUUGAGAUUUUCGAUCCCCGAACUCGGGACUUGUUUGUCUCACUAAGCCCUUAUUAGUAAGUUAAUGACGUUUAAGGGUUGAUUAGAUUUAAUUAAGUGUAAUUAGGUGGUUAGAUUAGAGUAGAUUAGUGAUUAUUAGAUAAUUGUGAUGCAUGUUAGGCAAUUUGAUUGUGCAAUUAACGAAUUGACAUGUGCUAAUAUUUAUUGAAUGCAUCUCGGGAUUUUUCCCGACCCUUAUCGGCUUCCAAUUAGGCAUUCCGGGCCUAAAUUGGAUUUAUUGUAUUCAUUUAAUAAUUUUCGGAAUCAUUUAAUUAAUUAAUUAUUUUUCGAAAAUUAAGCAGGGAUAGCCGACGAUCGGAAUUUGAUGCUGAUUGUUGUGGUGCAGUCCGUUUAUUUAAUUGAGCUUUAUUUUGUGCUAAAAUGAAUUAUUUGUGAUUAUAAGAUUAUUUUCCUGAAUUAAUUAAUUUGGAUAAUUAAUUGGAAAAUAACCGGGUGUCGGUUGACAGCACCAAAAGUGUUGGUGGACUACAGAUAAUGGUGGGAUUUGUGGAAAAGAAAUUAUAAUAUUUUGACUCAAACCGAUCAUGUACCCACAUGAAUAUUUUAUCGGGAAUGAUAAAAAGGGUGAUUUGAUAAAUAUUAUUUUCAGCAUACUAUAAAAGUAUGGCUAGCAACUUUUGGUGAGCAUAAUAAACAUAUUAGAUCAAUGAAUCUGGCAGCUUCUAGUGGGCAUAUUAUUAUUAUAUCGGAUCAGUGGAUCUGGCAGCUUCUGGUGAGCUAUACUAUCUAUAUAUCGGCUAGAGUGAAUAGUCCUAGACUAUGGUCGGACUCAUAGAUAGUAUUAAUUGAGGAGACCGGGGAAUGGUCAUGUUGAUAUGUAAUCAAUUACGUCGAUUGAUCAAUGAUUCGAUCUGAUUGAAUGAUUUGACGUGGUGAAUUAAUUCGAUGAAUUAUAAAUUGUAUUGACCUGUAGGAAGGAACUGAGGCAAAGGUAAGCCCUCCGACUCAUGAUUGUGCUUAGGCAGCCCUUAUAGCAUAUUUUAUUCCUAAUCGAGUCUUAGGGGGCUUGAACUUGCUGAGACGUCGUCUCACCCCGUUGUGGGAUAAACAUUUCAGGUCUCUAGAUGAUGGUCGUGGAAGAUCGAGAUCCCUGGAGUUUGGAAGAUGAAGGCUGAAGAAUUGGCAAUCGGGUCUAACUAGUGGGUGGUAGGACAGUCCCCUUUUUGUUAAGCCAACAUUUUUGUAAACAGCCUAAUUUUGUAAUUAACCCGUUUUUCUAUAAAAGACUUGUCUUGGUUUGAAAAUUUUAGUUCUGCUCUUCUAUCCCAAUUGUUUGUUGUCUGGGGAUUUUAUAUCUGUUUCCGCAUGCAUAUUAAAUAAAAGGGUUAGCGACGCGUCCUGGGACAUCGCUAUUAUUUGACCAAGGAGGGAUGGGCGCGCGCUCGGAGGAUCAGGGUGUGAAAUACCCGUUUAAUGGUAUCAGAGCAUGCUUUAGGAUUUGAGUGAUAAGGUGAGAUGGUAUUUGGGAUAGUUAGUAGGAUUGGUCUUUAAAUUCACGCUGGUGCAUGUCUGUCGAUAGCUAAUUGGUAGAAUUAUUUGUUGUACUCACUCGACUUCUAAUUCGAUGUUGAAUUGGAAGGCAGGUCUUUGUAGAAACCCUGUAAGAUGAGUGAUCAGGAGCCAAGGACUCCUAGGCAGAGGACUUUAUCUUCUGUGAGUCGGGCUAGAACGCCGACAAGAGUCGGUGCCUGAGGUGGCCGAGGUAGAGCGCAAGCUGAGGCUAGCGCAACUGGAGUAGCACCACCUCCCAUUGGUGCUGGGGUAACAGCCUCAGUUGAUCAGGGAACAGUUGGGAUCACGCAAGCGUUGGAUGCUAUGCGUGAGACGAUGGAGCAGUAGGCCCAGGAUCAAACAGCCGCCUUUACUGCUCCCGUUGUAGCUGCCGCUACUACUGCUGCCAAUGCUAUUGCUACAACCGCACCUGCCAUCGUACCUGCUGAAAUCCCGCCUAGGAGACCGAUUCAUAACUUAGUGGAAUCGUUUUUGAAAUUGAAGCCAUCGAAGUUCACUAGGGCAAGAGACCCCGAAGCUGCUGCUUUGUGGAUCUAUGGACUAGAGAAAACCUUUGCCCUAUUGAUGUGCUCUGAGACUGAGAAAGUGGUCCUCGCAGUCUACCAGUUAGAGGGAGUUGCGAGUACUUGGGUGGAGAACCACCCAAGGAGCGAUAUUUCUCGAAGGUGUAGCCAUAGAAUGGAAUGCCUUUGUUGAGGCCUUCAACAGGAAAUACUUUUCAGAAACUACUAGAGAGAUGAAGAUGGCUAAGUUCCAAUGCCUUCGCCAAGGCUCUAUGACUGUGGAACAAUAUGAGGCGAAGUUUGCUGAACUGUCGCAAUACGCUCCUAAAUUAAUUGAGAAUCCAACAAACCGAGUGAGAAGAUUCAAAGAUGGACCUGGGCCGGAGUUGAGGAGUCCACUAAUUUUACUGAAUCUAAGAAAUUACAAUGAACUAUAUGAGCGGGUCCAGAUGAUCGAAAGAGACCAAAAUGAGAGAGCCGCCGCAUCUGGAUCGUAGUUUGGAUCGAGUAGGGAAGGAAUCCGACAUGGGAAGAGGCCCAUGAUUGGAGGAAGAUUUCAAAUUCCGUCCAUCCGGAAGGGUGGAAUUGGGAAGACAGGGCCUGGUCAUAAUGGUCUGUGUCACUUCUACGGAAGGCAGCACGGUACAACCACAUGCCCUCAAAGGAUGGGUGCUUGUUUCGAGUGUGGCCAACGGGGUCACAUGGCCAGGGAUUGUCCUAGGCGACUAAGGGGACAACCACAAUUACCGCCACUGCCGCAAAGAGGACAGAUAAGAGGGUAUGCACCUCAGAAUGCACCGCAAGGAGGACUGCUUAGGCCCCCAGUUCAAGGAAUGGUGUAUGCCAUCACUCAAGGCCAGGCAGAGGCUGCAUCUGACGUGAUCACAGGUAUGCUUUCGCUAAACAACCAUCCUGCUUAUGCUUUAUUCGAUCUAGGAGCAACCCAUUAUUUUAUUGCCGAGCAAUAUGUUAAGCUAAUAAGAUUGAAUCCUGUAUUAUUGGAGUCGGCAAUUUGCAUAUCUACACCCUUGAUAGAUAAAGUUAUUGCUGCUUUGGGAUGUUCGGGGUGCAAGUUAGAGAUUGGUGAGCGAGUGGGGAAAAUUGACUUGUUAGUCCUAGCCAUGUAUGAUUUUGAUUCGAUAAUUGGCAUGGACUGGCUCACCAAUCAACGAGCUAAAAUGAACUGCUAUCGCAAGUUGAUUCAGUUUAACCCGUUAGAGGGUAAGAGCUUCGAGUUCGUAGGGAAUCGAGGAGGACCCUCGAUUUCCUUAAUCUCGUCACCAGAAGCAGCUCGUUUGUUAGACGAGGGUUGUCGAGGGUACUUAGCAACUGUUGUGGAUACAACAGUUGAGGAAUUGAAAAUGGAAGACAUUUCAAUGGUAUAGGAGUUUCCAGAUGUCUUUCCAAAGGAGUUGCCAAGGUUACCGCCAAAAAGAGAAAUUGAAUUUGUAAUUGAACUAGCACCAGGGACAGAAUCGAUCUCAAAGGCACCUUACCGGAUGGUAUUAUUUGAGUUGAAGGAACUGAAGGCGCGGAUGCAAGAGUUACUGGAUAAGAGAUUUAUUCGUCCUAGUGCAUCACCUUGGGGAGCACCACUUAUGUUUGUUAAGAAGAAAGAUUGUUCGUUGCGUCUAUGCAUCGACUAUCAGCAACUCAAUCAGGUUACGAUCAAGAACAAGUAUCCAUUGCCGAGGAUAGAUGAUUUGUUCAAUCCGUUGCAAGGAGCAUCGAUUUUCUCGAAGAUCGACUUGAGGAUAGGAUAUCAUCAGCUGAGGAUUAGGAAUGAGGAUAUUCCUAAGUCGGCAUUUCGUACCCGGUAUGGUCAUUACGAGUUCACAGUGAUGCCGUUCAGGUUGACGAAUGCUCCAGCGGCCUUUAUGGAUUUGAUGAAUAGAGUGUUUAAGGAAUAUCUGGAUCAAUUUGUGAUCGUGUUCAUCGAUGAUAUCUUGGUCUAUUCAAGAAAUAAUGAAGAGCACGAGAAUCAUUUGAGAUUAGUGCUUCAGACCUUAAGAACUCACCAGAUGUAUGUUAAGUUUACCAAAUGCGAGUUUUGGUUAACUCGUGUUGCGUUCUUAGGUCAUGUGAUUUCCGGAGAAUGAAUCUCUGUCGACUCGAGCAAAAUAGAAGCCGUGAUCAAGUGGCCGAGACCGACAACAGUGACAGAGAUCAGAAGUUUUCUAGGUUUGGCAGGGUAUUACAAACAGUUUGUGGAAGGAUUCUCAUCAUUCGGAUCGCCUCUAACAAAGCUUACUAAGAAAGAAGACAAAUUUAUAUGGACAGACAAAUGCGAGCGUAGUUUCCAAGAGCUUAAAGAAAAACUAACUACCGCACCGGUACUGACGAUUCCAUUUGGUCCUGGAGGAUUCGAGAUUUAUAGUGAUGCGUCAUUUAGAGGAUUGGGUUGCGUGUUGAUGCAACAUGGUAGAGUGGUUGCAUACGCAUCCUGUCAGUUGAGGCCUCAUGAGCAUAAUUAUCCGACGCAUGACUUAGAGCUCGCGGCGAUUAUCUUUGCCCUGAAGAUUUGGAGACAUUAUCUAUGCAGGGAAAAGUUCCAGAUCUUCAUGAACCAUCAAGGUCUCAAGUAUCUGUUCUCUCAGAAGGAGUUGAACAUGAGACAACGCCAAUGGAUGGAAUUGCUGAAGGACUACGAUUGUGAUAUUCUAUAUCACCCAGGGAAGGCAAAUAAGGUCGCCGAUGCUUUGAUCGAAAGUCUUCAGUUGCUCAAAUAUUGAUUAAGGAGUGGAACUUAAUUGAAAGAGCGUGAGAUUCGAUGUUCAAAUUUGAGGUAAGCCACCUCUCGAGUCUUAUGGCCACCCUCAGAAUUGAACUAGAUGUUCAGGUCAGAAUCAAGCUACUCCAACCAACAAAUUCAGAUGUACAGAAGAUAAUUCAAGCGGACCCCGAUAGAAGAAAGGCUGAUUUUUAGGUUUCUGAUGAUGGAGUGCUGAGGUUCCGUGAGCAUUUGGUUGUACCUAACGAUGUAGAGCUUAGAGAUGUUAUUUUAUCUGAAGCGCAUCAUAGCAGCUAUAGCGUUCAUCUUGGAAGUACCAAGAUGUAUCAGAACCCGCGUCAAUACUAUUGGUGGUCAGGUAUGAAGGUGGACAUCGCCAAGCAUGUCGCCAAGUGUUUGACGUGUCAGCAAGUAAAGGCCCAGCAUUGCAAGCCGGGAGGACUUCUGCAACUUCUCGCAAUCCUAUAUGAAAUGGUAGCAUAUCACGAUGGAUUUCAUGACUGGAANNNNNNNNNNNNNNNNNNNNNNNNNNNNNNNNNNNNNNNNNNNNNNNNNNNNNNNNNNNNNNNNNNNNNNNNNNNNNNNNNNNNNNNNNNNNNNNNNNNNNNNNNNNNNNNNNNNNNNNNNNNNNNNNNNNNNNNNNNNNNNNNNNNNNNNNNNNNNNNNNNNNNNNNNNNNNNNNNNNNNNNNNNNNNNNNNNNNNNNNNNNNNNNNNNNNNNNNNNNNNNNNNNNNNNNNNNNNNNNNNNNNNNNNNNNNNNNNNNNNNNNNNNNNNNNNNNNNNNNNNNNNNNNNNNNNNNNNNNNNNNNNNNNNNNNNNNNNNNNNNNNNNNNNNNNNNNNNNNNNNNNNNNNNNNNNNNNNNNNNNNNNNNNNNNNNNNNNNNNNNNNNNNNNNNNNNNNNNNNNNNNNNNNNNNNNNNNNNNNNNNNNNNNNNNNNNNNNNNNNNNNNNNNNNNNNNNNNNNNNNNNNNNNNNNNNNNNNNNNNNNNNNNNNNNNNNNNNNNNNNNNNNNNNNNNNNNNNNNNNNNNNNNNNNNNNNNNNNNNNNNNNNNNNNNNNNNNNNNNNNNNNNNNNNNNNNNNNNNNNNNNNNNNNNNNNNNNNNNNNNNNNNNNNNNNNNNNNNNNNNNNNNNNNNNNNNNNNNNNNNNNNNNNNNNNNNNNNNNNNNNNNNNNNNNNNNNNNNNNNNNNNNNNNNNNNNNNNNNNNNNNNNNNNNNNNNNNNNNNNNNNNNNNNNNNNNNNNNNNNNNNNNNNNNNNNNNNNNNNNNNNNNNNNNNNNNNNNNNNNNNNNNNNNNNNNNNNNNNNNNNNNNNNNNNNNNNNNNNNNNNNNNNNNNNNNNNNNNNNNNNNNNNNNNNNNNNNNNNNNNNNNNNNNNNNNNNNNNNNNNNNNNNNNNNNNNNNNNNNNNNNNNNNNNNNNNNNNNNNNNNNNNNNNNNNNNNNNNNNNNNNNNNNNNNNNNNNNNNNNNNNNNNNNNNNNNNNNNNNNNNNNNNNNNNNNNNNNNNNNNNNNNNNNNNNNNNNNNNNNNNNNNNNNNNNNNNNNNNNNNNNNNNNNNNNNNNNNNNNNNNNNNNNNNNNNNNNNNNNNNNNNNNNNNNNNNNNNNNNNNNNNNNNNNNNNNNNNNNNNNNNNNNNNNNNNNNNNNNNNNNNNNNNNNNNNNNNNNNNNNNNNNNNNNNNNNNNNNNNNNNNNNNNNNNNNNNNNNNNNNNNNNNNNNNNNNNNNNNNNNNNNNNNNNNNNNNNNNNNNNNNNNNNNNNNNNNNNNNNNNNNNNNNNNNNNNNNNNNNNNNNNNNNNNNNNNNNNNNNNNNNNNNNNNNNNNNNNNNNNNNNNNNNNNNNNNNNNNNNNNNNNNNNNNNNNNNNNNNNNNNNNNNNNNNNNNNNNNNNNNNNNNNNNNNNNNNNNNNNNNNNNNNNNNNNNNNNNNNNNNNNNNNNNNNNNNNNNNNNNNNNNNNNNNNNNNNNNNNNNNNNNNNNNNNNNNNNNNNNNNNNNNNNNNNNNNNNNNNNNNNNNNNNNNNNNNNNNNNNNNNNNNNNNNNNNNNNNNNNNNNNNNNNNNNNNNNNNNNNNNNNNNNNNNNNNNNNNNNNNNNNNNNNNNNNNNNNNNNNNNNNNNNNNNNNNNNNNNNNNNNNNNNNNNNNNNNNNNNNNNNNNNNNNNNNNNNNNNNNNNNNNNNNNNNNNNNNNNNNNNNNNNNNNNNNNNNNNNNNNNNNNNNNNNNNNNNNNNNNNNNNNNNNNNNNNNNNNNNNNNNNNNNNNNNNNNNNNNNNNNNNNNNNNNNNNNNNNNNNNNNNNNNNNNNNNNNNNNNNNNNNNNNNNNNNNNNNNNNNNNNNNNNNNNNNNNNNNNNNNNNNNNNNNNNNNNNNNNNNNNNNNNNNNNNNNNNNNNNNNNNNNNNNNNNNNNNNNNNNNNNNNNNNNNNNNNNNNNNNNNNNNNNNNNNNNNNNNNNNNNNNNNNNNNNNNNNNNNNNNNNNNNNNNNNNNNNNNNNNNNNNNNNNNNNNNNNNNNNNNNNNNNNNNNNNNNNNNNNNNNNNNNNNNNNNNNNNNNNNNNNNNNNNNNNNNNNNNNNNNNNNNNNNNNNNNNNNNNNNNNNNNNNNNNNNNNNNNNNNNNNNNNNNNNNNNNNNNNNNNNNNNNNNNNNNNNNNNNNNNNNNNNNNNNNNNNNNNNNNNNNNNNNNNNNNNNNNNNUACAAAGUCAGCUCACUUUAUUACAGUACGAAAAGACCUAAGUUUGAAUAGACACGCGGACCUGUAUGUGCGCCAGGUGGUUCGAAUGCAUGGAGUGCCAGUUACGAUAACGUCCGAUAGAGACCCGAGGUUUACUGCUACUUUUUGGAAGAGCUUGCAGAGUGGUUUAGGUGCAAAGCUUCAGUACAGUACGGCAUAUCAUCCUCAGACGGAUGGCUAGUCUGAAAGGGUAAUUCAGACUCUCGAAGACAAGUUAAGAGCUUAUGUAAUAGACUUCAAAGGAAGUUGGGAAGAUCAGCUUCAUCUGGUGGAAUUUGCCUACAACAACAGUUAUCAGCAGAGCAUCCAAAUGGCUCCAUUCGAAGCGUUGUAUGGCCGAGUGUGCAGAACACCGGUGUGUUGGGAUGAUGUUGGGGAAAGAAAGAUAACAGGCCCAGAGUUGAUGCAAUAGUCAGUAGAUGCCGUGGCAAUGAUUAGAGGCAAAUUAAAGACAGCACAGAGUAGGCAGAAAAGUUAUGCAGAUAAGCGUCGAAAGUCUUUGGAAUUCCAAGUUGGUGAUCACGUUUUUCUGAAAGCGUCACCAAUGAGGGGAACUUUGCGCUUUGGUAAGAAAGGCAAACUGAGUCCGAGGUACGUAGGUCCGUUUGAAAUUCUUGAAAGGAACGGGAACCUAGCGUAUCGUCUUGCAUUGCCGCCAAAAUUGGCACAAUUACAUGACGUCUUUCACGUGUCAAUGUUGAGGAAGUAUGAACCUAACCCGACCCACGUGCUCAAUUUCGAGGAAUUGGACGUGGAUGACCGAGUGUCAUACGUUAAAAGCCCGGUCCAGAUCGUCGAUCGUAAAGAGAAAGUUCUGCGUACAAAAACCAUUCCGUUGGUCAAAGUGGUCUGGCAACACCACGGCACUGAAGGAGCAACUUGGGAGACUGAAGAGUCGAUGAGACAAUUGUACCCCCACCUUUUUGAUCAAAGUGUGUAAUGGUUUAAAUUUCGAGGACAAAAUUUUUAUAAGAGGGGAAGAGUUGUGACAUCCUGAAAUUCGACCCCGUUUCGAUAAAGUGAAAUGGGCAUUUCGUCGAUGUGCUUAUGGUCCUGUUUUUUUGAACUGAUCACUCAUGAGUUAACUAACCUAUUGAGUGAAGCCGUUAAGAGAUGUAUCCGCGGUAAAAUCCCUAAAAGCUACUUAAUUGGUUGGAUUGGACUAAAAUCGCGUCUGAUCGAUUCUAACCACGAAAUUAAAUUCGAUUUCGAGAAUCGAAUAUUCAAGCGUGUCACGAAUCAUUUUUAGGACCUUGUCUCAUCGUCCGUCAAAUUAUCGACAAUUCCGAAAUUUCGAAAAAGAAAUUGUCGGAGGAAAAAUCGGAGACCAAAAGAAAAUUAAUAAGGGAAAGAGAAAAGACAAAUAAUAAGAAUAAUAAGGAUAUUAUUAUUUUAUUAUUUUCUCUCUCUCCUCCUCUCCCUUGUGACCCAUCCCUUCUUUUUCAACCGUUCAUCCAUUUUUUUCCCCUUUGCCAAUUCUCACACCACCUCUGCCACCUUUUCUUUUUCCCCUUAAUUUAUUCUUUCUUUUUCUUCUCUCUCUCUCUCUCUCUCUCUCUCUCACUCUCUCUCUCUCUCUCUCUCUCUCUCUCUCUCUCUCUCUCUCUCUCUCUCUCUCUCCUCCGUUCGAAACCCCCUCCCCACGCCGACACUCCCUCCUUUUUCUCUUGCCGUUUUCUACUUUGCUUUCUCUUCCCCAUUUGACUUUUCAAACCUUAUCCUUCUCUCUCCUCUCUCCUUCUCUCUCGACACUCUCUCUCGCUCCUCUGGUUCGAGCAAGCCAGCGAAACAGAAGUAGAAAAAUAAGCGAAGACAUCAGCCACCAAGAGAAGUAGACCGGAGCAACUCGCCGUCACUGCCCGUGCUCCGCCACCCGCGUGUCACCCGCGCGCCCCUCCGCUCACCCCUCACGUCCUCGCUGCCUAGCUGUGCCAUCCAGCUCCUGUUAGGUCUCAGCUCAGCCUUGUGAGUGAUUGAGGAAGCUACCGGACCGUUGCCCAGCUCCGUCCGGCCACCGUUCGGCCUCACAGAGCUUCCCUUGCCCUCCACCGGCCUUGCUCCGCCUUUUCAGCCCCCGGAGCAGCUUCGUUUGGCCAAGAAUAGCAGCUGGAAAAAGGGUUUCCAGCAGUGGUUCUAGGCCCCUUUUGAGAUUUCCGAGCCCCGAACCUGGGACUUGCUUUGGGAGGAAUCGAUCCUUGUAUCAUCCAUGUUGGAUUGAUACGUUUUGCGCAAAAAUCCGGUGAGUUUAUCUCACUAAGCCCUUAUUAGUAAGUUAAUGACAUUUAAGGGUUGAUUAUAUUUAAUUAAGUGCAAUUAGAUGGUUAGAUUAGAGUAGAUUGGUGAUUAUUAGAUAAUUGUGAUGCAUGUUAGGCAAUUUGAUUGUGCAAUUAACGAAUUGAUAUGUGCUAAUAUUUAUUGAAUGCAUCUCAAGAUUUUUCCCGACCCUUAUCAACUUCCAAUUAGGCAUUACGGGCCUAAAUUGGAUUUAUUGUAUUUAUUUAAUAAUUUUCGGAAUUAUUUGAUUAAUUAUUUAUUUUCCGAAAAUUAAGCAUGGAUAGCCGACGACCGGAAUUUUAUGCUGAUUGUCGUGAUGCACUCCAUUUAUUUAAUUCAGCUUUAUUUUGUGUUGAAAUGAAUUAUUUGUGAUUAUAAGAUUAUUUUCUUGAAUUAAUUAAUUUGGAUAAUUAAUUGAAAAAUAACCGGGUGUCGGUUGACAACACCAAAAGUGUUGGUGGACUACAGAUAAUGGUGGGAUUUGUGGAAAAGAAAUUAUAAUAUUUUGGCUAAGGCCGACUGUGUACCCACACGAAUAUUUUAUCGGGAAUGAUAAAAAGGGUAAUUUGAUAAAUAUUAUUUUCGGCAUACUAUAAAAGUAUGGCUGGCAGCUUUUGGUGAGCAUAAUAAACAUAUCAGAUCAAUGAAUCUGGCAGCUUCUGGUGGGCAUAUUAUUAUUAUAUCAGAUCAGUGGAUCUGACAGCUUCUGGUGAGCUAUACUAUCUAUAUAUCGGCUAGAGUGAAUAGUCCUAGACUAUGGUCGGACUCAUAGAUAGUAUUAAUUGAGGAGACCAGGGAAUGGUCAUGUUGAUAUGUAAUUAACUAGGUCGAUUGAUCAAUGAUUCGAUUUGAUUGAAUGAUUUGACGUGGUGAAUUAAUUCGAUGAAUUAUAAAUUGUAUUGACUUGCAGGAAGGAAUUGAGGCAAAGGUAAGCCCUCCGACUCAUGAUUGUGCUUAGGCAGCCCUUAAGGCGUAUUUUCUUCUUAAUCGGGUCUUAGGGGGAUUGAACUUGCUGAGACGUCGUCUCACCCCGUUGUGGGAUAAACAUUUCAAGUCUCUAGAUGACAGUCGUGGAAGACCAAGAGCCCUGGAGUUUGGAAGAUGGAGGCUGAAGAAUCGGAAAUCGGGUCUAACUAGUGGGUGCUAGGACAGUCCCCUUUUUGUUAAGCCGAUAUUUUUGUAAACAGCCUGAUUUUGUAAUUAACCUGUUUGUUUGUAAAAGACUUGUCUUGGUUUGAAAAUUUUAGUCCUGCUCUUCUAUCCCAAUUGUUUGUUGUCUGGGGAUUUUAUAUCUGUUUUCGCAUGCAUAUUAAAUAAAAGGGUCAGCGACGUGUCCUGAGACGUCGCUAUUAUUCGACCAAGGAGGGAUGGGCGCGCGCUCGGAGGAUUGGGGCGUGACACCCUAAAUCGGACAAAAUGCCAUUGAAGCACUGAAGCCCUAAUCUCAAACCCUUAUUCGAUUUGCCCCAAAUUUUACAAUCAAAUAUUGGAAAUGGAGAGCAAGACUUUCAGCAACGGCUCAAAUUUCUCUUGCCGAAGUGAGGAAGAAGGCGAGCGUUUCUGUUUUUGUGGGAUACCAAGUCCAACAAGAACAUGGUUACAAAAAAAAGUCCAACAAGAACAUCAUGGACUCGAAUGAAUUCCAAGAGAAGAUUCUAUGGAUGUGCCCAAUAUAGAGAAGGGUCGAAGUGCAAAUAUUUCAAAUGGAUCGAUGCGAAAUUCUCUCACUGAGCCACAGAGGUGAUAUUGGACCUACUUGAUGGAUGUCAUCAACCUCCAUCUACGCUUGUGGACAACUUGGACGAUGUUGACUCAAUACAAGCUCAAGCGUCUUCUGCUAACCAUUUGAAGAAUGAAGUUUCAAGAAUGAAAAUUGAACGGAAGUGUUACCAAGCGUUUAUUGUGUUGCUGUUUUUUUAUCUAUCCUACUUUAUGAUGAAAUGUAAAGUACUGGAAGAAGAGAAGGAGUUUCUCCAACUACCAUAGUUGUAAAUGAGUGGAGAAAUGCACUUGUUUUGAAUGAAAUGUAACUCAUUGUUUUGGAAGAUAAGAAGAAGUUUUGUGUUGUCUACAAGAUCGUUGUGGUGUAUUUUUUUUUUUUUUUUGGAGCUGUCAUAUGUAUUAUGUGUUAUUUAUUGUGCUUGUGGGGAGGUCAAGAAAAGGGAAUGAAUUAAUGAGAUACUGUUUGUACUAUGUUUUUGCUUAUUCUCAAAUAUAAAUUGGUGAUGAUGAAAUGUAUAUUGGGUCGAUGUGUUAUGGUGACUUCUUUACUUAAACUGAAUGUAAACCAAUAGCAAACAUUGGAUUGAAUGAAGUUGCCAUAAGUUGAACGUAUAUAUAAACCAACAGCUUCUCUGGUUUGCUGCAAAUCACUAUAUACAUAAAACAGACACGAGUGAUUACUCGAGUGCUAUAAGUUGUAUCUAGUGAAUACUCAAGUGCCAGUUGUAAUAAAAAAAAAAGAGUCAUUUAAGUGUCAAGUUAUUAUUAAAAGUGAUCACUUAAGUGCAACUUGUGUUUAAAAGUGAACACUUAAGUGCUAGAUUUUUUAGAAUGUGAUCAGUUAAGUGCCUUUUUUUUUUUGUACAUUUUCCUCUAUAAAUUGCACUAGCCAUCAGCUACUACCAGCCACCAUCACCGCCCACCACUAGCCACCAUUGGCCUCCAGCCACACCAAGCAUCUCAGGCAUCCAUUUGAGUCACCACCAGCCACCACUAUGCUGGUGGUAUGCUGUUGCAGAAGUUGCUAGUGCAAGGUGCUUUACACCAGCUUGCACCAGCACUACCUAGUGUAAGAUGUGCAUAUUGCAAACUUAUAUCUUGCACCAGGUGCAUCAAAAACCCUAACCCAACCCAUAUAAUAGACCCACCAUAAGUAGGCAUCAGCAAUCACCACUGGCCACCACCACUAGCAACACUAACAUCCUAGCUACCACACCAAAAUGUAGCCACCACCAUAAACCCACCAUUAGCAGCCACUGUUAGUGGUGAGUCGUGGGUUUGUUGCAAAAGGGGUUCGUGUAAGCUAGGCUAUGCACACUACACUCUUGCACCAGUACUAGCUGCAGCAAGAGGCCCCAACCCAACCCCCACAACGGACCCACCACCAUCAAGCUUCACCAGCCGCCACCACCAACCACACGAGCACCCUAAUCACCACCACAGAUCCACCACCAAAAGCAAUAAGUACAAGUAAAAACAAAAUCAAAAAAAUAAAAAAGACAAAAAUGACAAGCAACAAGAUUGUUCCAUUGAUAUUAAAUUUAAGUCUCACAAACUCAAUGACAAACUAUUAUAAUAAAAUAAAAUAAAAACAUCCAUACUAAAACAACUGACUCCUCAACCCUACAAACCAUAUCACAUCCCAUUUCAUCAAUCAAUAUGCACAAUGCCUCUCGUUCGUGCUCCUUUUGAUGGACCUUGCACUCGAUUCAUAAUCCUUGCACUUUUUCUAACUGGAUGUGAGACUUCUUUUUCAACUAUCUCGAGAUGCGUUGAUUCUGAUGAAGCUGCAAUUGUCCUAGGCUGAACUGAUUCAGAUGGACCUGCAAUUGGGUUCUUCUUACUCUUCUUUCUUGUUGGUGCAGCAAAUGUCUUCUUUUUUGUUGAUGCAGCCGUUGAUUCUUGAGUUGAGCCUUGAGAGAUAAGAACCUUUGAACUUCUCCCAAGCUUAAAAAAGAAAACUCAAUUAUCAACAAAAGUUUGCACUAUAAAUUAAAUUAAAUGCAGCCUAUAAAACUUACAUUAAGAAUAAUUGUUCCAGAACACUCAUCUGUAUAAAGGCCAUACUCAUAUUGUUUUAGCCUCUUCCCAAGAGCCCCUCUUGUUCGAAGGGGAACGUCACUUUUAGGUAUUUGUGAUUAGUUGGCUCUUCUUCUUGCAUGUGAUUUCUUCGGCUUUUGUUGUGGCUAUUCAGCUACAGUGGGGGCUUCUUCGGCCAAUUCUUCAGCUAGGCGUCUUCUAAAUGGCCUUCUUGUAAGUGGCUCUUGAUUUGGCUUUCUUCUGGUUGUUUUUCUAAUUAGCUCUUUAGCUUCAGUGACACCUUUUGUUGGCUUUUGUGGUGGCCUUUGUGAUAACCCUUUUAGUGGCCUUUGUGGUGACCUUGGUGAUGGAUCUUGUGGUGGCCCUUCGGUUGGGCCCUCUAUUGGUAGCUAAGCUCUAGCUUGCCUUCUUUGAAUCUGAGAAAAAGGCAAAGGCCAUCAUAAAUAUAACAUCAGACCAUAUAAAAACAUAAAUGAAAACUAAACACAAAUUAUUGAACUCACCGGGUAUUUUUUUCUCUCUGCUGCUGAACAACAGUCGACUUAACAGGCCCUCCAGUUGCUUCGGCCAAUCCUCAACUGGCUGUCUUCUACCUUGCCUUCUUUAAACAAGCCCUUCAAUUUCAGGUACAGCAGAGGCUUCAGCCAAUUCUUCACGUGUCAUUCUCGUAACUUGACAAAGACAAAAACAUUACAUACAUGUCACUUAUAUCUAUGUACAUAUUUGUAAUAAAACAUAAAGCAACAUAAACACAAUUGUCGUGACUUACUGGGUUUAUUGUUGUCGAUUGAAGAACAAUCGACUCACUUUGCCUUUUUGUUUGUCAUUCUCCAACUGUCCUUUCACUAACCCCUUUGGUUGGCCUCAACUUUUCCUGCUGCUUCCUUAAUUGACAACCUUUAGUAUUGUGCCUUGCUAUGUGACAAAAAGAGCACUUUAUCGGUACACUUUUCCUAUUCAUCCUACACCGACAUGAGACCUCUCCCUCCGUCAUUCUUCGUUUUCACUUUGGUCUUCCCAUUUUCUUCUUUAGUGGCAAAGGUUGAGGUGUUUCGCGAUCUGUUGGCUCCCAGAACUUGCUACUUCUGAUUGGCUGCAACAUGAAUUGGUACUAAGCAAGAUAUUUCGGUUUCUUGUACCAUUCAUCAAUGUAGUCUUUUAUGUUGUGGCCCUUCAAUUGAAUGGCACAUGUUGCAUGUGCACAAGGAAUUCCACUUAGUUGCCAUGCUCGACAUGAACAAUUCCUCGUACCUAAAUGGACAACAUACUUAUCGGAACCCUUCAUUAUCUCAUAUCCUUCAUCCCCAUUCCAAAUGAGAUGGCAAUACCUACUUGCAGCUAAGUUGUCAUCCAAUUUCUUAGCAAUUCUAGGACCACAUUGCCUAGUCCAUUUUGCAGCCUCAUCUCUUUGUCUGUGCAACCGAGUCAUGACCAUAACCCGUAUGUCUUCAAGCAUCAAGAUAAUGGGUUUGCAUAUGGCACUUAUUUAUCCUCCCAUUGAAUGCUUCGCAGAUGUUGUUAUCGAUGUUAUCGCACUUGAAUUCCUCACUAAAGAACGCCCUACACCAAUACUUCAGUUCUAUUUGGAAUAGUGCAUCAUAACCUUCCUUCAAUUGAAGUAGUUCUUCUUUGGCCAUCCUAAAGUCAGCCAUAUUCGUACUCUUUGCUAGCUGCCAAAAUUGCGACUGCCACUUGUCCCAUUUAUAGUUGUUUGCCCAAUUUGCGUAUAUGUGCCAUGCAUACAUUCGAUGUUCAGCAUAAGGCAACAACUCAGCUAUUGGUGGAACUAGUCCUUGCAAUAAUUCAAAAUAAGAAAUGUAAGCAAAUGACAUGUUGAUAUCAAAAAGCAAACGAUUAACCAAAUUUUUUAAAAAAACAAACAUUACCUUUUGUUGGUCACUCAUGAAUGCCCACCCUACCCCGUUUGUUAUCUCCAAAUCAGUCAUCAAAUUUUUUAGAAACCAGGACCAAUUGUCCUUGUUCUCUACCUUCACAACAGCCUAAGCCAAUGGAAACAUUUGGUUAUUUGCAUCUCUUCCAAUUGCAGUCAACAAUUCUUUCUUGCACAAGCCUUUCAAAAAACACCCAUCUAAUCCUAUAAUCCGUCUACGACCAGAUAAAAAUCCUCGUUUGCAUGCAUCGAAGCAAACAUAGAACUUAUCGAACUUGGUCCCAAUAUCAGGAAGUGGUCUUUCCACGACCUCUACAUACACUCUACUUGAAGGAUUUUGCAGCCUACACUCUCAAGCAUAAUCCCACAAUUGUCCAUAUUCGCUAUUGUACUGACGAAUGAGUAUCUUCAUCACAAUUUGCUUCGAUAUUUUGCAUUGAUUCCUGGAUAUAUUGAUGCCUACCUUCUCCUUCACUAGCAUCAUGAACUCAAUACUAUUCAUCUAAGGCAUCAGCCUAAUCAAAUCAAAGAAGUGUUUGGACAAUCAUGCACUUGUUACCCUUUUAUUUUCAAAAUUAAUGAAACAAAUAUGUUCCUCUUGAUAGGCUCUAAUCUGGAAUGAUCCACUUCUCCUAACAAAUGCGCCAUAGAUCUUCCAUGGACAAUUUUGCUAUGAACACCUAGCUCUUACAAACGUCGUAGUGUUUCUAAUGACGUCAAUAUUCCUCUGUGCAGCAAUGGAGUUCUUCAGUAUAGCUUCCCUAAAUUGUUUCGCAUCUUGAAAUUUCAUACCUAUGACAAUGUAGGAGAGGCAAUGGAUGGAUCAUAAGAAUGAAACUUACUUUUCCUUCUAUGCACAACUCCUUCAUCUUCUUCAAGCUCAUCUUGGGAAGUAGCAUUCUUGACGCUUUCUUCAUAAUCAAUCUCCUCGCCAGCAGCACCGGCAUCUGCAGGGCCUUCAACCCUAUUUGGAACUUCAUCAGCUACCUGCAAAGCUGCAAACUUAUCUAUAAAAAAAAUCCCUUAGCUUUUUUCUUGACUGUACAAUCUUCUUGUUGUCAUUAUCACUUAUGAAAUUUUCAGCAGGCAACCCUUCAUCAUCAUCAUCACUUGAUUUAGCUACUUCACAAUCUAAUCCAGUGAUUGUGACAUCACCUAUGUCAUAAUCACUUUGGUGAACUACAUCUGCACUCCUCUCCUCUCCAUCAUGUCUAUCCUGCCCUCAUUUAACCCAAACGUCAGUACUACCUUGAAUACCAUCUCCAUCUUGUCUUACUUGGGCCCUCUCUCCAUCAUCAUCUUCGUCCUCACUUUCACUAUUGUACUCAACAUAUAUUUUUACCUCUUCACCAUGAAGAUAAUGGUAUAGAACAUCUCUAAAAUCAUUAUCAUCUUCUAAGCUUCUCAAACCAUCUCUUAAGCCUUUCCCAGGAAUACAAUAUAACAACUUUUGAACUUUACAAGGCAAAUAAGUCACUAUAUCCCUAACAAAUCCUAUAUAAGAUGCUUUCUUUAUCUUGACAAAGAUAAUGCCCUCAUUUCUACCCUCAUCCUCCCCAAUCACAAAAUCCCCACCGUAGCAAACUAUGACAAUGACAUAAUCCUUGUUAUAAGCCAUUUAUGCACCAAGAACAAAAAAAAAAAAAAAUUAGUUUUUGGGACCACAUCCACAAAGAACAAUAGACAAUUGCACAUGGGAGUCCCCCCACUCUCAUGGACUUUAUUAAACAGAGGUCCCCACAUUGACAAUAUGCCCCUACAUGGCAGCCAAAAAAGAGGUCGUCACUUUAAUUAUUUGCCUUCCUUUCCCUUAAUAUAUUAACCAAAAACAAAGGUCCCCACAACAAGCACAACCCAAGCAAUUUUGUCUACUAUCUUUUGCUGAACUAAACUUGCGAUGUGAGAAUGUACAUCAACUUAAUCAAAUCAAAUCAAUUUUUCCUGUGAAAACACAUAUAGAAAAUAAAGGAAAGCUCGAUGUAAAAAUAUAGGGUGAAAGUUCUAUUUCUCAUCCAACCAAGAGAAAUCAUACCCGACUCUAUGAUGUUUGGCCAUUAAUAUAUUGUGUCAAUAGGUCGUUACACUGCCCAAGAGAAAUUCAGAGGAAAAUCAAGCCCUGAAUUUAUCCAUUGCACAGUAGAUUGAUACUGCAUGUCAAAAGAGCUAAUAGUUUAUAAACUUUAAAAUGAGGUACUUACAUGUGGUUUCAAAUAUGUCCCUUGCAGGUAACAAACUUAUAUAAAGUAUCAAAACAAAUUUUACACUCCUCAAUGAUCCCUGCAUAUAUGUUGACUAUUUGAUUAGAAANNNNNNNNNNNNNNNNNNNNNNNNNNNNNNNNNNNNNNNNNNNNNNNNNNNNNNNNNNNNNNNNNNNNNNNNNNNNNNNNNNNNNNNNNNNNNNNNNNNNUCUAGGCAUGAAUAGCGACGGAGAGAAGGGCCUGAGAUCUAGUGUGAACGCGGACAAGGAGGAACGGCAAUGGCUAGGUUUGCUUAAGCCAAAAUAACCUAAACGACGUCAUUUAACACCAAGGAAAAACGACAUCAUUUAGGUCAGCUUAGUCGAUGUGGAUAGACGACGUCGUUUUUAUCAUCCGUGUAGGCUUUUUUUUUUAAAUGUUUGCCACCUCAGUAAAAGAAGUCGCCAGAAAAUGCCACAUAUGCAAUUUGGCCGGAUUUUCCUGUCAAGUGAUCCAUUUUGCUCCGAUUUUGGCACUUAAGUGUCACUUUUGUAAGUUAUGGCACUUAAGUGUCCUUUUGUGCCAAGUUAUGGCACUCCAGGGGUUUGCGCGUCCUUUUUGUCAAUAGCAAAAAGUGGAGAAUGACUAUAAAAGGAGUUGCGUAAAAAUCAUAGCUGUUUGGGGAUGCGAAUGAGUUGGAAAUCCCCCAUAGACUUGACAGUCUCCUCUAGCUUCCUUAGAGUCUCCUUCAGUUGGUCCAAAUCUUCACCCUUUGCAGUGUCUUGCAUUUGAAUCUUCAGGGCUUGUAGCUGUUCUUGCAAAGAAACUGAAGUGGACUAGAAAGCUUUCUUAAGGUCCUUUAACUCAAACUCCAAGCCAUAUUGAUGUCUUCAAAUCCCAAAGGAUAUCCAGCAGUCUUGGAAAGUCUGCUGUUGGUUCUGGAGUAACACUAGGUCUAGCCAAAUUAGUUCCAGGAGUCUUAAGAUGUAAGGGAAUAUCCGCAGUUUGAUCACCGGGACUAGGAAUGGAUGCCUCAACGUCUGCUUCAAGGUAGUGAGAGGCAUAGACAUCCUCUGGAUCUGCUGGAGAUUUACUAACAUCACUUAUAAGAGCAAGUGAAGAAGUACCUCUUUUGUUAGUAGCUCCCCCUGUUUCUGUGCUUUCAGGUGGAGAAAAGAAUUCUUCUUCCUGUUCUUGCUCUACUUCAGCACAUGAGUGAUGUUUUUCUCUUUCUUUUCUGGCAGUUCCACUCCUUGUUUUCUCCGAGUCAUCUGACAAGGAUACAGCAAAAGUAGGCUCAAAAGAGUCAUCUUGACCCUCUUCUUCCUCUUCCUCUCUUCCUCUUUCUUCUUUCUUCUCUUUCUUCACCUCUCUUCUAUGUUUCUUCUCUUUCUCUAUUAUCUCUGUCCUAUGGCUCCUGAAGACUAACAAAACUUUGUAAAUUUCCUAAGGCAAAAGCGGAGAGAGUGAUGUCAUCCUCAUCUUCUUCGUCCUGCAAGAUAAUGGCUCUCCUCUUCUUGAUAGGUCCGCUCAUGGGCUCCUUGCCUUUUCUUUUCCUUGUUGCAGAGUCUUGUUUUGCCUUGAUAGGGGACUUCUCCUUCAUAUGCUCCAAAACCCUAUUCAACUCCUUCAUAUGCAUCUUUGAAACCAUUUUCAGUCCAGUCACCAUUGGAGCAAUGGUUCUAACACAUAAAGUAGCAGGAAGAUGAAUUUUGAAGUGUGGUAGACGGGAUCGAUAAGCGCAGAGUAAGGGAGUUGCCCCUUGUCCUUCACAACUGUCCUAUACAUGUGCAUGAGGAUAGUGUGAGGCAGUGAGAACUUAAAGCCAAUGUUGAUUGCAUACAUCAACUUUGCUUCAGAAUGAGAGACAUCAGUCUUUGACGUGGAUUUAGGUCUGAUGCAGUUGAUCAUGAUAUUGUGAAAUAAGAUAUUGGAUGCAGUCAUUCUAGAGUAAGAAAUCCUGCCCUUAGCAAAUCUGUCCUAAACAAAUUCCAAUGUAGCAUGACCAACUGACAUACCGAUUGGUUGGAAACUCCCUCUUUCCACACCAAUCAAAUCCGCCAAUGUGUCCACAUCGACCACAAAUUCUUUGUCCCUAACCGUAAAAUAAAAUCUAUUCGCAUCUAAGGAAGAUAGAUUUGAAUAGAAAUAAGCUGUUAGUUCUGGGUAGGCGACAGUUGUCUCAGAGCAAAAACUUUCAAGUUGAAGGAGUGCAAACUUCUCCCUUAGUUUCACUUUCAACGAAUCAAGAAAAUUGAAAUCCACAUUUCUAGGGUUCAUAACCCCUCUCUUCAGCAGUUUCGAGUAAGUCUUCCUGUGGUCUUUGGAAUGGAAUAAACUCGCUCCCUCACCAUGAACACUUGCAGCAACGUCCAUCCUAGGCUGAAAAUUUGUGAACAUCCUUUCAUCAUCAUCCUUACCUCCAGGCUGAUUAAAAGUGUUGAACCGUGGAUCACUUUGAAAGUUGGCAAAGGUCCUUGCUGCCAAACCUUUAGGAGCAAUCCCAUCCUUUCCAUGGAUUGUAAGAACCAAGUUUCGUUCUUGUAACCCCUCUCUCUCAUGAACUCAUCGAUGAAUGUCAUCACAGUACCACCCUCUUUCAACGUAGAAUAAAGUUUAAACAGAAAUUCGGGUUUUAGCGUUCUUACGGGUUCCACAUCUUCCACAAUUUCUUCUUCUACUUGUUGCUGUGGAGGAUCUUGAGUCCUGUGCUGAGAAGAGUGACGUGGUUGAGAAUGUUGUUGUCGUUGCUGCUGCUGAGGAGAAUCUUCUUCCUCGGUUACAUCAAAGUGCGUAGGACCCUCACGCAUAUGCUGUGGUCCCCUGCUCCUGAUUCUAUAGGACUUUCUUUGGGAAGACAUUGUCACUUUCUUGGAGGAUUUCUCGAACUUGCUAUUGAAAAAGGUGAAAGCUUUUUGGAUUAAACUAGAGGGAAAGUGAGAGAAAGUAGGAUUUUUGUAUUCUAGGAUUUGUAAGCGUAAACGGUGAAGAAGAAAAUCGAUGGUAUAUAAAGCAAGUGAAACGGGGUAUAUGAAUCAUCACAAAGGAAAAAACAAAAACUACCUUUUUCAAAAAUGAAAAACUGCCAUAAAUUUAAAACUCAAAAAAGAUAAAUUCUAAAAAUAAAGUAGGCAAGUAGCAAUUCGAAAAAUCAACGUACCUUUUCAAAAAAUUAUUCUAAAAUAAAAACACAUGCAUUUAGAAAGCAUUAACUUACAGUCGUAACUUCUGGAUAUUCUGAGUCUGAACACCUUUAGACUUUGCCCAGUAAAAGAUAUGAUGUUCAGUCUGGUGCGAAUAGACUGAAAUAAGCUUUUCUCCAGUGGCAUUGUAAAUAUAUAUGUCAACUGUUUCUUCGAGUCAAUGAACGGAAUCAUAAUUUCUUAAUUCUGAACAUGAUCUCUAAUGAAGUGAUGUCGAAUCUCUAUAUGUUUUGCGCUUGAAUGAAGAAGUCACAUUUGAUCUCGGUGCACGACUCUUCAAUACCAAAGUCUCUUAGUUGUUGCCUUAUCCAUAAGAUUUGAGAGCAACAAUUUCCAAGAGCCACAUAUUCUGCUUCAGCUGUUCAAAGAGCUACGGUGCUCUAUUUUCUUGAAAACCAAGAUACCAGCUUGUUGCCUAGCAGUUACAUAUACCAGAAGUACUCUUUCUAUCAACUUUGCAUCCUGCUAAAUCUGUGUCUGAAUAUCCAUGAGAGUAAAGUCUCCUUCUUUGAGAUACCACAAACCUAGCCUUGGAGUAGUUGCAAUGUAUUUGAUGAUGCGCUUUGCGGCACCUAAAUGAGAUUCUUUGGGAUUUAAUUGGAAUCUAGCAUAGAUACAAACACUAAACAAAAUGUUAGGUCUAGAUGCAGUAAGGUAAAGAAGCGAACCAAUAAUGCUCCUGUAAAGUUUCUGGUCUACACUCUUUCCUCCUUCAUCUUUGUCCAGCUUUGAAGAACUUGACAUAUGUGUCUGUCUUUUUGCAAUUCUCUAAUCCAAACUUCUUGAUGAGAUCUUUUGCAUACUUCUCUUGGUGAAUGAAAAUACCUUCCUUUGAUUGUUUAACUUGUAAUCCCAAAAAGAAAGUCAGCUCACCCAUCAUGCUCAUCUCGAAUUCAUCCUACAUGCAUCUAGAGAAUUUCUUGCAUAGAUUUUCAUUAGGUGAUCCAAAUAUAAUAUUAUCAACAUAAAUCUGAACAAGUAGAAAAUCUUUACCUUAUCUUUUAAUGAACAAAGUAGUGUCUACCUUUUCUUUAACAAAACCAUUUUGAGUUAGGAAUUUACUUAACUUUUCAUACCAGGCUUGAGGUGCUUGCUUCAAUCCAUAUAGGGCCUUUUCCAGUCUGUAGACUGAGUCUGGCUUUCUUGAAGCUUCAAAACUAGGUGGUUGUUCCACAUAGACUUCUUUUUGGAUAAAUUUAUUUAGGAAUACACUUUUUAUAUCCAUUUGGAAUAAUAUGAAAUUUUUAUAGCAAACAAAAACAAGUAAUAAUCUAAUUGCUUCUAACCUUACUACUGGCGCAUAGGUCUCGUCAUAGUCUAUCCCUUCUUCUUGCGUAUAUCCUUUGAUAACGCGUCUUGCUUUGUUUCUAACAACUUUUCUUUUUUUCGUCUACCUUGUUCCUAAAAACCUAUUUAGUUCCAAUAAUAUAUUUACCUUCAGGUUUAGGAAUGAGUUCCCAAACAUCGUUUAUGUUGAACUAUCUGAGCUAUUCUUACAUAGCUUCAAUCCAACUUUCAUCAGCCAAGGCUUCUUUUAUACUUUUGGGUUCAAUCUCAGAAACGAGUGCUAAAGCACUAGACUCUUCUCAUCUUUUGGAUCUGGUGCGAAUUCCUUCAUCAAUAUUGCCAAUGAUGAGUUCUUUGGGAUGACUUGACUUAUGCUUCCAGUUGCUAGUUGGUUUGUGAGUCUGGUGAUCUUCUGCUUCUGUUGAAUCUUCUAGUUUAUCUUAUUGUUGAUCUUCAGAAGUCUGAACCACUUCGAGGGAAGUAUAUUUUAUAACGUCUAAAACAAGUUCAGAUUCUUCAACCUGAGUCUGAUCCAAUUGAUUCUACAUACAGUCUUGAAACUUGACGUUCAUAGAUUCUUCCACAGACUGAGUCUUCUUGUUGAAUACUCUGUAGGCUUUGCUUGAGGUUGAGUAGCCAAGAAAAAUUCCUUCGUCUAAUUUUUCUUUAAACUUACCGAUUCGAUCAUUUGCAUUUUUCAAAACAAAAUACUUACAACCAAACACAUGAAAAUAAGAAACAUUUGGUUUCUUCCCUUUAAAUACCUCAUAAGAAGUUUUCUCUAGAAUAGGCCUCAAGAAUACUUUGUUAAUAAUAUAGCAAGCUGUAGAGACCGCUUCAGUCCAAAAUCGAGAGGAAAUAUUACUCUUAAUUAAGAGGGUUCUUGCCAUCUCCUACAAAGAUCUAUUCUUUAUUUCCACAACCCCAUUUUGCUCUGGAGUAUAUGGAGAAGAGAAAACAUGCUGAAAACCAAAUUCAUCACGGAAUUUUGCAAAGUCUUGAUUUUCAAACUCACCUCCAUGGUCUAUCCGUAUGCUUGAAAUAAUAUAUCAUUUUUCAUUCUGAACCUUCUUGGCAAAUUUUGAAAAGUAAGAGAAUACUUCAGACUUACUUGCUAGGAAGUAUACCCAAGUAAAGCAAGAGUAAUCAUCCACGAUUACUAGGCGGUAUCUUUUUCUACCAAUGCUUUGAGUUCUGGUUGGUCCAAAGAGAUCCAUAUGCAGAAGUUGCAAAACUCGAUUAGUAGAAACUUGAUUUAUAGGUUUAAAAGAACUUAUGACCGGUUUUCCCAAAACACUUGGUGUGCAUAAAUCAGACUUUUGAUAAGUCAGGUUGGGCAGUUCACGAACAAGCUUCUUGGAGGAAAUCUUAGAAAUCUACUUCAUGUUAACAUGGCCAAGUUUUUGAUGCCAAAGGUUUGCUUCAUCUUGAAUGGAUAUUAAACACUAAGAACUUUCUGGUUUUAUAUCCAAAAGAUAAAUAUUCCCAUGUCUUCGUCCAGUGAAAGAUUGAGAGAAAUCUUUACUAGUUCCUAAACAAAUGCCUUCUUGGAAAUUAAUUUUGAAUCCAGUAUCACACAGUUGACUAAUGCUGAGUAGAUUGUAAUUCAAACCUUCCACCAAGGAAACAUUGUUGAUUGUGAGACUUUCAAUCUUCACAGUUCCACAUCUAACAAUUCUUCCUUUGCUGUUUCCACAAAAAGAAACAUUUCCACCAUUUAUUUGCAUGAGCUUUAUAAAACAACUUGAAUCUUCUGUCAUGUGUCUCGAGCAGCCACUAUCCAAAUACCAUUUAAUAUUUUUCUUGAUAGUGACCUCGACUUCUUCAUCUGAGUCUGAGUUUGAGUCUAAGUCCGUCUCUGUUUCAAAGUCUGAGUUUGAAUUGGCCAUUAGACAUAUAUCCGUGUAUUCUUCAUUACUCUCCUCACAUUCAGUAUCGCUCCAUGUCUCUACUUUGAGAACCUUUUUGAAUUUCUCUAUUUUUCCUUUCUUUUUCUUCAACAAAUGACAGUUGGGUCUGAUGUGCCCCAUUUUCUUGCAUUCGAAGCAAAUCACAUCUUUGCUGGUCUCAUUAUCCAUAGUUAAUUUCUUAUGAAAUCUUUAAGUGUCCUGCUUCUUCCAAUUAAACCUUUUUCCUUUCUUGUUCAACUUCCUAAACUUCCUUAUCAUGAGUGCUAGCUCUUCAUCGUCCAAGUCAGAAUCAUCCUUAGAUUUUAAGGCAAUUGACUUCUUACCUUUGGAAUCUUCUUCCUCAUUGAUUUGCUCUACUUCAUAUGAUUGAAGUGUGCCAACCAAUUUCUCUACAGAAAGAGGCAUGAUCCUUUGGGUUUCUCUUAUUGAAGUCUUCACGUGAUUCCAGUCUUUGGAGAGUCCACGCAGCAAUUUAUUGACCUUCAUUGGUCCUGAGAUUAGUUGUCCUUGAUAUGCUAGACCGUUUACAAUCUCUGUGAAGCAACAGAACAUGUCAGUGAUGGAUUCUCCUGGCUUCAUCUUGAAGGCUUCAUACUGUCCGAGUAGGAUAUUGAUUUUUGUUUCUUUAACUUGAUCAGUUCCUUCAUAGGUAAGGUGCAACCUAUGCUAGACUUCUUUGGCUAUUUCACAAGAUGAAAUUCCGUUAUACUCAAUAGGAAAUAAAGCACAAUUUAAUGAAUAGAUGGCUUUAGCAUCAAAAGCUUGUCUAUUGGUUAUUUUCGCUUGUGUCAAUUCUCCAGCAUCUGCAACUUCCUUUCCUGAGGUUGAUAUAGCUUUGGGAAUAAUCCCUUUUUCUACCACAUCCCAUUCCAGGGGAUCUUUCGAUCUCAGGAAUGCCUUCAUCUUGUUUUUCCAAACAUUGUAUUCAUUCCCAUCAAAGUAGGAAGGUCUGGUGUUGCUUUGGCAUUCAACCAAAUCUGGAGUCAAAAUACUGCCCAUAGAUCUUUAGCUUAAAAAGUAAAAACACUUCAAUAAAUAAGCACACAAGCUCUAAUACCAAUUGAAAGGGCUAGUAUGAACACCUAGAGGGGGGUGAAUAGGUGUGAAGAAAAUUUUUAGCAAGACUUAGUAAAAGUAAAUUGCCUUUAGAAGAUAAUAGACUAAGGACGUAAUUAGCUUUAAAAAAUUAUAUAAAGCUACGAAUAAAAGUAAGGAGUUCAAGGAAAGAGAAUUAGGACACAAGGUUUAUAGUGGUUCGGCUUAGAUCAAGCCUACGUCCACUCUCCCACGCUAACAGCCCACUAGCUGGAUUCCACUAUGAAUCAAAAGAGAUUUUACAACUUAUGAUCUUCAACUUUCUCAGUGGAGAGUCUCUACUAGUCUCUCACCAAGUCUCACUAUGUGUUUCUCUCUUUUGUAUAGAACUUUGAGCUCAAUGAAUGAAAGAGCAAGGAACUAGAAAGCUUCAGACUUUGAGAUUCUUCUUUCACGCACUCUUUCGAACAAUCAUCCUUAAAUACUCCUUCAUGCCUUCACGACCAUUGGCACUCUCCAAAGGAAUUCUUCCAAUCUACCUGUUGGACAGAAUGAAUUAAGGCGAUCUCGAGUCGUUAGAUGAUUUGUGAUGAAGGCCCGUCAAUCAUGUUCACCCAUACAAUCAGGAUCUUUGGUUUCCAUAAGUAGAACCUUCCAAGUUUGCUCGUCUUUCAAAAGAUCUUCAUAUCGGAGUAGAUUGCAAUAAGAAUAAUCAAUCAUGUAGAUGCUAUAUCCAACCAUAAGAUCUUCCAAAACCAUACAAAUCGAAUCCUUGAAGAUAAUCUGACAUCUAGAUAAAUCUUCAUUCUUCGGUUUGGAAACUGUCAGUGAGGGCAAACUUUGAAUCUUAAGUCUGGCAGUCUUCAGACUUAGAUGGUAGAGUCUGGAGUUCUUUAAACUAGACUUUUGAAAACGUUUUGUCAACUUCAAAAUAGCAAAUGAGUUUUCUCCAACAAAUAUUACCUAUCCCCGACGUGUGUCGAUGGAUAUUACCUAUCCCCGACGUGUGUCAAUGGAAAUUAUCUAUCCCCGGUGUGUGUCGGUGGAUAUUACCGUCCCCGGUGUGUGUCAGUGGGCAUCACCUAUCCCGGGUGUGUGUCAGUGGAUAGAGGACCGAUGUGUGUUGGGUAAAACUACCCAUGCAGGUACUAAUAAUUAAUUAAAACGCAUGUUGAGUGAAAUUGAUUAACCGAUAUGUGUUGGUAAUUCUUGCUUGUGUGGGCAGUGAUUAAAUUGUAAUUCUUGCUCGUGUGAGCAGUGAUUGAUUUAGACGUUCCAAAUGGUGUGUGAAUUUGCUAUAUACACAUGAUUGUGAUAUGAACUAUGCUGACCUGCAGGGAGGAUCUAAGACAAGGUAAGUCUCUGUGGUUGUAUGACUGUGUGGUUAGAACACCCUAGGCAUAUUACCCUCCUAAUCGGGAUUUAGAAUGGGAACUUGCUGAGAUUUAUAUCUCAUCCCGUCGUGAGCUUAAAUUUUCAGGACCGUAGAGCGGAGAAUCUGAAGCCGAGCUGAGGUGAUCUAAAGUGUUGGUCAAAUAGGACAGUUUCUUUUUUAGAGUCAAUCAUUUGAAGUCUUGCGACUAUAGAUUUUUGUACUUGACUCGGUGUGUAUUUAAAAGCAUGUUUUGUUUGAAAAUAUGUUGUCCUGCUUUUCUAUCCCAAGAUGGUUACUAUCAGGGGAUUUGUUAUUCGCUUCUGCAUGUGCAAUAAAAAGAAAGGGUCGGCGACUCGUCUUGGGAAGUCACAAAAUUUUAUCGACCAUCGAGGGAUGGGCACGCGCUCGAGGAUAGGGCGUGACAUCCCCAUUUAGUGGUAUCAAAGCAGAUCGAUAGUUGGAGUGAUAAGGUACGAUGGGUUCUUGGGAUAGUUAGUAGGAAAGACUUUUAAUAUACUAAUGCAUGUGAGUGAUAACUGAUUGGUAGCUUGUUUGUGUGGUCACUCAGUUUCUAAUUUAGUGAGGAAUUGGAAAACAUGUUUCUAUAAAGAUCCUGUGGCAUAAGUGACUAGGAGCAAAGAACUCCUUGGAAGAGAUCGGUAGGACCUGUAUCUUAGGGUAGGAUGUCAACAAGAGUCGGUACCAGAGACAGAACACAGGCUCAGGCCAGCGUGAGUGUGAGAGUACUGCCGUAAGCCGGUACCAAGAAUGUAGUAGCACCGAGUGAUCCUAGGUUUGAUGGGAUUGUUCAAGCGCUAGUCACCUUUGGGAACUUGUUGCAUCAGUAAGCUCAGGAUCGAGCCAUCGCUGUUGCCCCCAUAUCUACCGUUGCUAGUGCUGUAACCGCUGAUGUUGCUGCACCUGUUGAGACCUAACCUGGAAUUGUGAUCGGGGAGCAAGCUACCGCAUCUGAAUCAAGAUUCAGUUCCAAUAGAGAUGAUAACCAACUAAGGAAGAGACCGAUGUCAGAAGAAAGGUAUUCCAUCCCUCUCAAUAAGAAUGGUAAGAUAGGAAAGUCAGCGUCAUGCCAAAAUGUCGUGUGUCGCUUUUGUCGAAGACGGCAUGGACCAACCUCGUGCCAUUUUAGGACUAGUGCUUUUUUUAUGUGUGACUAGCAGGAUCACCUGGCCAGAAACUAUCCACGCAAGCAAAUGGGAUCACAUAGCUGCCGCCACCACCAUCGAUGGAAUGGAAUAGAGAGAGUGCGUCGCAAGACACACAGUGGGGUACUUGGAACAGGCCUCCAGUGCAAGGAAGGGUGCAGGCUGUCACCCGAUAGGAGACAGAGGACUCAUCAAAUGUGUGCCAAGUUUGUGCAAGGAAGCAUGGGUCAGCCUAAUGUCCAAGUAUAUCGGGAGCAUGAUUUGAAUGUGGCCAGCACGACCAUCAAGCGAGGAACUGUCCGCGUAGGUCCAGGAGAGCAUAAGCACCAUUACUGCAGAUAGGGCACCACUAGGAUGGCUAAAGGAACGAGAAUGGACUGACCAUGCAUCGAUAAGGGGAAGAAUGUUUUUGGGGUGAUUUUAUUAGAGUAGCGUAGCAAAGUUGUGAUUAAGGUUGUAGAACUUUAGUUUGUUGUAAUAAAGUAGAAGGAAGAAUCACUGGCUAGAAUUGUAUUUGACUAGUUUACUUAUGUAUAACUUUGACGUCAUGUAUAAAAAGGUUUGGCUCGAUGAGCUUUUUGUUGUAAUAAAUUGUUGUUGCAAGGUAAUGUAGUCUAACCCGUUGGCGGAUGAAAGUUUCAAAUUUAUCGAAAGUCGAGAAGGACCCUCGAUCCCUUUAAAUCUCAUCGCUUGAGACAACCCGUUUGUUAGACAUGGGUUGCCAAGGUUAUUUGUUAACCUUAGUGGAUACGUUAGUUGAGGAGCCGAAGAUGGAGGACAUCACUGUACGAAAGGACUUUGCAUUGGACAGAUGUGCUGAAUUGUACAUGUGACAAAUAGUUUGUCUUCGGGAGUACUAGGGACAGAUAAAAGACUGCUCAGAAUCGCUAGAAAAGUUACGCAGAUAAGCACCAAAGACCAUUGGAAUUCCAAGUUGGUGAUCACAUUUUUCUAAAGGUGUCACCAAUGAGAGGUACUUUGCGCUUUAGUAAGAAAGGAAAGCUGAGUCCGAGGUACAUAGGUCUAUUUGAGAUUCUUGAAAGAAUCGAGAUCCUAGCAUAUCGUCUUGCAUUGCCAUCGAGGAUUGGCGCAAGUGCAUGACGUCUUUCACGUGUCGGUGUUGAAGACGUAUGAGCCUAACCCGACCCAUGUACUAAAUUUUGAAGAGUUAGGCGUGGACGACAAAGCGUCGUACGUGGGAAGCCCGAUUCAGAUUGUGAAUCGCAAGGAAUAGAUUCUGCAUACUAAGACGAUCUCGUUGGUCAAAAUGGUCUAGUAACACCACGGUACUGAAGGAGCAACUUGGGAAAGUGAAGAGUCAAUGAUACGACUGUACCCCCACCUUUUUGUUGAAAGGUUUGUAAAAGUUUAAAUUUCGAGAACGAAAUUUUUAUAGAAGGGGAAGAGUUGUGACAUCCUAAAUUUUAGGUUCUACUUUCGAUUGAAUAAGUUGGGCUUUUCAUCGACGCGCCUAUAGUUCUUUUCUCUGAGUAGGCCACUCAUGAGAUAACUAACCUAUCAGGUGAAGUCGUUAAGGAAUCUAAACGCAAUAGACUUGAGAAUUCGACUAGGAAUUGACUGUUCGAUCAUACUAGUCUGCAAGGAUUAUUACGGCACAAUUAAAAAUCAAUUAGAGACUAGAGAUAGGUCGAUUCGACAGAACCAUGUGAUUAAGUGUGGGUGAUUCCACCUAAUUGCAAAAUUCUUGUCGAUUGGCACUAGACCGAUUUUUCUGUCGUUUUCGUACCUUGUGUCCAUAUUUGAAACCUCGAGAUUUCCACGAUAACCGGGAGUCACCAAUGUGUCGAAGAUGUACUUGUGGCUUGAAAAUAAUCAACCACGGGUCAAUUGCACGAAAAAUUCCUAAAAACUACCCAAUAGAUUGGGACACGCUAAAAUCGCGCCAGAUUGAAAUUAAUCACAAAAUUGAACUCGAUUUCAGAAAUUGGAAGUUCCUUCAUGUCACAAGUCAUUUAGGAACGUCAACUCAUCUCUAAAAAAUUUCUACAAACCAAAAUUUUCAGUGAGAAAUCCAAAGUAAGGGUAUUUAGAUCGGGAAAUUCGUAGGCCCGCUUUUGGGUGGAUUUUUUGGAUUCAAGUUGAUUCAAUUGAUGAGGAAAAAUCAUGGAUUAAGUGUGGACACCUUGGCUGAUUUGUUUGGACUUCGAUUGGAUUGAUUUGAGUAAGAAUUGAAUGGAAUUUAAGAAGAAAUGUACAAAAUUCGUAGCCUUAGAGGGGUGCAACAAUUCAGCCAUGUUGGGAAGCUUCCUAAGGAAGAUUGAGGAGAGAGAAAUGGCUAAGGAUAAGGGCUGACAUGGUGGGGGCAUGUGAUGAGUGAACGGGGAUAAGAUUAAAGACUUGUGGCCAAAUGGUGGGUCCUUUUCAGCCAGCUGCUUCUUCUCCUUCCUUGGCUUCACUUUCUUCAUUGUUGAAGUGUUGAGAGCUCUAGAAAACCAAAGGAACUAGCCAAGACCAGCAGCAAGCCAGCUAAGCCCCACCUGAAGUUGUCCGAGCUCCCCCACGCCAGCCGCUGCUGUCGCGCAUCCCAGCCGUCCAGCUGAUGUUCCAUGUGCGUCUGGCCAUCCUACUAUGUCAUCGAGCUCCCUCAAGCUACCUGGAAGUCAGCUAGCCCAGCCUUGCAUGUCGCCUAGCCCCGUAGCCACCCGUCUCUGCUGUUUCCAGCCGUUCCAACUGCUGGAGUUGCUCGGUUCUGCUCCCUCAACCAGCAAGCAAAAGCUGAAGUCCCAGCAAGAUCUGGAACUUCGUGGCCUGUUUUCGAGCCUUUCCCAACCUCGUUUGGUGUCGCCACAAGCUUGUUUGUCGCUCACCUUGGUGUUGCCGUUGUCGUGGACUCAUCGAAUCGUAAAAUCAGUGAGUUUACUCACUAAACCUUGCUUAGGAGGUUAGUGACAUUCUAUAAUGGUUAUAUUAGUCUUGAAUGGAUUAGUGUUAAUCUAAUUAGUGAGAUUAGCACCAUUGUGGAUGGAUUAGUCCAGUUCAGUGGACUUUUUGCAGUUCGGAUUUCUGGACCCUCGCCGUUUGUCAUUUUUGUAGAUAGAAAUGGGUUGCGAAUUUGAGAUUGAUUCUUUCUUGUGAAAUGUUUUAGACAUCUUCAGAUAUAACAUAUAUUUUUCCCAAGAUUUUUGGGGAUUUAAAAGAAGGAGAUAUCAGCUCCGUCAUUUGCAAACAAAGACUCAGACGGUGCUGGAAAUUAUGACUUUUUCAGAUUCUAUGGGUUUUUAUCAACUCUUAGAGUUCUAAUUUCAAAAUGAUUUCUUCACAAAAUUUGUUCUCCAUAUCUUCUAGUUUAACAUGGUUAAAUUUCAGAUCAAAUGGACAAAUUUUGUAUCUCAAACCAAACUGAUUUUGGAAAAUAGACUUUUUAGAAACGGACCCAGUUUUUGGUACUGGAUCGAGCGAUUUACUGGGCCGAAUCUAAAAGGAUCUAGGUUAAGGUGUAUACAUAAAAAAUAUUUUUUUAUGUGUCAUUUACAACAUAUUCAAAUUUGGAAAUUUUUCAAACUCGUUUAAUUAGGUUUCUUGUUUUUAACUUGGAGACGCACGAAUGGCCCAGUUUCUGCCAAUUAGGACCGGUUAUGGUUUUGUGAUUGUUCUUGAUGUUGUGCUUGCUAAAUAAGGUGUAUUUAGUGAUGUGGUGGACUUGUAGUAUGCUGAUAACUUAAGUGUGAGGUCAUGAGAGGGAUUGCUCUAUGUUGGUUGUUUACUAUUAUUGCAAAAAGGUGACCUCUUGGACUAUUAAAUAGAAAAUAAAUGAGGUGUCGGGUUUAGACACCAAGUUUUAUGUGAUCAAUAAAAUGAUGAGGUUUUGUAUGAGGUGCGUGCAAAUUUUGGCGGGUUAAUUUCAAAUAUGGGACCCCGUACAAAUUUACUUCGUAAAGUUUGAAAAAAAAAAGGGUGCCAAGUUUAUUUUAUAAAGGGAGUUUUUGUGUUUUGGCUAUAUGAAAGAGGCUAAGAUUAACCUGAUUGAUUAGGUACCUACAAUGUUAGGUUAAUUAAUUAGUUCAGUUUAAUUAAUCAUAAUUUAUUUAUUUAUUUAAUUGCAUUUAUUUUAUUAUUUUGUAAAUUAUUUAAUUAUUAAUUAUUUUUUGGAAAUUAGACCGGGAUAGCUGGUGACCAGAAUUACGUGCUGAUUGCAAUGGUGUGGUUAUUUUCUACAAUUGAGUGGUAAUUUGUGCAAAUUGAGUGCUGAUUGGAUUUUUGGUAAUUUAUUCCAAAAAUUGUGAAUUUCAAUAUUUAUUUAGAAAAUCCCGGGUGUCGAGUUUUAACACCGAAAAUAGUUUUAUAUACUAUAUAAAAUAGUGGGAUUUUAAAUUGGAGGAUAUCAAUUUUUCAGGCUUGAUCCGACCGUGUACCCGCUCAAGAUAUUUUCACCGGAUGUUUUUAAUAAGAAGAAAACAUGCCAAGGUCGUUAUCUUAAUUGAGGCAUGUGACUGCAAAGCACAAUGUCCUUGACCGGAAUUGAAUGAUCGUGUGCUAGUUAAGAGAACCCUUCCUCAGUGUGUGUCGGUGAAAAUUAUCUAUACCCAGUGUGUGUAGGUGGAUAUUACCUAUCCCCAGCGUGUGUCGGUGGAUAUUACCUAUCCCCGAAGUGUGUCGGUGGAAAUUAUCUAUCCCCGGCGUGUGUCGGUGGAAAUUAUCUAUCCCCGGUGUGUGUCGGUGUAUAUUGCCAUCCCCGGUGUGUGUCGGUGGGCGUCACCUAUCCCCUGUGUGUGUCAGUGGAUAGAGGACCAGCGUGUGUCGAGGAAAACUGCCUGUGCGGGUACUAAUAAUUAAUUAGAAUGCAUGUUGAGUGAAAUUGAUGGACCAAUAUGUGUCGGUAAUCUUGCUUGUGUGAGCAGUGAUUAAAUUGUAAUCCUUGCUCGUGUGAGCAGUGAUUGAUUUAGACGUUCCAAAUGGUGUGUGAAUUUGCUAUAUAAACAUAAUUGUGAUAUGAACCGUGCUGACCUGUAGAGAGGAUAUGAGACAAGGUAAGUUUCUGUGGUUGUAUGAUUGUGUGGUUAAGACGCCCUAGGCGUAUUACCAUCCUAAUCGGGGGUUAGAGCGUGAACUCGGUGAGAUUUAUAUCUUACCCCGUCGUGAGCUUAAAUUUUCAGGAUCGUAGAGUGGAGAAUCUGGAGCCAAGCUGAGGUGAUCUGAAGUGUAGGUCAGAUAUGACAGUUUCUUUUUUAGAGUCAAUCAUUUGAAGUCUUGUGACUGUAGACUUUUGUACUUGACUCGGUGUGUAUUUAAAAGCAUGUUUUGUUUGAAAAUCUGUUAUCCUGCUUUUCUAUCCCAAGAUGAUUAAUGUCAAGGGAUUUGUUAUUCACUUUCACAUGUGCAAUAAAAAGAAAGGGUCGGUGACUCAUCCUGAGAAGUUGCAAAAUUUUAUUGACCACCGAGGGAUGGGCACACGCUCAAGGAUCGAGGUGUGACAAAAGGUUAGCUAAAGGAAAACUCACAAAACUGGACACAACAAAAAAAACGAACUCUAGUUCCAUGGACUUACCAUCAUCGACUAUCUUUGCCAAUCAAAUGAUACAUAUCUUAUCCAUCUCUCUUGAACCUCGGGCAAUCCUCAACCAUGAGUCGACAAGAUUUUGGCACACCCAGCACCCUCUCCAAUGAUUCACAUCUCCAGAAUCUCAAAUGUUUCAAAUUCUGUAGAUUAGAAAGAUCAAAUCCAUUUAAUCUUUUGAUUGAAUUGCAGGACCAGAUAGACAAAUCCUGCAAUGAUUUCAAUUCUCCCAAACCCCGAAUCUCAAUUAGCUGAGGCAAUAGGUGCGGGAACAAACACUGGAUCUCCUUCAAACAAGGCAGAACGGGCAGCGUCUUCAGCAAUGGACAGUCUAUCAUCCGUAAUUCAUUGAAUUUCCCUAGCUCUCCAAGCACCUCGAAUCGAAUCUCUCUCAACGAAUAUCUAUAAAUAGACAGCUCCAACAAAUUCUCUAAGUUGGAAAAGACUGACCAAUCUAUCGGUGACUGGACAUCCCAUAACGACAAUUUUUUAAGGCUGGAUGGGAGCCCAAUAAGAGAUUGGGGCUCGACACAACUUAUGUCGAGGUGUUGUAGCUGAGAGAGGGAACUGAAAUCGGUUGGAGGCAAGGCCAUUUUUCCAACGUGGAGGGUCAUUCGUUCCAGAGCAAGUAGUCUCACGAUCCCCUCUGUGUUAAGUUCUUCAAUUGAAUAUCCAAUUAUCGUAAGGUCAACUAAAUUGGUUAGGUUUGAGCAGUCAGGGAUUGUGGUCAUCGAAUUCAAUGUAAGCCAUAAAAAAGUUAGACUCUUGGGAAGCUCCGGCAACUGUUGGAUUGAAUCACAGGACAUUAACCAAAGAUGUUGAAGAUUUGUAAGCUGAUUGAUCGUUGUGGGCAAUCCACUAAAGCGACCUUUGGAUAAGUCUAGAUAUCUCAAUGAGGAUAGUGCCCCGAUUUCACUUGGAAUUUCCUCCACCAGAUGUUCAGAGCAAGCAUAUAAAUGUUCCAGAUUUUCCAACAUUCCUAUGGUUUUCGGAAGUUCACUUAUGCAACUAUCAUCGAGAUUUAGUACCUUCAACUUUAUGAGAUUUCCAAUACAAUCAGGUGAGCUCCUGAUUCUUGAAUAGCUCAGAUCCAACUCAACCAAUGAUUGGAGCCUCCCAAUUGAGUCUGGUAGCUUUUCUAGAUAGGAAUUCGUGAUGCGUAAAACUUUUAACCUUUCAAGAUUUCCAAUAGAAUGAGGUAAUUCACUAAUUUUUAAAUAUUGGACAUCUAGCUCAAGUAGUGACUCCAAUUGUCCGAUAGAGUCGGGAAGCUUUUGAAGUUCCUUGCAUGGCAAGAUUAGAGACUUCACCUUUGCUAAAUUGCCAAUCGAGUGAGGCUUCCUUGAGGGUGUCCGUUCUAUUCUUAGCACUGUCAAAGAUUUUAGACCGCCGAUGGACUCCGGUGGCGACUCAAUAGCUUCACUCCUUAUCUCUAGGUAAUCAAGAUGUUGUAAAUUGCCGAUGGACUUGUCAAUCUUUCUUAGUUGAAUGCAUCUAAGAAUCAAUUUCUCCAGCUGCGAGAUUGUGGAGAACUUGGGCAUCUUUCUAAGGAAUGGACAGUCCUCGAGCUGUAGGAUUUUCAAUUGUUUUGCUACCUAUAAAGCAAUUGAGUAGACACUCAGAAAAGAGGAAGAGUGAAUAUAAUGCAAAAGGAUGUCAUGAGAUCAUACCAUGAUUUGACACCAUCCUCCCCAAUCUUCAGUAACGUUAUUCCCAGAUAACAUGAGAAUCGUUAAGUUCUUCAAUCCAAAGUUGCUAGCUCGGAAUUUUGAAGGGCAAUUGCUCCAAGAGAGCCAUCUCAGAUUAAAGAAAACAUUCUUAAAGUCUCCUUCAAAAUUUCCAUGGUCCAAUUGAAGGAACCUAAGGUUGACCAAGCCCAUAAAUUGCUUGCGCUUAAAUCUAUACGUCUUAUUCGGGCUUGGUGUACCAAGAUUGAGUGCCACUAUGUCUUUGGUUCCCUAGAAAACAAAAGUAGCAACCAAUGAGUACAUAUGUCACUUUGACUCGAAAUUAGAUAAUAAAAAAGGUGGCGACGCUAAUGGAUGCAUUGGAAAACAUUUAGAGGUCAAGAUUACCAUUUCUGUCUGCACUACAUGGAAGGCAUCCUUGGGAGACCACAAUCUGCUACCCUUCAUAUGGAUUUCGCCACUUUCUAGAUGGACGAUACUCCUUCCAAGGUGUCUAAGUUGGUCGUGCAUCAAUAGUUUAUUAUCGUUGGAUAUUUUUAUCAAAGACAUGCGUUUGAGGAUAUUGACCUCGAUUUCGGUCGAAUACCCAAAAAUCGCAUCCCAAUAUUUAACUACAGUUGUUUUCUCUUUGUUGAAGCAAAAACAUGCGAUAUCAAGAUAAAUUUGUUGUUGGUUAGAAUCCAAUGCUUCGUAGCUUAUCAUCAACUUCUUCUUGACAUCCUCAUUCAUCACCUUCUUUAACUUACAUAGGGCAACUUCCCAUGUUCUUCGGCAUUUUCCACGGAGCGUGGAACCCACAACAUCGAGAGCUAACGGAAGUCCUCCUAGUGCAUUGACUAGCUUUUCUGUGAUAUCCAUGUAACUAGGCGGAGGCUUGGCACAUCCCAAGGCACGCUCACAGAAAAGUUGAAGAGCAUCAUGUGAAUUCAUCUCCAACAUAUCGUAGAAUGAAAAAUGUCCACUAUUAGAGAUUGGGAGAUUGUCAUCCUCACCUUCCUUAACCAGGAAUUCAAUAUUUCUUGUUGUUAUGAUGAUUCUACUACCCCCACCAAACCAGUUGGGCUCACCUGCAAGCCUCAUGAUUUGGUCCCGGUUGUUGAUGUCAUCAAGAACAACAAGGACCUUCUUGCCAAGAAACCUUGUCUUGAUCACUUCAUCAAUGAAGAAGGGGUUUGUGCAACUAAGAUUGAGAACGUCAAACAACAAUUUCUUUUGUAAGCCUAUUAUAUCAUGAGUUCGAACAUCUUUAAGAAAACAGCAAUGAUCUCGAAAUUGAGGGUAGAUUUCCCGGAAGACGGCCUCAGCUAGUGUCGUUUUUCCGAUGCCACCCAUACCAUGAAUCACAAUAAACCGUACAUCAAAAGAUCCUACAUCUAAUAGCUUCAUAAUGUGAUCCAUUCGAUCCUUAAUUCCCACCAAAUGAUUAGACAUGUCCAUCUGUCUUGUCCAUAGCAAAUUUGAAACCUCUUCCACCAUGAGGUUUGUAAGUUUAUAUAGGCUGCCACAUACAUAACAUACAAUCAUCUCAGAUAAAAAAAAAAAUCACAUAUGGGAAUCUAUGCCAGCAUAACGUGUCACUGGAAGGUUAUCAUCAAAUUCAAAGUAAUUGACUUUGAAAGCAACCAGCAUGAAAUGAGUGGUCAUUCAUGCUGCGAGCCGUUUGCCACAAAAAAGGAAAAAAGAAAAAAAUGAAAAAUGAAAGCUGCUACUGUCGGGAUUCUUUGGUCCGGUAAAUGGUAGGAAAAAAGUUAUUUCAUGACGAAGGUCUAAUUGGGCUUUGACUAGAAUUCCUCGGUGAAUCCGGUCUUUUUUAUCUCUUCAGCCACUAAGGAUGAGUUUGAAGAUUGACAUAAAAGAAAAAGAUUUUCUCACCAGGUAGUUACCUGGAAUUUAGGAAACAAGAAUAAAAGCUCAAAAGCGUUUUUCUUAAUGUACCCGAGUAAUGGGGUAGUAACCGAAAAUGAGGAACACUUUCAGAGUAUUUAUCAGCCUUCAUUUGAGUUGCCAACAAUCAUUUUUCCGAAUAAGCUACCAAUUGUUUAACUUAGCAAUUUCAUCGGUCACAUUAAAUUUGUUGGUAAUUUAAUUGGAAUAAGUUGGUAAGUAACUCAAAUUAUGCUUGGUAUUUUGAUAAUUGAGUUCCUAACCUCAGAAUAUUUGUGAACUAUGCUAAUCAAAGCGGGUCCGUUGAUAACAAAAGUUUGUUACAAAAGGUGGGAAUUUUCAACAAAUAAAUAAACAUUGAUAAGUGGCUCACAUAGGAAUGGGUGACUUAAAUUAGUCAGUAACUUAAUCAGAGGUUAGCUAGUAGGAAACUCAUAUUUGAGUCAGUAAUUUGUUUCACGUAUUGGUAAUUUUGAAAUGUGAAGUAAACAAUUCAAAUAAGAGAUGGCAGGUUUUAUAAAAUUUGUAAAUCGGCAAACGAUCAAAAAAAAUUUAGUAAAUGACUCAAAUAAACACCGGUCACCUUAAAUUAGUUUGUAAAAUAAUCAAAAAGUAGUUGGUAAGACACAAACUAAGGUUGGUAGCUUCAUAUAAAAAUUGACAACUUUAAAACUAGGAUGGUCACGAAGCUGAGGAAAUCCGCACCCUGUGGUACCCAAUCUGGGGCCGUGAAUAGGUCAAAGCAAGAGAAACGACCAAAGUUUUUUAAAAGCAUUUUGCUAGCUGAAAAGUGAGCUGCGAAGUUAAGAGAUUUAAAUUUUUACUUUUCACACAUAUGUUGUCUUACUAUUUCAUCAACUCUUAGAUUUUCGUAAAGAUAUUUUUUUGCAUUAUUGAUUAAUUAAUUAAUUAAGUUGAUAUAGCUUGAGACUAUUGUUGCCAAAACUUGGGAUAAAAAGUGAAAAGUCAAUUUGUGCAAGAAACCUUGCUCCCUGAGCAAAAUUCCUGCCUCCCUCACUCCGGCCGAUCCAACCAUACAUCACAUAAGAUUGGACAGCGCCAAACUGAAAGUUCUUAUUUUGGAAAAAGUAUCAUAAAAUAUAAUCUCGAAAUUGAUGAAAUGAAAAUAAACUUAAUGGAAGAAGCUAAUAAUACCGUAAUCUUUUAGAUUCCAUCCUUUAAUUCUGACAACCUCUCUUAAAGCCUCCUCCCACUACUUUGCCAUAUCCUUCCCAGAGUCACUGGGUCAAUCCCAAAGGGGUCAGCUCUAUCAUUUCUUCCUCUUCGCUGUUAAGUUUUAGAAAAGUAUCCCAAAGACUUCCUCUAUGUUUCCUGCGCAUUUUUUCGUCUCCCUCGGGUACAUCAUACACUAACAAGUAUGAACUAACUAUAACCAUUAUUAGCUCGGACGCAUAAAGAAGCUCCUUACUAAGCUCUCCUAUUUUGGGCCAAUUCUUCCUCAGCUUUCAUUAGUAUAACAAAAGGAAAGGAUAUAAUAUUAAACUCGAUCUAAUUUUUCAGGCAAACAUCAUAGGCAUAAGGUCAAGAAAAAUGUAACACGUCUUUAACUUUAUGUACAGAAUGCAAUUGAAGUUAAGAAACUUAAAUAUUUUUAUUUUUUGCACAUAUAUAGUCAUACUAUAUUAACACAUCUUAGAUGUUUAUGGAUAUCUUGGUUUUUUUCCAUUAUAUAUUAAUCAAUCAAGUUGAUAUACCUUAACAUUAAUUGUUAUCAAAACUUGGUUUUAAAAAUGAAAAGUCAAUUUGUGCAAGAAACCUCGCCCUCUGAGCAAACUUGGUUUAAAAAAUGACAGAUCAUUGCGUCAAAUCCAACCAAACAUUACAUAAGUUUGGACAGCAGCAAACUGAAUCUAACUAUUCUCUGAAGGAAUAAGAAAUCGAAAUUGUCAAUAAGAAAAUAAAGUCAAUGGAGAAGCAAACAAUACCCGUAAUCUUUUAGUUUCUUUCCACUAAUUCUGGUAACAUCUCUUAAAGCCUCCUCCCACUGCUUUGUUAAAUCCUCCCCAGAGUCAUUCUUGUGCUUUUGGAAGGCAUCCUUAUAUAAAUCGGUCUUAAGCUUGACAUCGUCCACGUCCACAUCGUAGAAGAUAGGGAGGAUCACUUUCUCAUCAUUAUCUCUCGAUAAUUCCACUAUGAGUGCCAGCUCACGGAGGCACCACUUACUUGAAGCAUAAUCUUUGGAGAAAAUCGGGAUGUAAAUUCUGGAGUCAUUGAUUGCUUGCAAGAGGCCGCCUUGAAUCUCUUUGCCAAAUCGGAGCUCUUCAUCAUCUUUAAAAGCGCGGAUCCCCGCAUGGAUCAAGUCAUUGUAAAGACAAUCAACGAUGGUUAAGCGGGUGUCAGGUCCUCUGAAGUUCAAGAACACCUCAUAAACCUUCCUUGAUCCAUCAUCACGGCUACUACUUGCUGAAGCUGUCAGAGCGGCCUCUUCUCCCUCCCGCUUUCCCUUCAUUCUGAGAGGACGAUGGAGUGAUUGAUCCCUGAAUUGAGUCCGCCCGGUAACUCGGGAAGUUUGAGCCUGAUCCUUGCAACAACUUGACGAAGCAACGGAGUGAAAUCGCUCACUUCCACUGCGUUUCCUGGGAAAUCACCUGCGGUUUUCCGUUAUAAGCAAACAAAAGCAUUCAGGCUAAGUUGAGUAAAUAAUUGAUAGAAGUGGUCGAAGAGGAGGAGGUGGUCUUGGAAGUAUAAGUUGUGUGUUAAUGAAUGGUUAAAUGGUGGAUGUAGCUGGACAACUUAAAAUGAGUUUCUCUUGCCAUUGCUUUGGUACUACGCGUCGUUUGCCUGGAAGCCACCUGCAUCCUUCCUUUGUAAAUAAAAGAAUCCAAAAAGCCAUUCAUACUCGUAAUUAGUCGCUUUUGCAAUAAAGUUACAUGAACUUGAAUAUAGACCAUUAUUACAAGUUAUGAUUGCACUUCGAUGUUAGAUUGAGCGGUAACAAAAUAAAAUUGCUCGCGGAUUGAAAUUGUACACCAAAUAAAAUUGCACGCUGAUAUUUAAAUAAUGUUGAUUCUGUCGGGAUUUGAUUCGUCUCUAUCAUUUGUUUUUGGUUGAUUUAGCAUUGGACUCAUAUCGCUUAAUUGGACGUUGAUCUCUUAUGGAAAUUUCCAAGAAAAUGUGGUCCCUCCUUCACAAUAAUUCCAAUAAAGUUGAGAUUCUUCAAACAUUUUAUUCUCGAAAGUUUGACUUUUAUGAUUUUUUGAUAAUAUCAACCGUAGUUUCCCAGUAUUUUUCAGGGCCUGAAAUUUCAAAAUGCUCUUUGCCGAUCUUCCAAGUGGGUUGCCAAUCUCCAAACGGAACUUGUAAGUAUUGACAUCUUUCUUUUAUGCAAUUUGAGUUUCACUUUGCAAACUACUUGUACAAAAUAGAUCCCUUUCGUCAAGCUAAAAGGGAUCUAAGCAGGAGACUUUAGCUGAUUCUUUUGUGGUAAUUGCGAAGAAGAUACAGUUCCUCCUCCACAAGGAGAUCAACAAAGUUGAGAUUUUCCAAACAUUUUUAAUCUUGAAUGAGGGUCUUUAUGCUUUUUGAUGAUAUCACCUGAGUUUCUAGGUAUUUUCCAGGUCCUGGUCCUGAAAUUGCAAAACACGCCGUGAGUGUGUGAACACAUGAACAAACAAGUCUAUUUGAUGUGGAAUUUGGCUAUGUACAAACGAAUUGACUAGACAAACAUGCUUAAGUGCUUUUUCUUUUGCUUUUGCUUUUGCUUUCACCAGAGGGUCGGACAAAGACUUGAGGAAAGACUUGCGUCUAUCUUAAGCAAAGAGAACUAAAGUUCAUCUUUGUUUCUUAAGGAAAUUCACUCUCUCUCCUAACUCAUGUAGACUUCAUUGGGUUAGACUUGCCAAUACUCGGAUCUAUUAAUCGGGUCCAUCAAAAAUCGUUAAUCACAUAAAUAAUACAUGGAUUACCUACAAAUUAAUGGAUGUGAUCACAGUUGGUCUGCAGACCAUGAUCCAUGCAACUAUUUCUAUUCCAUGAUUAGUUGAACCAUCAAUACCUGUCAUAAUGUAAACUGCAGUAAUUUGUAAAAACUUGAAAAGCUUUGUUUUCACAAUUGAGAUCCAUUAUUUUGCGAUUUAACAAUUGCAGGCCCUCGUAGGUUGCUUUUUGGAAAGAUAGUAGAUGUUGGAAAUUUGUUUGUUAAAACAAAAAGAGUGCAUUUUCCUUUUCCUACAUAGGAAAAGUAGGAGGAAGUGGGCUAAUUAAUAAGUGUGGGCCUUCCUUUGUGUACUUAAAGGAAUGAUUGAGUGGGGCUAGACUCCACCAUACCUGCGUGAAGGUGCGCGAUUUUGGUGCACUUAGCACUUGGCGCGCCCGCGGUUUAAUUAGCACUAACCCCUUUAUGUUAUUAAUUUUUAAUAAAUUCAAAGGUUGCCUUUUAUUUUUGAGAAUUUCAGAAAUAAAAUAUAAAAAUGAAAAUUCGAAAUUUUAUCUAUUUAAAAAAAACUAUUAUUCAGAAUUUUUUAUUUGUGUUUUUUCGAGACAACCUUUGGAAAAGGUACUUAUUCAGUUUGCAAUUUUCUCGAAUGAUUGCAAUUGUUCGUUUUUCAACUUCUUCUGAAUGGACGCAUUUGUUCAAUUGGACAAUUUCCGAAAGGACGCGUUUGUUCAAUUUUUCACAAUUUUUCACGAAGAGUUGCAUGUGUUUUGAGACUGUUUUAUAUAUAUACUCGUCAUUUUUCGGAAGAACGAGAGUGAUCAUUUUCAUCUUUUCGAGCUUUCUGUCUAAAGAAAACUACGGCCAUUUUUUCAAUUGUUUCCUAGAGAUCCUAGAGAAAUACUAGAGUUGCUAUCUAGUAUUCUCAUCCGAGACUUUGUUGUAUCCUGGAGGAUUUUUGCCGGUGACCAUUAGCAACGUUGUGGGGCAAAUAAAUCCUUAAAAAAUGUGAUAUCACGCCUCAAAGUCCGAUCUGAGUACUCUAAAUAUCCGUCUUCAUUGUUCAACCAAAUUCGAAGCCAUAUUUUCCCAACAAUUCUAAGGAUUUAUUUUGCUACAAUGGAGUUGGAGACAAUCAAAGUCAUGAAUCAAGAUAUGGUUAAACUGGACCGGUUCGAUGGGAACAAUUUUGCUCGCUGGAAGGACAAGAUGAUGUUCUUGCUCACUACUCUGAAGAUUUCCUACAUACUGGAUCCUAACUUGGCGCCUAUAGAAGAUCCUAAGCCUACUGUUAAAGGAGGACAACCAAGUGCGGAAGCCAUUGAGAGGAUUAAUAAGGAAAAGAAGAAACGCGCAGAGGAUGAAUUACUUUGUUGAUGACACAUUCUGAAUACACUCUCUGAUUGUCUGUACAACUUAUUCACUGAAAUGAAGUUGGCUAGAGAAAUUUGGAAUGCAUUGGAAUUCAAGUACAAAGUGGAGGAGCAAGGUACCAACAAAUAUCUAAUUGCAAAGUAAUUUGAUUUCAAGUUUAUUGAUACUAAACCCUUACUAGAACAAGUCCAUGAAUUGCAAGUGCUUGUGAAUAAGAUUCGUGCCCUCAAGAUUGUUAUUCCAGAAGCUUUUCAAGUUGGAGCAAUUAUUGCGAAAUUGCCUCCAAGUUGAAAAGACUAUGGAAAAAGGCUGAUUCACAAGUCAGAGGACUUUACUUUGGAGCAAAUACAGAAACAUCUUCGCAUUAAGGAAGAGUCACGUUUACGUGAUAAUCUGUUUUGUACAAUUCCAAGGUGAAUGCUCUAGAUAAAAAAAGGGAAAAUCGGCCAGAACUUCAAAGUAAAAAGCGGGCAUAAAUUUAAGAGAACACAAAAGAAGAAAAAGGGUUGCUGUUUUGUUUGUGGCAAACAAGGACACUACGCCAAGGAAUGCAUUCACCGCAAGAGCAUUUCAAAGGACAAGUAUGUUCCAACAGUGAAGGCAGAUGCAAAUCUGGUUGAAGAAAAUUAUGUAGCCAUGAUUUCAACCAUGUUUUCGAACAUAAAAAUUUCUGAAAUUAAUGAUGCGAUAGCUAUGGUUUCUGAAAUCAAUUCUACCACUGUCUAAUCUGGUUGGUGGUUAUAUUCUGGAGCAACAGUCCAUGUGUGCAAGGACAAGUACAUGUUCAAGCAAUUUGAAGAGAUUGUUGACUCAAAUAUUCAAGAGAUCCUAAUGGCGAAUAAUGCUCUUGCAAAGGUUGCUGGAAAAGGUACAGUGGAGAUAGACUUCACUUCUGGAAAGAAAAUAACUCUUCUUAAUGUGUUAUUUAUACCCAAAAUUAGGAAGAACCUAGUUUCUAUUGAUUUACUUUGUAAGAGGGGGUUUCGGGUUUUGUUUGAAUCCGACAAGGUUAUCCUAUCGAAGAAUGGGCUGUUUGUUGGAAAGGGUUAUGCCAAUGAUGGCAUGUAUCAACUGAGUAUCAAUAAUAAUGUUGCUAGUUCUGCUUAUAUUGUAAUUAGAGGUGCUUGUCAAAAGCUUUCUAAAAUACCCAAUUUGCCCAAUUCAGAUAGCCAGAUCUCAAUAUAUCAAGUUUUUCUAAGCACGGCUGUACGAUCUUGAGGUGUCGGAAACUUUAUGAUUUUAUCUGAUAGAUUAGUUCAACCAUAAAGAUUAUAUCAUAAGCUUUCCAACACCAUCAAAAUCACAAAGAUCGGAAUUUUUAUGACAAAAACAUCAGAACUUUUUGCCAAUUUCAAACUGGCCUGACCGCCCAAAAUCCGCAAUCUGAGGUGAACCGCAUUUUAGCUAAAUUGAAGUCACCAGCUUUCCAUGGGGGAAAAAUCGGUUCAAUUGUACCUUAUACGAAAAAGUCAUGCUUGACCAAAUUCGGUCAAAUUUAGGUAGAAUAUGGGUAACAUUAUUUUUCGAGUUUUUCGAAGAAAAAAUGUCGACGCUUCGUGGAAGAAGACAAUUACUGCAAUAUGUACUACUUAUUUAUAAGACGCAUUUCUAUACUGUUUGUUGUUUAAUUCAAUUAUUUCGGCUAAGUUUAAAUUAAUUGUUUUGCCUAAGCCUACCUCUAGAUAAAAUCAUUUUUUUUUUCGUAUUUGAAGAUGUUAAAUUUGGACUUUAUCUAUAAAUAGCACUGGAAAAUAACACAUUGCACAGGAUGAUAUGUAAAUAAUUUGUAAGGUCAUUGGGCCACAUGGCAACACAAUGCCAAAUUUCAUGUCACGUCAUAAGUAUAGAGCUAUAGAGAAGUGUCUCGUGAACAGUAUAGGAGCAACCGCUCUCUCAACUUUGGUUUAACUCUACAUAAUAGAUUGGGCAAUUUUAGUUGGCUAACCUUCUUCAAAGUCUAUGUACUUUGAUUUCACCUAAUGGUUCAGAAAAUUGAAAGAUAUUGGUUAAAGUUUUCUAUGUUCUUUAAUUUUAGGUCCAUGCUAAUGUUAAUCUUUUAUGCAAUUUGAGUUUCACUUUGCAAACUACGUGUACAAAAUAGAUCCCUUUCGUCAAGCUAAAAGGGAUCUAAGCGGGAGACUUUAGCUGAUUCUUUUGUGGAAAUUGCGAAGAAGAUACAGUUCCUCCUCCACAAGGAGAUCAACAAAGUUGAGAUUUUCCAAACAUUUUUAAUCUUGAAUGAGGGUCUUUAUGCUUUUUGAUGAUGUCAACCUGAGUUUCUUGGUAUUUUCCAGGUCCUGGUCCUGAAAUUGCAAAACACGUCGUGAGUGUGUGAACAAACGAACAAACAAGUCUAUUUGAUGUGGAAUUUGGCUAUGUGCAAACGAAUUGACUAGACAAACAUGCUUCAGUGCUUUUGCUUUUGCUUUUUCUUUCACCAGAGGGUCGGACAAAGACUUGAGGAAAGACUUGCGUCUAUCUUAAGCAAAGAGAACUUAAGUUCAUCUUUGUUUCUUAAGGAAGUUCACUCUCUCUCCUAACUCAUGUAGACUUCAUUGGGUUAGACUUGCCAAUAGUCGGAUCUAUAAAUCGGGUCCAUCACAAAAUCGUUAAUCGCAUAAGUAAUACAUGGAUUACCUAAAAAUUAAUGGAUGUGAUCACAAUUGGUCUGCAGACCAUGAUCCGUGCAACUAUUUCUAUUAUAUGAUUAGUUGAACCAUCGAUACCUGUCAUAAUGUAAACUGUAGUAAUUUGUAAAAUCUUGAAAACCUUUGUUUUCACAGUUGAGAUCUAUUAUUUUGCGAUUUAACAAUUGCAGGCCCUCCUAGGUUGCUUUUUGGAAAGAUCGUAGAAACAUCCAUGUAACCACCGAAGGGCUUUAUUUCUUUUUUCUUCUUUUUGUGAGGAAAAUUUUCUUUCUUAUAAGUGCCAAGCCCAAAAUUUCAACUUUGUCAUGGUUAAAUUGACUACAUUUUGCUAAUGAAUUGAUGAUGACAUCUCUAAUUAAUCGAAGUCACUGAACCUUUCUCUAUCUCCAUUGAAUGUGGUCUAGAUUUACUCUCCAUUUCUGAAGAUUAUUCACACAUGCACAUACACAAAAUGUGAUCAUGUCCUGAACAUGUUAUUAUGUCCUUUUAAAGGUGGGCACCAAGUUUGAAAUCUAAUAUUAUGCAAUUGUACAGAGACUCACUUCACACACGUGCAUACAGAAAUUUAAAAUGUUUUAUUGAUAUUGACGAUUAAUUUCUUGUAAAAAUUAAGCUUCUAAUACAGACGCCUAAAUUUGAGGGAAAAAAAAAAAGUGAGAGGGAAGAGGCUUGCAAAUCAAUUAGAAUUGCAUCCAAUUUUUCACUAUCUCAGAUUUGUAUUUUAAUUGAAGUUAUGCAAUCCAAUCAUUGCACGAACCACGGAAUCCCAAUCUAGACGCCUGUCUUAAUGCCUUUUUCCUUCUAGAUAUAUAUAGAAUUAUAAUAACAUAAGAUGAUGUAAGCAGUCUGCUCCACAAGCAGACGAUUUGGCGUCACCUCUAAGGAAGCAUAAUGUAUCCCCUUCAAUCUUUUUAUCCGUAUUGUUUCUGGUGAAAAAUCUCUUCCUUGAUUUCUAGUCUAGAAAACAGCAGGCCGUUAUUGCUUUUGUUCUGCUCAUUAAAGGGUUGGCUUUUCUCAGCCAGGGCUAGGCUUCCACUCUGCUUUUGCUAAGCCAAACAAAACAGAUCUUCUCAUAUUUUAUCCAGAUAAUUGGCAUGAUCAAUGUUGCCUUUGUUCCACCUACUACUCUUUUUCCUUUGUCAUGGCAAAAUCGUCAAAUGUGAAAUUGGUGCAAAGUCGCCUUUUGCGCCCGAGAGAUAUAGAUCAACCAUGACGCAUGGUGCACUGUUAAAAGCCAAAUGUUGGUGCAAUCACACGGAAUUUUUCUAAAUCUACUAAUGACGUCAGCACUUAUCAUCUUGGUAUAUUAUGAAUAAAUAUCGUGAAUAGGAGCUAACAUUCUUUUUACAUGGAAAAGAAAAUAUUAUCUCAUCGUGACUAUAAUUUCCCCAUUAAAUUUUGGGCGGCAUCAUUUCCACCCUAUAUGACUGAAUCCAUCACAACUAGAAAGGCUAAAUUGCUUUCAAUCAUUCAAUUACAAUUUAAAGUGACAGCCACAUUCUUUCUUUUUCCUGUUUUUCUAUUUCAAUUAAGGAUCUAGUUGCCAUUACCAUGCAUUUCACGUGUUUUAUUUUUCUUAGUGUAUUAAAGAAUUUUUUUAGUGUAUCCUUAAAUAUUAUUAUAAUGUAUUACAUGCUCUAUGUAAAAGUCCCUAGUAAAAAAAAGUUAAUUAUUUAAUAUAGAAACUUGAAAGUCUCUUGUCAUCAUUGCUCUAAUAAGAACUCAUUUAGUUUUUCUUCCUCUUAUCUCAAAGCUAACUUUCUUGGUGAAUUAUUUUCUUUUAAGUUCAUUAAUCUAAACUAUAUGUCAAGUUUUUUUAUUUAUUUACUAUAUUAAAGAACUUAUCUUUUAUCCUCACUAUUGGUGAGAUGCUUUUACAUAGAGGUAAGGCAUUAUGGUAAUAUCUAGGAAUAUACUAAAAACAUUGUGCAUAAUGAAACAUCUUGAUAUUUUUUUCGUACACACUUUGUAGAUGAUAUUAAUUUCUGUCAAUUGAAAAAAUGAUAUUUUAUCAACAUUUUUAAAAAAUUUCUUAUUUUAUGCAAUUUUUCAAUUUAAUCAAAUUUUAUCUUUAAAGUUUUCCAUUGGAGAAUGUAAUUGUGAUUCUAUUUGGGAAAAUCUUUAAAGGAUAUAUUUUUUUUAUGUGAUUAACCUUAUAUAUAGAACAUAACUGAUAAGAAAUAAUUUUUUUUUUUAAUUUAACGAUAAGACGGAGUUUGAUGGGGAUAUGCACAACAAAAUUGAAGAUCUGUAAACAAGUGAUUGUGUUAAAAAAAAAUUAGCUAUAUAAUAUUUUUUUUUCUAGAUUCUAUUGGACAACUUAUCCUUAAAUUUGCUCGACAACUUGGAAAAGAACUGGGUUUCUUGGAAAUUAUUUUUUCAACAAAACUAAUUUUUAUGGUAGAAAAAUCUAACGGUGAAAAACUAGACAUUUGAAAUUCUUAAUUCUAGUAACUGAAUCCUACAUUGACAUACCAAAACUAAUAAAAAAUAAGAAAGUUCAUGAAUUUGGGGCUACCAAUUAAAUUGCAAUUGAAUGAUUUGAAGUAAUUUUGUCUUUUUAGUGAAAAUUGGGUAAAUUUAAUUAUACAUGGGAUGGAUUUAUCCAUCAACCUUUUGUUGUGGCCAGGUGAGAUUUGGUCAUCACUCAUCAAUAAAAUGUGUGCAACUUGUGAAAUAAAUGCAGGGAUUAUGGUAAGAAUGCAUAAAUUGCUGGUGUGGGGAUAAACUUUGCUAUAUUUGCUCUUUGAAGAUACAAACUUCUGAAGAAUCAAUCCAUAAUUGGUUAAACAACCAAAACGUCCAAAUCACCACUAGAUCACAAACAACAUUAGCCGGAUCAUCAAAUGCAUCAUUCUUGCAACAAAAAUCUCUUGCAAUAGCCCCACCUUGCUACUGCACAAUCAUCACAUAAAUAUGUUGCUGUAAUGGAGAAAAUCAUGGAGUCCACCAACAGUGAAAAGCUCCUACCAAUCAUACUAUAGCGGAGGUACAAAAGAUGAUGGCUGGUAUCGGGUCAGUCGAUCUGUUAGAAGAAGAACAAAAUCACAAAGAGAAUAUAGCAGCCAGAAACUAUGGAAACAUGUGCAUUAAUAUUGUUCCCCGUCUAAUCACUAUAGCAGAACUAUUGCUUACUUUGACUUACUUUGACUGUGCCGGCAGGCUCUAGUAUUGGCAUACAAGAUGUUGUUCACCAUCAAAUCAUUGCAACAAAAUUAUUACUUACUUUCAUAGUACAAUCACGUGCAAUUACUUUUGUUUUGCUCAUUAUAUUCAAAAGAUUUUCUUUUGUCAGUUGGAGUCCAUUCCGCUUUUGCUAAGCCCAACAAAGCAAAUUCCCUUAUAUUUAAUCCAAUGUCACAUGAAGUGGCAUGAUCAAUUGAUCUUUGAUCAGACAAGAGAGUAAUUAUAUUUGUAAUAAGUAAUGCAUUGAAAUGUAAUGCACUAUUAAAAUAUUUGCUAGUUCUUAUUGAUUUAUAACAAUAAUUUAAAGACCCUUUGAUAAACUAUCUAAAUUUGUCUAAUAAAUUCAAGAUUUUGAUCUAACACUCCAAAUCUUUAUCUUCAAUAGGGAAAAAGCCACGAAAAACUCUUAACUUUGCCUAAAGUGAUAUAUUUAUCUCAAAUUAUUUUUUGGAACACUAAAAAUCCCAAAUGUUGCCUAUUAUGACACAUUUACUCCAAACUUUGUUUUUAUGUGAUAUCAAAAACCUUUAACUUUUACCUGUAUGACAUAUUUAUCCCAAAUUUUUUUUAUAACACAAAUUUUUGGGAUAAAUGUCUCACACGGGUAAAAGUGUACGGUUUUUUGGUGUCACUGAAAAAAAAAAUUGGGAUUUUUGGUGUCACAAAAAAUAAAUGUGAGGUAAAUAUGUCACACUAUAUAAAUUUGGGAUAAAUGUGUUAUAUGAAUAUAAGUUUUGGGUUUUUUGUGUAAAAAAAAGAGGAUAAAUGUGACAUAGUAGGCAAAUUUAGGGUUUUUUUUUUUUAUGACUUUUACCAUUGAUUUAAAGAAGAAUAACAAUUGUGCAACACGCCUAUCAUGUCCUCAACAUGUCAUUAUGUCAUUUCAAGAGGACACUAUGUUUGAGAUCUAAUAUCCUAGUAUUUUAUAGAUAUAAAUAUAAAAUUUUAUAGAUUACUGCCAACUAUUCUAAAAGUUUAAGCUAUUAGAUAAAAGCUUGUUUAAUAUUUGAAUAUUCUAACAAUAACUUAAAUAUAAAUGUUAAAUAUUUUAUCAAUAUCGGAUAACUUCACAAAAAAAUUAGGCUUCUCAUACACGCACCUCAAUUUUGGAAACAAGAAGUGAGACAGACAAGGCUCACAAAUCAAAUGAAAUCGUGUAUAACUUUUUUGGUGUAAAUCAAGGGAUCCCAAUCGAGAUACUUUUUCUAGUGCUUUUGCUUUUAGACAAAAUUGAACUAUAAUAACAUUAUAAAAAAGAUGAUUUUAAUUGGCCACUUAGCUCCCCUCAAAUCUCGCGUGACCACAAAGGAAGCAUAAUGGAUCCCCUUUAAUCUCUUUCUUUGUUUUGUUUUUGGGGAGGAAUCUCUUCCUUCAUUUCUAGGCUAGAAAAGCAGAUUUUUAUUGCUUUUGUUUUGCUCAUUAAAUUAAGAAGGAUGAGCUUUUCUCAGCUGGAGCUAGAAUUCCAUUCUACUUUAGCUAAGCCAAAAUAUGAUAUAGAUGUAAACAUAAAAUUUUAUGGACUAUUGCAAACUAUUAUGAAAGUUUAAGCUAUUAGAUAAAAACUUGUAUAGUAUUUGAAUAUUCUAAUAAUAAAUUAAAUAUAUAUGUUAAAUAUUUUAUCAAUAUCGGCAACUAACUUCACAAAAAAAAAAUGAGGCUUCUCGUACACACGCCUCAAUUUUGGAAACAAGAAGUGAGACGGAUGAGGCUCACAAAUCAAAUGAGCUCAUAUAUGACUUUUUCAGCGUGAAUCAAGGGAUCCCAAUAGAGAUGCUUUUUCUAGUGCUUUUGCUUUUAGACAAAAUUACAUUAUAAUAACAUUAUAAUGGAUCCCAUUAUAAAAAAGAUGAUUUUAAUUGGCCACUUAGCUCCACUCAAAUCUCGAGUGACCACAAAGGAAGCAUAAUUGAUCCCCUUUAAUCUCUUUCUUUGUUUUGUUUUUGGGGAGGAAUCUCUUCCUUCAUUUCUAGGCUAGAAAAGCAGAUUUUGAUUGCUUUUGUUUUGCUAAUUAAAUUAAGAAGGAUUAGCUUUUCUCAGCUAGAGUCCGAAUUCUGUUUUGCUUUUGCUAAGCCAAAGAAAGCAAUCCCAAUUCGCACUAAUUGGUAUGGUCAAUUGAUACUUGCCUUUAUUCCACUUACUAAUAUAUUUUUCUUUUGCCAUGAAAAAGUUGUGAAAUGUGAAUUCGACUCUAGGUCGCCUUCCACUUUGAAGAGUCGUAGAUUGAUUGUAAUGCAUGAAGUACCAUUUAUAGAUUAUUUUAAGAAAAUAUACAAAUUUUCCCAAAUUUAUUGAUGGCCUUCUACAUUCAAUCAUCUUGGUAUAUUCAUAAUUGUAGGAAUAAUUAGCAUGCGUAGUAAAUAUACAUUCCUUCUACACAAAAACAAAAAUAUUAUCACAUUGUGACUUUUAAUUGUCGCAUUGAAUUUUGAUCAUAUACUUUUUUCCAUCAACUUCUCUAGAAAUUUGCAUUUAUUUAGAAGUUAUAACACAUCGGGUAAAUGUGCAUGACCCUCCUACCAAGGAAGAGCUUACAUCACAUAACAUGGAGUUCAAUGUCAGAGAUACUAUUGGCCCAUAGAAGUCCUCAUGGAUAUAUCAGACUUUGCGGGCCUAGCACUAGGGGUGAAGUUGAAUCCAACUUAGGAUUAAUUCAAGCUUGACUUAAUAAUUAGUUGUAAUCGUUUGGUCUCGAGUCGGGCUUACACUGGAGCUACACCAAGUAUUUCAUCGAGUCAAGAUCGAGCUUACUAAGACUUUGCUUGAGAGACUCGCAAUUCUGAUCCAAUUUCUAUCACUUUGUCCAGAAAAUAAUUGAUAGUUACGAAAAUCGAGGGGAAGAUAUUUGAAAAUUGUAGUAUACCUAAAGACAUAAAUGUAGAGGAUAAUAUUUGAAGUUAUUGAGCUCAAGCACAAGCCCAUAUUUUAAUUUGAUUAUAUUGAAUCAACUUGAUCUUGAAUAUCUCUAUUCUGUUUAGGUGAAGCUCGAACCAAAAAUUCACUACUCAAUGAUUUGAGGGGAGUUUUGAGCAUCGAAUAUCUAAUGGGAGUUGACCUUGAGCUUAGCACUGCUGUAUUGGCUUGAAUCGAAAAUUUGAUUUAGUAUUGUACUUAUGUUAAAUACUUAAAAGUUGCAAAAAGUUGAUUUUAGUAAUAUAUAUACAUAUUGUCAUGGAACGGACUUUGUCACCAGACUAUACCUGCAUUGCUCUAAUAUAAUAGGAAUCUCUAAGAUCUGACAACAGGAGACCCACCAUAUUACAGCACCAAGUCACUUGAUCCAAAAACACUCUUGCUGACAUGUAUUCCACAGUGGACCUCAGGUAGGCCCAUGUUUUUCCCCCGAAUUCAAAUUUAAAUUUGGUCCUUACUAAACAUACAGUCAAGGUGAAACGACACCAAAUAGAUGGACCUAACAUUAACCCAAAACUAGCGCACCGAACACCAAAAGUGAAAACUCAAGCCCAAGAGGUUCUCAAUCAAAAUCGUUUACAUGACAAGCUUUGUGUAAUGCAGUAAAUCUAAGUAAACCUAACCAAAAUCACUCUGUGGUGGGUCAUAACCAUUGCGAUCGCAGAGCGGCGCAUAAUUCAUUCACCUAAUUGAAAAUGGGGAGAUCAAAGUCGUACUCUCAUCCAGGAGUACACAUUCUGCUACCAAGAUGUGAGCUGAAAAGAUUCCUUUAAGAGUCUUUGGCAGGAGCACCAACUUGACGGAUUCUCUUUUGGGAACAUCCCAAUUAUACACACGAGCAAACGUAACCUGCCAAAUAAAAAUUCACCUCUCAAGGGCUGUUUCACCCCCCCAAAACAGAAAAAUUUCCCAGGGCCACCAUCCUAAUUGCCAUGAUAAACUAAAGGAUAUGGUCCUACAACAAGCUUUGAAUUUUUUCAAGUUCACAUUCGUGCAAACAUACCACACUCCAGUUUAUCACCAAUGAACAUGUCUUCCCAAUUUAUAUCCUCAUGACAGUAACAAAAUUCAGAGCAACAUUAGUUCGACCCUAAUAGACCGACCCAAAACUGACACAGUAAACAGCUUGAAACAAACAUGGACCUCCAAGUUCCAAAUCAUUCUGACUUACCUGCAUGAUUGUUACUUGGUCCCUUAUGAAUUGUAGAUCAGCAACAAGAACUUCUAAACUUGCUUUAGCAUUUUCUAAGUUCUUUUGUAGAAGGGUUGUGGCCUGCAACAUAAAUUUUUGCAAUAAAUAAGAUACUUGACAUCAUUAUUGGAGAGAGGGACAUUGCUUAAACACGAGUACAACCUCUUCACAUGAACACUCCAACAUAACAUUUGCUCCCAGCCAUAAACAUACUGAAUCAGUAUCUUCAAUACGAGCUUGUGAAUAUAUGCCUUCAGAGACUUCAAAAUCAGCAAGGAGUGCCUGUAUGCAAUAUAAAGAGUCAUUAAAACCAGUCAGCUUGGUGCCUAUAAUCUUUUGCGCCAUACAAGUUUUGAUAGUCUUAGGUCUUAAAGCCCAAUAAAGUAAUCCCACCCCAUGUUGGUUUCUAAUCAGAACUUCAGACAUCAAAGCAACUAGCUAAACAUUACUGGUGAUAUUCAGGUGUUCAAAUCUAAAACCACCUCAUUAUUGAGAUCAGCAUGGGCUCUUCAAAGCACUAACCUAGAUUAUUAGGAAUGUUGCUUCCAGAAGUGCAUUCGCAAAGGAGAAAAGACCAUUGGAUAUUUCACAUCAUGUCAACCACACCAAAAUUAGUCCUAGUAUGGCAAGAAUUAAACUAGGCUAUCCUCCAUUUGCUUUAUAAAGAUAGAAAGGGAUGAUAUGAUCAAAGAGAGCAAUGAGGAGCAAGAAGAUUUUUGUAAGAUAAUAUUUUUUAGCAUAACAAGUUUAUGAUAAAAAUUUAGUUGCCAUGAUAUAUAAAAGAUCACUGAUCGACUGUUGAGGAUUCCAGAUGAAAAACAGAAACUGCGAAGGAAAAAAAUUGGUGGAUUCUAAGACAAUACAAAGAACUCCGGAUUGAAAAAAUAAUGAUCUGGUUACGUGAUAACAAGUUUACUUUGUGAAAAGCCUCAACGGUCAACAGCAUGAGUCUGACAGAUACAAAUUAAGUAUCCUCAGUCAAAAUACAUGCAUUGAAAAUUGUUCAGCUCGAGUUUCAAACUUAAAUUCCAGUUCUGAGGCCAUGAUUCAAUCUUACUGUAAUAGAAACACAUGUUCAUUAUGCACGCAUAUAAUGGCAUCCUCAAUCACAGGUCACUUUGCUAUAGCAAAUAAGCCAGUUUGCUUCAGUCAUUAUGCAGGUUUACAUAUCAAAUAAAUAAUAGACGAAACAAGAGAAAAUUGUUGUGGUGGAAUGGUGUGGUGAAGUAAUUGUUGCACGAAGGUGCCCCAAUUUGAAAUGAUUGAUAAAUUCAAAUCCUGGAUUUUUGUAUUGAGAGAAAUAUCAUAGCUUUGUUUAUGUACUGUCCGAGGGUUAAUGGUCAUAGCCUAUUUAACAAAGUAAACCUCAGUGCAAAGAAAGAUGGAGGCAGCACAUACUAGUACUUGUGUUUCUGUGUGUUUGCAUGUGUUUGCAUGUGUCUGUUGAGAGAAAGAAAGAGAGAGAGAGAUAGAGAGAGAGGGAGGGAGGGAGGGAUGGAUUUUGGUGGAGGGGCUAAGAAGCCUGGCGACCUCAUAGUCGAUGUUUUGGAAGGACUAAUUGUGCGGGAUAAAUCUCACAGAUUCUUGUCCACUGCAGAGAUAUGGAUUUACAGCACAUGAGAAGGAAACUUUGUUGAUGCAAGAAGGUAUUGUCAGGAUUCACCAUUUAUGCAGAGCCUGGUAACCAGAAGAGAAUGAGAUGGCCAAAUUUUUAGUUUUCUUACACGAGAUAGCUGGUAAUAAAGAAAUGGGGAAGAAUUCUAUCCAAAGAAGGCGAGGGGGUAUUAGCUGCUUAGAUGAAAACAAUAUGGCACUAUUCGGCAUCACAGGUUUUCCGCAUGUGUGAUUGCCUGGGGAGUGUUUGCCAAUAGCCAACAUACAAAAAGAAACCAAAAACAAGAAGAAGGGUGCAUACAAACAGAUACUAGCCUACGCAAAAUCAAUGAGAAUCCUCAGAUCACCAACUGAUAUGUUGCCCUUGGACAAGAUCUCCUUGGCACAUAAAUAUGCAGGAAAAGAUGCAGAUAGAUAUGGUGACCAUGGAAUUGAAUCAUACCAAAUCCAAAUAUUGACCUUUUUGUUAGUCUAGAGAAAGAAAUAAGAGAGCCUUUACAUGUUGCAUUAAGGAAAAGGAUGGCUUUAGACUUCACAUAUGGUUAACAAUUUCUAAGGCUAACUUCUUACCCCCAGUUUGUUAGAUUCACUCUGAUGUAAAUUAGUCUGUUAAAAGGUUUGCUUGAUAAAGCUAUUGCUUUCUGAAGUAUAUUCAAUCAGCAAGAAAGCAUUCUCCCAUUUAAAUGAAGGGAUGCAUGAAAUAAAUGAAAUGCUUAUUUCGUUCUAUACACAAGAUACUGAUACCAGCUCUGAGCUCCCUCAAGGGUUCAGUGAAAAAAAGAAUAACAGCGAAUGAGAAACAGUUUUAAAAAAACAAAAAAGAAAAAAAAAACUCCUGAAUUAGAUAUAUAUCCACCUUUCUUUUUAAGAUUUUCGCAAUACCAUUAACCAGGCUCUGAACUAGAAUAACAAGCAAAACAAUAUCUCUUCCUAUACUCUUGCGCUUUCUCAAAGGAUGAGAAAUAUCCACCGAAGUGAUUUCCUUUUCUAAAUAGAACCUAAAUGCAAAUAAUUCCUACUCAUUUUAAGAUAAGCGAUUGUAAGCCUCUAAUGCACGACCACCAAACAUGGAAGAUAAUACUGAUGUUUUUCAAUGACAAAACCAUUUGAUGUGAUAAAGUGUAAGGAAGAUUUAUAAGUAUAACAAGCAGGAUGCAACACCUAAUAAGCAUGUUCCCCGUACCUUUAAAUGAGAAAAAUUCCUAAAGUGGAGAAAAUAAACAAGGCUUAAUAUUUAGUGAUGUGCAUCAACAUUUUUCAUUUCCAUAAAUGGGCCAAGCAAGCAUUUUAUAAGGAAAGUCUCUUUCUCAUUCUAAUUACCCGUAAACAUCUUGACCUAAUUUACCCAAAGGUAAGUAACUGCAAUCAUCUCAAGAUUCAAAGCCUCGCAAUUUCAACACAAGGUCGUCAAUCAAUUGGGCACCCCUCAACUAAAUUACUGAAAUCCACAGCUUGUUGUUAAAAAGCAAAUAACCACCAUUUCCCUAUCAACUUGUGGAAAUAAAUGAUAAUUCCCCCAAAAUCUUGUUCAUGUAGUCAAAAGUAUGAGUUGUGUGAGACAACAAACCUCACCAGAACCCUUCUUGGCCUGUAGAGUGGCAACUAUGUCUAAAAACUUUUCAAUAUCAGGAAUUUUUGCCUGGCAUUUAAUAUAGACAUUGAAUUAACAACCCAGUAAAAAGCAAAUGAACAAGUAUCAUGCUGACAUAGUAACAAUAACAUACUAGCAAAGUGAUCAAGUUCUGUGGGAACAAAGCACAAAGUGCACUUGGAUCUAUCAGGUCAAUGUAAAGAGAAAUUCAUCGUGAGACGUCAAAGAGGUGCUAACCAUCUGGAUUUGUUUUAACUUGUUAUUCUAGAUUAGAUAAAAAUAAUUGCAGCAGUGAGCCAAUUUCUCAUUCUUUUUUAGGGGAAAAGUGAAACUCACUUGAAUUUGUGAAGAGUUUUAAGUUGAAUAGAAAAACAGAACUCAGAACCGACAAGCAUCCUUCAUAAUUGAGGAUAUGCCCAUUCCAUUAAUGAAAAAUGUAAAAUAUUGAAUAAACAAUGCACUACAAAAGACAGAACUCAGAACCGACAAGCAUCUUGUUGUGUUACUUGUCCUAGUACAUUUCUUUUUCCUGAAACUAAAUAUUCAUCGUGAUUAAGCCUUUGGUAUCAAUAUCUCUAGUCAUGUCUUUACACCUCUUAAGAAUCAAGGAAAAAGUAGCACACUUAAAUGCUUCAAAGUUCUUUACCCACACAUGCACGUCCGCCCACCUCCAUGUUAACCAUUGCGCAACAUUUCAACACUGCAUUGGUUAUACUAUACCCAAAAAACCAAAGAAAAAGAAGAGAAAUAAACAAGGUCCGGUGCUAGCACAAGGGCCGACAGGAGGGAUGGUGUCUACGGUAUUCAGCAGAACAUUUGAAUAUGGAUCUUUGUCUGUGAUCACUUGAAGAAAAUGAACAACGAAAUGUAACUCAACAGCGAAUUCAAUAGCAGAUAUAACGAUACAAAAGAAUCAGUCGAUGAGAAAUUAUACACAAACAUCUAUAGGGAUGUCGAUAAUAACAAAUCCCAAAACUAGCAUCGAUAGAGUCAGGAAACCUUUGCCAGCAAAAAUACGAAUUAGAGAAAGGCAGCGAUUACGCCAAACUGACAUAGCAGAAUACAACAACACACCUGAAGAUCCCUCUGUUGAGCUAGGAGUUUCAUCUCAACCGGCUUGUAUUGCUGCAGCCUGCAAGCAUCAUCCCACCAAUCGCCACAAGUACUCUUAAGACCCCCCCCCCCCCCCCCCCCCCCCCCAAAAAAAAAAAGAAAAAUCCAAAAUUUCAACAAACAUCUCCUUCACCAGCACCUUCAGCCUAGCGGAAGCAAAAGCCCCAAACUCAGGAACACCUCGUAACCCCUCCCCGAUCCGCCAUCACGGCUGCUGCCUGUCCCAGCUGCCGUCGCCGUCUCUUCUCCCUCCCUCUUUCUCUUCAUUCUGGAAGGACGACGCAGAGAUGGAUCUCCGAAUUGGGUCUGCCCGGUGACUUGGGAAGUCCGAGUCUGAUCCUCGUAGCAACUUGACAAAGCCACGGAGAGAGAUCUCUCUCACUUUCGCUGCGUUUGCCUGGAAGUUACAUGCGGCCUUCCUUCGUAAGUGAAAAAGCCAUUCAGAUUGACAAAUUAAUUGCUUCGAAGAGGAAACACGGCGGAAGAGAGAGAGAUGGUGGCUUGGCCGAGACGGGACGCGAAACGAUUGGCGCAGGCGAUGGCCGGGGGCGGCUCGACGACGAGGGGUGAUGGCACGGGAAGGGGUUACGACGGCGACGGCGACGUGGCGGAGGCUUGCGGUUACCGAUUGGUGGAGGGAAGAGACCGAGGGAAGAAUAGGGGAUUUUUCGUAGUCCGGAUAUUUUUUUAAGGAAAUUCGUCAAAAAAGUGAGGGCAGUUGGGUCAUUUAGGAGGGUAGCCGCACCAUAUACACACGGCGGGUGAACAGAUAUACCAGAGUCGCGUGUUUGGAGUGCUUUGCGAUAAGAAAGGAUUAAAACUAAAACUAGGUACUUUGCCCAAUCUUUACGAGAUAUCAUAAUAAAUGUACUUUAAAUAUGUUUAUUUUCAUUUUUAUUUUAUUAUUGUCGAUAAUUUUGGAUUGUGUAUAACACUCUGUUUGCUAUCCAUUAGGUAUAAAAUUACCAAAUAAAACCAUUUGUCAAAUCAAACAUGAAAGUUUUAAGUCAAAUUUAACUUUUCAUAAAGGUAUAAUAAAAAAUUAAAAAAAUUGAAUAUUGCUACUUUCUAUACCAACUAUUUGUGGAUUUUUUUUUUAUCCGAUACAAUAUCUCCAAAGGACAUCUUAAUUCAACCUCAAUGGUUGAGUUAAACCUCAAGGCCAUCUCAACUUGUUCCUUGUAUAAAAAUUCCUAUGUGACAUCCAAGAUGGAAAGGAGAACAUGUUAGAAUAAGUCAAUCUUGGACGGUUGAUUGCCAGGACUAAAAAGCAUUCAGCAUCGGGUCUCUAUCCCACGCUUGCAAUCACAUUACAUCUAUUACCUGCUAUUAAGUGCUUGUCUUGUAAAAAAGAAAAAAGAAAGGGUAAAAGUCAUCUAAAAACCUAAAUAAUAUUUACAAUGAUACAUUUACCCAAACUUUUUUUUUGUAACACCAGGAACUCUAAAUUUGUAUCUAUGUAACAUAUUUAUCCCAAAAUUGUACGGUGAGACACAUUUAUCCCAAAAAAAAAAAUCUAAUAUAAAAAAUCCUAAAUUUGUAUUCAUAUGACACAUUUACAUUUGAAAUUUGGCAUCACAGAAAAGAUUUUGGGGACUUUGAUGUUACAGAAAGAAAAAAAAAAUUGAGGUAAAUAUGUUAUAUAGAUAUAAGUUUGGGAUUUUUUGUGUAAAAAAAAAAAGUUAGUGGCAAAUGUAUCACACGGGUAAAGUUUGGGAUUUUUUUAUGACUUUCUACCUUUUAUUUAUUCUUUCUUCUCUACAUGGGCUAAAGAACGUAGAUCUUCAUACGUUGACAAGUAGUGAUUCACCUUUGCUCUCACCAGGACGGAAGGGGUUUCUUUCAUUUGCUUAGCACCGACUUAUAUGGAGCACACGCUCCUGGUUCAAUCCUGUCUUACACACUUUAAUCAAUGUUUCUUAAGCAUAUUAUGAUUUCCGCUGGCGUUGUUCUUAAGCUGUAGAAAAUCGCCAGGAUGGAGACCAAGGAUUUAGAGCGACGAUUCUCGUUCUUUGACUUUGGAUGCCUCCAUCAUUCCAAGGACAUUAAACAUGAGAAGUGAUGAGAUAAUGUCGCGAUUUUCUAGCAUCAGCAGCCCUUCUUCCCCACCCCAAGAAAACACUACCGGCAGCCCUUCGUCUCCAGAAAAUGACUGAUUAACUACAUAAAUUCCCAGUCAUUUCCAUGAUAUUUCUCUCUAACCGUGGCGUAGGUAUAGGGAUUUGUCUUUUGAUCAUCAAGUAAAUAGAUUCUAAUGAGAAAUUGUUGUUUAAGUUAAUUCGUUUUCUUUCACUUGGGGUCUGCUCCCGUAAUUCAGAAUGCUGAUAAGAUGAAUUUUGCUGAUAUCGAAAAAGAAAUCAACGGUGUUGUGACGAAGGCAAAUGAAUGAUGGUUCCAUCUCCUAUCAUCCACCCUCGUCAAGUUUGCGACCUUAUCAUCUCAAGUUGAAAUCCCGUAAUGUAACUUUUUCUCUCCAAUUUUUGCGAUUGGGUUUGCUUUGUAAUCGGUGCAUGUCUUAAAGCAUAACUUCCUCUUUUUUUAACUUGAAGUCUUCUGGCAUUUUGUUGAAAUCUGACAUAAAUUUUCCUUUUGAACAGCCUGCGAUAUUAGGCAUACCCUGAGAAAACCAGUAUCACGAAUUCAUUCUUAUUCCUGACUUAGAACAAUAUUCAUUUCCUGGUAUACUUGAGAAAACCAUGGAAUGAUAAAGCAGUUGAUGUUCCAUUUCAUUUCUUCUAAUUCGGCGAGUCCUUCUAGUUGCGGCCAUUGCAGAUUGCCAUUGAACUGACAUUUUAUUGGAAUAUGAACUUAAAGUCUAUCUCGAGGGGAUCGAGUUGCAUAUUGUUAUAUAGCCAUACAUGUGCUGAUAACAUUCUAUACUAGCGAAGACUAGUAGCUGUCUCAUUCUUAUGCUGAAUUACAUCCCCUACAUGUAGUUAUCACAUGAUUGUGAGAGGAGUUGCAAUAAAUCACACUCAUCUUUCGGUGCAAGUUUCACGAGCCCACUCUAAGGAUACUAGUUUUGGGUAUUCAACACGACUUAUGGUAGCUUAAUUUCAGAGUCAAUGCUUCAAAGAUAAUGUGGUAAGAUGUUGUCAUGACUUAUCUAAAAGAAGAAAGAGCAUGUCCACUGUAUAUCUUUUCAUAUGUUGUCUCUAUUGAUUCUCAAGCCAAUUGAACUGAGAAUUCCUUCAAUAAGUAAGCAAUUCCAUGAAUUGCAGACUGGGCUUCAUUUCAUAAUGAGCCGCGCUUUUCACUCCAAACCACGUUACAGGGUAGAAGUGGAUAUUUUCCUUGAUCAAACAUAAAUUAAAUUUGAGAGAGGUAUUAUAUUAAAAUGAAAUGCUCUAUUAAAAUUUUUGAAUUCUUUUUAUUAACUGUCUAAAUCUGCCAGGUAUACUCAAGAUUUUGAUCUUGCACUCUAAAUUCGUGCAACACACGUGUUUAUCUUCACAGACACACAAAAUUUAUGACGUUAUUAUGUCCCAAACAAAACUUUAUAGAAUUAUUACGUCACUGCUGAGGUGGGCACCAUGUUUGAAAUCCAACAUUAUGGGAUUAUCUAGGUAUAGAUCAGACAACAUAUGCAUUUUAACUUUUUUGACCAGAGCGUUGUAUUUAAUCCAAAAUAUGACAUUCAAUCAUCGGGUGAAUUCAAGGAUCCAAACGAGAUGCUUUUCUAGUGCGUUUCCACUUAGAAAUAUGAAAUUCUAUAGUAAAAGCCCAAGCGGACUCAAUUUCAAUUGGAUUUCCCACCUUCCGUGGAAAUAAAUGUAGGCUUUUACAAUGAGAAUGCAUAGAUGGGACAAACUUCCUAAUUACUUGGCCUAUUUUUGCUCCUUGAAGAUGCAUGCACUACAAAAAUCCACAGUUCUCAUACUAAUUUUGCAAAGCGAUUAACUUCUCAGAAGCUGUAAAAUGAGUCUAUAUAAUCAUGUCAAAGCACGUAGAUACCAUUUUUAUGACAGCCCGCAUGAUUUAUGAGGUAGCUAUUCCUUGAGUUCACUUUUGUCGUGUUUUUAGGUGAUAUUCUGUUUAAUUUAAAAUAUACUAAGUUCAUUUCGCUUUCUGAUAUAUAUAUGCUACCCUCCUAGAAUUAGGAGAUAUGUACAUAUGCAAUGAUAAUCUUAUUUAGAGUUGCAUCCUGAAAUUAUGUCAAGACAUAAAUAAUUGUAUCUUUGGGCCAUUUCAUGACACAAAAAUGUUUACUGUUGGUGCUUUGAAAUUUUUUCAUGCAUUCCGAUCUAAUUAUUUUAUUUUUCAGAGUAUUCGGAAUCUCCACGUAUGAUUCUAGGAAAAGCAUUCAAUUCCUCUAAGUUCUUUUAUAUAUAGAUCUAGGCUCAGUGCAAUAUCUCAUAGAAAUUGCCCAACAUCUGGCGUAACCAAGCGUAAUGGAUCCCCUUUUACCUUUUUGUCUGUUUUGUUUUUUUUUUUUUUUGUGAGAAAUCUCUUCCUUUAUCUUUAGGCUAGAAAUAUUAGAUAUUAAAUGCUUUUGUUUUGCUCAUCAUAUUAAAAAAGAUUAGCUUUUCUAAUUAGCCUAUUAAUAACUGAUAAGUGGCAACUUCUGAAUAAAUAAGAUUUUGCAUGUUAAAAUAAUUAACCUCCAAAAUUGCGAUGGAUGGAGUUUCGGAGAGUUGACAUUAAGUUUUCGAACUUAGUAAUCCACUUACUACCUACCGAGGGAAGGUCGCAACAACUUUGGUUUAUGAGAUUAGCUUCUGUACAAAUAUGGGUAUUAUCUACUAUUCCUAACUUAUUCUCCUUGCUAUCAUGGUAAAACAAACAAGAGAAUAGUCUUGAAUCCACUCUACAAACCAAACUACAAAUUAGCUAUUCCGUUCCUAGUCCUACUCUCUUCCAAUUUUAUGAAAUAUCUAUUCCAUUCCUAUCUUAUUAUAUCUUGCAAUCGAAACAUCACGACACAUCUAAGAUAGCUUUUUCCAGUGAGUCACCUCACCAUGAGAUUAGAUCUCUCACUAUCAUACAUGAAGAAACGUAGAAAUGUAAUCUCAACCAUCUAACUUUUUCACUUGAUAUAUAAGUUACUCAUUCUUGUAGUAAAAAGAUCUUAUGUUUGGAACAAAUAUCUUCUACACGGUGAAUGUCAUUUAUGUCAUUUCUUAGAGGUAAAAAGAUUCAUUUGCUAUAAGGGAGCCGCAAGUGGUCUCUCCAUGCCACAUUUCCUAAUUUUUAGGCCGAUCACCUAUGAUCUCGUGUCUUGAUGUAUUCAUAAUUUAUUUGAAUUACAUCAAUUAGAAAACAGUUCCAAAGAGAAUCUUUCAAGCCAAGAACAAAAGCAAAAAGCAUAUUCACAAACAAGAGUCACUAUGACUGUACUGAUGAAUUACGCCAUCAUCAAACCCUUUUACACAAAGACAAAAUGACAACAAAUAACAUGAACAACAUAGUGCAAACGACUUCAUCUGAAUUACUCAAGCUCAUAAUUUUCCAUUGUCCUUCAUAGCCAAAUCUUGAGCCCACGAUUUGUCUCAUCACUUUGAAUGCGGUGCUCUAAGCCAAAGAAGUUGCGAAAAUAGCAGCUCUUACCAAAAUGUCGCGACUACUCGAAAUUUAUGACUGGAAGUUGCAAAUUCACCUGAUGAACUGUUCUAGAGAUGUCGUGUUCCCAUACAAGAAUGAGAUUAGUGCGGGGAUUAACUCCAACAUAUGCAUAAUAAGCCACUAUCAGAAUCUGCAGUUGAAAUUCGGAUUGGAGAUGCACAAUUCUUGUUGUGGGGACAAAUGAUAGAAUUCAACGAAUGAAAAGAAUUUCUACGGAGUCUUCUCUUCUCGGAAUCUGAGACUGACGGCCUUGCCUUUGAAAUAACGGACUUCAGAAGAUAGUCGGUUAUAAUUGGCCUUUUCCCAUGCUGAUCGCCCUCACUACUGUCAAGAAGAUCGUAAACAGCUUGAGGUUGUGCAUCUGAAAGCAGAGCUUGAAGAUCCGCUCCGGUGAAUCCUUCUGUCAUGGGAGUAUAGCAUCUAAGUACACAUCACUGGCCAAAGGAAGUUGCACGAGGGCAUUAAAGCAUACACUUAGCAAAACUUUAGCGUUGCCGAAUGGUUGCCACUUUACUGAUUGAUUUUAUAGAAUCGGAUUAAUAUAAUUAAUUGAAUACACCCAAUAUCUUCCUAAUUAGUGAACAGAAAAGAAAAGGAGAGGAUAAAGAUGUCUUAGAAAGGUUAUACUAAAUGAUAACCAAAGGCAAGUCUUAGUCCCGUUUCUCAUUUUUCUUUCUGAGCAACAUCAGUAGAUUUUAGAUCCGAGUUUAAAAGUGAUUUACUAUUGGACAUCUAAACUUAAUUGAGCCUCACCUAAGCGUGUUGCAGAUCCACCCCACAACAUCUUUUACAAUGUUCUCUUGUAAUUUACAAUGUUUAGGGUGAUUUGGGGUGCAAGGACUGAGAACUCCAUGGGAGAAGGAGUUUAGCUUUUAACUUAACAUGUAUCACCAAAUGCACUCCCUCAGAUGACAUAAGUUCAAAAUAGGAUCUUUAGCAGCACAAAUCGACUCUGCUUCUAACUCUUCUUGUUUGUUUUUAAGCAAUUUUCUGUUCAUACGUAAUCUUUCGGAUGCAUCUUUUUGGAAAAUGUAGGAUUGCGGUUAUAUAUUUCUUUAACAAGUAAUCCCAUAAAUUUCAAUAUGUACAACCUGUUUCGGACCACGUCAAAAAUGAAAUGCUCAAAGCAAAAGCACUGGCAGAUCGAUGGAAGCUAACUUUCUACCUUCCUGGAUAUAAGUCUAAGAAUAUCCAGCCUCUCCUUUAUAGAAGGAAAAUCACAGAACAUAAGUUGAGCCAGCCAAGUCUCAGAAGUGCAGUGUCAAGUAAGCGUAGUCUACUGCUUCACAUGGAAUGUAACUCAGGUAGCACUCAAAGCACAUGAAUAGACAAUGAUAAAAAGAAAAAGCAUCCUCAGAAAGAAAAGUGAAUUAGAAUUAUUAGUAGAUGGAUGAACCCUGAGCAAAACAAAAGAGCACCUCACAUGGCAAAGAUAUCAUGACAAUUGAGAAAUUGCGUAUACUCGAUGUCACAAGACUCAAAUGAUCAACAUCAGUUGAUGCCGUUGUAGAGGCUCAUGACUAGCAUAACACUUCUUGUAAGCUACUUCAGCAACUGGAAAGUAAUUCGUGUUGUGACAUCCUGGAAUUUCAAUUAUGUUUUCAAUUAAAUAAAUCGGAUCUUUCAUCGACGCACCUAUAGUGCUAUUCUCAGAGCUGAUCACUUCUGAGAUAACUAGAUUAUCUGGGAAAGUCAUUAAGGAAUUUUAACGUAUUAGACUUGAGAAUUCAACUCGGAAUCGACUACUCGACCGUGCUCAUCUGUAGAGAUCAUUUCGACACAGUAAAGAUCGAUUAGAAAUUAGAGAUAGGUCAAUUCGACUGAGAUGUGUGGUUAAACGUAGGUGAUUCCACCAAAUUGAAAAAUUCUCAUCGAUUGACACUAAACUUAUUUUUCUGUCGUUUUAAUACCUUGUGUCCGUAUUUGAAAUCUCGAGAUUUUCACGACAACCGAGAGUAGCAAAUGUGUCGAAGAGGUUUAUUGUGGCUUGAAGAAAAUCGACCACGGGUCAUUUGCGCUAAAAUUUUUUGAAAGCUACCCUGUAGCUUAUGUCACGCUAAAAUCACGUCAAAUUAAAAUUAACGGCAAAUUUGAAUCCGAUUUUAGAAAUUGAAAGUUUUGUCAUAUCAUGAGUCAUUUUAGGAACGUCGACUCAGUCUUUGAAAAUUUUUCUGCAAACUGAGAUUUUGGUGGAAAAAGUCAACAUAAGGCCGUUUUCGAUCGGGAAAUUUCGAUGACCCUUUUUUAUUGCAAAAUUGGGAUGCAAGUAGGUUCUAUUGGUGAGGAAAAAUACCAACUUGAUUGAGGACUUGAAGGUUGAAUUUUUAGAGGACAAAUUGCAUCGAUUCAAGGAGGAAUUGAAGUUGAAUUUGAGGAGAAGACUUCCAAAAUUCGUAGCCCCCUUUCCUCAACCUUUGGACCCUCUCAUUUGGCUUCCAAGACAAGUUUUGUGGCUGCUUUUGGGCUAGGAAUCUAGAUAGCAAUGGUGGGCCUCACCAAGAGGACAAGAAGAUAGAGAGAAGACCUUGGUGGCCCCCUCCAAAGCCCAACCGGUCCCCCUCCUUCUCCUUCCUCCUCAUCCGUCGACCCCCUUCUUGUUUAGUAGCUUGAAGCUUCUAGCAACCUAGAAAAUCGACCAAACCGGCUCCCUCCUCAGUCACAUGCCCGCCAGAGCUCGAGUGCCACUCGUCCGCCCAUCGCAAGCCGCAUCGUCGCUGCUCGCAUCUUGUUGCUUGCCGUGCAUCCCCAACCGCUGCCCCGCCUAGCUCUCAUGUCCAACAAGUCGCCAAGCUAUUAUCCGUCACCACCGUGGUCACCGGAGCCACCGCUUGCCCCCACCUGGACUCGCUUCAGCCCCUCUGCCCAUCCUUGCUCGUUUCCACCUCAACCAGUCGCCAGUUCCAGCUCUCUUGGCCAAGAGCAGAAGCCGAAGCUAGUGCAUUUUCAAUCACUGUUUGGCCCUUUUUGUGGCCUUCCAGACCUUGAAAAGCGCACCCGCUUUGGUGUUUAUCGAUCCUCUCCACGUUCUCGUCGUUGUGGUCCAAGCAGAUCGUUAAUCAAGUGAGUUUAACUCACUAAUCUCCGCUUAGUAAGUUAAUGACGCUUAAGGAUUGAUUAGUUUAAGUUAAGUAUGGUUUAGGUAGAUAGUUAGAAUAGAUUAGCAAUUUAAUCAUUCGAUAUUGCAUGUUAGGUGGUUAGAGUAGUGUAAUUAGAGCCUAGAUAAGCUCUAGUAUUUAGCUAGAGAGGUUCAAAAAAUUUCUAGGCCCGUCUCGGCUUUUAAUUAGGCUUUUCCGGCCUAAGUUGCAUUUUUGGGUAUUUAAUAAUUAAUUUUCGGAAUUAUUUAAUUAAUUAUUAUUUUCCAAAAAUUGAAUCGGGAUAACCAGUGACUAAAAUUUUAUGCUAAUCACAAUGGUGUGAUUUGUUUAAUUAUUUGAGUGUUAUUUUGUGCACAUUGAGUGUAAUUUGUGAUUUUGGGUAUUUAUCCCGAAAUUUAUUAAUUUCAGUAUUAAAUUAGAAAAUUACCGAGCAUCGGUUUAUAACGCUAAAAAUAUGUUGAUAGACUAUAUAAUUAGUGGGAUUUUAUGAAAUAAAAAUAUUAUAUUUUUAGCUCAGGCCGAUCGUGUACUUACACACGAUUAUUUUUAUCGGGUAUUUUUAACACGAAGAAAAUAGACCAGGACAUUAUUUUAAUUGAGGAAUUCAUGUGGGAAGCUCAAUGUCCUUGGCCAUGGGUGAAUAAUCAUGUGGUGGUUUAUAGUCGCGGUAAGAUGACUAUUGAAGGAUGAGGUAACGUAUGUUGUGCAUGACAAUAUGGGAUGGGCCAAGAAAACCACCGAAAUAUGGAUGUGCCCAUUGGGUCGUGAUUAAUCGCUGAAGUAUGGUUGUACCUAUAGGGUCGUGAUUAACUGCCGAAGUAGGCUGUGCCUAUAGGGCUGUGAUUUAUUGCCGAAUUUGGAAUAAGUCGUGCCCAUCGGGUCAUGAUUUACCGCAACAUUUAGUAGGGCGUGCCCAUGGGGCCAUGAGUAGUAGUUGGAAUGAGUGAUUGAUUGAGAUAUAGUACGAUGCGUUCCAAUUGUUGAGUGAUGAUUGGACUUAUAUGAGAUAUAAAUUGUACAGACUUGUAGGAGGAAACUGAGGUAAAUGUAAGUCCUUUGACCUGUGCUUGUGCUUAGGUAGCCCUUGGGGCAUAUUUUUUUCCUAGUCGGGUCUUAAGGGGGUGAACUUACUGAGAUGUCGUUUCACCUUGUUGUAGGAUAUCAUUUGUAGGUCCCUAGAUGGCAGCUCCUCCCGAGCCGUUUGGACAGCCAAAGAAGGUCACAGAGCGAUAUCUUUCAUCUCGCUUCAUGGGAGCCCAAGAGGAUGGGUCUAUGAGCUCAUAAGGUCAGUGGUUUGGGUUGAUGAGGCUUUACCCCACAAGGUACCCCAUCAAUACAAAUCAUAGUACCAACGUGCGCAGGAUAGACAAAGAGAGGGUCCUAUACCGAAAUGUAAGAUACCUGUGUAUGUGCUAAAGGUUACUUUUGGGAAAGGCACAUCAUAUCCUCUCAGUGGUUCAGUGGUAGACUUGUAUUUGUUGGAUCCAGGAACUCCGGUAUAUUCAACUGAAGGCUCUAAUGAGGAUGAGGAUUUGUAGUUUUAUUAAACCCCCCUAUUUUACAGACCCUGUUUUUAUAAACUGGUAUUGUAAUGACAUAGCUUGAUAUAUAUAUAAACGUGUUGUGAUUUUCAGUUCGAAAAAUUAUGGCCUUACUUUUCUAUCCCAUUGUGUUGUUGUCUAGGGAUUAUUUAUUUGCUUUCGCAUGCAUAUUAAAAUGAAUGGGUCAGCGAUGCAUCUUGGGACGUCGCUAUUUAAUCAACCAAAGAGGGAUGGGCACGCGCUCGGAUGAUCGGGCCGUGACAUGUGCAAUCCCAUCUUUUGAUACUGUGUAUCCGAAGUAAAAUAGUUCUAAAUCAAGGCAAAGUCAUGUCUAGCAUUUUAUAGUCUGCCUCGAAUGUUAUUAUAUAAUCUCCAUACUAAAUGCUUUGUAGAAAAUGUUCGUUGAACCAUUCACAGUAGCAGUGCAAUUUCCAAUAGCAGUUGAUAGUUAGUGUGCUAUUGGAAGAGAGUACUUUUUGUUAUCAUUUAAUAUGAACUUAUUGCCUUGUUUCGGCAAACACAAACACACCUGUUAAAACUACAACACCCUGUAAUUCAGUAACAAACUGCACCAAUCAAUAACACAUCAGUAAUGAGUCAAACGAUUAAUUAGAUUUCAUAUGACCACCUUAUAAGUGCUAUAGAAUGUAAUAAAAUAACUUGAUUCUCGACAUGGUUACUAACCCCAUAUUAUCAUGCCCCCUCUUUGCAACAAUAGGGAGAAGUACACUAUCAAUGCCAUAAGUUGUAUACGGUGCUCACUUUGAUGUCAAAAAUUUCCGUCAAAUCAUUUAAGUGCCAAAUCGGAGGAAAAACGAUCACUUUGGUGCCACCGGCGAGAGAUUCCUGCCAAAAUGAUUACGUGGCUUUUAUAUUUUAAAAAAAAUUGAGAAGCCUUUUAAAUGACAUCAUUUUUUGUCCUCUUUAAGAAAACGACGUCGUUUUGCCGUCAAAUGUGGAUGGCCUCACAAAAACGACGCCGCAUAGCUCAUUUGGGAUUGAAAUUAGGGUUUUUUUUUCUCAAUCCUUGCCGAUCUAGCUUACUCAGCCACCGUGCUCGACCACCGUCGCUCGGCCUCUGUCGUAGUUGCUCGACUAGGUGAGCAAGGAGAGUCUGAGGUUGUUUUUCGAGCAAGAAGUGAUGGGAAAAUAGGAGGCGAGGGCGGAGGAGGAGGAGGAAGAAGGGGGGUCGAAGGUGCAGAGAGAGAGAGAGAGAGAAGACGAGGAGUGUAAGGGAAACAAUGAGGGCGCAGAUCGAGAUGGUGGAUUGGGCUCUGUUCAAAGAGUGGCUGGUGCUGGUGUUGUUCUUCGGAGAAGACAACGUUGCCAUGCCUUCUCUCUCUCUCUCUCUCUCUCUCUCUCUCUCUCUCUCUCUCUCUCUCUCUCUCUCUCUCUCUCUCUCUCUCUCUCUCUCUCUCGAUUUGGGGAUUUAAGGUUUCAACUUAGGGAAAAGACACCAAACGAUGUCGUUUUGUGAUUUACAUGUUGACUGUGCUCUCCAACGAGCCACAUCAGAUUUUCGGCCAAUUAGAUCGACAUUGACACUAAAAUGAUCGUUUUUCAAAAAUUUUGGCACUUAAGUGAUCUGACGGAAAUUUUUGGCACCAAAAUGAGUACCGUACACAACUUAUGAUAUUGAUAGUGUACUUCUCCCUGCAACAAUGUAAUCAAAUUCAUCGAAAAAGAGAAGGCAAACUGUUGUAGCUACUGCCUUUGAGAAUAUAUCGAAACCACUUUUAACCUAAAAGGAAAUCUAAUGGAAAAGACAAAAAAAAACCCCUAAAAACAAAUAUUUUGCUUCAUCUAUAACAAUCGAAAAUCUAGUAGACAUUUGAUCACCGAUUUCAAAUUUCAAAUAGAGAAAAGUUUAAAAUAUUUUACAUGGUAAUCUCUCUCUUAACCAAAUGGUCAUGGAGGAUCCUCUCAUUCAUGCAUGAGGAAACUCAUCAACCGUUUUAAUUUGGCCACUUCAAUAGUUAUGGGAGCUGUUGUUGACAAUAAUUUAGUUAGAAAACCUUGGCUACAGCAGGAGCAUCCUCAUUGCUGCUGCUAGUUAUCCGAUUUUGAGUGCUAGUAUACAUGAAGGGGCCUCUAUUAAAUGCAUACAAAAGCAAUAAAAGAAAGCACAAAAUUGUGAAAUGUCUGAAAUAUCAAAGUUUAGAACAAGAUUGCACAAUGGAAUUCGAUCAACAUUGGUGAAGUUGAAAAGAAGCCUCUUACAGCUUGCUCAAAAGUACAGUGUACUUAUUCAACGUCUCAGCCCUUUCACUUAUAUGGAUUGAAAAGAACAAGCUGCUACUGCAGAACCAAUAAUGUGUGUCUUGCCAAAGCCCAGACAUCCAUGUAAAUGAACAUUUGACCAUUCCUUAUAGGAGGUUGGCCCAAAAACAUUUUACAUCAGCAAAUGUAAGAAUGAUAAGACACGAAGAAGAAAUAGGUUUAUUUAACAAGUUAACAAUAACCACAUUUUAGAGAGAGUUAGAGGGAGAGCAAGAUGAGGAAAGGUGUUAUGAGUCACUAGAAAGAAUAAACAAAAGCUACAUCUUAGACACAACCCAUGCAAUUAUAGAAGCUUUCUUGAACAAAUCCAUGCAUAAUCUAGCUCACUCACAAGAAUGUAGAAUGCAUCAGGGAAACAAUAAUAGGUAGUUAAGCCCCACAAUCUUAGGUAAACCUAUCAUCUCAUUGAAGAUUCUGCAGAACAUGACAACAAGCUCCCUUCACUAGAUUGUCAAUCUGCAAAAGAAGGUUUAGACAGCUUAUCAUAAAAAGACAACUUUGACGUUAAACGAAAAGUAAAGCACUUAAUGGAGAACAGACACUUGGGAACCUACUACAUAGAUAAGUAUUGCUUGUCCAAAUACUUGAUCAGGAAAGACAAUUAUAAAAUAAUAAUAGGAUCCUCGCACAUUUUGAGUAUGAGGAACAACUCCUUUUUUUAACAGCAUAACAAAUCCCUCAUCCAACAAGAUAAAGUGAAUUAAGUGAUCAGAUAGCAUGAAGUAUGUGGGAAGCACACUCAAAAAUAUGACAGGAAGUUGCGGAUCUUUCAAGUUUCAGUUCUCGAACACGUCUAUUACUUGACUGACUCAAUUAAGAUCUAUGAAAUAAAUGAUGUACUUUGAUUAAGCUAAUCAUGAGUACUAAAAAUAAGUACUUCUGGAAACAAAAGCUAAGGUUAAUACUUAGUACAUUAAGCCAUUGAAUGCCUAAGCAAAAUAGGACUAUUUGUUAGAAAAAGUUUGCCCAGUUAGCAACUUCAUAUAGAUCCCUAGCCGUUACACCUGAAGACAUUUUAGCAUGAAUAGUUUAUUGCAUUCUAGGACUCUACAGAAAUAGAAGAAAGCUUACAGCUAUUAGUGGGGAAGCAUAAUUUUAAGAAUGGGAAUACUACAAAAUUGCAACUAUAACCAUGGGCAUCAAAUGUGGAGUAAACCUCACAAUAAUUGAUGACAUGGUUAGUGACCCUCGUAUUAUCGUGACCCCUCUUUAGCAGAAUGGAAUCAAAUUCAUGAAAAAAGAGAAGGCAAGGUGCUACAGCUGUUGCCUUUGAGAAUAUAUCCAAACCUGUAAUUUUAAAAUUGCCAUUACUCUCAAAUAUUCAGAAUUUCUCUAGUUUGUUCACAAAAUCAAUGCCAUCAAUGUGCAAAACAGAUGAUCUAGUAGACAUUUGAUCACAAAUUUCAAAUUUCUAGUAGAGAAAAACUUCAAAUAUCUUACAUCUUAAUAUUUCUCUUAAUCUUCAUAGAGGAUUCUCUCAUUCAUGUGUGAGAAAACUCAAGAACCAUUUUAACUUGGCCUCUUCCUUGGUUAUUGGAGAAUCCUCAUUGCUGUUGUUUAAAAUAAUACAAUUAGAACAUCUUGGUUGCAGUGGUAGGACCCUCAUUGCUGCUGCUAGUUAUUCCAUAUUUUGACUGCUGGCAUAGACAAAGGGACCUCUAUUAAAUGCAUACAAAAGCAAAAGAAGAAAGCACAAAAUUGUGAAAUGUAUGAAAAUAACAAUGUUCAAUAUAAUAUUGCAUAAUGGAACUCAAUAAACAUCCAUGUAUUGAAAAGAGGCCUCUUACAGCUUGCUAAAAGUACCAAUGUACUUAUCCACAGCUUGCCCUUUUAUUGAUAUGGAUUGAAGAGAACAAGUCAUUGCUGUAGCACCAACAAUAUGUCUUGCGUCAUUGCUGUAGCACCAACAAUAUGUCUUGCCAAAGCCUGGACAUCCAUGUAAAAGAACAUUUUGCCAUGGUCUUGGAGGAGCUUGUGCAAAAACGUUUUAUCAGCAAAUGUAAAAAUGAUAGACACAAAGAUCAAACGGGUUUAUUUAACAAGUUAACAGUAACCACAUUAUUAGCAGAGAGAGAGAGAGAGAGAGAGAGAGAGAGAGAAGAGGAAACGCACAAUAAGUCAGCUGAAAGAAUAAACAAAAUCUAGUCUUGAAUGACACAAAGGUGCUCUUUGCUAACACCACAAAUUGCAUAAUGCACAACUCUAUGCAGCUAAACCUAGUCUUCAAUGAAAUAUUUGACCAUAUCGACAAGUUUACUCCAAUAUCAAUUGUCCUGCAGCACAAAUUUCACGCAUAAAUGGCUAACUACUAGAAUGAAGAAAGAUAGUUCGUAGAUCACACUUGACUCAAGACGUGAAGCUUCUCCACUUCAGUUCAAAAGUAACCUGAAAAACACCUCCAAUUCUUCGUGAAGGAAAUAACUAAAUCACUCAUAUUGCAUAAUAGGUAGCAAUGAUUCACUCUUCCGUUAACCAAGCGUUAAUUCCUUUAUUUCAGUCCUCACAAAUCAUGAUUGUUCUCUAUUGGUAUUAAAAACACUCCAUAAAGUGAGACCACUACUCUUAAGUCCCAACCACCUCCGCCUUAUAAGAAAACCUAGCAUUUGCCAGCAUCUUUAGUGUGCUUACUAUCUAAAAGUUCCCUUCCACUUUAUCCUUUUUUUUUUCUGAGCAACAGGUGCCGCGAAGCACGUCAAUCCCAACGUUAAGCUGGUGCACAACAUAAACCAGCUAAGUAUCACCAUCGUCAAGUCGAGGCAAGUCAAAGUAUCACACGUUCAUGAUACAUGAAAGAGGAUUUUCCCUUAGAGACAACAGGAUGAACGAAUGCAAGAGGUGGUUCCAGAACCAAGAUGAAAGGUUAGCUAAAGGAAAACUCACAAAACAGGACACAACAAAAAACGAACUCUAGUUCUAUGGACUUACCAUCAUCGAUUAUCUUUGCCAAUCAAAUGAUACAUAUCUUAUCCAUCUCUAUUGAACCUCGGGCAAUCAAAGACCUUGAGUCGACAAGAUUUUGGCACACCCAGCACCCUCUCCAAUGAUUCACAAUGAUAAAACCACAAACUUUUCAGAUUCUGUAGAUUAGAAAGAUCAGAUUCGUUUAAGCUUUUGAUGGAAUUGCAUCCCCAAAUAGUCAAAUCCCGCAAUGAUUUCAGUUGUCCCAAACCCUGUAUCUCAGUUAGCAAAGGCAAUUGAUAUAGGGACAAACGCUGGAUCUCCUUCAAAUCAGGCAGAACAAGCAACGUCUUGAGCAAUGGACACUUGUACAUACACAAUUCAUUGAAUUUUCGUAGCUCUCCAAGCACCUCAAAUCGAAUCUCUUCCAACGAACAUGCAAGAAUAUACAACCUCGACAAAUUCUCCAAGUUGGAAAAGAUUGAUCAAUCUAUCAGUGACUGCACAUCCCAUAACCCCAAGUCUCGAAGGCAAGAUGGGAGCCCGAUUAGAGAUUGGGGCUCAGGACAACUUAUGUGGAGGCUUUGUAGCUGAGAGAGGGAACUGAAAUCGGUUGGAGGCAAGGCCAUUUUUCCAACGUACAAGAUCAUUUCCCUCAGAGCAUGUAGUCUCACGAUCCCCUCUGUGUUGGGUUCUUGCAUUGAAUUGCCGAUUAUCUCAAGGUAAACUAAAUUGGUUAGGUUUGAGUAGUCAGUGAUCAUGGUCAGCAAAUCCGAUGAAAGGGCUAAAGAUGCUAAACUCUUGGGAAGCUCAGGCAGCCAUUGGAUUGAAUUACAACCCUUUAAAUUAAUUUUUUGGAGAUUUGUAAGCUGAUUGAUGGUUGCCGGCAAUCCACUAAAGCGACCUUUAGAUAAGUCUAGAAUUUUCAACGAGGAUAAUGCCCCAAUUUCACUUGGAAUUUCCCCCACCAAAUGUUCAGAUUCAAACCAUAACUCUUCUAGAUUUUCCAACAUCCCUAUGGUUUUCGGAAGUUCACUUAUGCGGCUGAAAUUGAGAAUUAGUACCUUCAACUUUUUUAAAUUUCCAAUACAAUCAGGUAAGAUCUUGAUACUUGACCAAGUCAAAUCCAAAUUGACCAAUGAUUGGAGCCUCCCAAUCGAGUAUGGUAGCUUUUCUAGGGGGCAAUGUGAGAUGCGUAAAACUUUCAACCUUUCAAGAUUUUCAAUAGAAUGAGGUAAUUCAUUGAUAUUUAAAUUUUGGACAUCUAGCUCAAGUAGUGACUCCAAUUGUCCGAUAGAGUCGGGAAGCUUUUGAAGUUCCCUGCAUGGCAAAAUUAGAGACUUCACAUAUACCAAAUUAUCAAUCAAGAGAGGCAUCAUUGAGGGUGUCCGAUUUAUUCUUAGCACUAUCAAAGAUUUUAGACUACCGGCGGACUCCACUAGUGACUCAAUAGCUUCACUCUUUAUCUCAAGGUAAUCAAGAUGUUUUAGAUUGCCAAUGGAUUUGUCAAUCUUUCUUAGUCGAAUGCAUCUAAGAAUCAAUUUCUCCAGUUGCGAGAUUGCAAAGAACUUGGGCGUCCUUCUAAGGAAUGGACAAUCCUCGAGCUAUAGGAUUUUCAGUUGUUUUGCUACCUAUAAAGUAAUUGAGUAGACACUCAGAAAAGAGGAGUAAAUAUAAUGCAAAAGGAAGUCAUGAGAUCAUACCAUGAUUUGACACCAUCCUCCCCAAUCUUCAGUGACGUUAUUCCCGGAUAGCAUGAGAAUCGUUAAGUUCUUCAACCCAAGGUUGGUAGCUCGGAAUUUUGAAGGGCAAUUGCUCCAAGAGAGCCAUCUCAAAUUAAAGAAAACAUUCUUAAAGUCUCCUUCAAAGUUUCCGUGGUCCAAUUGAAGGAACCUAAGGUUGACCAAGCGCACAAAUUGCUUGUGCUUAAAUCUGUACAUCUUAUUGGGGUCAGGUGUACCAAGAUUGAGCAUCACUAUGUCUCUGGUUCCCUGGAAAAUAAAAGUAGCAACCAAUGAGUACAUAUGUAAGUUUGACUUGAAAUUAGAUAAAAAGGUGAUGACGCUAAUGGAUGCACUGGAAAACAUGUAGAGGUAAAGAUUACCGUUUCUAUCUGGACUACAUGAAAGGCAUCCUCGGGAGACCACAAUCUGGUACCUUUCAUAUGGAUUUCGCCACUUUCUGGAUGGACGAUACUCCUUCCAAGGUCUCUAAGUUGGUCGUGCAUCCAUAGUUUAUUAUCGUUGGAUAUUUUUAUUAGAGACAUGUGUAUGAGGAUAUUCAACUCGAUUUUUGUCGAAUACCUAAAAAUCGCAUCCCAAUAUUUAACUGCAGUUGUUUUCUCUUUGUUGAAGCAAAAACAUGCGAUAUCAAGAUAAAUUUGUUGUUGAUUAGGCUCCAAUGCUUCGUAGCUUAUCAUUAGCUUCUUCUUGACAUCCUCAUUCAUCACAUUCUUUAACUUACGUAGGGUGUCUUCCCAUGUUCUACGGCAUUUUCCACGAAGGAUGGAACCUACGACAUUGAGAGCCAAUGGAAGUCCUCCUAGCACAUUGAUUAGCUUAUAUGCAAUAUCCAUGUAAUCAGUUGGAGGCUCGGCACAUCCCAAGGCACGCUCACAGAAAAGUUGAAAAGCAUCAUGCAAAUUCAUCACCGGCAUAUUGUAGAAUGAAAAUUGUUCGCUAAUAGAGGCUAGGAAAUUGUCAUCCUCACCUUCCUUUACUAGGAAUUCAAUAUUCCUAGUUGUUAUGAUGAUUCUACUACCCCCACCAAACCAGUUGGGCUCACCGACAAGUCUCAUGAUUUGGUCUCGAUUGUCAAUGUCAUCCAGAACAAUGAGAACUUUCUUGUCAUGAAAUCUCGUCUGGAUCAUGUCAACCCCUUCAUCAAUGAAGGAUAGUUUUGUGCAACUCAAAUGGAAAAUGUCUGACAACAAUUUCUUUUGUAAGUUUAUUAUAUCAUGAGUCCGAACAUCCUUAAGAAAGCAGCAAUGUCUCUGAAACUGAGGGGAGAUUUGUCUGAAGAUAGCCUCACCCAAUGUUGUCUUUCCGAUGCCACCCAUACCAUAAAUCACGAUAAAUCGUACAUCAAAGGCUUCUAGAUCUAACCGCUUCAUAAUCUCAUCUGUUCGAUCUUUAAUUCCCACCAAAUGAUCAGGCACAUCUGUCCUUCUUGUCCGUAACAAACUAGAAACCUCUUUGACUGUGAGAUUCAUAAGUUCAUAUAGGCUGCCACAUGCAUGACAUGCAAUCAUCUCAGAUUGAAAAACCAUAUAUAUGGAAACUGUGCACACAUUACAUGGCACUAGAAGGUUAUCAUCAAGUUCAGAAUAAUUUUCUUUAAAAGAAACCAAUACAUAAAAGCUAUCUUUCAAGCUGUGAGCCAUUUGAAAACAAAAAUCCAUAAAAAAAAAAAAAAGAUGUUAUUCAAGAGAGGAGGAGGAGAGGGGACUUUAUUCAUGGUUGAAAGCUAAUGCUAUCAAAGGUUCUUUGGUUUAGUCAAUGAUGGGAAAAGGUUAUUUUGUGACAAGGGUCUAAUUGGGCUUCGACUAGAAGUCACUCUGGCAAAUUGUGACUAACUAGUGCUAUGAGCCGUUGUGUUGGAAUAGGUUGUGGGCCUUUGUUCCAUUUUAUGGCAAAAUUAUGCAAUCAAUCUUAAAUUUAUUAUACAACUGUCAAUUCAGUCAUAAACUUUUAAAUUUCAAUAAUAUUAUCCUAAAACUUUAUACAAAAUUUCAAUGUAGUCCUUGCAGUCAAUAUCCACCGAAAAUUGCUGAAGUGGCAUCUAUGCAUGAUUUCAACUAGCCACAUAGGACAAUGGCGAUGAAUGGAUGUCAUGUUAGUAAUUUCUCGCAGCAAUUGAGCAGAAAGAUUACAUUAAAAUUUCACGCAAAUAUUUAUGACCACAUUGACAAAAUUAAAAUGUCUAGUACUCAAAUGCCAUGCACAAUAAAUUUAGAACUAAUUUGAUAAUUAUGCCUCCACUUCAUUUUAUACUUUUUCACAAUGGUUGGUUUCUUCUUGUUGCACACAGCUAAUAGCGAGACCUCUAGAAGUUUGGUUGAAUAUCAAGUCCUCGGUAAACUUAGUAUUGAUAAUCUCUUCAAGCAAUAGGGAUGAGUUUAAAGGUUAACGGAAAAUAAAAAAUCUCACUCGUAGUUGCCUUGAAUAUCGGAAACAAGAAUACUAUCUCAAAAACAUUUUUCUUAAUGUACCGAUGGAUAGAAUACUACCCGAAAAUGAGGAAGAUUUUCUAGAAUAUAUAUCAACCUUGAUUUGAGUUGCCAACAAACAUUUCUCCAAAUAAGUUAGAAAUAUUUAUGCUACCCAUUCUUUUUAUAAUAUUGGUAACAGCAAACUAGUCGGUACCUUAAUCGGAAUAAAUUGGUGAGUAACUCAACUUAGGAUUGGUAAUUUAACAACAGAUUUCGUUGCCUAAUAAUGUUUGUAACCAGUGCAAAUAAAAGUUUAUGCGUUAUUAACAAAUUUUUUUAUGAAGGCUUGUAGUUUUGAAACAGAUAAUAAAUACUAAUAAGUAGCUCAAAUAAGAAUGGGUAGAUUAAACUAGUUAUUAACUUAAUUAGAGAUUAGUUAAUAUGACAAUCAUAUUAGAGUUAGUAAUUCGGUACAAUAUUUGGUAAUUUUGAAAUGUGGAGUAAACAAUACGGUAAGUUGUACAUAAGUUGUAAAUCGGCAAACAAUCUAAUAAACUUGGUAAAUGAUUCACACAAAAGCCGGUAAGCUAAAACUAGUUUGUAAAACAAUGGAAAAAGAAGUUGGUAAGACACAAAUUAAAGUUGAUAAUUUCAUAUAAAAACCGAUAACUUUAAAAUUAUGGAUGGGCAUGGAGCAUGGGAAAUCUGCGCCCCGCAGUGGCCUACCUUGGAUGAGGCAAUUCUUUUGAGGAAAAAUUUUCUCAAAACAAUUGCCUCCUUGGGAAUGUUGCACGACACAAGUUGGGCAUGGGCAGUAAUAGGCUAGCCCUUCCUGUUCUUGAGGAUUGAAACUAUUAAUGCGUUUAACGAAAGAUAGAAACGGUAAGGUUUAAUGAAGAAGGAUGUAACUAAGCAGAGAGUAAUGGCUAGGGUUCAUAGAAAAACUAUCACAAACUAGGAUAGAGGAUAGCUCCAUAUCUCAAGGUAAUUUACAAUUGUUAAAGUACUUAUCUAUUUUCUAGAGGCUUUUAGAUUUCUCCAACCAUAACUACAACUACAUGGAAGUCCCUUAGGUGAAUUUUUGGUUAAUCAAGAUAUGAGGCCAUGAAUAGGUCCAUGUUUAAAGCAACAACAAGAACCAAUUUUUAUGUUUUAACAUUCUACUAUAAAUCACUAUAGAAGAAUAUUCAGUUUAGGGUUGCAGAUCUUGUCUGUGCACAGCUGGCCACUAGAGGAGCCUAUGACCCCUGCCCCACCACAAUGAAAACAAAAGCCCAAGAUUGAUAACACACCUGAACCUAAGUCAGUCCUUUGCAAACUAAUCAAGAAUUACUAUAAUAAAAAUAUACUGGAAGAUUGAACCUCUAACACUUACAGAGAUCCUUUUUUUUUUUUUUGGUUCUUUUGAAUAAUGGCAUACAAAGAUCUUUGCAAUGUUCGGUCUUGUAUACUCAAACCAAAUAGAAAAACCAUGACCUCUAGUAUCCUUUAAAGGGGUUAUAAAACUAUCAUCAUAAAAAUAUCCGUUAUUUUUGUGUAACUUGGUGGUGCGACCGUAAUUAGCCGGUUAUUUCAAGCAAAACAGCAGCAAAGCAUAUGAAUUCCCUUGGGCUGAAACCAAAACCACAAGGAUCGGUUUUUUCCUCUUGGCCGUAAGUUUUUGGAUAUCGUAUAGACUGCGAUAGACUAAAUAUAUGCUAUAAUAUCUCUAUGUUUCCUUAAUGUAACAAAAACAGAAAGAUCUGACAUCAAACUCAAUCUAAUUUUUCAGGAAAACAUUAUAGGCAUAGGGUCAAGGAAAAUUACACCAAAAGUCCUUAAAUUCAUAUACGCAAUGCAAUUGAAGUUAAAAACUUAGAUUUUUUAUUUUUCACAAAUAUAUGGUCUUACUAUUUUGUCACAUCUUAGAUCUUCAUGGAUUUCUUGGUUUUUUGGCAUUAUAGAUUAAUUAAUUUUUCUAUGCCCUAACUUUAAUUGUUAUAAAAACCUGAUAUUAAAAGUGAAAAGUCAAUUUGUGAAAGAAGCGUCGCCCUCUGAGCCAAAUUUCUAGCUGCCUCAUUGCGUCAAAUCCAACCAUAUGUUGCAUAAGGUGGACAGCAGCAAUCGAAGAACUAUUCUUUAAAGGACGAGAAAUCGAAAUUUCACAAAGAAAAUAAAGUCAAUGGAUAAACAAAUAGUACCCGUGAUCUUUUAGAUUCCUUCCUCUAAUUCUGGCAACCUCUCUUAAAGCCUUUUUCCACUUUUUUGCUAAAUCUUUCCCAUAUUCGCUCUUGUGCUUUCGAAGGGCUUUCCGAUAUAACUUAGUCUUAAGCUUGACAUCAUCCACGUCCACCUCGUAAAAUAUAGGGAGAAUCACUCUCUCAUCAUUACCUCUUGAUAGCUCUACUAUGCGUGCCAGCUCACGGAGGCACCACUUACUUGAAGCAUAGUUUUCGGAGAAUAUCGGGAUGUAAAUUCUAGAGUCAUUGAUCGCUUGCAAGAGGCCACCUUCGAUCUCUUCACCAAAUCGGAGCUCUUCGUUGUCUUUGAAAACGCGGAUCCCCGCAUGGAUCAGGUCAUUGUAGAGACAAUCAGCCAUGGUUAAGCGGGUGUCGGGCCCUCUGAAACUCAGGAACACCUCGUAACCCCUCCCCGAUCCACCAUCACGGCUACUGCCUGUCCCAGCUGCCAUCGCCGUCUCUUCUCCCUCCCUCUUUCUCUUCAUUCUAGUAGCAAGACGGAGUGACGGAUCCCCGAAUCGAGUCUGCCCAGUGACUUGGGAAGUCUUGAGUUUGAUUCUUGUAACAACUUGAUGACGCAACGGAGAGAGAUCUCUCACUUUCGCUGCGUUCGCCUGGAAGUUACCUGCGGCCGGCCUUCGCAAGUGAAAAAACCAUUCAGAUCGACAAAAUAAUUGCUUCGAAGAGAAAACACGGAAGGAGAGAGAGAGAGAGAGCUGUGCAUCAGUUUUCACCUUCAAGCAAUAAGUGUGUUGCCCACAGCCGCGAAUAGACGGAGUGAGGCUGCCUCGAGGAGAGAGAGUCGGAGACAGAGAUGGUGGCUUGGCUGAGACGGGACGCGAAACGAUCAGCGCAGGCUAUGGCCGAGGGGCUCGACGGCCAGGGGUGAUGGCACGAGAAGGGGAUACGACGUCGACGGCGACGCAGCAGCGAGGUGGCGGAGGCUUGCGGUGACCGACAGGUGGAGGCGAGAGACUGAUGGAAGAGUACUGGAUUUUUCAGAGUCCGGGUAUUUUUUCUUUUUUCUUUUUUUUAUAGAAAUUCGUCAAGAAGAGAGGGCAGUUUGGUCAUUUAGGAGGGGUAACCGCACCAUGGGGGAAAAGAGACUCCCGGAGUCGCGCGUUUGAAGUACUCCGUCAAUGACGGAGUGACGGUCAGCUAAGGACCGCACAUCUAAGAUGGAAACCGGUUGACUUUUUUGACAGGUUUCCAUCUUUUAUCCAAUUUCUUCUUUUUCUAAUUUUUACGUUUUCUAAAUCACUCUGUCAAAGAUGGAGUGACGAUCAGCUAAGCCGCGCUCAAACUAAAACUAGGUACUUUGCCCAAGCUUUACGUGGACAUAUAUUGAUAAAUGUACUUUAAUUAUGUUUGUUUUAAUUUUUAUUUUUAUUAAUGUCAUUAAUUUGGGAUUGUUAUAACACUCCGUUUGUUAUCCAUUAGGUAUAAAAUUACCAAGUAAAACCAUUUGUCAAAUCAAACAUGGAAAAUACGACCCGAAAGUUUAAAGUCCAAUUUAACUUUUAACAAAGGCAUGGUAAAAAAUUAAAAACUAAAUUUGAAUAUUACUACUUCCUAUACAAAUUGGAUUCUACUUUUCAUUUUAUAAUAUGCGGUUUCUUUUUCCAGUAUCAUAUUUUCAAAGGACGUUUUAAUUCAACCUCAAUGGCUGAGUUAAACCUUGAGACCAUCUUAGCUUCUUCCUAGUGUAAAAAUUCCUAUGUGACAUCCAAGAUUGAAAGGAAAACCCUUUAUAAUAAGUCAAUUUUGGACGGUUGAUCCUUAUGACCAAAAAGCAUCCAGCAUCGAGUCUCUAUCCCAUGCUUGCAAUCACAUUGCAUAUGUUGCCCACUAUUAAGUGCUUGUUUUAUUAAAAAACAAAAGUCACCAAAAAUUCUAAAUUAUGUUCCCUAUGAUACAUUUACCCCAAACUUUUUUUAGACACUAGGAAUCUCAAAUUUGUAUAUAUGUGACACAAUUAUCCCAAAUUUAUACAGUGAGACAAAUUUAUCCCAAACUUCUUCUUAUGAUAUAAAAAAUCCUAAAUUUGUAUCUGUAUGCCACAUUCACCCUUAAAAUUUGGUGUCACGGAAAAUUUUUUGGGGAUUUUGGUAUCACAAAAAAAGUUUAAGGUAAAUAUAUCACAUAGAUAAAAGUUUAAGAUUUUUAGGGUUACCAAAAAAGUUUGGGUAAAUGCAUCACACAGGUGAAGUUUGGGGUUUUUGUGGAUUUUUCCCUUUUAUUUAUUCUUUCUUCUCUACAUGGGCUAAAGAAUGUAGAUCUUCAUGCUUUGACAACUAGUGAUUCACCCUUGCUCUCACCAUGAUGGAAUAGGUUUCCUUUAAUUUGCUUAGCACCGACUAAUAUGGAAACUGCUGGUUCAAACCUGUCCUACACACUCUAAUCAAUGUUUCUUAAACAUAUUAUGAUUUCUGCCGGCGUUUUUCCUAAGUUGUAGAAAAUCACCAGGAUGGAGGCCAAGGAUUUAGAGCGACAAUUCUCGUUCCUUGAUUUUGGAUGCCCCCAUCAUUCCAAUGACAUUAAAUGUGAGAAGUGACGAGCUAAUGUCGCGAUUUUCUAGCAUCAACAGCCCUUUUCCCCCUAAAACACUACCGGUCGAGAUAUUUGACGAUCGACGGGCACGAUUGCGCUAUUUCCGCCCUUUGUCUCCAGAAAAUGACUGAAUAGCUACAGAAAUUUCCGGUUCUUGCCAUGAUUUUUCUCUCUAAGCGAGGCAGGUAUAGGGAUUUUUCUUUUGAUGAUCAGGUACAUAGACAAUAAUGAGAUUGUGGUUUAAGUUAAUUCGUUUUCUUUCAUGUGGGGCCUAGUUGUUCUAGUAAAUUGGAAAUGCUGAUAAGAUGAAUUUUGCUGAUAUCGAGAAAAAAAUCAACAGUCUUGUAAAGAAGGCAAAUGAAUGAUGGUCCCAUCUCCUAUCAUCCUAUCAUCCACCCUCCUUAGGUUUGUGACGUUACCAUCUCAAGUUGAAAUGCCAUGAUGCAACUUUUUCUCUCCAAUUUUUGUGACUGGGUUUGCUUUGUAAUCGGUGCAUGUCUAGAAGUAUAAUUCCUCUUUUCUUUUACAUGGAGUCUUCUAGCAUUUUGUUGAAAUCUGACAUAAAAUUUCCUUUUCAACGGCCCAAGAUAUUAGGUAUACCGUAAGAAAACCAGUAUCACGAAUUCAUUAUUAUUCCUAACUUAGAACAGUAUAUGCAGAUCAACACAUACCAAACGGAUUGACUAGACAAACGUACUUUAGUGCUUUUUCUUUGUCUUCACAAGAGGGUCAGACAAGCACUUGAUGAUGGACUUGCGUGUGUUCUAAGCAAAGAAGAAAGGCCACAGAUUUAUUUCUAAUUGAAACUAUUCAAUUCAAUCGUGGCGUGAAUCAUGGAAUGCUAAUUAAGAUGCUUUUCUUAGUGCAUUUCCAGUUAGACAUUCAUAAGAUUGUAAUAAUAUAAAAUGAAUUAUGUAGCAUGAUUCUUAAAAUGGUUAAUACAUUGAAAAACCCCCCAAACUGGUAUACCUGUGACAAAUUUACCUCAAAUUAUUUUUUCGACCACCAAAAACCCGAAACUGGUAUAGCUUUGACAAAUUUAUCCUAAAUUGGUACAUUUGUGACAAAUUUACCCAUUCGUUAAAUUUUACUAUCAAAUUAUUAAGUUAAAUGACACAUGAAAGUUGAUUGGUAUACCAAUUUGGGAUUUUACGCUCUGCUUGUUACAGUUUACAAUUUUUCUCUCUGUUAGUUUUCGAAGAUGAGGAGGUCGUUUCGGAAAUAUAUCAUAUGAUUGCAUAUUCUUUAGAUGUUGGACGUAUUGGGCAACCUGACAUCUGUUCCACUUUCCAUUACCUUGUUAUCAUGUUCCAUUUGCCUGGAAGUAGCCUGCGGCCUUCCUUCAUAAGUUAUUAAAAAAAAAACCUUAAAGAAAAACCUUUAAAAAAAAAAUUUGGACUCGCACCAAAUGGGAGGCUAAGGCUGCGCAUGGUAAAAUUUCUGUUUCUCAAUUUCUCAAUUUCUCUAUUCCCCGGAACAGGUUUGGAACAGAAAUCCGUUUGGUAAUGCAAAUUGAUUUCUCUAUUUUUGUUUCAAAUUUCUAUUUCAGAAAUUGUUUUGGGUAAGAAAUGAGAAGCUAAAAAUUUUAGCUUCUCUAUUUCCUGAAGUAGAAAUAGAAAUUGUUUCUAUCCAUCCCCUUCUUCCUUCAGCAAAUAUCGACUCUUCUCUCCUCACUAUCGUAGCUUUCCCAUUCCUUCUCCUCACCUCAAACCAGAAACCCUAACGACUCCGAAGCUGUUCAUCAUCACCGUCGCCGCUCAUCUCGCCGUCGCCGUCGCCCUCGCCGCUCAUCUCCACUGGCCAAUUUGCUCCGGUCGUCCCGUCCGACCUGCCUCGUCCGUCCACGUCCCCAGUCGCCAUCGCCCAGUAGCGGUCGUCGUCGCCCAACUCCAGUCGCCGUCGCCGUCGCCCAACUCUAGUCGCCGCGCCCAUCUCCAACCGUCGCCCAUCUUCGUCCGCGGAUCCAGUCGCCCAACUCCAGUCGCCGUCGUCGUCGCCCAACUCCAGUCGCCGCGCCCAUCUCCAGUCGUCGCCCAUCUUCGUCCGCGGAUCCAGUCGCCCAACUUUAGUCGCCGUCGCCGUCGCCCAUCUCUGUCGCCCAUCUUCGUCCGAGUCCCCUUCCGCUCUCGAUUCCGCGGAUCCAGUCGCCGUUGCCCAUUUCUGCUUUCGAUUCCUCACAAGGUUCGAUCGAUCCUUCCCUUUUCGCCUCUUUCUUGGUUGUGUUGUCUCUGUUCUUGUUCAUUUGUUCGGUUUUGGGGGUACUUGGCUUCAACCCUAGAGUUUUGGCUUGCGGAGUUACUGUGAUUACUGGGGAGUGCUUAGUUCCGGGGCUCGCCUGCGUUUGUCCACGGGCAUUUUUUGGCGAGGGGAGCUGGGCCGGUCAUUCUGGAUUGGGCGGUUUCGUGGAAUAGGAGGUAGGGAGUGCUGGAUUUGUGUGGACGGAUUGUGGUAGGUGAUCAAGACGGGAUUUUGGGAGGUUUCUUGGGAGCCGUUCGCCACUAGGAAAUAUGGAGCCCUUAUGCGUGAGGAAGGGGGGGAUUCCUGCCACCGGAAUUCCUAGGAUAGUUUCCUGAAAUAGCUGUGAUGGUUGAUUGUGGCGGAGUAGAUGGUGGUUCAUGGCUGCAUCUCGAGUUCUGUUAAUUUUUUGGCCCUUGACUUGUGUUGGAUAUCGAAGUUUUUCACAAAAGAAUCGAAACCUUGCUUAGCGUGCAUAAAGACGCAUGGAGUUGUUAGACCAGUUAAAUUCUGUUAAUUCCAUGUUCUACCUCUAUCCAUUCCUUACCUUUUGAACAUGUGAAUGGAAAGAUCGAAUUCAUAUCAAUGCUGCAUCGCUUCUUUUUACAGCUAACAGAAGAGGUGUGAUACUCUUUCUAUUUAUAUCCAAUUCAAUGUGGUCCUAUGUAGCACUCACUUUGAGGCUCCUUUUCAUACCAAGAUUAACCUUACAACUUCAAUUACUCUUUAUUUUUUGGUUGGGACCUGCACUGGUGGACUAGAUUUGGUAGUUUAUGCAGUCAAUUAAAAAUGAUGACUGAAAGGUUUAGAAAAGGGAAUUUCUAGCUCAUGAUGUUUUUGUUUGAGAAAAUUUAUUCAGAAAUAAAAGAAGUGACAAUAUCCUUAAAAAAAAUGAGGAUAAAUGGUGUACUUUUCCCCGGUUGACAUUGCUUAGUAGAAGUCUUAUAUUAUUGUAUAAAUUUCUUGCUGGUGCAAACUCUAAAGCCGGGAGUGACUUGCUUUUGGAUUCCAUGCAUUUUGUGCAAUCAAGCAUUCACUGUUGUAUCAUAAAUUUCACCAUUUAGCUUCUAUUAAUCUUAUGUAACUGUUUUUCUUGUUAUUUGUGAUUCUUUAACUUCUAAUUUCAGCUUAUCCUACAUGAUGUGCUUGUUAAUCACAAGCUUUUGUUCUUGAAUUGGUGCAUCAUCUGAUCGCUUUCAUUGAAUACUGAUUCAGUUAAGGUUAAAUGGCACCCCACAAAGAAGCAUUUAUAGCAAAGUGGACUGAGUCUUUGACCAAUGUGCUUAUAAGUUUGUUGGUGGAAGAGGUGAAAAAGGGAAAUCGCCCCACCUGCACCUACAAUAAAGUAGGGUGGAAUAACAUACAUGCCGAGUUCAAUAAACAAACAGAACUCCACUAUAAUGUAAUUCAAUUGAAAAAUAAGGUAAACAAACUAAAGAAGCAAUAUAGUAGUUUUAAGAAGCUUCUUUCACAAUCUGGAUUUGGAUGGGAUAAUGUCAACAAAACAGUUACUGUGGGGGAUUCAAGUGUAUGGGAUUCUCACAUCAAGGUAUCACUUUACUUGGGUCCAUUUUCUCUUAUUGAGGCUUCAAUUAUAUUGUUAAUGUAUGUCAUUUCAAUGAAAUUUGCAGGAUAAUACUGAAUGGGCUAAAUUCAAGAAUGAGGGGUUUCCUCAGUAUCCAGACCUUUGUAUUGUGUUUGGUGAUACAUAUGCUACUGGGGCGUAUACAGCAGGAAAUGCAGAAGAAAAUGCAGAAGAGUAUGUGGUGUCGGAUGAAGAAGACAAUGGUGUUAGUGGCGACAAUGGUGGUGGUGCUACCAUAGGUGAUGCGGAGGAAUCUAAUGAAAACUAUGUUGAUACGGGAGUCCUUGCAUCUGACGCGACUCCCACCUCAGUUCGUGAGAAACACAAGUUGAAUAGGACCCCAAAUUCCAAGAGGAGAAGAAAGAGUAACAACCAUGAACUCGGUGUCACCAUGAAAGCCAUUCAAGAAAUGAUCAAAUUAAGGACCGCCAAAUCAACAAGUGACUCCAUAACCUCAGAGGCCCCACCUCCUGUAGCCCCACCUCCUGUAGACCCCCACUCCAUAGCAGUUGUGGUCGCCGUUCUAAAUGGCAUGUCUGAUUUGGAGCAAAAUCUUUACAAUAAGGCUGUGAAUCAGGCAUGCCUUAAUGCCACUUGGAGAAAGGCUUUCAUGGUUGCUCUACCUGAAAGGAGGCAUGGACUUAUUGAAUCUCUUGAGUAGUUGUUAAGAAACAUGCUAUAGAUUUCUAUUUUGUUUAAUUUCAUUCCAUGACUUAUGUAUUUGAGACUUUGUUUGUUUAUGUUUUUAUGUUGCACUUAUGAUGACAUUAUUGCUAUCGUUGAUUAAUAUUGGAGUCCUUAUCUAAUGGGUUUAUAUUCUUAUUUUGUGUGAUGAUAUAGGUAAUAUGGAUGAGGGUGAAAGUAGCAUGUCUAAUGGUCAAGUAGCAUCAGUUGAAUCAAUUGGACAGGAUUUUGAUGAUUUUGAUCUUGAUAUACCGAUAGCAUGGUUGGCCACUGUUGCAGUGGAUCUGUCUAUGCAUAUGAAAAAACCUAUUAGGGAUAGCUUAUUAUCGGGAGCGCAAUGGAUAAGCGAGGUUCUUCAUGGGCAUUCCGAUAGAGUAUAUGAAGCUUUUAGAAUGGAGAGACAUGUCUUUCUCAACCUUUGUGGUCUAAUGAAGGAAAAAGGUUGGUUGGAAGAUACUCGAUAUAUUGGGGUAGAUGAACAAAUCGGGAUUUUCUUAUCUAUGAUUUGUCACAAGAACUCAAAUAGAAAAUUAUGUGAGAGAUUCCAGCAUUCUGGACAAACUAUAAGCAAAUACUUCACGAAAGUAUUGCAAGCAGUUCUCAAAUUGGCAAAAGAGAUUAUCAUACCACCUUCCUUUGAUGUUGUUCCACAAGAGAUUCUUAUGGAUCCUAAGCAUAAACGUUACUUCAAGGUAGAAUUCUCAUAUAUUCCUUUACACCAUUAAUUUUAUUUGGUUGAUAAUUUUGUAUAAUACUAGUCUUUGAUAAAAUGACAGGGCUGUAUAUGUGCUAUUGAUGGCACCCACAUUCAUGCUUCUAUACCUGUGUCGAAGCAAAUCCCAUUUAGAGGUAGGAAAAGCACCACCACUCAGUAUGUGCUGUGCGUUUGUUCGUUUGAUAUGAAAUUUACUUUUGUAUAUGCUGGUUGGGAAGGCUCUGCCAACGAUUGUUGAGUGCUUGCAGUAGCAUUGGAGACUCCUCACUUGGAAUUUCCUCGGCCGCCACCAGGUAUUUGUUUGUCCUUUAAGGAGUAAUUUUCUUUAUGAUCAUAUUUAUAGUUACAAAUUAUAACCAAUGUAUAAAUACAUUAUUGUAGGCAAAUACUAUGUCAUGGAUUCUAGUUAUGCAGCUACUCCGGGAUUUUUAACUCCUUUUAGAGGUGACCGAUAUCAUUUAAAUGAGUAUAGGGGUAGAGCGAGACGGCCAACAACUGCAAGAGAAUUGUUCAACUAUAGGCAUUCUUCUUUAAGGAAUGUCAUUGAAAGAUCAUUUGGGGCAUUGAAGAAUCGCUUUUUCAUUUUGAGGCACAUGCCCUCAUUUGCACUUCGAAAGCAAGCACAUAUCGUAAUUGCAUGUUGUGCCAUCCAUAGUUACAUCCGUGAUCAAGACAAGAUGGAUAUGAACUUUUCCCUAUAUGGAGAUCCGAUGUACUUGGCUAAACCUACACAGGAUGACCUUGCAAACAUUCAGUUGACCGAGGAGGGAAACCAAAUAAAUACGCUUAGGAAAACCAUUGCCAAUAAAAUGGCAAGGGAUAAUAAUAUGCCGGAAAUUCCAUGAAAUUGUAUUUUCAACUUUUGUAAUGCGUUAGUGUUAUUUCGACUAUUAUUUUGUAUUUGAGGAUUUUCUAUGUUGUUAUCUAAUCAAUUUCUAUUUCUAGCACAAUUUCCAUUUUAUCAAUUUUGAAUCUCUCGCAAAUUGCGCGUACCUCUAUGUCAACUAGUACCUACCAUAAAAUCACUUCGUGGUCUCAAAAGAAUGCAAAAAAAUGUAGUGACUUAAACCCGAAUCUUGAAUGAGGAGAAUAAAUACAUUAACUAUUUGCAUAUUAGCAUUUGAAACUACCAAAUCUUUUAUAGUUUGCAUAUUAGCAUUUUUUAUACUAAUUACUAGAUUUUAUUUACAUAAAUUGCUAAUGUUUUGAAGUUCUUAACUACUUUAUCGAAUUACCAAUAUAAAUUAAAGUGAUUUACCAACUUUUAUCAAAUUAAAUUACCAUCACAAGCACCAAGAAGAGUGAGAUAAAAGGAAGGGGACAACAUGAUUCAUAGAAAUAGAAAUUUUUUUUCUGUUAUCAAACGGAUUUUUGUUUCAGAAAUAGAAAUUUUGAGUCGUUAUCAAACGGAUUUCUUUGCUCAGAAACUUGUCCGGGGAAUAGAAAUUGAGAAAUUGAUUUCUGGCCAGAAAUCAAUUUCUGUUUCAGAAAUUUUACCAUGCGCACCCUAAAUUGAGGAAAUAAUUGACAAAAGUCUUCAAAGAGCAGGAGGUUGUCUCGGAAAUAUUUUAUUACUGCAUGUUGGUCAGAUGUUGGACAUUUUGGACUGUUGCAUUAUAUUAUUGUAUGUCAGUUAGAUGUUGGACUUAUUGGAGAACUGAAUAUAUUAUAUUAAAAUUUAGUUAGAUAUAUGUUGGACGUAUUGGACAAGUUAAUACAUGUUCCACUUGCCAUUACUCUGUUGUUAUGUUCCAUUUGCCUGGAAGUCACCUGCGGCCUUCCUUCAUAAAUUCAAAAAAUUAAUUGAGAUUCACACCAAUUGGGCAGCUAAGGGUAAUGGCGGAUAAGUAGAGUCUUCAAGUGUCUUUAGUUCAUGAACUUAUGCUCCGUGUAUGAUACUGUAAAAAAACAUAGACUUUUUCGAAUGUUGAUAUGCAAUAUGAAAUUUUAUAAUUACAUGUCUAUACAUUAUGAAUGAAAAAUUACAUUUGAACUACAUCAAUAUGCACAUUACCAUGAUCUUGCCAAGAUGAACUUUGAAAGAAUUUAAUGAAUCGUUAGGCGGAGACAUAUAACUCUCUUACAAUGUGGUGCUUACGCAAUGUACAAUUCUUCCAAAUCCCGCCAACCACAACUUGAUUUCUCUUUUAUUAAAUAGUUGAAUUUUAAUCAGAGUUGCCACUAACCUAUUAUAGGCUAGUUGUGAGCCAAGUAAGGCAUAGGAGCUCGCCCCACUUUGGUGAACUAGAGGCUUUGGAUGCAAGAACUUGGUUAAGCUAGUUUUGCCUAGCACCUAUCACUAGUAACUUUUUUCUUUUAAUAAAAAUGAUUUCUUCCAAUAUAUUUUCAUUUUUUAUUUCUUAAACAUGUAAAUCUAUAUUAUCAUACAUAGAUACUCAUACAAUAAAUUUGACCAAUCAAUGAUAAAUAUAAAGACGGAACAGAAUAAAAGCAAUUUCAGCCGUAUCAAACCAAAUUAAUACAACGCUUUGUUAUAAAUUCCUAAAACAGGACCUGUGAGCUAUUCAUAAGAAGAGACAUGCACUAGUCUAAUAAAUGAAAAUUUUUUAAUCUUUGUAAUCAGAAAUUAAUCCUAAAUGCAUUAUGAUGCAACUAACAAUAGUCAAUAUUAAUCUCAUCCUAUAUUGUACUGCGAAAAAGCCGAUACGCAUUAAAAAUGCUUCUUUUAUACUUUAUAUAUGUGUGUAUAUUAAUACGAAGGGAUUAUCUAUAUAUGAGAAAAAAAAUAAAACUAAAUUUAAAUGUUGGACUAUAAUAAGAAAGAGACGUCAUCUAAACUCUGAGUCGGAAGAUGGCAUUGGCUAGACUGAUACCUAUUCGACAUCUCCAUUUUCAUCUGUGUAUGAAAAAGACACAUUCGGCCUAUCCCCGAGCUUAAAAAGAGGACCCAAAGCAUGCCUCGACAAUCCUAGAGUGAUCACAAAGCAAAGGGACCAUGGAGGACCGACCCGGAGAGUCUCAAAUAGACCAAAAGUGGGAUGGAUGCCCACGGCCUGAACAAUGGGCAUCCGAUCCAUUCCCGAUCGUCGACACCUAAUUUUGGCUAAUGGAUUAGUCAUUCAUUAAACGGGAAAUUAGGGAUCAAAUCAGACUUUAAACAAAUAUAUCAAUGUUGCAUAAUUUGCAUUAGCAUUAUAUUUGCAUUUUUAUUACACUUCAGUACUGACAAAUAUACAGGGAACUAGAGGUGACCUCGAGAAGUGACUUGGCAUGAGAUAGAACUUCAAAAUCCAACUUGCCAUGAGAGAAGUGAGCUUAAAUGGGCAAUCAUGGUGAAGAAAUGUGCUUAAAUUGACAUUCACAUGAUUUUUGUAGCUCAAGCAUAGAAAUUAAGCUAGAACGUAAAUUUCCCACCUUUUUAGUGCUCAAACCCGAGUUCGAGAGGCAAUGUGGGCCUAGAAUCAAAUUGCUAACGGCUGCAAGGUCAAGUUUAGUCAAUGAGCCAUGGAACAUCCUCUCCAAGAUUGUUGAAAUUUUAGGGUCCAAACAGUGAGUUAAACGAUAAUCCCAAAGUUUUGAGAAAUCAGCCAUAAUUCCAAAUUGUGAGAAAUCAUCCAAAUUUAGAUCGAGCCGAUAACGUAGCAUUUUGUUUCAAUAGCUGUUAUCGCAUCAAACACUUCCCGCUUAAUCCAACUGCCAACCACCCCUCUUCAUCUCUCCUCACCCCAUCUACGUCCUCCAUUUUGAAGUCAUUUUAGUCUCGUUAUUUAACCGAUUGUAAGCUCCAUCCCGUCUAGUCCUAAUGCUAACCCAAUUAGGACCUGUAAAGGCUUCAUAAACCUCCUAUGGCCAGCCAAAAUGAAGACACAACUCAUUCAGGAUAUCUCAAAUUGCAAGCCUCUCUAGGCUCUUCUUGGCCUUGCUCAGCGGUGUCCUCUCCUCUUGGUGUCCAACCGGUGGCUCCUCCAUCCUUAGGCAUUCUUCACCGGCAUUCAAGGUUCGGUAGCCACCACUUCUAGCUGUUUUGAUCCUCUUUAUAUAGGCGUUCCCCCUCCAAUCCAACCUUUGAAGAUGCUUCUGAAGAGUUAAAGAGGCGUUGGGAGUUGGUUGUAGCAAAUGUCAACGUUUAGGCUGCCCAUAUAGUUCGCUCCUGCCGGCAAAAAAAAAGGUUUCUUGAAAUGAAGUUUGUUAUACUAUUCCAUCAAAUAUAUAGUCUAACACACUGACCAAAAGUGCCAAAGAUGUCCUCACUUGUUUUUUGUCCUUCGGCCAUGGAUUCCCGACUUGUUAACAACAAUUUUCUUCCAAUUCAACGGUCAACCUAGGAUGGAUUAUUGAACAAUCCCUUCUAGGAAUUGAUAUUUGCACCAUCAAUUGCUCGUCAUCACUUGUUUGUUAAUAUUCUGUUGAUGAUAUCGAUUGUAUUCUUUGUGGAACAACUUGCAAUUCAUUAUCCAAUGGUCUUCCUGAGCAUACCAGUAUCCAAGGGCUUAAUCACCUUAUCUUGGUCCCUCCAAGUCCUCAUGAACCGCUCAUCAUAUCUAACUUGUUCUCCUUUUGUCAAGGCCUACAUCUUUGUGCAUGUCCAUCACUAAGCUUUACAGACACCAUUGAUAUAAUCAAUUCGUCCUAAAAUUAUCAUCAAUUUAUCAUGACAAACAUCUACAAUCAUGUAGUAGAUAUUAAACCAAUGAUAGUUUUGAAAUCAUCAAACUAUCAUUGGAAGUUUUCCCAACACUUAUCAUUGUACACUAUCGNNNNNNNNNNNNNNNNNNNNNNNNNNNNNNNNNNNNNNNNNNNNNNNNNNNNNNNNNNNNNNNNNNNNNNNNNNNNNNNNNNNNNNNNNNNNNNNNNNNNGUCCACCAAAGAAUGGAUGAUCUUCACACUCGUUGAAAGACAUCGAUGUAGUUUGUUGAUCUUGAGGUUGAGUUAGGGGUUUGCGCGACAUGAAUUUGAAUCAUCCGGUUUUUCUAUCAUGCCGUCAGUGUCCUGCAUUUGUUGCUGUUUCUUGGGUGACCCAGGCACAUAGGGAGUGUGUAGCAUCUCGGGAUUAGUGUAGGAAUUGAAGUGCCACCUCAAGCUCGAAGAUUCUUAAUUGCCAUUUGAGAAGCGGUUGGGAUCCAUUACGAGAUUGAAUGAAGUAAAUCAUAUAUAGAAAGUGCAAAUUUGCAAGAAAUUACAGAUUUGUAAAAGAAUGAGAAUUUGGGAGAGAGUGAUGAAUGGUGAAAAUGAGAGAAUGGGGCUCUAGUUUAUAGAGAAUUUGUGAAUUUUUUUUUUCCAGUGGAGGCCCACUGUUGGGCUGAAAGCAGUCACUAAUUAAAUUUGUCAAAUGGGUGGAUCGGGUCAUGUCAGGUCAGGUCAGAUUUGGGUCAAGCCGAGUCAAAAAUGGUCCUAUGUAAAUUGAUCAAUUUAACCCUUUUAGCUCAUUUUCAUACAACACAAAUAUAGUGAUCUAUACCCAACCCAUAAUGUUAAAAUACUUAUAUAUUUAACUCAAAUUAGGAAAAUUAAUACCCAAACUAAAGUGAAAGCAUAGAAUAAAUGAACGUGAAAGAGAGUGAAGAGAGAGUUGUAGAAGUAAGUUUAGUCUAAGUAAAUUGCGAACUCAUUUAACACCCACAUUAAACCCAUUUAUGAUCCAUAGAGUUAGGUCUAAACCCAUUUACUGAACAUAAAUAUAACUAACACAUAUAAUAACUUUGUCCAUCAAGAAUGGGUUGAGAAAUUAGUUGAAGACCUAUUUAGAUAGAUCUAUCACUGACCAAUGAACCCUUUUGAGAAAUGGAUUGGCCACGUGUGGCCCAAAAGCCCACUGAGCCCAACCAAAUGCCAACUUCAUUCAAAAGAACUAGGCCUAGGCCACUCCACUAGGUCCAAUGCAUGGCACGAGCCCAGGGUGAGCUGAUAUAUUGAGAUACUGAUGACAUAAUCACCGGAGCAUGCAACUAUUGAUGCAUGUUAGACAAAUUGAAUGUACAGGUCAAAAUUAAAAAACAGACAUCGAGGAAGAAUAGGCAACCUUGCCUUUUUAAAUAGUCAUGGGAUGGUAUAUCUCGAGAUACUUGUACAUAAUUAUCUUAAAUUCGAGUAGUUACAAUUAAAAUCCCUAACACUAGGUGAGGUAGCUAGCAUCUUUUUUGCAUUGAAUCUGCGUGCAUCUAAGUUAUGCUAAAAGUAUGUUCAGUUCCUGAAAUUGUCAAAAUUCAAACUUGCUAUGCUUUAGACGUUUAUAGAACAUCCAUUUGAUCUCAUCCGUAGUCUUGUUUAAGGUGCUUUCAUAUAUUUUUUAAACGGUUGAAUUUUCUGUUUAACUUAAUCUUUCCGUUUCUUAUGACUCUCUUGGAUAUGUGUGAAUAUGGAAUUAAGUAAAUCCAAAGAACAAAAACAUCAUAAGAGGUCAGCCAUGCUUGCGACAAGCCGAGGGGAAACAAAUAUAACAAUUCAACUAAAAUUUGCAAAAUAAUGUAUUGAUGAUAUAGUUCAUAAAUUGUUAUUGUUUCUGUAGUUGCUUUCUGCAAAUUGCUUUUUAUUUCGUGUUAGCUCAAUCAGAAAAGAAAUGCUCCAAAAAACAAAAAUCUUCUACCAAUCCUUUUAUUUACUUGUAUAAUAAUUGUUCAAAAAAAUUAAAUUAACAUAUUCUUUAUGUAAAUAUAGUAAAAUAGUUCAAAAUACAAUACGGAAUAUGUCCUAUUUAAAUUUAGUUGUAUUUUACUUUUUAGUGUUGAAGAUAUAACUUGCAAUAAAUUAAUCAAGUUAGAAUUAAAACACACGAAUGUCCCUUAAAUAGAAUUUUACUUUUGCUCGCGUUCUCGUCAUUAAAUGUCAAUUUUUUGAACCAAUACAUAUUUCAUGCAUAAAAUCUAAUAUAUCUCAUUCAUAAACUACUAGAGCUGUUAACGGUUUGAAUUUUUCCUUUUUGCAGAAAUGACCAAGGAGAUUAAAAUUAUUGUCAAAAAAAUUUCUCCAGAUAAUUAUCAAAAAAUUCAACAUGCCACAGCUUUUGUAGUCAGUAUUAACAUUAAUUUGUUGUGCAAUUUGAAGUUUGCAAACAUAUAUACAAAACAGAUGAUCUAUCUUUGGCCAUAUGUAUUGUGGGUUAGAAUCUAUGGAUUUGUGAUUUCAAGUGUAUAAUUAUUUAAUUUAUACACUAUAGUACUUUGGUUCAAUAAGGAUUUAAUUAGUAUUUAAAAAGGGGUUGAAAUUUGAUUUAAUUAGGCUUGGGCCUUAGGCCCAAGAGUGUAGACCUUUGAUGGGCCAAAAGGCCGGCCCAUGAAGCCCAUGGAGAGGGCUGCCGUCGACCAAGGAGAGGGGGAGUGGCCGGCCCACUUCCAAGUCCAUUAUGCAUGGGUCUUGCCAAGUGGCAAAAAGGGGACUCCAUCCAUUGGCCAUUGUGGGAGGCAUCUCAUGAUGACUAAUGAUUGUGAUUAAGGGGGAAUAAAAGGGAGAGAGUGGCCGGUUUAGGGGGCUGUCGCCCAAGCCAAGUGAGAGAGAGAGAGGGGGUUGCGAGAGAGUGAGGAACCGAGAGAGAAAGGGAGAAGCCACGCAAAGGGGAGGUCCGCUCGUCCGUUGCCCAUCCAUCCGCUCGUCCGUCGCCGUCCGUGUGCUGUUGUUUACUCGAUUUGAAGGCAAGUUGGGAUCCAUAUUCUGCUCUUGCAUGUUGUCUCUUGCAUGUGUGUUUGAGUGGUGGUAAAUCUUGGAUGUUUAGGGUAUGAGAAACCGAAGCUAGGGUGUGUUGUUUUUGAGAUAGCAUGCUGUUUUCGAGUGUGCCGCCUGACCCUAAACGUUGUAAAGGCUUGCAUACGUGGUUUGAGUCAGAUUUUGGAUUCGAAUUCUUCACUAAAAUUUGUAGACAACAUCUCAAAGUAUAACAUACUAAAAUUUGAGACAAAAUGGCUGCGUUUUAAGGGGUGAAACCCUUCCUCUACGAAAACGCUAGAUCUGAAACUGUUUUGUUGACCUCUUGGUGGUUUUGUGUGUUGCAUGUCACUUUUUACCGCGAAUCUCACUUCGACUUCUCAUGAAAGUUGUAGAGAAAAUCCUGAAGAUUAACAUAAUCAAAUUUUAGGUAAAACGAGCAAGUGUAGCCUAGUGAAACGAUUUUCUUUUGAAGACGGCAGAUCUGGAAGUAUGGUAGUGGACUCCCGAGACUUCGUGGACUAUAUGGUGACUAUCCUUUGAGAAUCUCACUAAGAUCCCUUAAUGAAAAUUGUAGGGGACCUCUUGAGGCAAAAAAAUAUCAAAAUUUCAGAGGAAAUGAAGAAAGAUAAGUAGGCGAAACCUCGAUUUUUCAGAAACAGCUAAACUGGAUUGUUCGGUAUUAGGAACAGGAGCUUCGACCGUCUAUAGUUAAUUAUCUAGAGCGAAUCUGGCCUAGAUGUCUGUAUGAAAAAUAUACCUUAGGGUCUUGACUAUAACUUGGUAAAAUUCCAUAAUUUUUUGACGUCAUUCGGGUAUUUUAAUCGAAAUAUUUCAAGAACUGCACAAUCUGAUUUUAUCCGAAUUUUGCAUGAUGUAUUGUGUGAGCUAUAUCUUCUUGUGUGAAGCUCUUUUGGGUAUGUGUCCUUCAUGAAAUUGCUACCUUUAUGCCUUGUCUAUUACAUGCUCUGAUUGUAUGAUUUUUUAAGAUCAUAUGGAUAUUUAAUUUAUAUGUUUUCCGAAAUUGUGUAAGCUGGAAUUUGGUAAAUUUCAAAAAAAAAGACAUGAUAUGUGGAUUAUUCUAAGUUGUAUGGACCCCAUGGAUUGUAUUGUCAUAAGUGGUUGUAUCUUGCUGCAUGUAUGAUGAUGAUUGAAAAUGCAUAUAAGAAUCAAAAGAUGAAAAUGAUCUUGUUUGCCAUCACAUCAUAUGCCAUGUUGAGAUUGAGCUAUAAUUGAAAAUGUGAACUAAGAUAAGUGAGAAGGUCGUUGGGGGUAUAAGCUGACAAUGCCUCGGGAGUGUUGGGAUGCUUGGCUAAGGAGUGUAAAUGCCGGAUACUCAGUGGCCUUAAAUGGCUGAAUGCCAGAGGGUUCUCGGGAGUUUCGAGAUGCCCGAAGCGUGGGGAGACAGAAGCCUGGAGGUUUGUGCUGGGGGAUACCUCGUGAUGCCACUUGGGGUACGAAAUGCCCGACAGGUGUGUGCCGGAUGCUCGGAGGUUUGUGCCGAAGGUUCCUCGAGAUGCCAGGUGGGGUGCAAGCGAUAAAUGUGGGAUGCAAAUACUGAUCCCGAGAAAAAGAGAAAUGUGGCAGUUCAAAAUGAAAAGAUAAAAUUUGGAAAUUGAAAUUGAAUCAUGCAUGGUGUGACAUCCCAAAUUUUCAACCCUGUCUUCUACUGAAUAAAUCGGGCAUUUCAUUGACGCAUCUAUAGGGUUAUUCUCAGAGCCGAUCACUCUCGAGAUAACUAGACUAUAUGGAGAAAUUAUUAGGAAUUUUAAAGCAAUUAGACUUGAGAACUCGAUCAUGAAUCGGCUUCUCAAUCGUGUCCAUCUUUAGAGGCCAUUACGACACAGUUAAAAAUCGAUUUGAGAUCAGAGAUAGGUCUGUUCAACUGAGAUGUGUAGCCGAUCGUGGGUGACUCUACUAAAUUGGAAAAUUCUCGUCGAUUGGCUCUAGACUGAUUUUCUUAUUGUUUUGGUACCCUGUGUCCUUAUUUGGAUCCUCGAGAUUUUCACGACAAACAAGAGUCGCCAAUGAGUCGAGUGGAUUCAUAGUGGUUCGAAGAAAAUCGACCACGAGUCAAUUGCCUUGAAAAGUUCUGAAAACUACCUGGUAGUCUAGGUUACGCUAAAAACGCGCCGAAUGAAAAUUAACCGCUAAUUCAAGUCCGAUUUCAGAAAUUGAAUAUUCUGUCGUGUCACAAUAAAUUUUAGGAACGUCAACUCAGUCUCAGAAGAUUUUUAGGAGAUUCAGGAUUUUUUACGGAAAACCGUUUCGGACGUCGUGGAAAUUUGGCAGAAGUUCAGAUUGGCUAAAUUGAUAGAAAAUUGGACUUCCAGACUGAGCCGUUGUGUGUCAGGGAUUUAUAGAAAAUCAUUUGGGAUUUUUCUACACCAAAAUUUGACGUCGAAUUUGGGAAAUUGAGUAAUGAAGUUAAAGAUCAAAAUGUGAAAUUCGGAUUGGAAAGUGGCAACAAUUUUAGGCUUCAAAUUUGAUUGGUUUAUAAAGAUUUUUACAAGAAAGUAUUAGAGGCCAACCAAGAUAAGGAUAAAGAAAAAGGAGGGAGACAAGCAAUUAAGGGAAUGGCUUAGGUUUGUUGAUUUUGGGUCCCUCCCGUCGCUGUCUUCAUCAUCACCGCUUCUGCCUUCUCCUCCGUUCCUAUCCAUAUUCGUGAACUCUCUCUCUCUCUCAUCGAGGAAGCCUACGAAUUCCACCAAAGUGUUUCUCCAUUUUCGUUCAUCCCUCUGCCACACGAACAGUCCAUUUCAACAAAAAGAAUUGACUGGCUUCGACGCCAAGAUCCCACCGAAGCCCUCAACUCCACGCGUCCAUCUUCCACUUCGCUGUACCAGUCGGCAAUCGAGUUGAAGAUGCCGAGGCAGCAACCGAAGCUGCCCCAUCUCACACACCACCGAAGCAAGGAAAUCUGCAGAAGCAAGAACGGCCGCACGUCUCCACCAUCGAAGACCUUCGCUUCAGCCAGCGCCUCCACGCGUCCUCAACCAGAGCUCCUUCGGUCAACCGCAGCAAGCCCACCGAAAAUCAGUGGUUGACUGAGCAGCUUUGUUCAGCUGCCACUUGGCUGUGAGGCCUUCGGUCGGUGCCUCCCUCACACGCCCACCGAGCUGAGCUCCUAUCUGCUGGGCCGAAGUUGUCUCAACUGAAGUCACCAAUUCCCCAGCAGCAACUCCACGUCGACGCUGCAGCCCCACUUCGGCUUGUCUUCAACAGAGUCAACGGAACUAGCAGCUUCUUCUCUUCUGUUGACUGAAGCUGCCAGCAGAUGCCCCUUCUCCACUGAGGUUGGUCGGCCACAGAAGCCAGCAAGCUGUCCGAGAAUUUUCUCCAUCGUCAACCGAAGCCGUAGCACCUUCCAGUGAAGACCGAAGCAGCCCACUUCGCAGCCCAAAUGAUCAGUAUUUUGGUCCAUCAAGCAGCCUGCAGUUUGACAUCUUGAGGCCCAGCAAUUUCCUUGUGAACUCAGCCCAUCAUCAAUUAGAAUUGAAGCCCAGCAAAAUUUGGCCCAAGCUUCAGCCCAAGUUGUUUGAAAGGCAGGCCCAAUUCAGCUUUGCUUCAAGCCCAAGUUCAGGCUCAGUCCAAGGAUUCCAGCAGGCCUAAGCCCAGAAAUUUCUGCAGGCUUGUGAGGCUUUUGAGCUCGGCCCGAGUGUCCGCCGACGCCGCCGAAAGUUUGGAAUUCGGCCACCGUCGCGGUGUCCCGGUCCCCGUUUUUAAUCAAGUGAGUUUUACUCACUAAAGCUUGCUAAUUAUGCUUAGGGUUGGUUAGAUUUAAUUAAGUGCAAUUAGGUGGUUAGAUUAGGUUAGAACAAUUAAUUUAGUGACUUAAUGAUGCACGUUAGGUGGUUAGACCUAGCUAUUAGCAAGUAGAAAUGUUUGGUUAUUUAUUGAAUGUAUCUCGGGAUUUUUCCCGACCCGUUUCGGGCUCCAAUAAGGCAAUAUGGGCCUAAAUUGGAUUUUUAUUAUUUAUUUAUUUAAUUUUCUAAAUUAAUUAUUUAAUUAAUUAUUUUUUUCCGGAAAUUCAAUCGGGAUGGCCGAUGACCAGAAUUUCGUGCUGAUUGUCGUGGUGUAGCCCAUUUAUUUAUUUGAGCUCUACGUUGUGUGGAAUUGAAUUAAUUGUGAAAUUUGAGAAUUUAUCCUUAAUUGUUUGUUAUUGAAUAUUUGAUUGGUAAUGGCCAAGCAUGGGUAUAUAGCGCUAGUACGUUGAUGGGCUAUAUAGUAGGGAGAAUGGUGAGAGCUAACUGAGAACAUUAUUGGUUGAGACCAAUCAGGUAUGAUAUUAUUGGACAUACGUGGUUCGGUGAUUGGAAGUAUCACUGGCGAAAACGGCGCCUUAAAGAACGCACGUAAAUGACUUAUAGACAAACGUGGUUUGGUGAUUAUGGAAAUAUCACUGGUGAAAACGACGCCUUAAAGAACUCACGAUGUUGUCUAUUGUCGAUGUCACCUUGGCGAAAACGGCGCCCUAGAAAGGACACGUGGUUGGGUGAUCGAGGAUAUCACUGGUGAAAACAGCGCCUUAAAGAAGGCACGGUGUCAGUGAUCGGUAUGUCAUUGGCGAAAACGACGCCCGAGAAACACAUGUGAUUUGAUGAAUAAGUGCACCACUGGGAAAUCGUGGUAUGAGUGGAAAUGACCUAGAGAGGGUCUGAUUGACAUGUAAUCGACUUAGUCGAUUGACUAUCUAUGUUUGAAUAUCUAUGUUUAAAUAUCUAUGCUUAACCUUGAAUUGCAGGUUGGAACUGAGGCCAAGGUAAGUCCUCUGACUCAAGUUGUGCUUAGGCAAUCGUAUGGCGUAUUAGUUUAUUAAUCGAGUCUUAGGGGGUAGGACUCGCUGAGACGUGGUCUCAUUGGUUAUUGAAUAACCAUUUCAGGACCCUGAGGUGAAGCUAAGGAAGAGAAACCUGAAGGGGAGAAAGACUUUUGAAGAAGAAGAAGAUCCAGAGAGGGAUCUCGAAUAUAACCCGGAUGUGGACUGAGAUCCCAUCCCUUUUGUAAACCCUGUCUUAGCAUACAUAGGUGUGAGACUUUUAUGCUGUAAAUAGUAUUGUAAAAAUACUAUAAGUUGUGCUGUUAAUCAAAGUGUGGUUGUGAAUUUCAAUAUGAAAAAUAUGGCCUACUUUCCUAUCCCAUUGUUUUAUUGUCUGAGGAUUUAUAACUGCUUCUGCAUGUGCUUAAUAAAAAGAAAGGGUCGGCGAUACAUAGUCCUGGGAUAUCGCAUUCUAAAAUCGACCAAGUAGAAGAAUGUGCGCGCGUCCGAGGAUUGGGGCGUGACACAUGGUAUGGCAAUAUGUAUGCAUGGAUGCAUGAUGAUGGUAAGUGCAUGGAUGUAUGUGCACCCAUGGCAUGAUGGUAUGUGAGACAUGAUGAUGGUAAGUGCAUGGAUGUAUGUGCACCCAUGACAUGAUGGCAUGUGUGACAUGAUGAUGGUAAGUGCAUGGAUGUAUAUGCACCCAUGACAUGAUGGCAUGUGUGACAUGAUGAUGGUAAGUGCAUGGAUGUAUGUGCACCCAUGGCAUGAUGGCAUGUGUGACAUGAUGAUGGUAAGUGCAUGGAUGUAUGUGUACCUAUGGCAUGAUGGUACAUGUAUGAUAUGAUGGUGAUGAUUACAUGAGGAUGUGUGUACAUGUUGUAUGAUAACAUAUGCAUGGCUCCAAGGUAAAUUAUGCAUGGAUGCUUGAAUGACAUGUCUUAUGCUAUGAUUGUUAUGAUUGUACUGUGUGAUGCAUUGAGUGAUUUAUUGGGUCCUUUAUCUGCUGAGUGGCUGUAUUCACCCCUUCGGGGAUCAACAUUUCAGAUUAAAAAGAUGCCGCCCCCUACUGUCACAUGAGGCUUCUUUUACGGCCUUCAUUCGGAUGUGGAGGUCGAGUGUGUGGAGAUCGACUAUCCCACCAUCCAUGGUCUGACGUUCAUUCGAGUUCGCACAUUAGUGAUGUAUGACGUGGGCCUGGGUAAGGGCCCUGUCAUUCAGGAGUUUAUAUCUGUUCACGUUCGUCGAGACGGAGUGAUGCGGGGGAUGUUGCCGCUGCCACCGCCUGACGCACCGGCAUGGGUGUGACUGCACACACGCGAGAAGUAGGAGUUGCAACUUUUUGGAUAAUAGCCGACACUAGUAGAUGGAGGAUUUUGCAUGAUUGACAUAGAGAAUCGAGUUGUCUCUUUUUGAGGUUGUGGUCAAGUGUGGUCAAAAGUCUUGGCCCUUCUUUUGUUAUACCGACCCAAGAAAAUCCAUCAUGAAAAUAUGUAAAUAAAAGUUGCUCGACUUUAUCUUUUCCUAUGGCGCUUAGUGAUGUGCAUUGUCUCAUGAUAGAUGGAGGGAGAGAUGAUGAUAUUUCAAUUAUGCUUCCGCUAAUAAGUUGCGCUGGGACCGAUAUAUAUAUAUAUAUAAAGAAAAAAAAAUGCCUAUGAGCUGUAAUGCUUCUAUUAAGAGAUGUGACUAGCGUUCAUUAGGUAUAGUAACAGGCACCUGUGGCGACCUAGGUGUUUCGGGGUGCCACAUAUAUCGUCCAACUUCCAAGUCGAAUGUGCUAUUAGGACUACAUCGAAUCAACUCAGCCUUAUAAGAUUGCAGCAACUCGUAUUGCUCGACAAAUGGACCUCUAAUGAUCUCAACAGCUCUAGUAAUCGCUCUAUAACAAAUCCUCCUAUUUAGUGUCAAUGCCCACCUCUCCAUUGCAUCCGCCUGCAUUUGUGAUGUUGUAUACUUCAAGUUAGCUCUAAUUUUAGGCAAAAACUGCUUCGCAAGCCAUAUAUACGAUGCAUUCUUUAAAGGUCUUCUCACUCUACAUCCAACUAGCAUAAACUCUUCAUUCACAGCCACUCUCACACCUACCAUCCAUUUUUUUUUUCGCUUCACUCUUCUUCCAUCCAAUGUUAAAUCUGUUUAUGAUUGCGUAAAGUUGCACAGCUUUCUUUAAUUGAGCACGUGAGACAAAUAUCAUUCCUACUUUAAAUUGCAUGUCUUUAUGAUCAGAUUUGGGGUCAUAUCUAAUGGUUUUUGAUCUUCUUUGGUCACAGACUUCUUCAUCUCCAUCAGAGUUGGGAGGGCUCAAAUUCUCAUCUCCUUCUUCUAGAUCAGUGUCUCCAUCAUUUUCACCCCCAUCCUCAUUUUCAGGAAUGUUAACAGCAACUGUAUUAGUAAUAGCAGCAGCAUCGGCCUCUCUUCUUAUUUGCCUAGCAAGAAAGAAAUCCUCGUUACCACCACCGAGAAUGUAAUCAGCAUCACUUAAAGAUAAUGUAUCAGGAUCUUGCUCUAGUUCACUAUCUCUAUAGCUAUCACUCUCACUAUUAUGACCACUAGUAGAAGAACCACUAUCAUCACCAAGAGCAGCUCCUUCAAUAUAUACUUCAAUAACACCAAAACUUGAUCCUAGACCCACCAAUUCUAACACUUGAUCAUCACCAACAAUCUGCACAAGACCACUUCUCAAGGAAUCCCCAGGAGUUGCGUACCACAACUUUUUAACUGAGUAUCCUAGAUCAAGAACAACCUUAACAAUUGCAUUAUAGUUCACCACCAUUGACUUACAACGAUGGAGAUAUUCUACAUGGUAGCCUAUGUACUUUGUGAUGUCUCCAAACUCCAUAACUCCACCUAGGUGAAGUCCAAUUGUAAAUCGUUAAACAUCUGCAAGGGAACAACAAACAAACCAAUUAGUUUAUAAAAACCUCUCACAAAUAACUAGCAAAGAUGGGAUGAUCAAGUUUGACAUGAAAUGACAAAAUCGAGUUCGCCAAACAAGAUGCUUGGAAGCCUUGAUAGGAAAUAUGAGGCACCUACGUCUAGAAAGAGACCCAGAGUUAUUUCAGUCAUAGCAAAAACUUGCAACAAGGUUAACCAAAUGCUGAUAAAACUCUGGAAAUCUUGAUAUUAAACUAACAAGAAACUGGACAAUCACACCUGCCAACUACUUGCUUACAUUAGGCACUCAGAUUGACACAUAUCUACAGUACUAGUUAGAUACUCUAGGUUAUGUAACAAAUUGCAUAAUAAGUGGCAAAAGAUACUGAGAAGGUAAUCAUUUUAUGUUUCACAAGCAAACAUCAGCUUUACGAAUUGCCAAUCGACAUCUAUCCCACCUUAUUUAUUAAGCAAACAAGAAUUUCAAUCUCGUUAAAUGGGGUUAACUGAGCUCAAGUCACUAUUCCAAAUAAUAUAUGGGUACACAUAAGUGUGUGUCCUUGUAUAAUUUCAAUGACCAAAGAGUUCACAAAAGGAAAAAAGCUUGUCAUUGUACCGUGACUAUCAUAUCAGCUUCUUUAAUAUCAAUUAAUUGAUUGUAAUGAUCCUGAGGGAUAACCUGGUUCAUGUACAAGGCAAAGCUUGGCCGUGCGAGUCGCCCUGGACUAGGAGGACCAGAGAAAAGAUGCCUUAUAUUCUAUUCAAAGUAAUGAUUGAGAUACAUAAUAUAACUUGUUUCUGCUGCAAAAUCGAACCUUGAAACCUUAAUCAAAAUUAUCCAUGUAGAUAUGUAUAUUAUCCACGUACUAAAGUCGGCGUAAUAUUAUAAUAUUCAAAUGUACGUGCUCUUUUAGGACUAAGCAUAUUUAUGAAAUCUCAGGAGACAUGUUGAAUCACACUCAAAGUACACCUGAAAUCAGUAACAAACAUAAAUGAUUUUGGUUCCGGCAUUUCAACGAGCAUGUGAUGUAUGAGUCAAUCGUACCAUUCACAUGCAAGUUUCAUGUCAAAAUUUUGACACACUUACGAUUCAAGGUAUGAAAGACUAUGUAAUACUAAUAAGGACAUGAACUAACACGAAGGACCAACAAAGCAAGAGUAAUAAGUAAUCAUACAAACAGAUUGCGGACAAGCAGUAAACCAUGUGGGGUUGAGACAUAUAAUCAUAAAGCCAAGUUUGUCACAAACCAAAAACGAGCGAAGCAACCACGAUUAGAAGAAUAUGACUCGAAGAUCCAACAAAAAUGAAAGAGAGGAGGUCCUCAGAAACAUAGAGCUCUAACGCGACGUGGAAUAGAGAGCUCUUGUUUUCCUACCUUGAUAACAUGAAACCACUCAAGUGCAAAUCCGCCACAUUGGUCCUCAAAUGACAGAAUACCACAAUUCCACUCACCAAUCACAGGAUAAACCAAAGGCGCUCCUACUUAAAAACUCAAACUUUCCACGCCCGGGAGCAAUUCACUCACUUUGAGUCUCCUCGGCCUGCGCUGACAUCGCGACCCCGAUGAGUGACCGGAUGAACUCGUCGAACUUCGACCGGAGCCACGCCCUAUAAAUCACCUCGGGAAAGAAGAGCGUUUGUCAUGAAUUGAACUUAAUUUGUUGUUAGGGUUUUUUUUUUUUUGUGUGUGUUAUAACGAAGGGAGAAGAGAGAACGUGAGGUACAUAAGAAGGCGUGAGAAAUGAGAAUUUAUUAGGGCUUUUUAAGAUAUCUUUUUGUUUUUCCCUUCACUGUUACAAAGUUAUUAUUAUUUUAUUUUGAAAAAAAAUUAAGUUAUUUCCACAUGGCUUGCCACGUGAGCAACCACGUCAUCAAAGUUAAUGGCAAAAUCUAACCAAACUAACGGAGGGUAGAUCUGUCAUAAGUGUACCAGUUUGAGGUAUUUGAUGGUAAAAAAAAAAUAGUUUGUGGUAAAUUUGUCACAAUGUACCGGUUUGGGGUUUUUUUUUAAGGUAUUAACCAUUAUUUAAAUAUAGCAAAAUAGUUCAAAAUACAAUAUGGAAUGUGUCCUAUUUAAAUUUAGUUGUAUUUUAUUUUUGAGUGUUGAAGAUAUAACUUGCAAUAAAUUUAUCAAGUUAGCAUUGAAACACACGAAUGCCCCUUAAAUCGUAUUUUACUUUUGCUCGUGUUCUCGUCAUUAAAUGUAAAAAUUUUGAACCAAUACAUAUUUCAUGCAUAAAAUCUAAUAUAUCUCAAUCAUAAACUACUAGAGCAGUUAAUGGUUUGAAUUUUUCAUUUUUGCAUAAAUGACCAAGGAGAUUAAAAAUGAUGUCAAAAAAUUUCUCCAGAUAAUUAUAAAAAAUUUCAACAUGCCACAGCUUUUGUAGUCAGUAUUAACAUUAAUCUGUUGCGCAAUUUAAAGUUUACAGAUAUAUAUACAAAACAGAAACAUCGUAGUGGGAUAUUUUCGGAAUCAAUUUCAGAUUAUUUUGAAAUUUUAAUAGACACGUGUACUCUCUUUUUUUUUUUUUGUCAGAAUAUACACAUGUACUUAAUUUAUGACUUUAUCUGCAACAUCAAUUUAAGGUGCAAUUCCCACUAUUUAUCUUCACAUAUUCAUUGCUUUUUUGGCAGUUUCUCACAGUGGGGCAAAGAAAAAAAAAACCGACGCUUCCAUCUCGAUGAAUCAAAUUAUAUCUUAUGCAAAGCUUCCAUUUGAAGCCCAAAAGUUCAGCAAUCGCAUUAGUUUCCAACAUUGAUUAUUGCUAUGCGCAUGCUUUUCUUCUUCUUUUUUAUCGGAAAAUAGUCCAUUUUCCUUUAGGGAGAAGCCUGACGACAAGGCAAAAGGGCUUCUGAACAUAAUAAUAACCCCAUACUCAUACUAAAAUGCUGACGGAUUGACCAGGAACAGGCAGGAACAAAUCAACGUUGAAGACAUCUAGACAAAACAUCAAACAGGUCGCGAAGGACUCUCGGCGAGACCCAUUUUUUAACUUCAACCAAUCGAGAUCAAUAAAAUCCCGAGGAUUCUCCCUUCGACUGAAACGAAACUCACGAGCCCGCUUCAGACAGCUUCACUCUCCUAUAUCUCGGUUCGAAGGUGGAUGGACACAGAUCCCGAACGAUGGAGCAGAGCGAUGAGGAGAUUCUGAACACGUAAUCGACUCUAAAGGUCGAUCGGAAUAGAAACGACCCGGCAGGGGUAGUGCCGAUUCCUAUCCUCCUUGGUUCCCUUCGGCCGAGCUCUUCGAUGGCCAAAUCCUUUUUCAAGCGAGCGUCCAGCCAUCCUCUCCUUCUCGCUUUCGGCUGACUCUCUUUCUCCCCCGUGAAUCUCUCUUCAGCCUAUCUCUCUGCAACUUGCCUCUUCAACGGCCGCCCUCUCCGAAAGCCGGCGGCGUCUCUCCUCCUCCUGUUAUGCGAACAGGAUCCUCUUGAGGUGAGCAUCCUUUCCGGCGAAGAUGCUCCUCGGCGAGCAGCUCCUAUCUCAUCUUUUCCUCUCGGAUCAGCACGCUCCCCUCGCCUCACCGAUCGAAUCUUUCUGUUAUUUCUCUCGCACGCCAGCUAGCACGGCUCUAGAAGGUGCUGGCUCAGCUCUCGUCACGGUUUGUCGAGCCUCCUUCGCUCACAGACGCACGCGCGCUUGGCCUGUCUUUCUUCCUUGCGUCACGGACGCUGUGCUCGCCGGGGGAGUUGAGGGGGAAGCGCGUGCGAGGGAAGAGGGAGGCUGAGGCUGGGGCUGGGCUUUCUUUUUGUUUGGUUCUAUGAUGGGCCAAGGAAAGACAAAAGGACAUGGGCUAAAAAGGAAAUGAAGAGAUGGGCCAAAGGAAUUAAAAGAAAUGGGUUGGACUAAUGGAGGGAGGGGAGGGGGCUUAGAAGGCUGUAAACUUUGCUAAGGGGCCGGCCCACACGACUUCAUUUAGCUUUUUUUAAUAUCUUUUUUAUUUUUUUGUUAUUAUUAUUUAUUAUAAAUUUUCAGAUUUUUGUAAUAUAAAUGGAUACCUAAAACGUUGAUAAAAAUUUGAAUAUCAAUAGCAACGACCAGAGCAGAUAAUAUCAUGUUUACCCUCCAAUGAGGCUACCUAUAGUGGUGUAUUAGGCCAAGGUGGCGAUGUUAGGUUUCUGAUAUUUAAUUGUUCCCACUUACCUCCAUAUGGGCUAUUGUGCUUGUAGGUAAAUCUUGCAUGACUUUAAGAGUGGGAAUGUUGGCUUUUAUGUAUGUCUCUAAUCCCAUAUUGCCUAAAUACGACCUGUAGCACUUAAAGUAAGCGUGGGUGAGUUGUGACCAAAGCAAAAAAUAUCAUGCCCAAGCCUGGAUAGGGGUGUUUGGGACACUAAGGCGAAACUUCAAGAGUAAGACAGUGAUCAAGUUGAGCUCAAUGCAAUGAGACCACUCAUUGAAGAAGAGUCAUUAAAGAGUUUACACAUCUAGUAUGCUAGUUUCAAGAAGGGGUUUUAACCCUUCCAACCGCCAAACUAGGUAAAUUACUUAAUCAUCUCAUCUAUCAUCGACAACUUGUCAAAAUUCUAUAGAUACAAAAAGAUGAUUUGAUAUGUAGACACCCUUAUACUCACCUAGCAAGAUGUGAUAGUUAUUUCCGUGUAAUUAAUUAUCUUAUUUCUUCCCUUUAUUUUUUCCUCUUAAGCCUACAGAGCCAAAAAAAAAACCUAUACCAAAAGUGGUUAAUCUCUUAGAACUAAUUCAUCAUUAAUGACAUCUCAAAAUUCAAUAAGGAAAAAAAAAGAUAUUUAAAAUUUAGACACUCCAAUACUCACCCGGCUAAAUAUAAUAUUUUUAUUUGCUAUAUAUUUUGUAUUCACCGAUAAUAUGUGAAACUUGAAGACUGAAAUUGAGAAACAUAAGAAGAAUGAAUCCUCACAACCAUACUUCAAGAUAUGACCCACCAAUCCACGAACGGCAUACUCGCCGGCUUGGCCUUCAAGUCCCGGACCGGAUCUCCUGUUACUACAGUUCGAUCGCUGGCUUUGUCUUCAAGAGACUCGCAUGUUUCUAGCUUUAACAUUUUCCUCAAUGCACAUCUUUUAAGCGAUUUCAUCACGUCCUACAUCGUGCUAGACAAUUGGUGAUUUUGAAUCUCCAAAUAUAUUUAUUGAAGAGACAUCCUCUCUGUCGUCUAUUGUGCAUGCAACGGUGGCGUCUUUUGGUCUAUCUUAAUUGUGUGCUUUGUUUGGGUAAUUCACUUUCGAUUUUUUGUUCUGUAUAACUAAUGCAUUUACCCAUACUUCGUAUAGGUUGUCUAUCAAACUUUACUGAGAAAUUUGUGUCCACUAAAAUUUCGACGAAGAUAAAAUAGUAAGAAUGAUCAUCGUGAAGUUUGGUAAACAAGACAAUGAAUGAAGAAGAAAAUAGAAAUGUCCAGGGAAAAACAAUUUAAAUCACGAUUGAAAGUACCACGACCUAAUUAUCUUACAUAUAUUAUAAAUAUGUCUCAAUCACCAAAGGCAUUUUGCGUAGUAAGAUCAUAUUUAUUAAUAUUGACAACUCCACAAAUCCUCCCCAUUACAUGACAUUGGAAAAGAUCACUGAUGAGCUCAAUCUUUCUGUGUAAAAUUAUAAAUUCCAUCCUCUUUGCGAGAGCAAGAGAAGCACCGGCGCCAAUAGCCAAGGUUAAAAGACCACUUUCGUUAAGGUUUGUGUUUCGCUGACUCAUCAGAGGAUAGAGAAAUAAGUGGAGAACCAUUUUUUCUAUAUGUGCCGGUUAACUCGGGUUCAUCAUAUCCUACAUUUAUGCCUUAUAAUAACACAUUCGGAUAAUUCAAUUACAUUCAAUGAAAAACUUUAAAAAAGAAUCAUGGAUGCAAUUUCAUAGAAUACCUUUCGAUUGUGUUAAUGACAUAAUGCUAUAUACAAAGAAGGGAAAUUUAACAAAGGAAAGAGGAAAGUGUCUAUCUCUAUCCUUUGAUAAUAAUUUAAUUUUAAAGAAAAUUUGACUUGGUAAUGUACUUACAUUAAAUACUUGAAAAAAGUUAAUUUUAGAAAUAAUUAUACAUACUGUCGUGGCAUGGACUUUGUGACCAAACUAUAGCUGCAUUGCUCUAAUAUAAUAGAAAUCUCCAAGACCUGACAACAAGAGACCCACUAAAUUACAGCACUAAUAAGUCACUUGAUCCAAAAACACUCUUGCCGACAUAUAUUCCACAGUAGACCUCAAGCAGGCCCAUGUUUUUCCCCGAAUUCAAAUUUAAAUUGGUUUUUACUAAACAUACGUAGUCAAUGUGAAAACGACAUAAAAUAGAUGGACCCAACAUUAAUUCAAAACUAGCACACCGCACACAGAAAGUGAACAAUCAAGCCCAAGAGGUUCUCAAUCAAAACGUUUACAUGACAAGCUCUGUGUAAUGCAAUAAAUCUAACUAAACCUAACCAAAAUCACUUGUUGUCAGUCUUAUCCAUUGCAAUAACAGAGCGAUACAUAAUUCAUUCACCGGAUUGAAAAUGGAGAGAUCAAAGUCAUACUCUCAUCCAAGAGUACACAUUCUGCUACCAUGAUUCGACUUGAAAAGAUCCCUUUAAGAGUAUUUGGCAGGAGCACCGGCUUGACCGAUUCUCUUUUGGUGAACAUCCCAAUUAUCCACACGAGCCAUCGUAACCUGCCAAAUAAAGAUUGAACUCUCAAGGGCUGUUUCACCCCAAAAAAGAAAAGAAAAUUUCCAGGGGCCACCAACAUAAUUGCCAUGAUAUAAACGAAAGAGUUUGGUCCUCCAACAAGUUUCGAAUUUUUUCAAUUUCACUGAAGUGCAAUAUGACCACACUCCAGGUUGUCACAAAUCAGCAUGUCUUUGCAAUUUAUAGCCUCAAGGCUCACACCAGUUACAAAAAUCACGGCAGCAGUAAUUCAACAACAACAAACCUACCCAAAACUGACAUAAUAAACGGCUUGAAACUAAAAUGGACCUCCAAGUUCCAAAAUAUUCUGACUUACCUGCGUGAUUGUUACUUGGUCCAGUAAGAACUGUAGAUUAGCAACAAGAACUUCUAAACUUGCUUUAGCGUUUUCUAGGUUCUUUUGUAGAAGAGUUGUGGCCUGCAACACGAAUGGAUACAAUAAAUAAGAUACUCGACAUCAUUAUUGGAGAUAAAGGGACAUUGCUUCAACUCGAGUACCUCUUUCGCAUGAAUACUCCAACAUAACAUUUGCUCCCGCCAUAAACAUACUGAAUCAGCAUGUUCAAUGCGAGCUCGAGAACAUAUGCCUUCAGAGACUUCAAAAUCAGCAAGCUGUGCCUGCAUCCACGAUAAAGAGCCGUAAAUACCAGUCAGUCUGGCACCAAUUAUUAUAUUUUGCGUCUUAGAAGUUUUGAUGGUCUUAGAUUUUAAAGCCCAAUACAGUAAUCCCACCAUAUUUUGCUUUCUAAUAGGACCUUUAGACAUGAAAGCAUAAUAUUACCGUCGUUAUUCAGGUGUCCAAAUCUAAAACCACCGCACAAUUAUUGAGAUUAACAUGGGUUCUUCAAAGCACUAAUUGAGAUUCUUAGGAACAUUGCUUCCAGAAGUGCAUUUGUGAAGGAAAAAAGACAAUCAAAUAUUCCAUAUUUAGUCAAGUGCACCAAAAGUAGUUCCUAGUAUGGCAAGAAUAAGACUACCCUAUCCUCUUCCUGCUUUGUUAAAAUAAAAAAGGAUGAUCAGCUAAGAUAUCAUCGAGGAGCAAGAAGAUUUUUGAACAUGCAAAUUUUCUAGCAUAAGAUAUGAGAAUAUUUUAGUUCACAUUACAUAUGUCAAGGAUUCCGGAUUAAAAGGUGAAACUGUCAAGUGAAAAAUUGGUGGUUUAAUGACAGCAUGAAGAACUUCAGGCGAUAAAAUGAUAAAGGACUCUGUAUUGGAUAAAUAUGAUCUGUUUAUGAGUAACAAGUUUACUUUGUAAAAAGCCUCAACAGUCAACAGCAUGAGUUCGAUAGAUAUCCAAUAAGUAUACUCAGUUACAAUACAUGCACCGAGAAGCAUUCAGCUUGAAUUUCAAUCUUAAAUUCCAGUUCUAAGGCUACGGUUCAAUCUUUCAGUAACAUGGACACAUGCUCGUUGCACUCAUAUAAUGGCAUGCUCGAUAAGAGGUCACUUUGCUAUAGCACAUCUAAACAUUCCUCUUGGGUCAAAAAAAAUUUGGGAUCCAACAAUUGAGCUACCCAAGUACAAACUUGCAGGUUGGAAAGGUGAAUCAAAAAAUGGGAGCUUUCCAAUCAGCCAGUUUACUUCAGUCAUUAUGCAGGUUCCUAGUUCAAUUUCAAAAUAAUCUAGAGCCUAAAAAAGAGGAUAUCUUUGUGGUCGAAUGGAGUGCUGAGGUUAAGUAAUUGUUGCAUCAAGGUGCCCCAAUUUGAAAUGAUCGAUCGAUUCAAAUCCUGGAUUUUCGCAUUGAGAGAGAUAGCACACCUUAUUUAUGCAACAUUGCCAAGGGGGGUUUAAAGGUUGUAGCCUAUUUGAGGGAGAAAACCUCAGUGUAGAGACAAAUGGAGGUAGGAGAGAUGAAGGGAGGACAUAGUACUACUUGCACACUCUUGUGUUUUGGCAGAGAGGCUGAGAUGCCUGGCUACCUUGUAGUUGGUUUUAUGAAGGACUAGUGCAGGAUAAUUCUAGCAGAUUCUUGUUCACUAUAGAGAUAUGCAAAUGACAGCACACGAGCAGGAAGCUUUGUUGAUGGCAGAAAGUAUUGGGAUGUACAAUUCACCACUUGCACAGAGACUAGUGAACAGACGAGAACAAGAUUGUCAAACUACAGUUCUUGCAUGCUAGUUAGUUGGUAUGAAAGAGACGGGGAAGGACUCUAUCUAAAGAAGGCAAGGGAUAUUAGCCGCUUACAAGAUGAAAACCACAUGGAACCAUAUGGCACCGCUAGCGAUUGCCUUGGGAGUGAUUUAAAAUAGCCAAUAUACAAAAAGAAAAAAGAAGGAUGCAGACAAAUCAAUACUAGAUAUAGCAAAGUCAAUGAGAAUCCUCAGGUCACCCACUUAUUAUGUUGCCGUUGGUCUAAAUCUCCUCAGGACAUGGAUCUGUCAAAGAGCCGCAAAUAAGAUGGUGACCAUGGAAUUGAACAAUACCCAAUCCAAAUCUUGACUAGUUUACACAGUCAGAAGAAAGAGUUGUGCGAGACAACAAACCUUAUCGGAACUCUUCUUGGCCUGCAGAGUAGCGACUAUGUCUAACCACUUCUCAAAAUCAGUUAUUUUUGCCUGGCAUUUGAUAUAGACAUGGAGUUAAUAACAAAUUUAGAUGUGAGAUUGCACAAUGGAAUUCAAUCAACAUCGCUGUAGUUGAAAAGAAGCCUCUUACAGCUUGCUCAGACGUUCCAAUGUACUUAUCUAACAGUUCAGCCCUUUCACUGAUAUGGAUUGAAGAGAACAAGCUGCUAUUGCUGCACUAACAAUGCAUGUCUUGCCAAAGGCCGUACGUCCAUGUAAAAGAACAUUUGACCAUGGCCUUUGAGGAGCUUGCACAAAAACACUUCAUCAGUAAAGGUAAGAAAGAUAUGAAGAUCAAAUAAUUUUAUUUAACAAGUUAAUAUUAACCACAUUAUUAGCACAGAGAGAGAGAGAGAGAGAGAUAGAGACAGAGACAGAGACAGAGACAGAGAGAGACAGAGAGAGCUUAGACACAAUCGAUGCAGUUAUACAAGCUUCCUUGAAUAAAAUCCAUGCAUAAUUUAGCUCACUCACAAGAAUGCAUCAGGGAAACAAUGUUAGGUAGUUAAACCCCAAAAUCUCAAGCAAUCCCAUCAUCUCAUUGAAAUUCUGCAGAGUCUAACCACAAGCUCCCUUCACUACAUUGUCAAUCAGCAAAAAGAGGAUUAGACAACUCACCACCAUAUAAUGACUUUGAUGUUACACGAAAAGUAAGGCACCCAAUGGGAAACAGACACUUAGGAACCUAUGACAGAGAUUAGUAUUGCUUGUCUAGAUCUCAAUCGGGGAAGACACUCAUAAAACAAUAAUAGGAUCCUCGCACGUGUUGAGUACAAGGAGCUACUCCUUUUUCCAACAAAAUAAUGAAUUCCUCAUCCACCAAUAAAAAGUGAAUUAAGCGAUCAAACAAUGUGAAGUAUGGGGAAGCACACUCAAGAAUAUGAAAGGAAGUCGCAAAUCUUUCAAGUUUUAGUCCCCCAACAUGUCCACUACUUGAUUGAUUUACCAAGGUCUAUGAAACAAAUUAUGAACUUUGAUUAAGCUAAAUAUGAGUAUUGAAAAAUAAGUACUUCAGCAAACAAAAGCUCAGGUCAAUGCAAAGUACAUUAAGCCAUUGAAUGCUUAAGCAAAAUAAGACUAUUAACCACACAAACUUUGGCCCGCAAACAACUUUAAGUUGCUCAUGUAGAUCCCCACUAUUACAUCUGAAGACAUUUCAAUAGGAAUAGUUGACUGCAUUCCAAGACUCUGCAUAAAUAGGAUAAAAAAAAAAACUAAUAAUUAUGGCUAGAGAAGCAAAACUUCUACUUUAAGAAUGGGAGUAUUUGAAAAUUGCAACUAUAACCAUCGGCAUCAGAUGUAGAGUAAAGCUAACAGUGAUCUUUGAUUGUGCAAAAUCAAAUAAUCCCAAUUCAAUCUCUAGAACUGCAAGAAACAAAAUUCAUGUAAAAGGGAGCAACUGAGGUGAUUGCAUUUGCCUUAUUUAAUUCGUGAAUGAGUUAAGAGUCAUCAAAUUCCCAGACCCAGCUCAAAACAGCAAAGGAUUCAAAAAAAAAAAAAAAAGACAUGUCAUUUGCACAACAAAUGAUAGUUCAAGAACGUAAAUGCCUUAUCAGGUGAAUUGCAACAUCUUCCCCAACUAUGUUUGGUAAUUUAAGAUGGGAGAGAAUGAACAAAUAGCAAACAAACAGACAAACGAAAUGAAGUUCAGAAGUAACUAGAAAAGCACCUUCAAUUCUUCAUGAAGGAAGUAACUAAGUCACUCAUAUAGCAUAAAAUGUAUCGGCAAUUCACUCUUUCGCUGACCAAGCGUUAAUUCCUUUAAUUCAUUCCUCACAAAUCAUGAUUGUUCUAUAGUGAAAUUGAAAAAACACUAUAUAAGGUAUGACCAGUACUCUCAACCACCUUUGCCUUUCAACAAAACAUAGCAUUUGCUAGCAUCUUCAGUGUGAUUGCUAUUUAGCCAAGUUAUGUGCGGCGAAGCAUGUCAACCCCAACAUUAUGCUGAUGCGUAACAUAAACCAACUAAGUAUCACCACUGUGGAGGCAAGUGAAAGUACUGCAUGUUCAUGACAUGCAAACAAGGAAUUUUGCUCAGAGAUAACAGGAUGAACAUAUACAAGCAGUGGUUCCAAAACUAAGAUGAAAGAUUAGCUAAAAGAAAACUCACAAACAGGAUGCAGCAAAAAAUGAACUCUAGUUCUAUGGACUUACCAUCAUCGAUUAUCUUUGCCAAUCAAAUGAUACAUACCUUAUCCAUCUCUAAUGAGCUUUGGGCAGUCAAUGAGGAUGAGCUGACAAGAUUUUGGCACACUCAAAACUGAAAUGAUCGACAUCCAUUGAUGUUGUUCAAGAGGCUCAAGACCAGUUUACUACACUUCUUGUAAGCUACUUUAGCAACUGAAAAGUAAUUCAAGUAAUCCUGCCAUUAAUUACCUUUUUUGAUACAUAUGUAGUUUAUCCAAUACUGUGUAUCCAAAGUUAAACAUAAACAACUCUAAAUCAAGGAAAAGUCAUGUCUAGCAUUUAAUAGUCCGCCUUGAAGGUUAUUACGUAGUCUCCAUAUUAAAUGCUUCAUAUAAGUGCAAUUUCCAAUAGCAAUUUACAGUUAGUGUGCUAUGGAAAGAGAGUACUUUUUGUUACCAUGUAAGACGAAAUUAUUACCUUGUCCCAGCCAACACAAACACAUCGCUUAAAACUUCAACACCAUCUGAUUCAGUAAAAAACUGCAUCAAUGAAUAACAUGUCAUUUUUGAGUCAUACCAUCUGAUAUUACUAGUAUGAGUACCUAGAGGGGGGUGAAUAGGUAUAUAAAAGAUUUUUCUUCAACAAUUGCACAACACUAGACAGUAGAAGGAAAUGUCAAUCAAAGUAAGACUGAGAGAAGAGAAAAUUGAACACGCGGUUUAUAGUGGUUCGGCUUAUAUCAAGCCUACGUCCACUCUUCUUCACUGACGGCCUAUUGGCUGGAUUCCACUAUGAACAAAAGAGAAGUUACAGCACAGCUUUGCCUUGAUUCCACAGUGUAGAUAUUCUACCACACCUCCUCAAGAUUUCUCACAAAUAUAGACUCUCUUUUGUAUACAAGUAUUCGCUCAAAGGAUUUGUCUAAACAAAAAGGAGCUUCAGACUUUGGAAUUCUUCUAUCGCGCACCCCUUGAACAACUAAGACCGUCUUCCUUAUAUACUCCUUUAUGCCAUCAUACCCGUUGGCACUUACCAAAGGAAUUCCUCCAAUCUACCCGUUGGACAGAAUCAAUUAGGAAGAUUGUUCAAGCUAUUAAAGGAACGUGUUGAUAGCCCAUCAAUCCUGUUCGCCCAUACAAUCAGGAUCUCGGUUUCCAUAAGCAGAACCUUCCAAUAAUAUUUAGGUAAUCACCGGAUCUUCAAUUAUCGAGUCAAUCUUCGAUCAAUCAAAGGACUCUGUUAUGUCUUCUCCAGCCACGAGAUCUUCUCCAGUUGAUAAAGUUAAAUCUUUAACAAAACAUCCAGUUCUGGAUAACCUUUUUUCAACAGAUUAGAGACUAUCAAUGAGGAUAGACUUUGAGUCUUGAGUCUGGUUGUCCGGAGGUCUUCAGACUUUAAACAGUAGAGUCUGCAAGCCUUCAGACUAGACUGAUAGAAACGUUUUGUCAACUUCAAAAUACUUCAAGAAGAUUUCUCCAACAAUCUCCCCAUUUUUGAUGGUGACAAAACUUUCCUGUAGAUUUGGAUAUCUUUGACCUGCAAAACAUUUCUCAAACACAUAUGCAUAUCUCAUAGAGAUAAAUGGCUAACAUAAUAACACUAGAAUCUGCAACCACAGAAAAUAGGUUAGUCCAGUAUAUGAUGAAGCCAUCCAUAAGAUACCAAUAUUAGUUAAUAGAAGCAGUCAAGUCCAAGUCUAGUUCAGUUCUCAUCCAGACACAAAACAAAGUCAAACAGAGUUCAAACCACAAAACAAUUAAAAGUUUAAUGAAUGAAAAGUUUUUGAUCAAAUCUUGCAUCUCUCCCCCUUUUUGUCAUCAUUAAAAAUGAUGAGAUGAAGUCAAGAUUGCUUGGGAACGCGGACAAGCUGGAAAUCUUCCAUAGACUGAACGAUGCCUUCCAGCCUUUUAAAGUCUUCCUUUAGAUGUGCAAUCUCCUCAGUCUUGGCAUUGGCCUGAUUCUGAACAGAGAGGGCUUGCAUUUUAUCAUUCAAUGAACAGGAAGAAGCUUGACCUUCAUUCUUCAAGCUUUGAACUUCGCAUCCCAAGGCAUAAAUUUGACCUCGCAUCUCCAAGAGAAUAUCCAUGAUUCUGCGAAAAUCUGCUCCAUUAUCAGUCUGAGUACUUGCUUCGGCUCGAUCUGAUGGAGUAAAUGCAGACGAUGGUAGAUCAGCAUAAUCUCGCAGGUUUGGCGAUGAAACUUCAUGACCUUCCUCUGGAAACUGAGAUGCAUAAACAUCCUCUGGGUCUGCUGGUGAGCGACUGACUCCUUCACUUACAUUAGGAUAUGAAGACUUCACUCCUUUCUCCUGAUCUCCCCCUGUUUCCAUGCCUACAGGUGGAGAAGAGUGUUCUUCAGGUUCUCCUUCUUCUCUUCUUUCUUCUUCAGGUCUUUCCUCCUCUGUUUCUUUUUCAGCUUCUAUUUCUUCUUCUUCCUUCUCCUCUGCUUCUUUCGUCAUUUGUUCCGAUUCUUUCUGUGGAACAGGACGACUUAAAUUCUUCAAAGCCACUGCAGAGAUGGUGAUGUCUUCCUCAUCAUCUUCAUCCUCAACGAGGAGAGCUCUUCUUCUCUUGGAUGGAGCAACCAUGGGCUCCUUCCCUUUUCUUUUAGCUGCAGAAGAGAUUUGAUGAGAUUUUGCAGGAGUCUUCUCCUUGAAUUUCUCCAACUCCUUGCUCAGUUCCUUCAGACGCAUUUUGGUCACCAUUUUCAGUCCUACCACCAUAUGAUCACAUGGUCGAACACAAAAGAUUUGUGGAGGCUGAAUAUUCAGAUGUCUGAAUAACUUCGUAACAAGGCUUGGGUAAGGGAGUUGACCUCUGUCCUUCAUCAUUGCUCUAUACAUGUGAAACAUCACAAAGUGAGGGAGAGAAAACCUUUUUCCAAAGAGAAUGGCAUACAUCAGCUUGGCCUCUGAACUUGAAACAUCAGUCUUGGAAGUUGAUUUCGGUCGGAGGCAAUUAAUCACAAUCUUGUGAAGCAAGAUGUUGAAUGCACCCAUCCUUAAGUAGGUGAUCUUUUAAUCUGUUCUCCUGUCCUUCACCAGUUCAAGUGUGGCCCGAGCAAUGGAAACUUUGAUUGGUUGAUAUCUUCCUCUUUCGACUUCUAACACAUCUGCCAGCAUAUUCAUAUCCACAACAUAGUCUUGGUCUUUAACGCUGAACGAGAAUCUAUUCACAUCCAAAAAGCUUAGAUUUAAAUAGAAAUAUGUAGUUAAUUCAGCAUAGGCCUCUGUAGAGUCAGAGCAGAACUUUUCAAGUUGAAGAUAACUGAACUUUUCCCUCAAGUUCACAUUCACAGCAUCCAGAAAAUCAAAAUCCACACUCUUAGGGUUUAUCACCCCACGCUUCAGCAAUUUCGAGUACAGAUCCUUUUGCUCCUUUGAUCUGAACAAAUCUCCCCUUUUUCCUUGAUUUUCAACCGCAACACCCAUUUUUGGUUGAAAUUGACUGUAUAAUUUAUCAUCAUCAUUCCCAUCUACAGGAUUCGGCCCCCAGUCACGAGGAUCACUUGGGAUAUUUGCAAGGGUUUCCUCAGCCACCCAUUUUCGAGCAAUUCCCAAACUUUCCAUUUUUCGCAAAAAGAUAUAUUCUUUCCCAUGUCCUUUGUCUUUAAGAAAAUCAUCAAUGUAGUUCAAAGGAGUACGAAUUCCUUUUAAGGCACGAUAUAACUAGUAAAUAUAAGCGGGCUUUUGAACUCUUACAAGGUCUGCAUCCUUGAUGAUUUCUUCCUGUUGUUGAUGAUCAACGCCAUGAGGACUAGAUGGAGGAGAAUGACGCUGUUGAGAAUGUUGCGGGCUCGCUUGCUGUUCUGGAGUCACUUCUUCUUCAGUAAGAUCGAAGUGCGUAGGCCCCUCACUCAUUCGCCGUGGUCCCUUGCUUGCAAUUCUCAAAGACUUUCUUGAAGAUGACAUCUUUCUCAGUUUUUGGAAGAUUCCUUGCUUGACUUUCCCAGGAAAGAUGACAACUUUUUGAGGAUUAAAUGAAGAAGACAAACGGGAAUGGAGGAUCGAUGCUUUCUAGGGGUUUUGAGAGAAAAGUGAAGAGGAAUCGUUAGUGCACGAUUGGUUAAAAAGAGGGAUAAACGAACCGUCACAAAGGAAAUAAAAAAAUGCCUUUUCAAAAUAAUUGUCUUUUUCCGCAAAAAUAGCCAUUUCAAAAAUAACUUCCUUUUUGAAAAUAAAACGAUGCAAUAUUUACGUCAAUUAAAUAUAGCAACAAUUUAAACACAGUUUGACGAUCGUACCUUUUCAAGAUGAGAUUCAAGAGAGAAAGACUUACAGUCUGACGGUCGUACCAAGACUAUCUUUCAUAUAAAGUCUUGUAAGACUGAGUCUGAAACUGAAAGUCUUUAGACUUUGAUAUCCUCAUACCUCAAAAUGUUGAGUCUGGAACGUAUAGACUCAAAUUGAUUUUUCUCCAAAGGCUUUGUGAAUAUAUCCCCCAGUUGAUUCUUUGAGUCAACAAAUUGAAUUGAAACAUCUCCAUUUUGAACAUGGUCUCUAAUAAAGUGAUGUCGAAUCUCUAUAUGCUUUGCUCUUGAGUGGAGAAUUGGAUUUUUGGUGAGGUUGAUAGCGCUGGUAUUGUCGCAAUUAAUCUCCGUGCAUGAGUCUUCAAUUUCAAAAUCUCUUAGCUGUUGUUUUAUCCAUAGAAUUUGCGAACAGCAGCUUCCCAAGGCUACAUACUUUGCUUCUGUUGUUGAAUGGGACACGGUGCUUUGUUUCCUUGAAAACCAAGACACUGUCCUGCUUCCAAGCAACUGGCAAGUUCCCGAAGUGCUCUUUCUAUGAACUCUGCAACCGGCCAGAUCUGCGUCUGAAUAUCCCAGAAGAUUAAAGUCUCCCUUCUUAGGAUACCAAAGACCGAUGCUUGUGAUGAAGCAACGUAUUUAAUGAUGCGCUUCGCAACACUGAGAUGGGAUUCUCUAGGAUUUGAUUGAAACCUAGCACAGAUGCAAACACUCAACAAAAUGUCAGGUCUAGAAGCAGUAAGAUAAAGGAGUGAACCAAUGAUGCUCUUGUACAGCUUUUGAUCAACUUUCUUCCCUUCUUCAUCUUUCUCUAUCUUCAAAGAACUUGACAUCAGUAUGUCGGUCUUUUUGCACUUUUCCAGUCCAAAUCUUUUGACAAGAUCAUUAACAUAUUUUUCUUGAUAAAUAAAAGUUCCUUCCUUCAAUUGUUUUACUUGAAGACCAAGAAAGAAUGUUAACUCUCCCAUCAUACUCAUUUCAAACUCAUCCUGCAUAGACUUAGAAAAUUUCUUGCACAGAUUUUCAUUAGAGGAUCCGAAAAUAAUGUCAUCCACAUAUAUUUGAACAAGUAAGAAACUUUUGUUUUCCUUUUUGAUAAAUAAAGUUGUAUCUACUUUACCUUUGACAAAACCAUUUUGUAUUAAAAACUUACUCAAUCUGUCGUACCAAGCUCGAGGUGCUUGCUUUAAACCAUACAAAGCCUUUUUCAGUCUGAAGACUGAGUCUGGCUUCUUUGGGUCUUCAAACCCUGGUGGUUGUUCCACAUAAACUUCCUCAUGGAUAAAUUCAUUUAGGAAGGCACUUUUGACGUCCAUUUGGAAUAACCUGAAAUUCUUAUAACAAGCAAACGCAAGUAAUAGUCGAAUAGCUUCUAACCUUGCUACUGGAGCGUAAGUCUCAUCAUAGUUUAUUCAUUCUUCUUGCGUAUAUCCCUUGGCUACGAGUCUUGCUUUGUUUCGUACGACUUUUCCUUUCUCAUUCAUCUUGUUUCUGAACACCCAUUUAGCUCCAAUAACAGUUUUACCUUUUGGUUUGGAUGUCAAUACCCAGACAUCAUUAAUGUUGAACUGUCUGAGCUCUUCUUGCAUAGCUUCAAUCCAGCUUUUAUCAGAUAAAGCUUCUUUUAUGCUCUUUGGUUCAAUUUCAGAAAGAGAGCCACAACACUAGACUCUUCUCGCCUUUUGGAUCUGGUGCGAAUUCCUUCAUUAAUUUUGCCGAUUAUAAGAUCUUUGGGAUGACUGAACUUAUGCUUCCAGUUACUUGUUGAUUUGUCUGGUUGAUGAUUUCUCUUUUUGUUUGGAUCUUCACGAACAUCCUGAUGCUGGUUUUCCAGAGUCUAAGAUGCUUCUUGAGUUGUAAGUUUUGGAAGGUCUGGAGUAGGUUCAGACUCUUCUUGAUGAGUCUGACUUGAUUCAUCUUGCGUUGAGUCUUGAAAUUUGAUAUUCAUUGACUCCUCUACAGACUGGCUCUUCUUGUUAUAGACUCUGAAGGCUUUGCUUGAUGUAGAGUAUCCAAGGAAGAUACCUUCAUCUGAUCUUUCUUCAAACUUACCAAUUCGAUCUUUUGCAUUUUUCAAUAUAAAACAUUUGCAACCGAAUACAUGAAAGUAUGAAACAAUAGGCUUCUUAUCUUUGAAUAACUCAUAAGAGUUUUUCUCUAGAAUAGGUCUUAAGAAGACUCUAUUGAUUAUAAAGCAUGCUGUUGAAACAGCUUCAACCCAAAAUCGUGAAGAAAUCUUGCUUUCAAUUAAAAGAGUUCUAGCCAUUUCUUGAAGAGAUCUGUUCUUUCUUUCCACAACUCCAUUUUGCUGAGGAGUAUAUGGAGAGGAGAACACAUGAUUAAAUCCAGAUUCAUCACAAAAUUUUAUAAAAUCUUGAUUUUCAAAUUCACCUCCAUGAUCUGUUCUUAUACUUGAGAUGACACAUCCUUUUUCAUUUUGAACCUUUUUAGCAAAUUUUUCAAAAUACGAGAAGGUUUCGGACUUACUUGCAAGGAAAUAUACCCAAGUAAAACGGGAGUAAUCGUCCACAAUUACUAGGCAAUAUUUCUUACCUCCAAUACUCUGUGUUCUGGUUGGUCCGAAGAGAUCCAUAUGCAGCAACUGUAGUACAUGAUUAGUAGAGACAUGAUUUAUUGGCUUAAAUGAAUUUCUUACCUGCUUUCCCAGAAUACAUGGAGUGCAUGGAUCAGUCUUUUGAUAAGGUAAUUUGGGUAGUCCUCGAACAAGCUGUUUUGAUGAGAUUUUGGCUAAUUGCUUCAUGUUGACAUGACCAAGCUUUCUGUGCCAUAAGCUUGCUUCGUCUUGAAUUGAGAUAAAACAUCGCGAUUCAUUUGGUUUCACAUCCAGAAGAUAGAUGUUUCCAUGUCUUCGACCCAUGAAAGACUGAGUAGAGUCUUUACUGAUUCCAGAACAUAUUCCUUCUUGAAAGAAGAUCUUGAAACCAAUAUUACACAGUUGACUAAUGCUGAGAAGAUUGUAAUUGAGUCCUUCCACUAAGGAAACAUUACUUAUUGUGAGAUUUCCAAUUUUCACAGUUCCAAAUCCCACAAUACUUCCUUUGAUGUUUCCUCCAAAUGAAACUUUUCCACCAUUUACUUGAGCAAGCUUUAUAAAACAAUUUGAGUCUCCUGUCAUGUGUCUUGAGCAUCCACUGUCAAGAUACCACUUUGCCUUUCUCUUGACGGUGACCUGCAUUUAAAAUAGAGUCUCAAGCUUUCUUUGGUACCCAAACUUUCUUGGGUCCUUUGGUGUUAGUAACAUAAGCAGUAUUAGCCCAUAUUUUCUUAACAAGUUUCCAAACCAUAGGACACUCUUUUUCAAAGUGAUCCGGACUGUUGCAUUUUGAACAUCUGAGAGCAUUUCUACCUACAGAUUUUACAAAAACUUUCUUGAAGUGAUUUUUGUAAUCCUCUCUCGAGAGUCUUUUCUUAAUUCUUUCUUUUACUUUAGGAAAAUCAAUCAAGGGAAUUGUUUUUGCUGUCAUACCUAGACCGGACUUAUUGAAGUAAGGUCUUUGAGCUGAAAGAAUUUUCUCAAGUUUUUCAGACCCUAUUGAAAAUUUCUUUGAAAUAUUUGAUAAGUCUGGUUUUAAAAGAGCAUUUUCUUUUAAAAGAUUAUCUUCAUUUUCUUUAAGAGUGGAAACAGUCAAGUCUAGACUUUUAACUCUUUCUACUAAAACAUUUUCCUUUUGUUUUAGAGCUGAGUUUUCCUUUUUCAGUUCGGAAAUUCUUUUGAGAGAAGUCUUAAGACUAAAACACAGUUCAUCAAUGUAUUUAGAAACUUUGACAGGAAUUUUAAAAUUACUUGCCUCAAAUUCACUGUCUGAGUCUGAUCCAGAGUCUGAGUCUGAUUGUGCCAUCAGACAUAGAUUGGCAUAUUCAUUAUCACUUUCUUCACACUCUGUAUCACUCCAGGUUUCGGCUUUGAGAGCUUUUCGAAAUUUUUCAGCUUUUCCUUUCUUCUUCUUCAGAAGAGGACAGUUGGGUCUGAUAUGUCCAUUUUUCUUACAUUCAAAGCAGACUACGUCUUUGUUUGGUUCCUCAUCAUCAACAGACUUGGUCUGCUGUCUUUGAAAGCUUUGUUUCUUUGAGUUGAACCUUCUUCCUUUUCUAUUCAGUUUUCUGAAUCUUCUUAUCAUGAGAGCAAGCUCCUCAUCGUCCAUAUCUUCUUCAGAAUCUGUAUCAUCAGAAUCAUCAUUUGAUUUUAAUGUAAUGGAUUUCUUACCUUUUGGAUCUUCAUCUUCAUUGAUCCGUUCCACUUCAUAAGACUGAAGAGUUCCAAUUAGCUCGUCGACAGAUAGUGGCAUAAUUCUUUGCGUCUCUCUUAUCGAAGUCUUUAUGUGAUUCCAAUCCCUGGAGAGUCCACGCAGUAGCUUGUUUACCUUCAUGGGAUCAGAAGUUGGUUGACCUUGAUUUUCAAGACCAUUCACAAUAUUUGUAAAACGACUAAACAUGUCAGAUAUAGAUUCUCCUAGUUUCAUUCUGAAGGCUUCGUAUUGACCGAGAAGAAUGUUGAUUCUUGUUUCCUUCACUUGAUCUGUUGCUUCAUAGGUGAUAUGCAAUCUGUCCCAAACUUCUUUUGCUGUAACACAAGAAGAUGUUCUAUUAUAUUCAGUUGGUGACAAAGCACAAUAUAAGGAAUAAAUUGCUUUUGCAUCGAGUGCUUGUCUCUUGAUUAUUUCUUCCUGAGUCAUUCCGCUGGUCUCAUCAGUUUCUUUUCCUCUUUCAGAGACUGAUGCAGUGGUAGGAGUAAUUCCUUUUUCUACAACGUCUCAUUCCAGAGGAUCCUUUGAUUGAAGGAAAGCUUUCAUCUUGUUCUUCCAGAUGUUGUAAUCAUUUCCAUCAAAGUAGGGUGGUCUGGUAUUGCUUUGCCCUUCCAUCAGCCUUGGUGCUAGCAUACUAGCCAUGGAUCUUUUACUACGAAGUAAAACACUUCAAAUAAAGUAAGUACACAGGCUCUGAUACCAAUUGAUAUUACUAGUAUGAGUACCUAGAGGGGGGUGAAUAGGUAUAUAAAAGAUUUUUCUUCAACAAUUGCACAAUACUAGACAGUAGAAGGAAACGUCAAUCAAAGUAAGACUGAGAGAAGAGAAAAUUGAACAUGCGGUUUAUAGUGGUUCGGCUUAUAUCAAGCCUACGUCCACUCUUCUUCACUGACGGCCUAUUGGCUGGAUUCCACUAUGAACAAAAGAGAAGUUACAGCACAGCUUUGCCUUGAUUCCACAGUGUAGAUGUUCUACCACACCUCCUCAAGAUUUCUCACAAAUAUAGACUCUCUUUUGUAUACAAGUAUUCGCUCAAAGGAUUUGUCUAAAAAAAAAAGAGUUUCAGACUUUAGAAUUCUUCUAUCGCGCACCCCUUGAACAACUAAGACCGUCUUCCUUAUAUACUCCUUUAUGCCAUCAUACCCGUUAGCACUUACCAAAGGAAUUCCUCCAAUCUACUCGUUGGACAGAAUCAAUUAGGAAGAUUGUUCAAGCUAUUAAAGGAACGUGUUGAUAGCCCAUCAAUCCUGUUCGCCCAUACAAUCAGAAUCUCGGUUUCCAUAAGCAGAACCUUCCAAUAAUAUUUAGGUAAUCACCGGAUCUUCAAUUAUCGAGUCAAUCUUCGAUCAAUCAAAGGACUCCGUUAUGUCUUCUCCAGUCACGAGAUCUUCUCCAGUUGAUAAAGUUAAAUCUUUAACAAAACAUCCAGUUUUGAAUAACCUUUCUUCAACGGAUUAGAGACUGUCAAUGAGGAUAGACUUUGAGUCUUGAGUCUGGCUGUCCGGAGGUCUUCGGACUUUAAACAGCAGAGUCUGCAAGCCUUUAGACUAGACUAAUAGAAACGUUUUGUCAACUUCAAAAUACUUCAAGAAGAUUUCUCCAACACCAUUAACUAUAUUUCACAUGAUCACUUUAUAAGUGCCAUUGAAUGCAAGAAACUAACUGAUUGAUGACAUGGUUGGUGACCCCCGUACUAUCAUGCCCCCUCUUCAGCACAAUGGAAUCAAAUUCAUGAAAAAAGAGAAGGCAAGGUGUUACAGCCACUGCCUUCAAGAAUAUAUCCAAACCUGUAAUUUUAAAAUUGCCAUUACUCUCAAAUAUUCAAAAUUUCUCUAGUUUGCUCACAAAAUCAAUGCCGUCAAUGUGCAGAAUAGAUAAUCCACUAGACAUUUGAUCACAAAUUUCAAAUUUCUAGUGGAGAAAAACUUCAAAUAUCUUACAUCUUAAUCUUUCUCUUAAUCUUCAUAGAGGAUUCUCUCAUUCAUGCAUGAGAAAACUCAAGAACCAUUUUAACUUGGCCUCUUGAUUGGUUAUAGGAGAAUCUUCAUUGGUUAACUUGGCCUUUUCAUUAACUGCAGUGGUAGGAUCCUCAUUGCUGCUGCUAGUUAUCAUAUAUCGACUACUGGCAUAGAUGAAGGGACCUCUAUUAAAUGCAUACAAAAGCAAAAGAAGAAAGCACAAAAUUGUGAAAUGUAUGCAAAUAACAAAGUUCAAUAAAAGAUUACAUAAUGGAACUCAAUAAACAUCCAUGUAGUUCAAAAGAAGCCUCUUACAGCUAGCUAAAAAGUACCAAUGUACUUAGCCACAACUCUACCUUUUACCGAUAUGGAUUGAAGAGAACAAGUUGUUGUUGUAGCACCAAUAGUAUGUCUUGCCAAAGCCUAGACAUCCAUGUAAAAGAACAUUUCACCAUGGUCUUGGAGGAGCUUGUGCAAUUUUUAUCAAUAAAUGUAAAAAAGAUAAGACACAAAAAUCAAACAAGUUUAUUUAACAAGUUAACAAUAACCUUAGCAUAGAAAGAGGGAGAGAGAGAUGAGGAAAGGUGCAAUAAGUCAGCUGAAAGAAUAAACAAAACCUAGUCUUCAACAACACAAAGGUGCUCUUUCCUAACACCAGAAAUUGCAGAAUGCACAACUCGAUGCAGCUAAACCCAGUCUUCAACGAAAUGGUGGUUUGACCAUAUCGACAAGUUUACUCCAAUAUCAAUUGUCUCCCAGCACAAAUUUCACACAUAAAUGGCUAAUUACUAGAAUGAAGAAAGAUAGUUCACAAAUCACACCAUGACUCAAGACUUGAAGCUUCUCCACUUUAGUUCAGAAGUAACUAGAGAAACACCUCCAAUUCUUCAUGAAGGGAAAUAACUAAAUCACUCAUAUUGCAUAAUAGGUAUCAAUGAUUCACUCUUCCACUAACCAAGCGUUAAUUCCUUUAUUUCAGUCCUCACAAAUCAUGAUUGUUCUCUACUAGGAUUAGAAACACUCCAUAAGGUGAGAUUAGUACUCUCAAGUCUCAACCACCUCAGCCUUACAACAAAACCUAGCAUUUAUCAGCAUCUUUAGUGUGCUUACUAUCUAAAAGUUCCCUUCCACUUUAUCUAUUUUUUAUAAGCAAAAUAGGUGCCGCGAAGCAUGUCAAUCCCGACUUUAUGCUGGUGUGCAACAUAAACUAGCUAAGUAUCAACAUUGUCAAGUCGAGGUAAGUCAAAGUAUCACACGUUCUGUGACAUCCUGAAAUUCGAUCCUAUUUCGAUAAAAUGAAAUGUGCAUUUCGUCGACGUGCCUAUGGUCCUUUUUCUCUGAGCUGAUCACUCACGAGUUAACUAACUUAUUGGGUGAAGCCGUUAAGGGAUGUAUCCGCGGUAAAAUCCCUAAAAGCUACCUAAUUGGUUGGAUUGGACUAAAAUCGCGUCCGGUCGAUUUUAAUCAUGAAAUUUAAUUUGGUUUUGGGAAUCGAAUAUUCGGACGUGUCACAAUUCAUUUUUAGGACCGUCUCAUCGUCUAUCAAUUAAUUGCUGAGUCCGAAAUUUCAAGAAAGAAAUUAUCGGAGGAAGAUUUGAAGACCAAAAGAAAAUAGAAAGGGAAAGGGAAAGAGAAAAGGAAAAGUAGAAUAAUUGUAUUAUUUAUUUCUUUUUCUCUCUCUCCCUUUUUCUCUCUUUUUCUCUCUCUCUUCUCUCUCCCCUCCCCUCCCCUUCGUGCGAGCAUCCCCACCCACCGAAUGCCCCCUUGCCAAUUUUAAAUUGGCUUCUCUCUCUUUUGUUUCUACCUUUGACUAGUCAAAAAGAAAACCCUUCUUCUUAUCCCUUCUUUCUCUCUUCUUCUCUCUCCUCUCUCUUCUCCCCCAUUUUUCCCCACGUGACCGAACGAAACCUUUCUUCUUCUCCCCUGGUUCGUGAAAAACCAGAAGCUGAAGACAGAAGCGGAAGAAGAAGGCAUCAGCUCACCGCUCGCCGCCCGUCCCACCGCCGCACCGCCGCCCCGCGCACGCCGCGCGCUCCGCCGCCUCCCACCCGCGCUCGCCGUCCUCGCCGUGCGCCGUCCAGCCCUGUUCAGCCUCUGCUCAGCCCUUGUUUUGCCCCGUCCGGCCACCUCCGGCCGCCGUUCGACCUCGCCGGACCUCCACCGGCCUUUCCCCGUGCCUUGCCACCCUUGUGGAAGUGGUUUGUGGCUGUUUUGUGCCUGUUUUCAGCCAUCGUAGCCACCCCACGGAGUGGGUUUCCAGCGGCUUUAGGCCCGUUUUUGGCCGUUUCCCGGCCCCGAACCCGAGCGGUGCUUUGGGAAGAAUCGUUCCUCGCGUCGCCGCCGUCGGAUUGAUCCGAUUUGUGCGCGAUUUGGUGAGUAACCUCACUAAUCUUGGAUUAGUUGGCUAAUUAUGCUUAAGGUUGGUUUAGAUUUAAUUAAUUAUGUUUAGGUUGUUAGAUUAGAGUAAAUUAGCAAUUAUUAGUCAAUUGUGAUGCGAUUUAAAUAAAUUGAUUGUGCAAUUAGCAAGUAGACAUGGUCUACUAAUUAUUGGAAGUGCCUCGGGAUUUUUCCCGACCCUUAGUGGGCUCCAAUUAGGCUUUUCGGGCCUAAGUGGAUAUUUUUAGUAUUUAAAUAUUAAUUUUCGAAAUUAAAUUAAAUAAUUAUUUAUUUUUUUCGAAAAUUCAACUGAGAUGGUCUGGAACCGGAAAAUUAUGCUGAUGACCGUGGUGAAGUCCGUUUAUGUAAUCGGGCUUUAUUUUGAGCUAAAUUGAAUUUUUAAUAAUAAUUAUUUAAUUUUCGAAAUUAAUAAAUAAAUUAAUUAUUUUUCGGAAAUUAAGAUUUUGAUGGCCGACGACCGAAAUCUCGUGCUGAUCGUCGUGGUGCAGUCCGUUUAUUUAUUUGAGCUCCACGUUGUAUGGAAUUGAGUAAAUUGUGAUAUUUUAGGGAUUUACCCUAAAUUGAUUGGAAUCGAUUGAGAUUGAAUUAUCGAUUGGUGAAUGGCCAAGUAUGUUUAUUCAGCAUUUAUAAUGCUUUGUUGAGUUAAUUUAAUUAUUUGAUUGAAUAUUGAUUGGUGAAUGGCCAAGUAUGUUUAUUCAGCAUUUAUAAUGUUUUGUUGAGUUGAUUUAUUUAUUUGAUUGAGAAAUUGUUGGGCAUUGGUGGUCGAUAUUAAAAGUGAACUGGUAACCACUGCAAAGAGGACACGUGGCUCGGUGAAUUGGAAUGUCACCUGAAAAAUGCACAUGAGUUCAGUGGUUGAAUAUGUUACCUUGGCGAAGAGGUCACCUGAGAGAAUGCACGUGGCUCGGUGACAGGAUUUAGCAUCUAAAAGGACACGUGGCUCGGUGAUCUGAUGCGUCACUUUGGUAAGCGAGUACCUUAGAGAAUGCACGUGGGUCCAGCAUUUCGGAAUGGCAUCUAAAAGGGCACGUGGCUCGGUGAAUUGAUGCAUCACCUUGGUGAGAUAGCACCUUAGAGAAUGCACGUGGGCCCGGGCAUCGUAAAAAGGACACGUGGCUCGGUGGCUUGAUGUACCACCUUGGCGAAGAGGUCGCCUUAGAGAAUGCACGUGGGUCCGAGGUUUGAGGCACGUGGCUCGGAGACUUGGAAGGUCAUCCUGGAGAAUGCACGUGGCCUAGUUUUAAAUAUCCCACAGUGGGGAUUGAUUUGUUUGGCAUGUAAUCGACAAGGUCGAUGCUUUGAUUUGACGUUGUGAAUUGAUUGCCUGAAUGGAAAUGACCGUGAGUGGUCUUGUUGGAAUAUAAUCGACUAGGUCGAUUUGAUCGAUGCUUCAAUCGGAGAUAUGAUUGCUUGGGUGCCUAUUAUGAAUUGUACUGACUUGCAGGUGGGAUCAGAGGCCAAGGUAAGUCCUCUGCCCUGUGCGUGUUUAGGCAGCCUGUAGUAUAAUAGUUUAUCUAAUCGGGCUUAGUGGGGUAGAACUCGCUGAGAUGUAGUCUCAUCCCAAUUUGGGGAAAAACAUUUCAGGACCCGAUAAGGAGCUGAGGAGGAGAAGUCUAGGAAGGAGAUCUUGGAGGUGAAACUUGAAGGGAAUGAUUUUGAAAGAAGAAGAUAAUACCGAGAUGGGCCUUGAGUAUGGCCUGGAUGGAUUGAGAUCCUAUCUUCUUUUGAGAUCUCCAUUUUGAUGUGAAUAGUUAUGAGGUGAUUUGUGUUUUGUAUAAAAGUUUGGUUAUAAAUUUCAAUAUGAAAAAUAUGGCCCUGCUUUUCUAUCCCAUCGUUUUAGGGCGCGUUUGUUUGCGUUUCUGUUUAAAAAUUGUUCCAGGAAACAGAAAUAGAAAAAAGUAUUUCUGUUCCUGGGAACAAUUUCUGAACAAAAAAAUGCGUUUGGUAACUGUAUAAAAUUUCUGUUUCUGGAAUAGAAAAAGAACAGAAACACGUUUGGUAACUGUAAAAAAAUUCUGUUUCUGGAAUAGAAAAAGAACAGAAACACGUUUGGUUAUGUACAAAAUUUCUGUUCCAAUUUUUUUCCAAUUGUUUUUUUUUUAAUAAAAUGUGAACUUAGUAUUGAAUUAUCAUUCUCAUGAAAUGCUUAUCAAUUUAAUUUUGUUCAUAUUAAGUGAAAACAAACAUUCUAAACUUGAUCAUAUUUGCUUUGAACGGAAUAAAUAUUUUAAGUUCGUACCAAAAUUUUCCAGUUUGUUUUUUUUUUAAAUAAAGUGUAAACUUGACUUUGAAUUCUCAUUAUCAUAAAAUGUUCAUCAAUUUAAUUUUGUUCAUGGUGAGUAAAGUCAAACAUUCUGAACAUAGUUAUAAGUGCAUACUCUGAAGAAUCUUGCAGUUCUUGCAUUUCACGCUGUCUUCCAACUCAGGACAUUCUUCAACAUUUUCUCGAGACAUAAAAUGUAUUUUCUUCAUUGCAACACAAUUAUACAAUACUACCGACUAUAAACUGAAGAACGUUUUCUGCUCACGUUAAAUACAGAUCUUUUCAUUCCAUGAGAUGCUUUUGACAUUCAAAAAUUCCUCAUCAGUCCGCAAGAUACCGGCACUUUGCACCCUUCAUCCUUCUUCUUCCUGCUUCAGCUAAUGAUCAGUUGGACGUUUGGUCUAUACCGUCAGCCUUUGUCGAACCAAAUAUAUCUUCGAUGCCACUUCUUACCCUCUUUCUUCUCUCAGCGAUCAUGUCCGUGUAUGCCUGAAACAGGAAAAGCAAAUCUUGCAGAACCAAUCUAUCCCCUUCCCUUAAUGCAGGAUGUGUGACAGGGCUAUGGCCAUACCUUAGGGUAAGAGUAAAGGAAGAUGUACCACCAUGAGCAUAUUAGCAAAGAUAUAAUUGUCGUUACCAACAUUGAAUGCAAAAUUAGCCAGCUACCGGUGAUCGCUAACAUUCCUGUCAAUGUUAUUGUCCAAGGCUGACACCUGUCAAUGCAACAAUUGGAUGCACAAACUUGAUUAGAAAACUACUAAUAAAAAGGAAGGAUUCCUGUUUGAACUUUUGACAAAACAAUCCUGGGAGCCAAAAUGGAAAAAAAUAAAAUUACAAAUACCCAUUAAAGUUGAGCAAACCAAUCUGGCCUGACUCAAGAGAUAUGAGCUAUAAUUAUUACCAGAACAUCCAUCUCUUGCUGUAGUUCACUUUCCUUGAUAUGGGUGAGACCUUGUACACAAGUUAUGUUAUCAUCAACAGGACACAUGCCGAUUUAUGUAUUAUAUAGCAUGGGAUCUCAAUCAUGGUAUUGGAGUCCUCACAAUAUAAACAUGGUCGAUCACUCUGGUCAUCAACUUUAUUAAACUCUUUGUGAAGAAGACUUAUUGGAAUUUCAUGAUGGAGGACGAAGUGUAUAUUUUCCAUUAGUAUCUUUGGAAUGAAAUCAGAUGCAUGAUGUGAGAUCGUGUGCCUAAGCAUCAUGAAAUAAGCCACAUCAUUUCCUAUUUUAAGCAAUCUAUAAGCAGCCUAGCUAUCCAUAUGGUAAAGGAGAAUGCAAUUUCUAAAAUGUGAAGAACCAAAAGCCACAUUUAAUCCCUAUAUCCAUAUGUUAAGUUUACAAAAGAACCUCUAAGCUCCGAUAUCAAGAUUUUAGACAACCCUAACAUCUUAAUGGCACUUUCUCUCCCAAAUUUCAAGUUUAUCAGACAACAUCCAGAUGGUGUAUAUGAAUAUUAGCUGAACACAUCUUACAAGGGAAGUUCACGGGUAUCAAACAGAGUUGCCUGAAGGGAGAACGCAUAGACUGAAACAUCUCUGAGAGUCUGCAAAGCAGGUCUUUCAAAGGAUUCUGAACAAUAAUAAUAUGAGUUAACAACUCGCCAUCAACAUUAGACAGAACUUGCAUCUUCACAGAGAUAUGACUGAAGUUGCACUGAUCAUACAUCUGAAUCAACUAUCCAUGGAGAAUGUUUGUUAAAGGAUUCCGUCGAUGCAAGUAAACAAGAAACAUGACAAAGUGUGUAGACCUACAUGUAAAGUAAUUCAGAGCUCCUAAAGAAUUCUAGAAAGCAAGUGCUUGAAGGCAGAUGACGAUAGCAUAAAACAAUGCAAGGAUUAAACAAAUAGGAAAUAAUUCAGAAUGCCUAAAACUGAAAAACAGUGUGCAAAUUACUGAUCAAAGCCAUAAAUUAUGUCGGUGCAGGUCGAAUUGAAUUGCUUGUCAAGAUAUCUAUGGAUUCCUUAGUCAUCCCAUUUUUUUCCCAGAAGGCACUCAGGCCAUCAACCAUGACAAUUUUCUAGACGCAUCCACAAAGGUUCCACAUCAUUCAACAUGGCAUUACAUAGAACUUUGUCCAAUACUCAUUCUCCUUCAAAGCCGGCUCAGUUGUACCCAAGUUCAACAACUUGGACAUGGAACCAUAUGCUAUAUCCCAAACAUGACUGCAGAGUGUGUUCAAUUGUCGCAAAAAUGACACUUCCAAUUACUAUCUUGACCUAAGAGAACCCCAGCAAGUUCAACGGUUGGUCAGGCAUGAAUGGAUCACCAUGACGCCUGAGCAGCAGCGACGCUCGCUGCUCUGCUCGCUCGAGCCGAGCCCGAGCAGCAGCGACGCUCGCUGCUCUGCUCGCUCGAGCCGAGCCCGAGCAGCAGCGAAGCUCGCUGCUCUGCUCGCUCGAGCCGAGCCCGAGCAGCAGCGACGCUCGCUGCUUUGCUCGCUCGAGCCGAGCCCGAGCAGCAGCGAAGCUCGCUGCUCUGCUCGCUCGCCCAGAUCUCGAGCGAGCAGACGAGCUGCUGUCGCAGAUCUGGGGAGCAACGCUCGCCCAGAUCUGCGAGAGUCGCUCGAGCAAGCGGCUCGCAGAUCUGGGCAAGCGCUGCCUCGAGCGAGCCCUAACACUCGAGCUCUCGCCGAAGUGAAGACAAUCAGUGAAGGAGGAGCAGUGACGACGUUUACCUGGUGAAGGAGCAGCGGCUGUCGAGACAGGCGCCGGAGAAGACGAUGGAAUUCUCUGCUCGCAGGAGGAGGCGCUCGUCGCAGGAGGAGAUGCUCGUCGCAGGAGACGCUCGUCGCAGGUCGGAGGAGGAGAAGCUCGUCGCUCGUCGCAGGUCGCCGGAGGAGAAGCUCUUCGCCCGUCGCUCGUCGCUUGUUGCAGGUCGCAGGAGGAAGCUCGUCGCGGGGGGGUGAGGAAGCCCUGUUCGAGCACGAUCGAAGAAAUAAAAAAGGAACACAAUUUUGUUCCUUUUUUGUUUCUGAUUUGUGUUUCAGAAACAAGAAACAAGUUUUUUUUGUUUCUUGUUUCUGUUUCUUUUGUGUUCCUGGGAACAAAAGAACAAAAAAGGAACAGAAACGCACACAAACGCGUUUCUGUUCCUUUUUUGUUCCCAGGAACAAAAGAACAGAAAUUUCUGUUCCUGGGAACAGAAACAAAUUGCAACCAUGCAGGCCCUUAUUGUCUGGGGAUUUUAAACUGCUUCCGCAUGUGCUUAAUAAAUGAAAGGGUCGGCGAUACAUUGUCCUGGGAUAUCGCAUUAUAAAAUCGACCAAGUGAGAAGGAUGUGUGCGUGCCCGAGGAUCGGGGCGUGACACGUUCAUUAUACACGAAAGAGGAUUUUCCCUCAAAGACAACAAGGUGAACGAAUGCAAGAGGUGGUUCUAGAACCAAGAUGAAAGGUUAGCUGAAGGAAAGCUCACAAAACAGGACACAACAAAAAAUGAACUCUAGUUCUAUGGACUUACCAUCAUCGACAAUCUUUGCCAAUCAAAUGAUACAUAUCUUAUCCAUCUCUAUUGAACCUCGGGCAAGCACCUACCAUGAGUUGACAAGAUUUUGGCACGCCCAGCACACUCUCCAAUGAUUCACAUCCAUAGAACAUCAAACUUUUCAGAUUCUGUAGAUUAUAACGAUCAGAUUCGUUUAAGCUUUUGACAGAAUUGCAACCCGAGAUAAACAAAGCCCGCAAUGAUUUCAAUUCUCCUAAACCCUGAAUCUCAGUUAGCAGAGGCAAUUGGCGCAGGGACAAACUCUGGAUCUUCUUCAAGCUAGUUAGAACGGGUAGCGUCUUCAGCAAUGGACAGUCUUCUAUCAACAAUUCAUUGAAUUUCCGUAGCUCUCCAAGCACCUCAAAUCGAAUCUCUCCUGGUGAAUAUCCAUAAACAAACAGCUUCGACAAAUUCUCCAAGUUGGAAAAGACUGACCAAUCUAUCGGUGAUUGCACAUUGUAUAAAUUUAACACUCGAAGGCUAGAUGGGAGCCCGAUAAGAGAUUGGGGCUCAGCACAACUUAUGGAGAGACUUCGUAAAUGAGAGAGGGAACUAAAAUCGGGCAAGGCCAUUUUUCCGAUGCACGGGGUCAAAUGCCACUAAGUAGGUAGUCUCACAAUGCCCUCUAUGUUGGUUUCUUGUAUUGAUGUUCCGAUUAUCUCAAGGUCAACUAAAUUGGUUAGGUUUGAGCAGUUGGGGAUCGUGGUCAACGAAUUUGCUGAAAAGGCUAAACACGUGAGACUCUUGGGAAGCUUCGGCAGCUGUUGGAUUGAAUUACAGCCCUCUAAAUUAAGUUCUUGCAAAUUUGUAAGCUGAUUGAUGGUUGUUGGCAAUCCACUAAAGCAGCCAUAGGAUAAUUCUAGAAUUUUCAAUGAGGAUAGUGCCCCGAUUUCACUUGGAAUUUCCCCCAUUAGAUGUACAAAUUGAGCAUGUAACUCUUCCAGAUUUUCCAACAUUCCUAUGGUUUUCGGAAGUUCACUUAUGUGGCUAGAAUUCAAAUCUAGUAUCUUCAACUUUUUGAGAUUUCCAAUGCAAUCAGGUAAGCUCCUAAUUCUUGAAAAGCUCAAAUCCAACUUGACCAAUAACUGGAGCCUCCCAAUUGAGUAUGGUAGCUUUUCUAGCUCGCAAACUGAGAUGCGUAAAACUCUUAACCUUUCUAAAUUUCCAAUAGAAUAAGGUAAUUCCCGGAUUUUUGAACAUUUGACACUUAGCUUAAGUAGUGACUCCAAUUUUCCAAUAGAGUCGGGAAGCUUUUGAAGUUCCUGACAAUUCAAGAUUAGAUGCUUCAGCUUCACUAAAUUGCCAAUUGAGUGAGGCAAAACUGAGAUUCUUUGAGCUUCUAUUCUUAGCUCUGUCAAAGAUUUUAGACGGCCAAUGGACUUUGGUAGUGACUUAAUAGCUUCAGACAUUAUUUUUAGGUAAUCAAGAUGCUACAAAUUGCCGAUGGACUUGUCAAUCUUUCUUAGAUGAGAGCAUAUAAUAAUCAAUCUCUCCAAUUGCGAGAUUGCAUAGAACUUGCACAUCUUUCUAAGGGAUGGACAAUCCUCGAGUUGUAGGACUUUCAACUGUUUUGCUACCUAUAAAGCAAUUGAGUUGAAUCUUAGAAAAGAAGAAGAGUAAAUGUAAUACAAAAGCAUGUCACGAGAUCAUACCAUGAUUUGACACCAUCCUUCCCAGUCUUCGUUAAUGUUAUUCCCCGAAAGCAUGACAACCACUAGGUUCUUCAACCCAAAGUUGGUUGCUUGGAAUUCGGAAGGGCAGUUGCUCCAAGAGAGCCAUCUUAACUCUGAGAAAAGAUCUUUAAAGUCUCCUUUAAAGUUUCCAUGGUCCAAUUGAAGGAACCUAAGGUUAACCAACCUCUUAAAUUCUUUACGUUUAAAUUUGUACGCUGCGUCAGGUUUAGGUGUGCCAAGAUUGAGGCCUACCAUGUUCUCAGUUCCCUAGAAGAUAAAAGUAGCAACCAAUGAGUACAUGUGUCAAUAUGACUAAUGAUACUAAUGGAAGGAUAAGGAAAAUAUUUAAAGGUAAAAAUUACCGUUUUUCUAUGCACUACAUGGAAGGCAUCCCUAGGUGACCACAAUCUGCUACUCCUUAGAUGUAUGUUGCAGCUUUCCGAGUGGACGAUAUCCCUUCCGAGGUCUCUAAGUUGAUCGUGCAUCCAUAAAAUAUCGUUGUCCAUGAUCUGUAUUAGAGACAUACAUGUGAGGGUCUUGACUUCGAUUUCAGUGGGAUACCCAAAGACCGCGUCCCAAUAUUUCAUUGCAAUUGUUUUAUAUUUGUCAAUGAAGAAACAUGCAAUAUCAAGAUAAAUUUGUUGUUGCUUAGCAUCCAAAGCUUCGUAGCUUAUCAUCAACUUCUUCUUCACAUCGUCAUUCAUCACAGUAUUUAACUUAUGUAGGACGUCUUCCCAUGUCUUUUCGGAUUUUCCGCGAAGUGUGGAACCUACAACAUCGAGAGCCAAUGGAAGUCCUCCAAGUGUAUUGAUUAGCUUAUUUGCAAUAUCCACGUAAUUAGAUGGAGGCUUGGCACAUCCCAAGGCAUGCUUACAAAAAAGUUGAAGAGCAUCAUGUGAAUUCAUCUCCGACAUAUUGUAGAAUGAAAAUUGUCCGCUAUUAGAGGCUGGGACAUUGUCAUCCUCAUCUUCAUUUACAAGGAAUUCAAUAUUCCUAGUUGUUAUGAUGAUUCUACUGCCCCCACCAAACCAGUUGGGCUCGCCGGUAAGUCUCAUGAUUUGGUCUUGACUGUCAAUGUCAUCAAGAAUAAUGAGAACUUUCUUGUCAUGAAAUCUUGUCUUGAUCAUGUCAACCCCUUCAUCAAUGAAGCAUAGGUCUGUGCAAUUCAAAUGGAGAAUGUUGGACAACAAUUUCUUUUGUAAGUUUAUUAUAUCAUGAGUCCGAACAUCCUUAAGAAAGCAGCAAUAUCUCUGAAAUUGAGAAGAGAUUUGUCUGAAGACAGUCUCAGCCAGUGUCGUCUUUCCGAUGCCACCCAUACCAUGAAUCACAAUAAACCUUACAUCAAAAGCUUCUAGAUCUAAUUGCUUCAUAAUCUCAUCCGUUCGAUCCUUAAUUCCCACCAAAUGAUCAGGCAAAUCUGUUCUUCUUGUCCAUAACAAACUUGAAACCUCUUUGACUGUGAGAAUCUUCAGUUCCUCUAGGCUACCACAUGCGUGACAUGCAAUCAUCUCAGAUUGAAAAACUAUAUAUACGGAAACUAUGCACACAUUACGUGGCACUGGAAGGUUAUCAUCAAGUUCAAAAUAAUUUGCUUUAAAAGAAAUCAACACAGAAAAGCAAUCUUUCAAGCUGUGAGCCAUUUGAAAACAAAAAACCGAGAGAGAGAGAGAGAGAGAGAGGAGGAACUUUAUUCAAGGUUGAAAGCUAAUGCUAUCAAGGUUCUUUGGUUUAGUCAAUGAUGGGAAAAGAUUAUUUCGUGACAAGGGUCUGAUUGGGCUUUGACUAGAAGUCAUUCCGGCAAAUUGUGACUAACUAGUGUUGUGAACCGUUGUAUUGGAAUAGGUUGUGGCAUUUUGUUCCAUUUUAUUGGAAAAUUAUGAAAUCAGUGUCAAAUUUAUUGUGUGAAUAUCAAUUCAAUUAUAAAAUUUUCAAUUUUAAUAAUAUUGUCCAAAACUUUUAUACAAAAUUUCAAUGUAGCCCUUGCAGUCAAUAUCCACCGAAAAUUGCUAAAGUGGCAAUCUAUGCAAGAUGUCAUUUCAAGUAAAAUUGCCCACGUCAACUUGCCACAUAGGACAACGGUGAUGAAUGGACGUCAUGUUAAUAAUUUCUCGCAGCAAUUGGGCAGAAAGAUUACAUUAAAAUUUCACGCAAAUACUUAUGACCACAUUAUCAAAAUUAAAAUGUCUUGUGCUCAAAUGUCAUGCACAAUAAAUUUAGAACUAAUUUGAUAAUUAUGCCUCCACUUCAUUUUAUACUUUUUCACACCGGUUGGUUUCUUCUUGUCGCACAGCUAAGAGCGAGACCUCUAGAAAUUUGGUUAAAUAUCAAGUCCUCGGUAAACUCGGUCUUGAUAAUCUCUUCAAGCGAUAGGGAUGAGUUUGAAGGUUAACAGAAAAUAAAAAAUCUCACUCGCAAUUGCCUUGAAUAUAGGAAACAAGAAUAAUCUCUCAAAAGCAUUUUUCUUAACGUACCCAUGGAAUAGAAUACUAACCGAAAAUGAGGAAAAUUUUCUGGAAUCUAUAUCAACCUUGAUUCGAGUUGCCAACAAACAUUUCUCCAAAUAAGUUAGAAAUAAUUUUAGGUUACCCAUUCUUUUUAUAAUAUUGGUAACUGCAAACUAGUUGGAACUUUAAUCGGAAUAAAUUGGUGAGUAACUCAACUUAGGAUUGAUAAUUUAACCAUAGAUUUCGUUGCCUAAUAAUGUUCGUAACUUGUGCAAAUAAAAGUUGGUGCGUUAUUAACGAAAGUUUAUGAAGGUUGGUUGUUUUGAAACAAAUAAUAAAUAUUGAUAAGUAGCUCAAAUAAGAAUGUGUAGCUUAAACUAGUUAUUAAUUUAAUUAGAAAUUAGUUAAUAUGACAAUCAUAUUAGAGUUAGUAAUUCGGUACAGGAUUUGGUAAUUUUGAGAUGUGGAGUAAACAAUAUGGUAAGUUGUGAAGAUGUUGUAAAUCGGCAAACAAUCUAAUAAACUUAGUAAAUGAUUUACAUAAAAGCCGGUAAGCUAAAACUAGUUUGUAAAACAAUGGAAAAAGAAGUUGGUAAGACACAAAUUAAAGUUGCUAAAUUCAUAUAAAAACCGAUAAUUUAAAAAUUAGGGAUGGGCAUGGAGCAUAGGAAAUUCGCGCCCCGCGGUGGCCUGCCUUGGAUGAGGCAAUUUUUUUGAGGAAAAUUUUUCUCAAAACAAUUGCCUCCCUGGGAAUGUUGCACGACACAAGUUGGGCAUGGGUGGUAAUAGGCUAGCCCUUCCCGUUCUCGAGGGUUGAAACUAUUAAUGCGUUUAACGAAAGAUAGAAACAAUAAGGUUUAAUGAAGAAGGAUGUAAGUAAGCAGAGAGUAACGGCUAGGGUUUAUAGAAAAACUAUCACAAACCAGGAUAAGGGUAGCUACAUAUCUCAAGGUAAUUUACAAUUGUUAAAGUACUUAUCCAUUUUCUAGAGGCUUUGAAAUUUCUCCAACCAUAGCUACAACUACUUGGAAGUCCCUUAGGUGAAUUUUUGGUUAAUCAAGAUAUGGGGCCAUGAAUAGGUCCAUGCUUAAAGCAACAGCAAGAACCAAUUUUUAUAUUUUAACAUUCUACUAUAAAUCACUAUAGAAUAAUAUUCAGUUUAAGGUUGCACAUCUUGUCUACGCACAAUUGGCCACUAGAGGAGCCUUUGACCCUUGCCCCACCACAGUGAAAACAAAAGCCCAAGAUUGAUAAUACACCUGGACCUAAGUCAGUCCGUCGCAAACUAAUCAAGAAUUACUCUAAUAAAAAAUAUACUGGAAGACCUCUAACAGUUACAGAGAUUCUUUUUUUUUUUUUUUUGGCUCUUUUGCGUAAUGGCACAAAGAUCUUUGCAAUGUUCGGUCUUGUAUACUCAAACCAAAUAGAAAAACCAUAACCUAUAGUUUCCUCUUAUGGGGUUAAAAAACUAUCAUCAUAAAAAUCUCCGUUAUUUUUGUGUAACUCGGUGGUGCGACCGUAAUUAGCCGGUUAUUUCAAGGGAAACAGCAGCAAAGCAUAUGAAUUCCCUAGGGCUGAAACCAAAACCACAAGGAUCGGUUUCUUACUCUUGGCCGUAAGUUUUUGGAUAUCGCAUAGACUGCGAUAGACUAAGUCUAUGACAUAAUUUCUCUAUGUUUCCUUAAUGUAACAAAAACAGAAAGAUCUAACAUCAAACUCAAUCUAAUUUUUCAGGAAAACAUUAUAGGCAUAGGGUUAAGGAAAAUUACACCAAAAGUCCUUAAUUUCAUGUACGGAAUGCAAUUGAAGUUAAGAAACUUAAAUUUUUUAUUUUUCACAUAUAUAUGGUCUUACUAUUUUAACAUAUCUUAGAUCUUAAUGGAUAUCUUGGUAUUUUGGCAUUAUAGAUUAAUUGAUUAAUUAAGUUGCUAUACCUUAACUUUAAUUGUUAUAAAAACUUGAUAUUAAAAGGGAAAAGUCAAUUUGUGCAAGAAACCUCGCCCUCUGAGCAAUAUUUUUGGCUCCUCAUAGCGUCAAAUCCAACCAUACGUUACAUAAGGUUGGACAGCAGCAAACCGAAUAGUUAUUCUUUAAAGGAACGAGAAAUUGAAAAUCUCAACAAAGAAAAUAAAGUCAAUGGAGAAGCAAAUAAUACCCGGCUUCCUUCCUCUAAUUCUAGCAACCUUUCUUAAAGCCUUCUUCCACUUCUUUACUAAAUCCUUCCCGUAGUCGCUCUUGUGCUUCCGAAGGGCUUUCCGAUAUAACUUAGUCUUAAGCUUGACAUCAUCCACGUCCACGUCGUAAAAUAUAGGGAGGAUCACUUUCUCAUCGUUAGCUGUCGAUUGCUCCACCAUGCGUGCCAGUUCACGGAGGCACCACUUACUUGAAGCAUAGUCCUUGGAAAAAAUCGGGAUGUAAAUUCUGGAGUCAUUGAUCUUUUGCAAGAGGCCUUUGAUCUUUUCGCCAAAUCGGAGCUCUUCGUCGUCUCUAAAAACGCUGAUGCCCGCACGGUCCAAGUCAUGGUAGAGACAAUCAGCAAUGGUUAAGCGAGUGUCGGGCCCUCUGAAACUUAGGAACACCUCGUAACCCCUCCCCGAUCCACCAUCACGGCUACUGCCUGUCCCAGCUACCGUCGCCGUCCCUUCUCCCUCCCUCUUUCUCUUCAUUCUAGUAGCAAGACGGAGUGAUGGAUCCCCGAAUUGAGUCUGCCCAGUGACUUGGGAAGUCUUGAGUUUGAUCCUUGUAACAACUUGACGACACGACGGAGAGAGAUCUCUCACUUUCGCUGCGUUCGCCUGGAAGAUACCUGCGGCCUUCCUUCGCAAGUGAAAAAACCAUUCAGAUCGACAAAAUAAUUGCUUCGAAGAGGAAACACGGAAGGAGAGAGAGAGAGAGAGAGAAAGAGAGAGCUGUGCAUCACUUUUCACCUUCAAGCCAUGAGUGGGGAGUGGGGGACCAUCGCUUCCAAUCUCGCCAAGCCCAGAUCCGGCCUCGUCCGCUGCCUCGAGGAGAGAGUCGGGGACGGAGACGGUGGCUUGGGCGAGAGGGGACGCGAAACGAUCGGCGCAGGCGAUGGCUGGGGGCUCUACGACGAGAGGUGACGGCACGGCAAGGGGAUACGACGUCGAACUCGACGGCGACGGCGACGGCGACGGCGACGGCGAGGUGGCGGAGGCUUGCGGUGACCGAUUGGUGGAGGGGAGAGACUGAGGGAAGAAUAGGAGAUUUUUCAGAGUCCGGAUAUUUUUUUAUGGAAAUUCGUCAAAUAGCGAGCAUGGAAGCUAUAUCAAUCUGAGUUUUGGUCUUGCUCCUGAAAUUGCAAAACACGUUAUGAGUGUGAACACUCACACGAACCUGUUUGAUGUGGAAUUUGACUGCGUGCAGACGAAUUGACUAGACAAACGUACGUGCUUUUGCUUUUGCUUUCGCAAGUGGUUCUGACAAAGAAUUGACCAGACAAACGUACUUCGGUUAUUUUGGAGAAAAUAUUAUGUAGUCCCGGAUCACCGCGUCACCGUGCGCCCGCCCAAUGAAGAGACGACACAUGGCUCCACGUGNNNNNNNNNNNNNNNNNNNNNNNNNNNNNNNNNNNNNNNNNNNNNNNNNNNNNNNNNNNNNNNNNNNNNNNNNNNNNNNNNNNNNNNNNNNNNNNNNNNNNNNNNNNNNNNNNNNNNNNNNNNNNNNNNNNNNNNNNNNNNNNNNNNNNNNNNNNNNNNNNNNNNNNNNNNNNNNNNNNNNNNNNNNNNNNNNNNNNNNNNNNNNNNNNNNNNNNNNNNNNNNNNNNNNNNNNNNNNNNNNNNNNNNNNNNNNNNNNNNNNNNNNNNNNNNNNNNNNNNNNNNNNNNNNNNNNNNNNNNNNNNNNNNNNNNNNNNNNNNNNNNNNNNNNNNNNNNNNNNNNNNNNNNNNNNNNNNNNNNNNNNNNNNNNNNNNNNNNNNNNNNNNNNNNNNNNNNNNNNNNNNNNNNNNNNNNNNNNNNNNNNNNNNNNNNNNNNNNNNNNNNNNNNNNNNNNNNNNNNNNNNNNNNNNNNNNNNNNNNNNNNNNNNNNNNNNNNNNNNNNNNNNNNNNNNNNNNNNNNNNNNNNNNNNNNNNNNNNNNNNNNNNNNNNNNCGUUGUUUUACUGGGCCAGCAUCACUUUUCAGAGAACGUUUCACGUCCCCCACCCCAUCUCUCUCUUCAUUAAAUGCUUUAUCCUUCUCUGCAUCCUUCUUCUCCCGCUCGCACGCCCCUCUCUCUUUCAAAAUUUUAGAGAUCUCUAUAUUUUUCCCCAUCAAAGCCGCACAACGCCCGCCUUCUCUCUUUUUCAAAAAUCUCUCCCUCCCAAAAGCCCGCCCGUCGCCUCCGAGCUCAGCCACCUCCGCCGUUGCCGCCAGGAGCCACUCACUCCCUCUCUCUCCCUCGUCUUCGCUCUCUACGGCGCUCGCUCUCUCCGGCGCUCGUGUUCGUGCUAUAUUUGAGCCGACGUCAUUGGCCAGGUUCCUGCUCCCGUCGACGUCUACCGCAAGCUCGCUCGACCUCACCUCCAUCUUCACUGUCACUCUUGGCCUCUCCCUCGCUCCCGCUCUCCCUCCUUUGAUCUUCCCCCCGCCUCGUGCUGCCGUUCCGUUCGAGAACUCGAACCCCCCGAAGUUGGUGUUCAGGAAGACGACCUCCCCAAUCGGCGACGCGGUCGAGGGAACUAAGAAGGAGGCCGCGGUGGAGUAGUGGAGGGACUUGACGUCGACGCGGCGAAGCCUGAGCUCGAGGCUCUUGACGCGGAGAAGAUGGGUGUGGAGGAUGCAUUGAAGAAAUCUGAGGAGAAGGCAAAGGAGAGAACUAGGCUCUUGCUCGACAAUGUUGAAAAGAACUAGGAUUCUUGGAAAUUUCUUUUUUCAACAAAACUAUGUUUUAUGGAAGAAAAAUCUAAGAGAGAAAAAAGAAAUAGUGUUUUCAAUAUAUUUGAAAUACCUAUAAUAAAAAAAUUAAAAAAUAGACGUGAAAUUCUUAAUUAUGGUAAUUGAAUCCUACAUUAAAAUAGAAAAACUAAAAAAAAGUCAAUGAAUUUGGGGCAACCAAUUAAAUUGCAAUUGAAUGAUUUGGCACACUUUGACCUUUUUAAUGAAAAUUGGGUGAAUUUAGUCAUACAUGAAAUGGAUUUCUCCAUCAACUUUUUGCCGUAAGCCAGGAGAGGCUUGGUCAUCAUCACUCAUCAAGAAAAUGUGUGUAUCCCAGAAAAUAAAUAAAUGUAGGCCUUUUUAUGGUAAGAAUGCAUAAAUUACGGGAGGAUAAAUAAACUUUGAAGAUACAAACUUCCAAAGAAUUAGUUAGGAAUUGGUUAAACAACCGAAACGCCCAAGUCACCACAAGAUCACAAACAACAGUAGCCGGAUCAUCAAAUGCAUCAUUCUUGCAACAAAAAUCUCUUGAAGCCACAUUGCUGCUGCACAAUCACCGCAUGAAUAUGUUGCAGUAAUGAAAAAAAUCAUUUCCGAAAUUAAGGGGUCCAAUAGUGAAAAGCUAGCUCCCACCAAUCACAUCGUAAUGAAGAUGCAAAAGAAGAUGAUUGGAAUGGGGUCCACCUGUUAGAAGAAGAACAAAAUCACCAAGGGAAGACACCCGCUAAAAAUUGUAGCAGCAUGUGCAAUAAUAGUGGUCACCGUCCAAUCACUGCAGCAGAAUUAUUGCUUAAUUUCACUAUGCCAGCGGGCUUAUGGUACUAGCAGACAAGGGGUGCGUUUGGAAAGAUUUUUGGGGAAAGUCCUUGAGAAAAUGUAAAGGCCUUUGAGCUAAAAGGGUUUUUGAAAAUGCAAAUUGUAUUUGGUAAAUCGUAUUUGUGAAAGUCCAUUGUAAAGUAUAUUUGAGCAAAAUAGCGUUUGGACAAAUUAACUUUGCAAAAGACUUUUAUUAUAAAAAAAAAAGGAAAAAAAUGAGAAUUGGUUGGUUACCGCCGGCGAGGGUCGCAGCAACCCCAAUCGCAACCAGAUCAUCGCGACCAGAUCGCACGAUCUGGGUUGCUGGAGGUCGCGCGGCCCAAAUCGGUCGCGGCGACCUCCGGUGACCCAGAUCUGCGUGCGAUUUGUGUCAUCGGAGGUCGCGUGGCCCAGAUUUGGGUCGCAGCGACCUCCGGUGACCCAGAUCUGCCGGGGGUCGCAGUGUCGCCGGGGUUGCAACGGUCUGCGACCCAGAUCUAGGUGGUUGCCGGGAGUUGCAGCAGUCGCGGCGACGUGACUCACAGGGGGUCGCCGAGGUCACGCGACUGGCCGCCGACGAUCGCCAUGGCGCACAGGCCUCUUGCCGACCUCUGUCCAGCUCGUCACCGGCCAUGGGCAGCUCUGCGCAACUUCGUCGGCCAUCCUCAACGAAGAAAAAGAUGAAUAGUAACGAGGACAAAACUGGAAAAACGAAAUGUUAGUGAGGACAUUUGUGGAAGAAAUUUUUUUAACUUACUCUCCCUUAGCCUUCCAAGAAGGCCGAAUGCCCAAGGCAACCCCCAACCUACCUUGGGCUUUCAACCUUGGGAAGGCUUGCCUUUGGCAAAGGCAAGUAAAAAAUUUUUUGUCAAACACUGAAUAUUUGGUCCAAAGGCCUUUAGGGGGCUAAAGAUCCUUGGCAAAGUGGUUGCCAAACGUAGCCAAGAUACUAUUCACCGUCAGAUUAUUGCAGCAAAAUUAUUACUUACUUUCACUAUAGAACUUUUACUGUACAAUCACGUGCAAUUGCUUUUGUUUUGCUCAUUCAAUUCAGAAGGAUUAGCUUUUGUCGGUUGGAGCCAGAAUUCCAUUCUACUUUUGCUAAGCCCAAAAAAUCAGAUCUCCUUAUAUUUAAUCCGAUGUCGCACUAAGUGGCAUGAUCAAUUUAUCCUUGAUCAGCUGAGCAAUAAUUUUAUAUGUGAUAAGUAUUGUAUUGAAAUGUAAUGCACUAUUAAAAUCCUUGUUGGUCCUUCUUGAUUGAUAACAAAAAUUUAAAGGCCCUUUUGAUAAUCUAUCUAAAUUUGUCAGAUAAAUUCAAGAUUUUGAUCUAACAUUUUGAAUCUUUAUUUUGAAAUAAGUUCAAAAUCUUUGCUAGUCCUUCUUGAUUUAUCCGAUCAUCCCAUUAUACAUAUAUAUAUGUGUGUGUGUGUGUGUGUGUGUGUGUAGAAGAUUAGAUAAAUUUCCACGCAUGCAUGCAUGCAUGUAUGUAUGUAUGUAUAGAAGAGAACUGAUAAGAGGGAAUUUUAUUUGGUCAAAUGAUAAAAGACGGAGUUUGAUAGUGAUAUGCACAACAAAAUUGAAAAUUUGUAAACAAGUGUUUGUGUCAAAAAAUUAUUUAUAUAAUAAUUUUUUCUAGAUUCAUCCUUAAAUUUUCUUGACAUACUAGGUUUCUUGGAAAUUUCCUUCUUAGACAAAACUAAAUUUUAUGGAAGAAAAAUCUAACAGUGAAAAAAGAAGGGUUAAUACCCUAAAAAACCCCAAACUGGUACACUUGUGACAAAUUUACCCAAACUAUUUUUUUGACCAUAAAAAACCCCAAACUGGUAAACUUGUGACAAAUUUACCCUGACUGACUAUAAAAAACCAUAAACCGGUACAUUUAUGACAAAUUUACCCAAACUAAUUUAUCCGACUGUAAAAAACCCUAAACUGGUAAUUUUUUGUUAAAUAUAUCCUAUGCUAAAUUGGAUUAAUACCACAAAAAAAUCAUAAAAAUUGUAAAUUGUGAUAAACAAAGCAUAAAAUCCUAAAUUGGUAUACUGGUUAACUGUCACGUGUCAUUUAACUUAAUAAUUUGAGAAUAAAAUUUAACGAAAACCAGCAUAGGGUAAAUUUGUCACAAGUGUACCAGUUUGGGGUAAAUUUGUCAAAGGUAUACCAGUUUGGGGUUUUUGGUGGUCAAAAAAAUAGUUUGGGGUAAAUUUGUCACAAGUGUACCAGUUUGGGGUUUUUUAGAGUAUUAACCCAAAAAAGAAAUGGUGUUUUAAAUAUAUUUGAAUACCUAUUAUAAAGAAAAACUAGACAUGUGAAAUUCUUAAUUAUGGUAACGAAAUCCUACGUUGAAAUAGAAAUUUUUUUUUUUUUAUGAAUUUGGGGCUAUCAAUUAAAUUGCAACUAAAUGAUUUGAAGCAAUUUUGUCUUUUUAGUGAAAAUUGGGUGAAUUUAGUUAUUUACAAUAUAGAUUUCUCCAUCAACUUUUUGUCAUGGCCAGGUGAGGCUUGGUCAUCACUCAUCAAGGAAAUGUGUGUAACUUGGGAAAUAAAUGCAGGCUUUUAUGGUAAGAAUGCAUAAAUUGCGGGAGUAGGAAUAAACUUUGCUAUAUGCGCUCUUUGAUGAUACAAAUUUCUAAAGAAUCAGUCCAAAAUUGGUUUAAACAACUAUUAUGCCCAAAUCACCACAAGAUCACAAACGACAUUAGACGGAUCAUUAAAUACAUCAUUCUUGCAACAAAAAUCUCUUGCAGUAGCCCUACCUUGCUGUUGCACAAUCACCACAUGAAUAUGUUUCAGUAAAGGAGAAAAUCAUUUCUGAAAUUAAGGAGCCCACCAACUAUGAAAAGCUAGCUCCUACUAAUCACACCGUAGCAGAGAUACAAUAGAAGAUGACUGCCGUGGGGUCGACUUGUUAGAAGAAGAACAAAAUCACCAAGAGAAGAUAGCCACUGGAAACUGUAGCAACAUGUGCAAUAAUAUUGUUCACCAUCCAAUCACUACAGAAAAAUUAUUGCUUAUUUACACUAUGCUAUCAGGUCUCCAGUACUAGCAAACAAGAUACUAUUCACCCCGAGAUCAUUGCAGCAAAAUUAUUGCUUACUUUCACGGUGGAACUUUUAUUAUACAACCAUGCGCACUUGUUUUUGUUUUGCUCAUUAAAUUCAGAAGGAAUUCAACCACAAAAAAUCAUGAGGAUUAGCUUUUCCUCAGCCGGAACCAAAGUUUCAUUUUGCUUUUGCUAAGCCCAACAAAGUAGAUCUUCUAAUAUUCAAUCCAUAUUCGCACUGAUUUGCUUGAUCAAUUGAUACUUGCCUUUAUUCCACUUACUAAUUUUAUCUUGUGCCAUGAAAAAGUUGUGAAAUGUGAAUUCGGCUCCAAGUCGCCUUUUGCUUUCAAGAGUUGUAGAUUGAUUGUAAUGCAAGAUGUAACAUUAAUAGACUGUUUGAGAAAACAAACAAAUUUUCCCAAAUUCACUAAUGGCCUUUUGCAUGCCAUCAUCUUGGUAUAUUCAUGAUCAGAGGAAUAAUUAGUGUACAUAAUAAAUAUACAUUCUUUCUACAUGGAAAAAAAAAUAUUGUCCCAUUGUGACUUUUAAUUGCCUCCAUUGAAUUGUGAUCAUAUACUUUUUCCCAUCAACUUUUCUAGAAAUUCGCAUUCAUUCGGAGGUCAUAACUCUUCGGGAAGAUGUGCGAGACCCUCCUACCAAGGAAUGGCUUGCAUCACAUAAUGUGGAGUUCAACCUCGGAAAUACUAUUUGGCCCAUGAAAGUCCCCAUACAUAUAUUGGACUUUGCGAGCCUAGCAGUAGGGUUGAAGUUGAGUCCAACUUAGGACUAAUUCAAGCUUGACUUAAUAAAAUAAUUAGUUGAAAUCAACCGGUCUAGUUUGGAGUUGAGCUUAGACUAAUUGAAGCUUGACUUAAUAAUUAAUUGAAAUCGACUAGUCUGGUUUUGAGUCGAGCCUAGACUGAAGUUAUACCAAGAAUUUCAUCGAGUCAAGAUCAACCUCGAGAGAAUCACAAUUCCAAUCCAAUUUCUAUUAUUUUGUUCAGAAAAUAAUUUAUAAUCAUGAAAAUAGAGGGGAAGACAUUUGCAAAUUGUAGUAUACUUAAAGCACAUAAAUGUAGAGGAUAAUACUUGAAGUUAGUGAGCUUGAGCUCAAGCCCAUUCUUUAAUUUGAUUGUUUCGAGUCGACUUGAUCUUGAAUAUCUCGAUUCUAGUUUGGUGAAGCUCAAGCCAAACUUUUAAUACUCCAUGAUUUGAGGGGAGUUUCGAGCAUCGAAUAUCUAAGAGGAGUUGAACUCAGAGCUUGGCACUAUUCUAUAGGCUUGAACUGAAAAUUUCACUUAGUAAUGUACUUACAUUAAAAAAUUAAAAGUUGCAAAAAGUUUAUUAUAGUGAUAUAUAUAUACAAAUUGCCAUGGCACGGACUUUCUACCCAGACUGUACCUACAUUGCUCUAAUAUAAUGGAAAUCUUCAAGAUCUGACAACAAGAGACCAACCAAAUUACAGCAUUAAGUCACUUGAUCCAAAAACACUCCUGCUGACGCGUAUUCCUCAGUGGACCCCAAGCAGGCCCAUGUUUCUCCCCCGAAUUCAAAUUUAAAUUGGUUCUUACUAAACAUACAUAGUCAAGGUGAAACGACGAAACAUUGAUGGAUCCAACAUCAACUCAACACUAGCACACUGCACACAGUAAGUGAAAACUCAAGCUCAAGAGGUUCUCAAGAAAUCGUUUACAUGACAAGCUUUGUGUAAUGCAGUAAAUCUAACUCAACCUAACCAAAAUCACCCAUAGUCAGUCUUAACCAUGAUCACAAAACGGUACAUAAUUCAUUCACCUAAUCGAAAAUGGGGAGAUCAAAGUCAUACUCUCAUUCAGGAGUACGCAUUCUCCUACCAUGAUCCGAGUUGAAAAGACUCCUUUAUGAGUCUUUGGCAGGAACACCAGCUUGACGGAUUCUCUUUUGGUGAACAUCCCAAUUAUACACACGAGCAAUCGUAACCUGCCAAAAAGGGCUGUUUCAAACCACACCCCACCCCCACACCAAAAAAAAAAAAAGUGAGAAAAGUUUCCCAGGGUCACCAAUCUAAUUGCCAUGAUAAACUAAAGGAUAUGGUUCAGCUUUGAAUUUUUUCAAGUUCACAUUCGUGCAAACCUACCACGCUCCAACUUAUCACCAAUUAACAUGUCUUCCCAAUUUAUAGCCUCACGCCAGUUAGAAAAUUCAGAACAACGGUAGUUCGACCCCAAUAGACCUCGCCAAAACUGACAUAGUAAACGGCUUGAAAUAAACAAGGACCUCCGAGUUCCAAAUAAUUCUCACUUAUCCGAGUGAUUGUUACUUGCUCCCUUAAGAAUUGUAGAUCAGCAACAAGAACUUCUAAACUUGCUUUAGCAUUUUCUAAGUUCUUUUGUAGAUGGGUUGUGGCCUGCAACAUAAAUUUAUGCAAUAAAUAAGAUACUUGACAUCAUUAUUGGAAAGAAAGGGACAUUGCUUAAACUCGGGUACAACCUCUUCACAUGAAUACUCCAACAUAACAUUUGCUCCCAGCCAUAGACAUACUGAAUCAGUAUCUUCAAUGCGAGCUCGAGAAUAUAUGCCUUCAGAGACUUCAAAAUCAGCAAGGAGUGCCUGUAUACAAAAUAAAGAGUCAUGAAAACCAGUCAGCUUGGUGCCUGAUAUCUUUUGCGCCAUUAAAGUUUUGAUAGUCUUAGGUCUUAAGCCCAAUACAGUAAUCCCAUCGCAUGUCAGUUUCUAAUCGGACCUUCAGACACCAAAGCAACUAGCUAAACAUUACUUGUGAUAUUCCGGCGUUCAAAUCUAAAACCACCCCAUUAUGGAGAUCAGCAUGGGCUCUUCAAAGCACUAACCUAGAUUAUUAGGAAUAUUGCUUCCAGAAGUGCAUUUGCAAAGGAGAAACGCCAAUUGGAUAUUUCACAUCAUGUCAACCAUACCAAAGUUAGUUCCUAGUAUGGCAAGAAUUAAACUAGCCUAUUCUCCAUUUGCUUUGUAAAGAUAGAAAGGGGUAAUAUGCUCAGCUAAGAGAGCAUCGAGGAGCAAGAAUAUUUUUUUAAGAUAAUAGUUUUUAGCAUAACAAGAUUAUGAGAAAAAUUUAGUUGACAUCAUAUAUAAAAGAUGACUGAUAGAUUGUCGAGGAUUCAAGAUGAAAAACAGAAACUGCAAAGGAAAAAAUUGGUGGAUUCUAAGACAAUACAAAGAACUCCAGCGGAUAAAAUGAGAAAGAACUCCGGAUUGAAAAUAUGAUCUGGUUACGCGAUAUCAAGCUUACUUUGUGAAAAGCCUCAAUGUCAGUAGCACGAGUCCGACAGAUACCCAUUAAGUAUCCUCAGUUAAAAUACCUGCACCGAAAAGUGUUCAGCUUGAAUUUCAAACUUAAAUUCCAGUUCUGAGGCUAUGAUUCAAUCUUACUGUAAUAGAAACUCGAGCUCAUUGUGCACGCAUAUAAUGGUGUUCUCAAUCUGUCACGCCCCGAUUCUCGGGCACGCACAUAUCCUUCUACUUGUUCGAUUUUAGAAUGCGAUAUCCCAGGACUAUGUAUCACCGACCCUUUCAUUUAUUAAGCACAUGCGGAAGCAGUUAUUAAUCCCCAGACAGUAAAUCAAUGGGAUAGAAAAGCAGGACCAUAUUUUUUAUAUUGAAAUUUAUAACCAAUCUUUUAUACAAAACACAAACCAAAGUACUCCAUAACUAUUCACAUCAAAAUGGAGUUCAGGAAAGAAAAUGGAAUCUCAGUUCAUCCGGCUGUACUCAAGGCCCCUCUUGGUUUUAUCUUCUUCUUCCAAAAAUCCUUCUUCUUAGGUUUCACCUCAGAGUACUCCUUCUCAGAUUCCUCCCCAGCUCCUCAUCAGGUCCUGAAAUGUUUUCCCCAAACCGGAAUGAGAUUACGUCUCAGCGAGUUCUACCCCACUAAGGCCCGAUUAGUAAACCAAUACACCUUACGGCUGCCUAUGCACCACAUGAGUUAGAGGACUUACCUUGGCCUCAGUUUUCAUCUGCAUAUUAGCACAUAUCAAAUAGGCAUCUAAGCAAUCACAUCACUGAUCGAGGCAUCGAUCAAAUCGACCCAAUCGAUUACAUGUCAACAAGACCAUUAACGGUCAUUUUCGUUCAAUUAAGCAAUUUACAACAUCAGAUCAAAACAAUGAUCAAUCGACCUAGUCAAUUACAUGUCAACAAUGACCCUUCCCCGGCCAAUUCAGUUCAAUCAGUCAAACCAUGACAAACGAAUCAAAUUAUAUCGGUGAUUCCAUCUAUACUCGAUAAUUAAUCUCAACAUACCAAUUCAACAUUCCCACUCAAAUAUAGGCUCAAGGCGCUAGAGGUGACCCCAACACAAAGUCUCGUCAUUGUGCAAUACUUAGUCCUUGACCACAAAUAACAAUAGUAUAAGGCGCUAGAGGUAACUCACACGAAAUCUCGCUAUCGUGUAGUACUUAGUCAUUCACUACAAAAUACAGUAGGGUAAGGUGCUAGAGGUGACUCACACGAGAUCUUGCCAUCGUGUAGCGCUUAGCCCUUCACUAUACAUAACAAUGCUGCAAGGCACUAGAGGUAAUUCCCAUGCGACUUAGGUCGCCAUAUAACACUUAGCCCUUAACUACAAUAAGCAAUGGUAUAAGGCGCUAGAGGUAACUCACACGAAGUCUUCUAUUUGUGUAGUACUUAGUCCUUUACUUGCUCAUGAUCCAUUGGUUUCCCUCAACACAACACACAUCACAUCAACUUCCAAUAAUCAUCUUGCUUCAACUAUAAGCAACACACGAUUAAUCCCUCACGGCCCAAUGACAUUGUGCCUCGCACUUAACUUCCUCAAUUAAAGUAAUAUCUUGACCUCAUUUCUUCGUAUUAAAAAUACUCGAUAAAAUAUCGUGCGUGGGCACACGGCUGGCCUUAGCCAAAAUCUAAUAUUUUCCUUUCCAUAACUCCCACGUUUUCUAUAGUCCGCUCAAAUAGUUUUGGCAUUAUCAACCGAUGCCCGGUUAUUUUUCAAUUAAUAACCAAUGAUUUCCAAUUAAAGAAUAAUUCCCAUCCUUCGCAAAUAAUUCAAUUCAACACAAAAUAAAGCUCCAUUAAAUAAACGGACUUCACCACGACGAUCAUCACGAAAUUUCAGUCAUCGACUAACCCAACCUUAAUUUCCGAAAAAUAAAUAAAUAAUUAAUUAAUUUAAAAAAUUAAUAAUUAAUUGCAAUAAAUCCAAUUUAGCUCAAAAUAAAUCCCAAAUUAAAUAAGCGGGCUGCACCACGAUCAUUAGCAUAAAAAUUCGGCCACUAGCCAUCCAAGUUGAAUUUCCGGAAAUUAAUUAAUUAAUUUCGAGAAUUAAUAAUUAAUUACAAUAAAUCAAAUUUAACUCAAAUUGGCGCUCAAUUAAAUAAACGGACUUCACCAUGAUCAUCAGCAUAAAAAUUUGGUCACUAGCCAUCCAAGUUGAAUUUCCGGAAAAAAGUAAUUAAUUAAAUUAAUUUCAAAAAAUAAUAUUUAAUUACUAAAAAUUCCACAUAGGCCCGAAUUGUCAAAUUGAAGCCCGAUAGGGGUCGGGAAAAAUCCCGAGCUACCUUCAAUAAAUAGUAGACCACGUCUACUUGCUAAAUACACACUUAAUUUAUCUAAUUCGCAUCAUAAUUGAUUAAUAAAUACUAAUUUAUACUAAUUGUGACAUCCUGAAUUUCAGGUUCUGAUUUUGAUUGGAUAAAAUGGGCCUUUCGUCAACGUGACUAUAGUGUUUUUCUCUGAGUUGGCCACUCAUGAGAUAACUGGCCUAUCCGGUGAAGCCAUUCAGGGAUUUUAAAUGUAAUAGACUUGAGAAUUCGACCAGGAAUCGACUGCUCGACCGUGCUAGUCUGCAAGGGUCAUUACGGCAUUGUCAAAAUCGAUCAGAGACCGGAGAUAGAUCGAUUCAAUUGAGAUGUGUGAUCAAGUGUGGGUGAUGCCACCUGACUGCAAAAUUCUCAUCGAUCGGCACUAAACCGAUUUUCUGUCGUUUUGGGUACCCUGUGCCCGUAUUUGAAACCUUGAGAUUUUCACGAUUAUCGAGAGUCGCCAAUGUGUCGGACGGGUUCAUUGUGGUUCAAAGAAAAUCAACCACGGGUCAAUUGCACCAAAAAUUCCUAGAAGCUACCCGGUAGGUAAGGUCACACUAAAAGCACGUUUGAUUGAAAAUAACCGCGAAUUUGAAUUCGAUUUCAGAAAUUGAGAGUCCUGUCGUGUCAUGAGUUAUUCCGGGGAUGUCGACUCACAUUUUGAGGAAAUUCCGGCGAGUUCGGGAUUUUUACGGAAAACCGGAUCGGACAAUACGGAAAAUGAGUGGAAAUUCGGAUUGGCUAAUUUGAAGAGACUUUUGACAUCUGGUGUAAAUGAAUCGGUGGAUGGAAGUUGUUUAGGCUUUUUCUGAUUUCAAAUUGGACCUCAACCGAAUUUAUUCGUUCAGAAAAUCGGAUUCCGAGAAAAAUGAAAUAAAAAAAAUCGGUUUUGAAGGAAAUUCGUGAGAUGGAGAAAUCGAUUCAUCCCGUUCUUCAAUGAGACUUCAAAUUGUGCAAUUGGUAAAGAAUUAGACCCAAGAUGACCAAUCGACGAAGUUGGUUGAAGUUGAGCAAAGGGUGUUCAUGUUUUGUUUAAUUUUCUCUCCAUUCUCCUUGGAUCCACGCACUCAUGCACGUACCCCUCUUCGGCCGACAACACCCAAGCACAUCUUCACCUUGAAAAUUUCUUUGGUCUUCAUUUCUUUAAAUGUUGACCAAUGGGAUCCCCCUUCCUUCCUAUCCAUUUGCGGUCACAUCUCCCCCUCUCUUUUAUUAUUUCUCCAUUUUUCGCACGUUCCUCAUUACUUCAUCCGACAAUCUCUCUCUCGCACGAAACCCCCCCUGCAGUCUUCAAUUUCUUCUUUUCCUUUGACCAGUCUUCUCUUUUAUCCUUUUUCACUUGCUUCCCACGCCAGGGCAGCUGAACCCUACUCCCUCACGUCUUCUGCUUUCUUUAAUUUGCUUGGACGGAAGCAAAUCCGCAGAAGCAGCCCCACGAUUCCUCUUCUCGUCUACCAUGGCCGCACUCACACAUGCCCUCAUCCCCACCGAAGCCACCACUUGUCUGCAGCUCAUCUUCCCCGAGUCAAACCAGCGGGUUCUCCAGCGAAGCCUCCCUCAAUUUCUUCGCAUCUCUCUCUACCGAAUUGCUACCCCACGUUCCUCCAUCGAAGACCCAACUGAAAUCCCUCAACCGCUUCCCCUCUACUAGCAAAUUCUCUACGCCAGCAUCACCUUGUUGACCUCCUGUUUUGUUGACCACCGAGCGGGCUUCAAUCCGCGUGUCUUCCAUCUUCGGCCAACAGCUGCUCCCUCCGUCUCUGCCACAUCCCAGUUAACCGAAGUAGCGUUGAAAGCAACGAAAUUAACUCAGCAUCGGACGAAGUUCCCUUGCCAGCGAAGCUCGAAGCAACCGAAGUAGCAGUCCAGCGUUUCCGCGUGGUCUUCCCCAGCUCGACGCCGUAAGCCGCUACUUCCUUCGCUCACUUGUCUUCGGCCCAGUCCGUGAGGCCAGCGUCCAUUUCUUUUGCUCGUGGACCAACCACAGCGAGCCCACUCUGAUUUUUCAGCGGCCCAAUACAACAGUUCAGCCCGCGUGGAGCUCGACCCAUUUUUAGCACUAUCAGCCCGGCAAGCCUAACCUGUUUGCAGCCCAGUUUUUGAGGCCCAAUUUCCAGCAAAUCAAUUGAAGUCAGGCCCACCGAAUCAGUAGACUCAGCCCAGCUCGAGCAGCGAGCUUUUAGGCCAAUUUCGGCCCCGGUUUGACCCCGGUUGGCGGACCCACUUCGAAGAGAAUCGAGUCUUGUCGCGUGCUCGUCGAUUUGAUUCAAUCAAAUCUUAAAUCAAGUGAGUUUUACUCACUAAUGCUUUAUUAGUUUGCUAAUUAUGCUUAGGGUUGGUUAAAUUUAAUUAAGUGCAAUUAGGUUGUUAGAUUAGAUUAAAACAAUUAAAUUAAUGACUUGAGGAUGCAUGUUAGGUGGUUAGCUAUAGCCAUUAGGGAGUAGAAAUGCUCUAUUAUUUAUCGAAUGUAUCUCGGGAUUUUUCUCGACCCGUUUCGGGCUCCAAUCAGGCAUUAUGAGCCUAAAUUGGAUUUUUAAUAUUUAUUUAUUUAUUUUUCGAAAUUAAUUAUUUAAUUUUUUUUUCCGGAAAUUCAAUCGAGAUUAUCGGUGACUGGAAUUUCGUGCCGAUUGUCGUGGUGCAGUCCGUUUAUUUAAUUGAGCUUCAAUUUUUAUGGAAUUGAUUUAAAUUGUGAAAUUUGAGGACUUGUCCUAAAUUGUUUGUUAUUGAGUAUUUGAUUGGUAAUGGCCGAGUAUGGGUAUAUAACACCAGUACGUUGAUGGGCUAUAUAGUAGAGAGAAUGAUGAGAGCUAACUGAGAAUGUUAUUGGCUGAGACCAAUCAGGUACGAUAUUAUUUGACAUACGUGAUUCGAUGAUUGGAAGUAUCACUGGCGAAAACGGCGCCUUAAAGAACGCACGUAAAUGACUUAUAGACAAACGUGGUUCGGUGAUUAAGGAAAUAUCACUGGUGAAAACGACGCCUUAAAGAACUCACGAUGUUGUCUAUAGCCGAUGUCACCUUGGCGAAAACGGCGCCCUAGAAAGGACACGUGGUUCGGUGAUCGAGGAUAUCACUGGUGAAAACAGCGCCUUAAAGAAUGCAUGGUGUCGGUGAUCGAUAUGUCAUUGGCGAAAACGACGCCCGAGAAACACAUGUGAUUUGGUGAAUGAGUAUAUCAUUGGGAAAUUAUGGUAUGAGUGGGAAUGACCUAGAGAUGGUCCGAUUGACAUGUAAUCGACUAAGUCGAUUGAUCAAUGCUUAAUCAUAUGUCUUGAAUUGUUUGAAUAUAUGUGUUUAACCUUAAACUGCAGGUUGGAACUAAGGCCAAGGUAAGUCCUCUGAUUUGUGUUGUGCAUAGGCAACCUAGUCGGUGUAUUGGUUUACUAAUCGGGUAUUAGGGGUUAGAGCUUGCUGAGACGUGGUCUCAUUGGUUAUUGAAUAACCAUUUCAGGUCCUUAGAUGCAGUACACUUGAAUUUUGAAGAUCUCGAAAGUCCAGUGCAGUUUGUAGAAGGCUCCAGUUGAAGUGUAGAGGAUGAUGGAGAGGAGGACAGGAACCCGUAGUUUGUAGAACCCCACUCUUGUUUGUAGACCUUAUUUUUAAACUGGCUUAAGUUGAAUUUGACUUAAUAGUUCACCUUGUAUAUAUAGGUGCACUGGUUUGCAAUGUAUGUAUGAGUGAACGUUUUAAAGGUUUGAAAUUUAAUCCUACUGUAUUAUCCCAAUGUUUUAUUGUCUGGGGAUAAUUUAUAUGCUUUCGCAUGUGCUUAAGGAAAAUGAAAGGGUCGGCGAUGCGUCAUGGGACGUCGCUAUUAAUCGAUCAAGGUAAGGGAUGUGUGCGUGCCUGAGGAUCGGGGCGUGACACUAAUCUAACCACCUAAACCUAAUUAAUUAAAACUAAACAACCUUAAGUGUAAUUAGUCCACUAAGUAAAGAUUAGUGAGAUUACUCACCGGAAUUGAGUGCAAGUCGGAUCAAUCCGAUAGGGAUGAUGCGAGGAAUGAUAAACUCCAAAGCGGGCCUCGAGUUCGGGGCCCGGAAAUGGCCCAAAACGAGCUCGAUGGGGCUGGAAACCCAUUCGCUGGGUUGCUGUUUAGGGCUGGCCGAGGCUGGUCCGGCGGCUAGGGCGGCGAGGGGAGGCCGGCGGAGGGUGAGGGGAGCUCCGUUGGUCUGAGCGGUAGCCGGAGAUGGUCGGGCAACCGCCAGUGGUGGCCGAAUAGGGGUUGGGCAGAGGCGGAAGUCGCGCGGGGGAAGUGCGGCAGCGAGCGAUGGAUGCGGGGCGAAGGUGCGGCAUGCGCGGGCGGGCGUCGCGCAAACGAAGGUCCAGCUCCGGCGAGGCGGCGACGAUUAGCUGGCUGCUACUCUUGCUUCGGUCCACUUUUGUCUUGUUGGUUCCUUCGAACCAGAGGAGAGAGAGUACCAAGAGAGAGAGAGAGUCGGCGACGGUUGAGGAGGGUGAGGGAGAGGUGAAGGCGGGCGGUGAGCGACGGAUGCAUGGGCGCGGGCGGCGGGACGAGUGACGACGGUGGCUGGCUUCGGCGAGCUGCUGUCCUUCUUUCUCCGUUUCUGGUUUUCACGAGCAAGAAACAAGAAGAGGGGGGGCUUUCGGUCACAUGAGGGAGAAUGGGGGAGAAGAGAUAGGAGAGAGAAGAAGAGAGAAGAGAUAAGAAUGAGAAACUUUUUUGACCAGUCAAAGUGAAAAAGAAAGAGAGAAGAAGAAACCAAUUUGAAAUUGGCAUGGGGUGUUCGGUGGGGGAGGGGGAAAUCGCACGAGGGAAAAGAGGGAAGGAGAGAGAGAGAGAGAGAGAAGAAGAGAGAGGGAGAGAGGGAAAAAUAAAAUGAAAAUAAUAUUGUUAUUCUUAUUUCAUUUUAUUUUCUCUUUCCCUUUCUAUUUUCUUUCGGACUUCAAUUUUUCUUCCGAUAAUUUCCUGAAAUUUUGGACUUGUCAAUAAUUUGGCGGAUGAUGAGACGGUCCUAAAAAUGAAUUGUGACACGCUCGAAUAUUCGAUUCCCGAGACCAAUUUAAAUUUUAUGGUUAGAAUCGAUCAGACGUGAUUUUAGUACAAUCCAACCAAUUGAGCAGCUUUUAGGGAUUUUACUGUAGAUACAUCCCUUAAUGGCUUCACCCAAUAGGUUAGUUAACUCGUGAGUGAUUAGCUCAGAGAAAAAGGACCAUAGGUAUGUUGACGACAUGCCCAUUUCACUUUAUCGAAACGGGGUCGAAUUUCAGGAUGUCACACAAUCACAGGUCACUUUGCUAUAGCAAAAGCCAGUUUGCUUCAGUCAUUAUGCAGGUAUACAUAUCAAAUAAAUAAGAGAGGAAACAAGAGCAUAACAUUGUGGUGGAAUGGAGUGGUGAACUAAUGGUUGCAUCAAGGUGCCCCAAUUUGAAAUCAUUGACCAAUUCAAAUCCUGGAUUUUUGUAUUGAGAGAUAUACCGCACCUUUGUUUAUGUACUGUCAGCACGGUCAUAGCCUAUUUAAUGGAGUAAACCUCAGUGCAAAGAAAGAUGGAGGCAGCACGUGGUAGUACUUGUGUUUGUCCGUGUUUGCGUGUGUGUGUGUGUGUGAGAGAGAGAGAGAGAGAGAGAGAGAGAGAGAGAGAGAUGGGUCUUGGCAGAGGGGCUGAGUGCCUGGCGACCCAUAGUUGAUGCUAAGGACUAAUCGUGCGGGACAAAUCUCAUAGGCUCUUGUCCACUGCAGAGAUAUGGCUAUUAUAGCACAUGAUCAGGAAACUUUGUUGAUGGAAAAAGGUAUUGGUAGGAUUCACCAUUUAUGCAGAGACUGGUAACCAGUAGAGAAUGAGAUGGCCAAAUUUUAAGUUCUCUUACGCAAUAUAGCUGGUAACAAAGAGACAGGGAAGGACUCUGUGUCCAAAGAAGGCAGGGGGUAUUAGCUGCUUAGACGAAAGCCAUAUGGAACUAUUCGGCAUCAUAACUUUUCGACAUGUGCGAUUGCCCUGGGAGGGUUUCCAAAUAGCCAACAUACAAAAAGAAACCAAAAACAAGAAGAAGGGUGCAUACAAACAGAUACUAGCUAUGGCAAAGUCAAUGAGAAUCCUCAGAUCACCCACCAAUAUGUUGCCCUCAGAUUAGAUCUCCUUUGGACGUGGAUACGCUGGAAAAGAUGCAGAUAAGAUGUGGUGACCAUGGAAUUGAAUCCCAAUCCAAAUCUUAGCCUUUUUCUUAGUCAAGAGAUAGAAAUAAGAGAGCCUUUAAAUCUUGCAUUAAGGAAAAGGAUGGCUUUUUAGACUUCACACGCGGUUAACAAUUUCUAAGACUCAACUUCUUACCCCAAGUUUAUUAAAUUCACUCUCAUGUAAAUAACUCUACUAAGAGGUUUGCUCUAAUAACUAUUGCUUUCUGAAGAAUAUUCAAUCAGCAAGAAAGCAUUCCCGUAUUUAAAUGAAGGGGCACGUGAAACAAAUGAUAUGUUUAUUUUGUUCUAUACACAAGACACUAAUACCAGCUCUGAGCUUCAUUUAAGGUUCAGCCAAAAAAAGAACAACCAAUGUGAAACAGUUAUAAAGAAAAAGAAAAAAAACGGAAAGAACUCCAGAAUUAGAUAUAUCUCCACCUUUCUUUUGUCAGUUUUCGCAAUACCAUUAACCAGGCUCUGAACUGGAAUAACAUGCAAAACAAUAUCUCUUCCUAUACUCCUGCGCUUUCUCAAAGGACAAGGAAUAAUACGGAUAAUUCAUUUUUAAAUAGAACCUAAAUGCAGAUAAUUCCUACUCAUUUUAAGAUAACCAAUUGAAAGCCUCUAAUGCACAACAUGAGAUAUAAUACCGACGUUUUUCAAUGACAAACCAUUUUAUGUGAUAAAGUAUAAGGAAGAUUUAUAAGGUAUAACAUGCAAGAUGCAACACCUAAUCAGUACGUUCCUGGUACCUUUAAAUGAGAAAAUUUCCUAACAUGGAGAGCAUAAACAAGGCUUACUAUCUAGUGAUGUGCAUUGACAUUCUUCAUUUCCAUAAAUGGGCCAAUCGAGCAUUUUGGAAGGAGAGUCUCUUUCUCAUUCUAAUUACAUGUGAACAUCUCGAUCUAAUUUGCUCAGAGGUAAGUAACUGCAAUCAUUUCAAGAUUCAAAGCCUCGCAAUUUCAACACAAGGUCGUCAAUCAAUUGGCACCGAUCAACUAAAUUACCGAAAUCCACAGCUUGUUGUUAAAAAGCAAAUAACCGCCACUUCCCUAUCAACUUGUGGAAAUAAAUGGAAAUUCACCCAAAAUCUUGUUCCCAUAGUCAGAAGUAUGAGUUGCGUGAGACAACGGACCUCACCAGAACUCUUCUUGGCCUGUAGAGUGGCGACUAUGUCUAAACACUUCUCAAUAUCAGGAAUUUUUGCCUGGCAUUUAAUAUAGACAUUGAAUUAACAACCCAGUAAAAAGCAAAUGAACAAGUAUCAUGCUGACAGAGUAACAAUAACAUACUAACAAAGUGAUCAAGUUCUGUGGGAACAAAGAACCACGUGCACUCGGAUCUAUCGGGUCAAUGUAAAGAGAAAUUCAUUGUGAGACAUCAAGAGGUGCUGACCAUCUGGAUUUGUUUUAACUUUUUAUUUUAGAUUAGAUCACAAUAACUGCAACAGUAAGCCAAUUUCUCAUCCUUUUUUAGGGGAAAAGUAAAGCUCACUCGAAUUUGAGAAGAGAUUUAAGUUGAACUAGAAAAACAGAAACUAGAUAAAAGAAAUAAGGAGAAAGAAAACUGCAAGAGAGUGUAGCAACCUUCAUAAUUGAGGACAUGCCCAUUCCAUUAAUGAAAAUGUAAGAUACUAAAUAUACAAUGCACUAUGAAAGACAGAACUCAGAGCCAACAAACUUCUUGUUGUGUUACUUGUUUGUCUCAACCAGUACAUUUCUUUUUCCUGAAACUAAAUAUUCAUCGUGAUUAAGCCUUUGGUAUCAAUAUCUCUGAUCAUGUCUUUAUACCUCUUAAGAAUCAAGAAAAAAGUUGCCCACUCAAAUGCUUCAAAGUUCUUGAGAAAAGUUCUAACCACACAUGCACGUACGCCCACCUCCAUGUUAACCAUUGCAUACAUUUCAACACUGCGUUGGUUACGCUAUAUUGAAAAAGCGUAAAUUUGAAGAAAAAGAAACAAGGUCUAGUGCUAGCACAAGGGCCGACACAAGGGAUAGUGUCUAUGGUAUUCAGCAGUACAUUUGAAUAUGGGUCUUUGUUUGUGAUCACAUGAAGAAAAUGAACAACGAAAUGUAACUCAACAGCGAAUUCAAUAGCAGAUAUAACGAUACAAAAGAAUCAGUCGAUGAGAAAUUAUACACAAACAUCUAAAGGGAUGUCAAUAAUAACAAAUCCCAGCUGCCGUCGCCGUCUCUUCUCCCUCCCUCUUUCUCUUCAUUCUGGAAGGACGAUGCAGAGAUGGAUCUCCGAAUUGGGCCUGCCCGGUGGCUUGGGAAGUCCGAGUAUGAUCUUUGUAGCAACUUGAUAAAGCAACGGAGAGAGAUCUCUCUCACUUUCGCUGCGUUUGCCUGGAAGUGACAGGCGGCCUUCCUUCAUAAGUGAAAAAGCCGUUCAGAUUGACAAAAUAAUUGCUUCGAAGAGGAAACACGGGGGGAAGAGAGAGAGAGAGAUGGUGGCUUGGCCGACGACGAGGGGUGAUGGCACGGGAAGGAAAUACGACGUCGACGGCGACGGCGACGCAGCGGCGAGGUGGCGGAGGCUUGCGGUGACCGACACGGAGGGAAGAGUAGGAGAUUUUUCGUAAGUCCGGAUUUUUUUUAAGGAAAAUUCGUCAAAAAAGUAAGGGCAGUUGGGUCGUUUAGGAGGGUAACCGCACCAUGUGCACGCGGCAGGUGAACAGAUUUACCAGAGUCGCGUGUUUGGAGUGCUUUGCGAUAAGAAAGGAUUAAAACUAAAACUAGUUACUUUUGCCCAAGCUUUACGCGAACAUAUGUUAAUAAAUGUACUUUAAAUAUGUUUAUUUUCAUUUUUAUUUUUAUUAAUGUCAAUAAUUCUGGAUUGUGUAUAACACUCUCUUCGUUAUCCAUUAGGCAUAAAAUUACCAAGUAAAACCAUUUGUCAAAUCAAACAUGGAAAAUAUACAUGGAAGUUUUAAGUCAAAUUUAACUUUUCAUAAAGGUAUAAUAAAAAAAAUUUAAAAAUUGAAUAUUGAUACUUUCUAUAUCAAUUGAAUUCUAUUUUCAAUUUAGAAUAUGUGGAUUUUUUAUAUUCAGUACCAUAUCUCCAAAGGACAUUUUAAUUCGACCUCAAUAGUUGAGUUAAACCUCAAGACCAUCUCAACUUGUUCCUUGUAUAAAAUUUCCCAUGUGACAUCCAAGAUUGAAAGGAAAACCCAUUAGAAUAAGUCAAUUUUGGAUGGUUGACCGUCAAGACUGAAAAGCAUCUAGCAUCGGGUCUUUAUCCCAUGCUUGCAAUCACUUUACAUCUAUUGCUUGCUAUUAAGUGCUUGUCUUGUAAAAAAGAAAAAAGAAAGGGUAAAAAUCAUAAAAAAAUUCUAAAUUUUAUUUACUGCGAUACAUUUACCCUAAACUUUUUUUGUGACACUAGGAACCCUAAACUUUUAUUUAUGGAACGCAUUUAUCUUAAAUUUGUAUAGCGAGACACAUUUAUCCAAUUUUUUUUUUUGGUAAGUUAUCCAAAACUUAUUUUUUUUUUUGGUAAAGGUAUAUCCAAAACUUAUUUUUAUAACACCAAAAAUCCUAAAUUUGUAUUCGACACAUUUACCUUUUAAAAUUUGGCAUCGAUUUUGAUGUUACAGAAAACAAUUUGGGAGUAAAAAUGUCACAUAGAUAUAAGUUUGGAAUUUUUGAUGUCACAAAAAAAGUUUGUGGUAAAUGUAUCACACAGGUAAAGUUUGGGACCUUUUUUUUGGACUUUUUACCUUUUAUUUUUUUUAUUUUUCCUUCUCUACAUGGGCCAAAGGACGUAGAUCUUCAUACGUUGACAAGCAGUGAUUCACCUUUGCUCUCACCCGGACGAAAGAGGUUUCUUUAAUUUGCUUAGCACCGACUUAUAUGGAGCACAAGCUCCUGGUUCAAACCUGUCUUACGCAUAUUAUGAUUUCCAUUGGCGUUGUUCUUAAGCUGUAGAAAAUCACCAGGAUGGAGACCAAGGAUUUAGCGCGACUAUUCUCGUUCUUUGAUUUUGGAUGCCCCCAUCAUUCCAAGGAUAUUAAACAUGAGAAGUGAUGAGAUAAAGUCACGCUUUUCUAGCAUCAGCAGCAGCCCUUCUACCCCCACCCCAAAAAAACACUACCGGUAGCCCUUCGUCUCCAGAAAAUGACUGAUUAGCUACAUAAAUUCCCAGUCCUUUCCAUGAUAUUUCUCUCUAAGCUUGGCGUAGGUAUAGGGAUUUGUCUUUUGAUCGUCUAGUACAUAUAGACUCUAAUGAGAAAUUGUUGUUUAAGUUAAUUCGUCCAGUACAUUUCUUUUUCCUGAAACUAAAUAUUCAUCCUGAUUAAGCCUUUGGCAUCAAUAUCUCUAACCAUGUCUUUAUACCUCUUAAGAAUAAAGAAAAAGUUGCACACUUAAAUGAUUCAGAGUCCUAAAUAUUGCACGCACGCCCACCUGCUUGGUAACCGUUGCACAACAGUUCGGCACUGCCUUGGUUGUACUAUACUUAAAAAACAAAAAAACGAAAAAAAAAAAAAAAACAUAGAGAGAGAGAGAGAGUCAAGGUCCACUGGCAGCACAAGGGCAGACAGGAGGGAUAGUGUCUAUGGUAUUCAAUAGUGCAUUUAAAUCCGGGUCUUUGUUUGCGAUCACACAAAGAAAAUGAACAACAAAAUGUAACUCAACAGCCAAUUACCACAAGAACUCUUAAGAACACCCCCCCCCCCCCCAAAAAAAAUCAAAAAAUUUCAACAAACUAUCUCCUUCACCAGCACCUUCAGUCUACAAAAGCCCUAAACUCAAGAACACCUCGUAACCCCUCCCCGAUCCGCCAUCAUGGUUGCCGCCUGUCCCAGCUGCGGCCGCCGUCUCUUCUCCCUCCCUCUCUCUCUCUCUCUCUUCAUUCUGUGAGGACGAUGCAGAGAUGGAUCUCCGAAUUGGGUCUACCCGGUGACUUGGGAAGUCCGAGUCUGAUCCUCGUAGCAACUUGAUAAAGCCACGAAGAGAGAUCUCUCACUUUCGCUGCGUUUGCCUUGAAGUUACACGCGGCCUUCCUUCACUAGUGAAAAAGCCGUUCAGAUUGACAAAAUAAUUGCUUCGAAGAGGAAACACGGGGGAAGAAAGAGAGAGAGAGAUGGUGACUUGGCCGAGACCGGAAGCGAAACGAUCGGC